UAUAUUCAUGCAAACACCAAACCUGUAGGAGCGCAUUUAGAUCGACUUAGUUGUUGCAUGGUAAAUUUCUCAGGUGGUGGGUUGAACUUGGCGCGAACAAGAUGACCUUCUUCAGAGACAGAUUGGUGGAACACUAUUUUUGGUGCUGCGCCAUGGUUUUUGAACCUCAAUAUACAGCUUACAGGGAAAUGACGACGAAGCUCACUUGUAUGGUGACACUUAUCGAUGACGUUUAUGAUGUAUAUGGGACACAGGAAGAACUUGAGCUCUUAACAGAUUUUCUUGUGAGGUUAGUGUAAUAUGAUUACUAUCAUCAUUUUCCCUUGUAACUAUUGUUGCCCAGAGAAACGAUAAGCAAUUAAAUAGUCCCUGAAUGACACAAGGGAUACAACAAAUUUUGAUAGUUCUAUGAUAUAAAUUCUCUGAUGUAUUUUGAACAUAUCACUUUUUAAGCUAGAUUGUUUUUUUCCUCUAUAUAAUUGAUUGGUCUGGGCAAUUAAAGUAGUAGUAAGUACUAACCUUCAUUGUUAUUACUAAAAGUGUAUCCGGUGCUGGUAAAAUUUACAAAAUGUUGAAAUGUCGAUAUCUUAUCCAGGUGGGACAUCACAGAAAUCGACAAGCUUCCUCCAAUAAUAAGGGAUAGUUACAUGGCCUUGUACAACACGACCAACGAAAUUGGGUAUUGGACGAUGAGAGAGCUAGGAAUCAACACCAUUCCUUACAUGCAAAAAGUGGUAAUCUCGCUGAAUCUUUCACCUGAUAAUUUCUAGCCCGUGCAAGGCAACUCACUUUUCUACUUCUGACUUUCGUAAUGAAACUUCUAUUUAAACAUCUGAGAAUUCGAAAAAUGUACGAGAGAAGAAUGUCCCUCGGCUUUGUCAUUGACACACUUUUUUCGAAUUUCAAUCCUCUAGUGGGCGGAUGAAUGCAAGGCGUACAUAAAGGAGGUCCAUUGGUACAACAAGGGCAUCAAACCGACACUGAAGGAGUACAUGGACAAUGCGGUGGAUUCAAUCGGAGGGCUGAUUAUGCUGUUGGGCAGCUACUUCCUAACCACGGACAAAUUGACAGAAGAGGGGCUUGAUUACGUGUCGAAAAUUCCGAGUGUCAUGCAUUGCUCUGCCAAGAUCCUUCGACUCAACAAUGAUCUCAGUACCUCAUCGGUAAAUUACUUUGACGUUUACCUUUCUCCUUUUAUAUAAUCGCUUAUGAAGAGAAAGCACAUCAUUGAUGGAUUCAAAAAUACGUGCUAUUCUUUUUAAUAUAUUCGAUGAGAAUCCUGAGACUUAUGUUUGUGAAACAUCAAUCUCAUUCAUGGUCAGUAUGAAUUGGCACGAGGAGACAACUUCAAGGCUCUAGAAUGCUACAUGAAUGAAACCGGCGCCUCGGAACAGGCCACACGCGAGCAUGUCAAGCAAAUGGUGCACGAGACCUGGAAGAGGAUGAACAAAGACGUGUUUGAGGACUACCCAUAUUCUGGGUUCGGGCCUUUUCUCGGCGCUUGUCUGAACUUGGCACGAGCUUCUCAGUGCUUUUACCAGUACGGAGACGGACACGGCCUUCCCGACAACGAAACAAAGGACCACCUUGUGAGGGCACUAUUCGACCCUGUGCCCCUCGAUUAGGGAUGCAUAUUACCGACGGAGGUGUCGUUGUUGGAGAGAGCCUAUCGACUUACGUGUUAUUAUUAGCUUUUGGGGUGGGUGGCUCUGGAAGCCCUGAGACUUUGAAACUGUUGUAAUUGAAGCCUAUACGAUAGAUGGGCAUUGUACGAGCUCCAUAAAAUUUGCCGGGGAACCUCAUGCUAUUCGGGGGUUUGAGUUCUGGUUGAUAUACAUAAUUGAUAUUAAAAUUUGUGGUGACUGUUGAUGCUUAAUUUUUAGUUAACGCGUCAAAAAGGUAAAAAAAUCGAGAUUUAGAUUUCCGAUUACGAUGGAGCCCGUUUCUCACUAAAAAAAUAUCGUUUCUCAUUUCUUUAUUUUGUAUUGUUACUUUUAAGCAAUUUCCAAUUUAUUUUCGAGAAAAAAUCAAAAAGUCGAAUGGUUGACUUUCGAGUUGACUUUUAGAUCAAUUCUUUGAUCAAAAGUCAAUCCCGAGUUGAAAAUCGACUUUUCACCUAAAUUUCACUUUCAUCAAAUCAAUUUUUCAAAAAUUCAAAGAUUUGACCAAAAAAUCAACAUUUAAAAAAAACCAAUCAAGUAAAUGGUUGACUUUUGGUGAAAUCUUUGAUUAAAAAAUAAAAAAUCCAUUAAAGCACUUCUUUUAGCGUCAAUUUGAUUUGUAUGUCGAAAAUUUCACAAAAUUCAACUUGUUUUCCAAACUUUUCAAUUUUAGGUUCUAAAUUGUCCAAAAAUGAAAUUACUUUUAUUCUAGUCACGGUUAGGUGUAGUUCCUUUUAUGACAUGGACUAUUUUAAACCUAUUUGUUCACUUGAUUUUGCAAAUUACCACAUUGAAAGGCAAGUCGCCAUUUUAAGCCCUACUUAGAGAGCUAAAAUCUAUUCUUCAUGAUAUACGAACAGAUAAUCGAUUUUCACUCACUUUCUUAAGAUAGGUUCGAAUCCGAGACUAAUUUUGAGAAAUUCACAUUAGAACUCACCGAUUUGAGGAAUUUUACUCUCUUGAGUAUAAGAAAAUCAAGCAAUUGAGUUUCAAUUAGAGAAAUUCAAGUUGACCCAGUCAAGUCUAUGGUCCAAUUGUAUGGACCAAGGUCCAAUUUUAAUAUUGGAUCUAAGUUCAUUUUUGACAUGAGCUUAAACACUUCAAUUUAAAGCCAAUUUGAAUACAUUAGAUGAUUCUACACAUGGGUAAUUAGUCAAAUAGGUUUAUUGCAACGUUAAUUGAAACCAAUUUCAAAUAAUUUGCAAUUUUGACCAUUAAAUGGCAAAAUUGUUCAUUUUAGCCCUUAAGGCUCAAUCUAACGAACCCAUAGUCUUAGUUCAUUUUUUUUUUUUUUUACAAUAAUCGCUUAGUUAAGUCAAUAGAGGGUCCAUAGGUCAUAUUAAUAAAAUUUAAUUGACUUAUUGAAAUGAAAUUGGAAAAUUUCUCCUCAAAUCGUGCAAAUUUCCUCUCCAAUUUGGUCCUUGAGAGACCAAAUUCACAAAUUUUGAACCCAUAAGAGCCACUAAUGCAUGAACUAGCUAGAACCAGUUUGAACCGAUCAAGUACCGGUCAAACUAGCAUGACGGUUGCCAUACCGGACCCUCCAAUGUGUUUUUGCAUCUGCCAUUCCGGCAUUGCAACUAAGAAGCAGCAGAGAGGAGCAGUCUUUCGUUUCGUAACCUCUGAAGCCUUGAUAGUUGCUUAUAUGAUGUUCACUCAGCUAGAUGCUUAUUUCCAUCGUGACCCUUGCGCCAUCAGUUGGUUAGGGUCCUCUUCUUUUUUCUUCUUUUUUUUUUGGGGGGGGGGGGGCUUUCCCGGGAGUGUGCUAAGGGUAAAUAUAUAUCUCCUCGUAAAGAUUCCAAUGACAUCUUCCUCGUACCCGGUUCCAAAUUAUAUCGAGUCAAGGCAAUUACUUCUGUUUGAUCGACCUGUAAUCAGCAAUAUUGAAGAAAAAACCAAACAAAACAAAUGACAAAAAAACUGAGUUUUGGGACACAAACGGCUUAAUUCAUUUAAAAAAAAUCAAAUUUAGAACCCAAAACUUCUUUUUCUUAGAAAAAGGGGAAAACUGACACAUAUGACCUUAGUAUUUCAGCCUAUUAUGCAAUUAUUGUGCCUAAAGUUAAGAGACCAUUUGUAUAACUAUUCCCAUAAAAAAAAACACCAACUCUCUCAAUUGUAAACUUUUCAGCCAGUAUCCCAAUUGAUGGAUUUUUUCUUUAUUGAUGGGCCUGAGUUGGCCCGUCCGCCCAAGUUGGGCCCAAAAAGCCCGGCCCACGGGAAUAGGGCCCGUGGAUGGGGGAAGGUAUAAAAGGGAGGAGAGAGAGAGAGAAGACACCCUUUUGGCCAUUUUAACGUACGCUUCUCACUCUCUCUUUCCCUCCAAAUGCUUAAGGCACGUUGUUUCCCUUUUCAAGGCGAAUUGACAUCAUCGGAUCAGAAUUUCUUCCUCGAUCUUCAGCAUUGGUGUUUAAUCUGUGGCUAACAAGGUAUGCUCGAAUCCGUGGUGUGCUUUACGAUCGGUGAUACGUGUUAUUCCCGGGCUUCGUCUUCCGCAUUGAUUUAGGGGUUUGAUUUAGUGUCGAAUCCGUUUUUCGGGGAUCCGUUAUUCCCUACAUUGGUAUCAGAGCCCUAGUUCACGUUUUCCCGAUCAAUUUGAUGUUUUUUGAUUGAUUUUUCGCAAAAAAAAUUUCGGCCGUACGGAUCGGGGUGAGAAAUCCCGACACCCGAGCGUUGUUCGGCCAUUUUUCUGAGUUUUCGUAAGUCGAAAUCCUUUUCUGAAAACAUGGGGAGAAAGGCGACGUCGAGACGAGUCCGGCGACAUGUCGCACGCCGCCGGGAGAUGCCGCACGCGCGGCUAGAAGCCGCUGCACGUGGGCGCGACGCGCCCGAAGCGCUGGCAAUGGCCAGCGCGUGCGUCACACGCGUCGGUGACGAACCGGCACGUGCGCGCCGGCGACCGGCGAAACAGCACGCGCCGGUCAGUGAACCGACGCGUGCUGACGUCACUCGCUGACGUCGCCCAACAGUCGGUAACCGUCGGGAUGACGUCAUUGAUGACGUCAGCGCCGACAACGGUUGGCCGGCCGGUCACCAGCCGGCAACCCGACCCGACGGCGACCGACCCGACCCGAUCAGCCUGGCGCAUGCCGCGCACGUGUCGGCUGACGUCUGCGUGACGUCAGCCAGCGCACGCGCGCGACAUGUGCGGUCGGUUCGUCCGACCGGCCCGACCGGUCCACCGACCCGCGCGCCCUUUGACCGUUGACUUUGACCGUUGACCGUUGACCGUUGACCGUUAACCAAAAAAAAAAGGGAAUUUGUUUCUUUUUCAUGUAUGCCUAUGUGGUUUAUAUGUAAUCAAUUAUUUAUUCUGCAUUUGUUGCAUGAAUCAUAGAAAAUUAUGUAUUUUCCAUUUUGUUAAUUGUGGAUUAUAAGUGAUCAAUUUAAGUUCUGCAUUCGUUGCAGGAGCUAUGAUGCGUUAUGCACGGAUGCCUGCAAUCCCGAGAAUGAACGAGGGAAAUGCAAGACUUAAAAGGCUGAUGUUAGAUUUAGCUAAAUAUCGGUGGCAUAACGGUGAUUUAGUAUCACAUGUGGUCAAGGUCAAUCAGAUGAUACAGGAAAUCAUCUGGAAUGGUUAUCUUAUGCCGGAUUUUGAGAAGGUGCCGGCUUUGAUGAACACUUUUCCACCUGAAUGGCAAGCGGUGUUGGAUCGGCUAUGGGAGGUCAACGUGGUCCCGGGUUAUAGGAGGCUGGUGGAAGCUUUUGUAAGAGAGCACUAUAGGAUUGAGUUGGCCAAAACUUCAACCCUUAGAUUGAGCGCCACAUGGCGUAGAGUAAAUGCGCCUUGGUGGCGACAUGAAUGCUCUCCAAAAGUUUUUCCAUGGUUGACAAAUGUAAUUUCAGUUUUCUCAGAUGUUUUGACUGAUAGAUUAGAAGGGACAUUCCCUAUUUAUUUCUUUGAUUAAUUAUGUAAUGUUUACUACCUGAUUGUUGUUGAUGUAGCAACCGAUAUGUUAGUUGUAUCAUGUGAAAGCAUUGUUAUUUUAUUCGAUGUUAAGAUUUUAUUUGCUUUCUGCUAUUGCUGGUUGCUGUGGGUAAUUAGCUGUGGGUAGUUUAGAAGUUUUUGUAGCUUCAUAGAAUUGAUUUUGCAUAUGACAAUCAUAUUAAUGAUAGUUUUAAGUUAGGAUUUUUGGAGGAUGAUUGGAAACGUAGUGACCUUUUGAUUCUAAAACCUUACUUGAAAUUGUUCAUUAAUAUGAUGGGUCUGUGCAAAAGGGAUGCAUAAAUGAUAGGCAUUAAUUAUUCGUGCAUGUAUGUCUGAUGUAUUCAGAUCGAUGUUUUCAGCAACUAAGAACGUAAUUGCUGAUAUGAACGGCAACAAUUGUGAAAUAUUGAAUAUGAAGAUUCAAUAUGUGCUGGAAAAGCAAGAAGCACUAGAAGCUCUUGACCAUGUUAUGGAAGAUCUUGAGGAUGCUGUGCGCCACCUUGAGCUGGUAGAGGACCACUUAACGGCAUGUGAGCUGAAAAUAAAUAUUUGCAAUGCUGGUUUUAGCUCAGAAAGGGCUUUGAGCUCUAAGCGCAAGCGUAUUGAUUCGUUCAAUAUGUGGGAAUGCAAAGGAUCAAGUCCUUAUUGCAAGAGAUCAAGAGUUAACCAACACAAGAGAGGAAAACGUCAUCAAGUGAAGAAAAUGUCAAGGGUGAGGUGUUACAAUUGUGACAAGAAGGGUCACUAUGCUCGCGAUUGUUGUGAGCCGAAAAAGGUAAACACCUCUUGUACAUUUGAGAACUUUGAUUAUGUGUCAAGUUCUGAAUUAUUAGCUGAAUCCAAUUCUUUGUGGACUGUAGAUUCAGGAAAGACAGACCAUGUAGCGAAGGAUAGAGAAUCCUUCGUGGAAUUCCGACGAAUACCAACUGGAACUAAGUGGAUCUAUGUGGGAAACAACUCCAGAGCUGAAGUUAAAGGGAUUGGCACCUGCCAACUGAACAUGUGUGGUGGAUGCACCUUGUUCCUACAUGAUGUUCUAAAUGCUCUGGAGAUUCGUCAAAAUUUAAGUGUUUGUUUUGAUGUUGGUUAAACUUGGUUUUAGUAUGAACUUCCGUAAUAACAGUGUAGAUUUGUAUUUGGAUACAAACUACUAUGAUUGUGGUCACCUUCUAGAUGGUUUUAUUGUACUAAAUGUUGAUUGUGGUGAUGUCAAUAUAUGUUAUUCCCUUGUUUCACGUCUCCUACUUCAUAUGAUAAUGAUGUGAAUGUGUGGCAUGCUAGACUUGGUCAUAUUGGCCAACAACAUAUGAAUAGACUAGCCAAAGAGGGCUUGUUGGGCAAUAUUGAAUAAGUCGAUUUGUCCAUAUGUAAGCAUUGCCUAGAAGGGAAAACGACAAGGAAACCAUUUGGAAAAGGAAAAAGAGCUGACGUUCCUCUGCAUUUAAUCCAUUCUGACGUUGGUGGUUCAAUGAAUGUGAGAGGAAGGCAUGGGACUGUUUACUUCAUCACUUUUAAUAGAUGAUUAUACUCGAUUCGGAUGUGUCUACUUGAUUUCUCAUAAAUCUGAAGCAUAAGUUGUUUCAAAAGGUUUAUGAACUUGGUUGAAAAUCAAUUAGACAAGAAAAUAAAAGUAUUUAGAUCCGAUCGAGGUCGAGAAUAUUUAUCUGAUAAGUUCAGAAAAUUAUGUGAUGAAAAAGGAAUAGAAAGACAGUUGUCUAUUCCAUAUACUCCUCAACAAAAUGGUGUUGCAGAGAGAAGAAACAGAACCCUACUGGAAAUGGUUAGGUCCAUGAUGGCGCAUGCUAACUUACCUAUCACCUUUUGGAGUGAUGCGUUGUUAACUGCUGCUUAUAUACUUAACCGGGUGCCUUCCAAAUCAGUUAGUUCCACUCCAUAUGAGUUAUGGACAGGUAGAAAACCGGACUUAAGUUUACUUAAGCCAUGAGGUUAUGCUGCCUAUACUCAUAUGUCCUCUCACAAGUUUGGAAAAUUGAGUCCCAGAUAAAAGUAGAGUAUUUUAAUGAGAUACUCCGAACACUCGAAAGGGUAUGUGUUCAUAGGUGAGUAGGAAAGUGGGAGAAUAACUGAAUUUUGAAUCACGGGAUGUCACAUUCUUAGUGGAUGAAUUUCUUAAGAAGGGCGAAAUAGGGGAAGAUUACUUCCUAUUUGAAACCUUGGAUCAAGAUAAUGAUAUUAAUGGAGUUCAUCCAAGUGGGAGUAAUAUGAGAAGUGAUGAAUUGAAUUCAACUCAUUCUCAAUUACAACCAUAUGAUGAGAUGAUAUCGUCAUUAUCUAAUCCGAGUGGGAGCAUGAUGGGGAAUGAUGUGCUAAGUGUACAAUCUCCCAUACGGUGAACAAGUCGCCAAAGUAUUCCCCGUCAAUGUUUUGACAUUGAAAGGGAAACUUUAAUGGUUGCUCCACAAAAUGAGGAUGAGCCAAGAAAUAUUAAUGAGGCUCUGAAUUGCCCUAAUAAGAAAAAAUGGAUUCAUGCAAUGAAAGAGGAAAUGGAGUCAAUGAAAUCAAACCAAGUCUAGGAACUGGUUGAUCUUCCAAAAGGACGCAAAGCUAUUUGGAACAAGUGGGUUCUCAAAAUAAAGCAAAAGGCUGAUGGCUCGAUAGAAAGGCAUAAGGCUCGCCUCGUGGCGAAGGGGUAUAAUCAACAGGAAGAAAUUGAUUAUAAAGAUACAUUUUCUCUUGUAGUGAAAUUUACCUUGAUUCGCAUUAUUCUGGCAAUAGUAACUAGUAUGGAUCUUGAGUUACAUCAAAUUGAUGUAAAGACUGCUUUCCUCAAUGAAGAAUUAGAGGAAGGAACAUAUAUGGAACAACCUGAUGGUUUCAUAGUAAAAGACCAAGAAGAAAAAGUAAGUCGACUUUUGAGGUCGAUAUAUGGUCUUAAGCAGUCAUCAAGACAAUGGUAUAUACGUUUUCAUAAUGCCAUAAUGGCAUAUGAUUUUAAAAUGAUUGAUGAGGAUCAUUGUGUAUAUAUCAAAAGAUCCAAUAAUCAAUUUGUGAUCAUAUCAUUAUAUGUUGAUGAUAUCCUGAUUGCCGGAAGCAAUAUGGAGUUGGUUAAUACUGUCAAGAGAUGGUUGUCUUCCAACUUUGAGAUGAAGGAUAUGGGUAAAGCUGCAUACAUUCUUGGAGUUAAGAUUUUGAGAGAUCAUUCGAAGAGAUCGUUGUCUCUUUCGCAAGAAAUCUAUAUAAAUAAGGUUCUUGAACGAUUUCGUAUGCAAGACUGUAAACCCAUAGACACUCCUAUUGCAAAAGGUGAAGGAUUGAGCCAUAGACUGUGUCCAGGGACUCCACAAGAGAAGGAACAAAUGAAACAUGUUCCUUAUGCUAGUGCUGUUGGAAGCUUGAUGUACGUUAUGAAGUGUACAAGACUUGGCGUAUGUUUUAUAGUUGGAAUGGUGAGCAGAUACCAAUCCAAUCCAGGUCAAGCACAAUGGAAAGCCGUUAAAAGAAUACUAAGGUAUCUAAAGAUGACUGCUGAUUAUACGUUGAGUUAUUAAGGAAAUGAUCUGCAACUCAAAGGCUAUUCUGAUACUGAUUGGAGAGGAGAUUUAGAUGAAAGAAAAUCUAUCUCUGGAUUUGUUUUCUUACCGAAUAAUGGCACCAUAUGUUGGAGCAGUAAGAAACAAAAGAGUAUAGCCUUGUCCACGAUGUAAGUUGAGUUCGUGGCAUUAUCAGCAGCAGUGUAAAAAGGUAUUUGGCUUAAGAGAUUUUUGGAUCAUUUAGGUGUUAUUGGAAGUGCUGCAGAUUCAUUGUUGGUUAACUGUGAUAGCCAAGCAGCAAAAGUGUACACCAAAUAUCAAAAAUAUCAUGGCAAGACCGAACGCAUAGAUACCAAGUAUAAUUUUGUAAAGGAUAUGGUUGCACGAAAAGACGUGAACUUAGAGUACAUACUACGCAUAGAAUGGUAGCAGAUCCUAUGACAAAGCCAAUACCUAGAGAUGUGUUUUGUGGCCAUAUGAAAUUUCUAGGAUUGCGUAGAGGCUAAUGUACUUAAUGUUGUAAUUUCCCUAAGUAUUCACAUUUGAUGAAUUUAUGUUUUCAUCAUUAAUGCCUAUGAAUCUUUGUUUGAUCUUUAUGCAUCUUAAUGCUUAGUGCAUUAUUUUAAGUUGAAAAAGUAUGUCGAACAGAUAUGAGAUUAGCCCACUCACACGGCUAAUCGCCUCUAUUUACUGUGCGAUAAAUAGAGAUGAGACUGUUUUUAAGCUUAUUAUCUAGGUGAUAAUCGAGAGCUCAAGCUUAAAACACGUAUGUCGCCUUAACUAGGUGUUAAGAUGAGGAUAUAAUGCUUACUAUGUCCGAAAGUAAAAUACCCCACAUAUUUUACUUUAUCUGUCUACGAUGCCAGAUGUGAGUUUUGAUAAAUUUUGUGAAUGAGUAGAUACGUGAACUCAAGUUAGACAUUGGGUAUGUCUGAACUAUCAUAUGUACGGUAUUGAAAGGUGUAGACAUACGCUCCAUGGGAAAGGAGUUAAUACCGUAAUACGUAUUUCAUACUACGUAUGCAUGAGACGACCAAUAAGAGUGGCAAAAAGUUUGAUCUCAACUUUUAUGCCGUGUGAGACUCUUGAGGAAUAGAGUUUAUCAGUUUUAGUCCCCUCAUGACUCUUACUUAUUCUCAAAAUUUCUAUUUAGUGUUUGCUAUCUUAGGAUGUUGCCAAUGGUCAUAAGUGAUUCGAUCUAAUGGGACAUUUCUAGAAAAGCAAGCUGAACUGAAAUUGAGAGUUUGAAGGAAGGAGGAAGAUCGAAUUUGGAGAAUCACAUUGUAGUUUUGUAUUCACCGGUUAACCAAUUAUAACUGUCUUUGGGAUAAUCAUAAUUGUGAAUACAAUAUAUAUAUAUAUAUAUAUAUAUAUAUAUAUAUAUAUAUAUAUAUAUAUAUCAUUGUUUAAAAGAGAUCAAGAGAGAUAUAAAUGUGAUCGAUUGAUCUAGGGUACUGCAUACUAAAUCUACUCAGGAUGUGAUGCCCAUUAUGAGCUGCUAUAUAUUCCUAACAGAUGUAUGGCAACAAGCUCUCAAAGUAUGCUGGUCGCACGGAUUAUUCACCGGUAUGAAUGUUGAAGAGAGGAAAAGAGGAUUCUGUUUGGCCCACCAUGUUAAGUGAGAGUCUAUGAUGGAUUUUUCUCUGAUGGGGUUGAGUAGGGCCUGUCCGCCCAUGUUGGUUUUGGACCACCAUGUGCGAGUGGGAGAUGAUGGAUUUUUUCUUUAUUGAUGGGCCUAAGUUGGCCCGUCCGCCCAAGUUGGGCCCAAAAAGCCCGGCCCAUGGGAAUAGGGCCCGUGGAUGGGGGAAGGUAUAAAAGGGAGGAGAGAGAGAGAGAGAAGACAUCCUUUUGGCCAUUCUAACGUGCGCUUCUCACUCUCUCUUUCCCUCUAAACGCUUAAGGCACGUUGUUUCCCUUUUCAAGGCGAAUUGACAUCAUCGGAUCAGAAUUUCUUCCUCGUUCUUCAGCAUUGGUGUUUAAUCUGUGGCUAACAAGGUACGCUCCAAUCCGUGGUGUGCUUUACGAUCGGUGAUACAUGUUAUUCCCGGACUUCGUCUUCCGCAUUGAUUUGGGGGUUCGAUUUAGUGUCGAAUCCGUUUUUCGGGAAUCCGUUAUUCCCUACACCAAUAUUAAUUGAAAAGUACACAUGGAAUGGAAUGUCGCAUCUUUAACGGCAUUAUCGGAUGGAAUCAUGAGUGGGGCCAGAUUUGAGUACCUACUGAAAAUUUAUGUUUCUUUUUAGACAAAAACAAUUAGAGCCAAAAUUAGAACCUGAGCUAAAGUUGGUAUUUUUUUUUUUAUAAGAAAAAUUAUUUAGGACAGAAUUAGGACUUAAGAUAAAGGUGAUUUUCUUUUUUGGACCAUAAGUAAAACCUGAACUAAAGUUGGUGCCUUUUAAGAUAAUUGGAUCGACACAACGAGAUACAAGUCCUCGGAAUAAAUUAAUUCAACAAAACCGGCAGUGAUCGCAGGGAUUACAAAUUCAUUUUGAGGGGAGUAGGUCUUAUGUUGAUUUGGCAUCUCUCUUUGUUGCCGUAAUUCAUCUUCGUACCAUCGCACAUCAAUCCUCUCGAACCAGUUCCCUCUUUUUAAUCCCAUAAGGGCUUUCACACAAAACUUCUGCUUCUCCACCUUGGCAUGUCGUUGGCCCCCACCAGACAAUUCUACCGUGCUCUUCUCAAGAAGCGAGGAUCUGCAACAACCCAAACGGAGGAAACUGAGUUUCCCUCUAGAAACUGUCGAUUGUGUGGAAAAGAAUACAGAGGCGAGUGCGACAAUUUAGAGCAUCAGAAAUUACCAGUUCGACGUUGUAAUCGCUAAAGGGACAACAAUUGAGACUUCUGGUCAAUGCCGUUGAAGAUGAACGUCCCGGACAUGGGAACAAAUUGUUUCGUUAUGAGCUACAACAAACAGAGAACGUGGCUUUAAAGCAAAAUAUAGCAUCUCGGUUCCGAUAUAUAACCAAAAGAAGAGCUGAGUAAUAGCCCGAGCUAUUUGGAGCACUCGACAUCAACGAAUUAACUAACGAAGCUAUGGUGAACAGAGAUGAUGAUGCAACCUUGAUCACUUCCUGAGACGCAACUCCUCCAAUGAAAGCAGCAACAGCGUGAAGCUCUGCAGCACCAAACCGGCACAUUUCACUAAUAAGAUCCUCAGUCAAGGUUUGGCCAUUGCAGCCCAAGUCGCUGAGAAGACUGACUGCUGCUGUCUUCAACCGAGAUAUAUCCUCGUCCAUCUCACUGCAGUGCAUUCACCAUGCAGAGAAAUGCAGUGAUCAGGUAAUGACUUUUAAAAAGCUUGCUGGAGGAAAAAUGGUAGAUUCAAUAUCGGCAAUACUUACCCAUCAAACUCUCCAGGAAAGCUGUUAUAAUUAGCAGCAAACCGGUCAACAGCUCGAAGCAGUAUAUAGAACCCCACAGCAACACUGAUUGACAAGAACCACAGAUUUUCAGAUGACAGGCAAAAAUGAUAGUCUUUUCCAGCAAUAAAAUUUAUUUGCUAGUCAACUUGAAAAAAUUAGUGGAAGAUUGAAACAAGCCAUGUGGUUGAGCCAAGAUUAACAUGGAUCAAACCUGCACUAGCCAAGUCCAAUUUGAUCCAGAAGAUACAUGAACUUUGACUCAAGCAAGUGUCAGCAGAAAAAGAAAAAAAAUUAAAGCCUAAUAAUGGGAAAUAAAAUGAAUCGUCCGGGGUUAAGAACAGCCCAUGCUGUCAAGGAUUAAUUCCAAAAGAAUAAAUGCCAUUCCAUGUGACUGGUACCAGCUUUACCAAUGUACUUUUCUAAGCACACUGACCAUUCCAUGUCAUAACGAAGCAUUCACCACAUCCCAACAAAGUAACAAUAAAAAUGUAUUUAAGGGAAAAGCUGUUAUCAUGGAAAAAGAUAAGUUAGUGAGGAUAAUUUUAUGAUGAGUAUCUUCAGAAUUUCUGGUAGAACAGAUGGACUCUUGAAUUUAUCUUUCAAGGAUGAGGUCCAUGACUGAUUGAUGAGCACCCCAAAAGAGUGCUUAGAAGACCUUGAAUAAAUUGUGAACUUCUAAUUCUUUGUUGGAGAGAGGGGCUCUAGGUCUCACGAUCUAAGCAUGCAUAUGAAGCAUUUGCAACUGCAUAUUUCAGCAGGAAAAUAAUUUAAGGGAUAUAAGCUAAAACCUAUCUUACAUGUAUUCUUCAUCUGCUAAAUACUUCUGAAGUUCUGAUAGGACUGGAGAAUUAAACUCGUCCUCGACUAGGCGAUACCUGCAUACCUACAGCUGAAAAAUGUUAUCUCUUCAUUUUCGGGAAAGGAAAAGAAGAGACUUAAGAGAAGUGAUAAACAAAAACGAAAAAAAUGGAUUCUAAUAAUGCUACAUAAUUGAAUCCAGGAGGGAAAAAAUCUGAACUAGGCAGCAAUUUUAGCUUAUAUGUAGAAACUUACAACAGGAGUCAACAGCAAAACAGUUAAGGAGCACACAAGCAAACUCAGCAGCAUCACUAAUCUCAAUGGACUCCAAAGCGGCUUUGAUAAGCUUACCUUACACCAUUCUACUCUGAAUUUACUAUUUAAUGCAGUACACCAAUUUUAAGCAUGAACUAAAUCAUGUAAAAAAUAACUCACUUUGAGUUUUCGUGCAUUUCUGCAGAAGCUUCGAAUAGUUUGUUUUGAAAUCAUCUUUGUCUCUCUACCAAUUUUCUUCAAAUGAUUCCUCACUCGUUGCUCCAUAACAAGAAAGUCAGCCUCUGCCUUAGCUUGGUAGAUCUUCUGCAGGUUUACAUAAUGUCUGCAAAAUAGAAAUGAUACAGAAGACAUGUCACCAAAUUCUUCUCACACAAUGGAGAACAAAAACAGCAUCAUUCAUUCCUAAGCCACUAACUCUGUUGAAGAUGUCAUAUCUGGUAUUGAACCCUCAAGGGGUGCCUCUCCAGCACCUUCAUUUGCAAUAAAUUCCUGCAAAGAUAAAGCAACAUGAUGCAUGAAAUUCCAUCUUAGGAACAAAAUAUAUCUUGCUGGAAAGUCAUAAGUCAGCCAGAAGUUCUACAGGCAGAUCAGCACAAAUAGCAAUUGAAAUUUUCCACAAACAAGGGUAGUAGGAAAUGGAACCUAAUUAUAAAUCUAAAACUCCAUUGUAUUGUAAACAUUGUGCUUCUAAUUGAUGAGGUUCUAUUGAACUUCUACUCGUAGAUCUCAAAUCACAGCAACUCAAAGAGACCUGGAAAAGGAAGAUCUCUUUUCAGUGUCUACCCACUGAGAGAUGAUGCAAGCAUUCUCCUAAGAAAUAAAUAACAAGAACAUGUCCUCUGAAAUGGAAGAAAGACAUGCACGGGUUUAAAUGAACAAGUUCCGGGGUUCAGUUCAAACCCUUAUCGCAUCCUGUUAAAUGUAUUUGCACUAUACUUGUCAUUUAAACCAUUCAAAGACAUGUCAAGUACGAUACAACAAGAAAUCCAUGCGAAUUACCAGUUCAGUAAAGAUAACUUCCCCCCUCCCCAACCCAAAAGCAGGAUCAAUGGAAAAACAAAGCAGAGAUCAAGGGAGUGAUCAUGUUCAUUUCAUAAGGGGGCAAACAUAAGGAACUGGGACAAUUUGUCAUUUACCAAAUUUCCAGUAGAGUGAUCCUGUAACGAGUCAUAUUGAAAGGGAAAAUUACUCAAUCAAUCCUAAACCCUUUGUGUAGACGCUAUUUCAGUCCCAACUUUCCAAUUAUGUCAAUGUAGUCCUAAACUAAUUUAGAAAAUUCCAAUGUAAUCAUUCCAGUCAAUUUUGUUCUAAUAUUGCUAAUUUGGUAUUUGGUCAUCGCUAGAAGUCCUUAAUGGCAUGGCUGGUGAUUUGACAUGGACAAGCAUAGACAAACUAUGCCAUUUUGCUUAAUCUUUUGAAUUUUCUUUCUUCUUUGUUUUUAAUUUCUCCUUUCCCUUCUACAAUUCUUUUGUGGCACUGUUCAUCUUCACCUUCUUCGUAUUAACAAUACCACCAUCUUCAUCUUCCCAUUACUAUUCAUCUUCAAAACAAGCCACUAACCCAUUUGGACCUAGGAUAGACCUAGAGCCAAGGCCGACUAGCCCCCUGAGCUAAGCCUUAGACCUUGACUGUCCCCAAUGCCACGUGUCCUCAUCCUCACCUGUCCCGUUGCCGCUUAAAGGCCAUUGAUCUCACUUGUCCCUCGAGCCAAGCCUUGGUAGCUGUUAUUUGAAGAUCUCUUGUCAACAAUCAUCUGGAAUCCGAUUCUUAAUAACUUUGACUAUUACUGCUUUUCCGAUUCUGGGUGCAAUAUGAGAUGGUGUAUCUCCAUAGCUCAACCAUUCAUCAUCUUCAACCCAAGAUUCAUUGUCUUCAACCCAUGAUUCAUCCUCUUCGAGAUUGCUUCAAGCUAUGGAACGAAAAUUGAAAGUAAAUGGAACUUCUCGCACAUUGUCUUCAACCUAAGAUUCCUCAUUUUUUGUCCUUUUUCCUUUGGGAAAAUGUUACAAAUGGUCCCUGAGCUUUCAUCUAAUGUUUAAUUUCAUUUAUGAGCUUUCGAUUUGAUCAAUUUAGUCCCUCAACUAUUAACAAAUGUUCCAUCUAGUCCUUUCGUGUAUUCAAAUUGUUAAGUGAUAACGUGGAGCAUUAAUUGAUGAUGUGGAACUAAGUUGAAUUACUAGAAUUAGGAGUCAAUAUAUAUCUUAAAAAAGGAAAACAAAUUAAGGGUCAACUAGAAAUGAGAGCACUAAUCACAAAAGCAGAGAGAAAAAGUGGUAUGUAUCUCUUUGUUGGAUGGUGGCCACAAUUUGACCUGUUUUAAAGGUAAUUUCCACGUGGAUAUUCCACAUGUCAUUUUUUAUUUUAUAUUUAAGAGACUAAAAGCCAUGUAAGCCAAUUCCGUUAACUUUAACUAAUGGAGGGACGAAAUUGGUCAAUUUUCAAAUAGUCAGGGACUAGAUCGGACAUUUAUCCAUAAUUCAAUGACCAAAUUGAACAAAUUAAAAGUCUAGGGACAAGAUUGCACAUUAAGUAGAAGUUUAGAGACUGUUUGAGACAUUUUCCCUUUUUCUUUUAAGGCAUUUCAGGGGUUUCUUGUAAUCUUGAGGAGCUGAUUCAGGAGAUAUCCUUGACCAAGAAAAGCAUACUAAUUCCAUUUUGUGCCAAAUUUUUCCCCUCUAAUUCUAUGUAAAUGCUUCGCUUCAUGAUUUUUUUUCUCACCCCCAUAGGAUUCAAGGUCACUGAGCCCCCACGACCUCAAUUCGAGGUCGUCGUCCAUGGUGGCUCAACCUUAGAUUCAAGUUCGCUGAACCCCCACAACCUCAAAAGCCAUGGACAACCUUGACCAAGGUUGUCAUCCAUGGUGUCUUGACCUUAGAUUCGAGGUCGUCUAACCCUCACAACCUCAAUCCAAGAUCAAAGAAGCCAUGAACUACCUCGACCAAGGUUGUUGAGUCGUCUCAAUGGUGGCUCAACCUUCUCUUGUGAAGCUCAUAGGCUGCAAGUCUCGUUUGUGAAGAUUUCCCUUGUCCUCACCCUUUUAGCUUCACUCGUGAAGAUUUCCCUCCAUCUUCAGAAAAGCAACAUAGAAAAGAAGAAGAUGAACAGUAGUGCGGAAAAGGGGAAAAAAUCAGAAAAAUAAAGAAAACAACAUAGUUUUGAUUGAGUUGCACAUGCCAGAUCACUCGCUAUGCUACGUAGGACAGCUGACAAAGACUAUACCACCUCGUCCGCAAUUUCCAACGGCAAUUAACCACAAGGGCAACAUUGGAAUUUAACAUAAAGGUUUAAGACUACAUUGGAAAAUUUAAGACUGGAUUGACAUCAGUACAAUAGGCUUAGGACUAAUUAGGUAAUUUUUCCAAUUGAAAAGCAUCACUCCAAAAGACUCCACAACCCAUCCACCAGGACCUCCAAUCCAAAUUGAUUGGUAUAAAGUACCAGCUAAACCAUGUCAAAAUUGAACGAAUAGCUAUAAAUGUUACAGACAAGACUUGGGAUAACUACCUUCAAAGCUGCCACCAUCACCCAAAAAUCUGAUGAAUUAUGAUGAAGUUCUGCAGCACUAUCGUCUAUUAUCUGCUUCAAUUCUUGACCUGGUAAAGAAACAAGAUUGACUAAGUCACUGUUCACAUGCAGCAGCAACAGCUCGAUUUUAUUACAAGAAAACUGCUUAUAAAUAAUACAUGGAGCAAGCAUUACUUUUCCACUCACAAAGAUCCAUCCAUAUUGAAGAUGCCAUGGGAAGGCACUUGAAAAUGGGAACAAGAAAGUCAGGCAUCGAACAAUUAAUAUAUAUGAGGGGCCUAUAGGCAAAUGCUAUAUCCAUACGUGGAACAGUGAGCUUUAGGAUUUAGAUGGCAAUUGAAACAUAUAAAAGUUCAUCACGAAAUAAUAGCUAGGGGAAUAGAGCAAAGAAAUAAAAUCAUAUAUGCGCUUUUUGGGGGGAAAAAAAGAAUUUAAAUGGGAAAAAUAAUGUAUGGAAGGUAUCUAUGCCAACGGAACAAGAAAGGACCCUUACUAACAAAAGAGGAUGGAUGGGCAGCAAGAACCUUUUAAUGAGAAAUGUAGGGCAUAUUAAGACCGAUCCACAAAAUUUGUUUACCACAUACUACAAUAAAGUGUAAGUAGAUAUAUCUGAAUAAGUGAACCAUAUUGAAGCAUGGACAAUGCCACUUGUAAAUUAAUUAUGUAAAUCAAUCUUUGUAUCUCUAAUAUUAUUUUUAAGAAGUAUAGAGGUGACAUAUCAUCUCAGACAAAGUGCACGUCUAACCUUGUGUGUAAGGUUUAAGAUGGCAUAAUCAACCAUAUGAGCAAUUUAACAAAAUUUGCCACCAAAAAAAUAGUCAAAGCAAUUGGAUCCAUUAAGACCAAUAUAAUUAGAAAAACUCUGUUCUUGCUUGGAUAGAAAUAGAACAAAGAACUUCUACCCAGCUCCCCACAGUAACUGCAAGCAAGCCCUAUUAAGAAAUAUUGCUUAUCAGGAAUAUAGCUAUGCAUGAGGUUGUUUAACCCGUCACCGAAAGAGGUCUCGAUGAAUGUCGCUUCUAUCCUCAUAAUAACAAUAUGCUUACUUCUACAACUUACUAAUUCCUUGAGGAGCAAAGACCUUAAAGGAUGCCUCGACAGCUUCCCUGUAGUUGUCUUCGUCCAAUGCAAUCAUCCUGGAUUUCAGAAGCUCCUGAAAUGUUCAAUAUCAUUAAUAUCUUCUGUUACAGCCUAUCAUGAGCAAAGUGAUUCAGUAUAAAACAUCAAAACUGAAUACAAACCUUAAAUUCUUUCUUCUCUUCUCUAGUUGAUGGAAGCCUGCCGUUGUGAGAGUCUGCCCAUUCAUUUGCCAUCUUAACAAGAAUGACAACAUAAGGUAUGUGCUUGUGAGCAACUGGAUCUGCAGUGGUCAGAUCAAUGCCUUCUGCAAACCUGACAUGGUAUAUUUUAGUCAUAAAUGAUGACCUUAUCUACAUGCACUGCUUGUAUGAUGUAUGGAAGAACAGAAUGGACUAUGUUUAUGACAUAGCAUGAAGCAGAAGAAGUUUUCUAGUUAGUUGAAGCAUUUUGACAUUUAUGAAACCAAAGAGUCAUGUGUCUUCAGUAAUAAAAUGCAAACCUCUUCAAUUCGGGCCAUGGAUUAUUUAAACGAAGGUCAUCCAGAAAAUGAUCUGGCUUUGACUCAAUUAUCAUAUGCUCCUGCUACAAAAAGGGAUGUUAGAUAUAGCGCAUAUUUGUAACAGUAUAUGCACAGAUUUCUGUCUGACUCAAUACACGUUUCUCAGUUCAACAUUAUAAAGAAAUCUGCAAUUCUAAUUCGAGCAAAUCACAUCACUUGAUAACAAACCAGUGUUAUUUUAGAAGUCAAAAGUUGGGAUUACAAGAACAUUACUUUUACACUGAUCCGCACAAGUCCCGUAAGUCCAUAGGAACGAGCAAAUAUCAACUUCACAUUUGCCUCUCUACAAAUUCUAUCGAGCUUGAUCAUAGAGUCUUCUACCAGCUGAAAGAGCAAUUACGAGGAUUCAAUUGUGCACUCAGAAGAAUAAAAAACAAGUAUCUACUGCAAGAAUAGUACAGUUCUUAAUGCUACAAUCAAGCAAAAUGGAUUUUGAAAAUUUACAUGGAACAACUAAAGAGAGCAUACAACAGUAGCUUACAACUUCAUACCUGAGUAGCCACCACCAAAGUAAACUGAGAGAAGAAUGAAGAGUUUGUCUCAAUUAGAGCCUGAGGAUACUCCUCAAUAAACUUUGCUUUAACUGCAUCAUUCAACUCUUGAAGGAAAGAGCACACACACUUUGCCUUGGAUUCCCCAACGCUCGAUUCAUCCACUAAAGUUUGCAGAGCCAUUGAGAAUGUAGGAAAAAAAAAUCCCAAAAGAAACUGGAAGGAUAGCACAGUUAAGGCACAAACCCAUGAAGUUAUUCCCAAGGUCCCCGACUUCAACUUUCGAUCCAUCAACCACAGUGAUGCUCCCGACCCCUCCAAGAACAAGAUUUUUUAACGUCUCAGAGCCAGUAGGACCACAAUUAAGCAAACAUAUACUGGCUUUCUCGAGAGCAGCCUGACCUUGCUCACCCCAGAUCCUGAGGUAUCAAUAUAUUCACAUAAAAACAUGUGGAAACACGACAGAGUACUUUACAGUGACCAAAGGAUCUACAUGCAAGUUAAAGACCAUCGACAUUUAACAAAGAAAUGGCAAAGGUUUCUCUAUCAAGUUGACCUCCACCUCUUUAAGCGAACCAUGUUGCAUUAAGUCGAUCAAUACCGAAAAAACUAAACUCCUCUUUCAAUGAACACUUCAGCACUCUCAGGCAAACUGUAAUGCAAUUCCAACAAAAUGAAGUAAUCGAUAAAAUGUGAAUUUCUCCGUAUCUAAGGCCCUAGGUGCAAUCGAAUGGAUGAAUUGCCAAUAUCAGAAGCGUAGCUAAAAACUUCAAACACACAGAACUUUCCACUCAACGCGUUGCCAAGUGCAACCUCGGACUCUCGUCAAAACAAAAUUAGGUCUGCGAAAGUUCUCUUCCACUCUCGCUAAAUCAAAUCUGCCAUAUUCUAAUUUUUAUCGAGUCAGGACGGGAAUAAUCCAGGAAACAUCGAGCUACAACAAAAGCACUCGAUAGACAGGAAGCUGCAAGCGGAGUACCGGAGCUGGCGAUCGUAUUUGAUUUUCGGCUCGGCCAUCGCGGUCCGAUCGUCCGGUGACUAACAAGCGGAGAAGCUUCGGUCACUUGCGACGAACCGACGCCUCAGCAUAAAAAACAGCGAGUGUCCUACUCAGCUCCGGAGAACCGCCUCGUCCGAAAACCCGUCGCUCGAGCCUGCGAGUGAAGCGGAAAGGACCUGCGAGCACCGCGAAAGCUUCAGUCGCCGGCCAGGAGGCACGAACGUCCGGAGACCGCGCUCAGGCGCGAGAUCUCUCGCCGGCGAACGAACGAUCGAUCGAUCGCCGGCGCAUGGCGCUGGAGGAGAAGAAAGAGAGAGAGAGAGAGAGAGAGAGAGAGAGAGAGAGAGAUUUACCUGGGAAGGGGAUCGAUAGCUGCGCGCGCUCGAGCGGGCGAGCAGAGCUCGCAGCGAGGAGGGAAGUGAGGGGAGGCGUUCGGCUGCUUAGAGCCUAGGCUAUGUUUCGGCCGAGCGGAGUCGAGUCGAACAGUGAGAGUACGGUGGGCCCGUAUCGGCAUGGGCCUCCCUCAGGGCCCAUCUUUUCCCUGUAUGCAUUCCCUUUUUCCAUUUCGAGGAACUUUGCAAGGAAAAAUGAUAUAAAUUAUUCAUGAGCUUAGCCUCUGUUUAUAAUAUAAUCUCUCAAAUUUUAAUUUAUUAAAUAAGGGUUCCUGAAAUUUUGGUGCAUGAAAAAUGUUCAAUGUUAUCAUUUCAUUAAUUCAAAUUCUGAGAAAAUACUGAAUAUUUUUGUAUAGUUUAUGGAUUAAAUUGAGCAUAUCCUAUGAUCAUAUUGAACAAAUUAAAAGUUCAUGUACCACAUUAAACAUCAUGUUAAAGUUCAUGAACCAAGUUGAAUGAAUCAAAAGCUCAUGAAUUGCUUACACAUUGUAUCAAAGUUUAGAAAUCAUUGUGUUAUUAUCCCAACUUGAAAAUACAAUUGCUUCACUCAUCCAAGUAUAUGACAUGUUGGAUCAUUGCAUUCGUGUAUUUUCUCUCGUGCCAAAUAGGCAUCAGCUAAUACAUGCGUGGGCAAGUGAUUUUGGAUUAUACAGAUUUUUGCGGUUAAGUGCAUGGGAUAGUGUAUGGAAAUGGAAGUCGAAGGAUAAAAUACAAAAUAAAAGAUAGAUUACAAUCCCACCAAGGUCUAAAGAAUGUGCCACUAACCAAAAUGAAGAUCAUGAUAAAUGAAGUUAAUUGCCAAGGCUUAAAGGACAAACCACCUAGCAAUUGUAAAGGACUUCAGGACAAGAGGAGCUCAUCAUCAAGACCCAAAGGAAAAUCCACCAACUCAGGAUAAUCCACUCUCCAAGGAUAAAUAGAUCAAAAUAAGAGUUAUCCAUUCUCCAAAGAUAUUUACUCAAGUAGAGAAAAUCCCAUGUAUUUUCAUUCAUCAAAUCUUGCCUAGUUACAAUUGAGAGAUUUGCUCUAUUUAUAGGAGGAAGACAACUUAAGAAAUAGAAAAACAAUAAAUAGGCAUGGGAACUAGCCUAUCCUUAAAGACCUAGGAACUUAAAACUUUUACUCUUGGAACUUACAUAAAAUUAAAGACUCCUAUGAAAAUAGCGAUGCAUUUAAUGACUUGGGAACUUGCAUUCUUGAUUCUUCAACCUUGCAAAAUUCGUGCUCCCAAACUUCAUCCAAUAACCAAGGAAGUUGGUUGGCCUCCCAUUAAUAUGUUGUAAAUAAACUUCGAGAUCAGCAACUAAUAAAUCAUACUGAGAAAUCAGUGACUAAUAUAUCAUACCGAGAAUUCGGUAACUCAUUAACCAUUGGUGUCGAUAACUUCGGUGACUCAUUAAUCAUUAGUACUGAUAACUUUAGCAUAAUAGUUUGGUACCGCUUUAGUUUGAAAUUUCAAUCUCAACCCAUUGAAGCACGUUAUACUCAAAUUCUAACUUGACUAGCAAUGAUGGUGCUAAGUGGGCUGAUGGAGUCAAGUUGGAUGCUUUCGCAUCAUCGGCAACUAGACAACCAGGUAUUUCACUAGACAGUCGUCGUAGGACACAGCACAUUACGUUGAAGAGAAUUCAUAGAACUUGAUAAGACUCAUUUUGGAGCUAGCAAGUGAGGUGUUGAUCGUAUUGAUAUGUCGUCACUCAGGUUGUUAUCUAUUAUCGAAUUCGCUAGCUCGACAAGGUUGACAUAUGGCAAAAGGUGAGAUGCUUAGGCGGCAAUCUCUCGACUAGAAUAUUAGGACCGGCCUAGUGAGAUCAAUAAACAUGAGGGCUUUUAAAACCUCAGAGACAAUGACAACGUCAAAGUGACCAAUUUGAAGCAAACGUGCUAGAACAAAGUCAAUGACAGAGUAGAGGCGUCGUUUCGGAUGACAAAAAGGAUCCCAUGCCAAUAGGCGUGACACUCGAUGGUGCCAUCGCUCCUCCAAAAUUAUCAGGUCAGCAUAUAUUCUUCUGCGGCGGCUUCCUAGGAAAGCCUUAGGCCACCAAGGCCAACUAUGUUUCACCACGUCCAAACUGAACCUUUGCUUGUGUGAUGCGAUUAGUAACUUCUAGCGAUGAUCGGAAUCAUAUAUUUCACUUAGAGGAUUGGCGUAAUGUUCGUAUCAGCCUCGGGUAAGUAGAUGUUUGAGUCUUCGUUUACUUGUUUAGAGGCAUUUAAUCUCUCAUUUCGCUGUGGAGUAAUUUGAUCCGGGCCUUCUAAGUUUCAAGAGUCCGUUCGAGAUCCGGGAACCUCUCUGUCCGCAAGAAAAUAGCCUGCCAGGGACAGGGCACGAGCUAGCUUUAAUUGCCGCUGUCAUGAACAAUCUUCAUGGGCAAGAUUGGCGAGCUACAUAUGGUUCAAUAGCGAUCGAAUUCCAUGAGAUGGUUCUCUCUAGCUCAAGUGAAGGCAAAAUUGCUCAAUUGGCGAAAAGUACACAAAAUAUGCUCAUAAGGAUAUAGACGAAUACACUUAGGGUGCGUUUGGCACCAGCUUUGCCAAGUACCUUUGGGUACCCAAAGUCCAUUUGCCCAAAUAUUGGGUGUUUGGGAAAAAAUUUUAGACCUGCCUUGAAGAAAUGCUGGCCUUCCAAAGGCUGAAAGCCCAAGGUAGGUCCUAGGCUGCCUUGGGCUUUCAGCAUUUUCGGAAGGCCCGAUGCACUGUUCAUCUUCCCCUUCGUUGAAUUCUCAGAUGUCGGCAGGCGAGGUGGCGAAUCGGCCGGCGAGGUGGCGAUGGGUCGGCGAUGGGUUAGAGAGAGGCCGACAACCGUCGCCACACCCCGGCGACCAUCAUCGACCAGUCGCGCGACCCAGAUCUGGGUCGCGGAGGUCGCCUGUGUCGCGGCGAGGUCUGUCGCCACGACCUCCGGUGACCCACGACCUCGCCGCGACACAGAUCUGGGUCGCGGAGGUCGCGGCGACCCAGGCGACCUAGAUCUGAGUCGCGGAGGUCGCCGCGCUAGGCGACCCAGAUCUGGGUCGCGGAGGUCGCCGGAGGUCGCGGCGACCCAGGACCUCGCCGCGACCCAGAUCCUCUGCGACCUCGUGGUGACCUGCGCGGCGUGGUGGGUUGCGCGACGGCGCGGCGAGGGUCGCCGCGACCCUCGCCGGAUCGCCUACCCUUGGCGGGUGCGAAGCCUUGGCCGGCGGUCACUGACGAAGCCUUGGCCGGCCAACUUUCCUUUUUUUAAAUAAUAAAAGUAUUUUGCAAAUUUAAUUUAUCCAAAUACUAUUUUGCACAAGUAUACUUCACAAUGGACUUUCACAAAUAAAUUUACUAAAUACACUUUGCAUUUUGGAAAACACCCUUGACUCAAAAGCCUUUACAUUUUCUCAGUAACUUUCCCCAAAAGUCUUCCCAAACGCAUCGUUAUAAUUCUUGGUUCUGGCAAUAUAGCCAACCUUAAAAUUGAGGCGAAUAAAUCAAUUCCAUCCUACAUGCUAUAUUUACAGUUAUAUAUAUCUGCCAUCUAUGGCGGCAAUUGUCAAUUCGUGAUAGGGCAAUUAAGUUCCUAUAAGAUUGAUGUUAGCAAUUUUAGGAUAUUUACGAAAUAAUAGAUUACGUCUUUAUCUAUCGGUUAAAACUUUUAGAAUAAUCAACGGUAAUUUCAUAAAAUCUCAUAAUUACCAUGUUAAGCUCGUAUCAAUGACAAUCGCUACACAUGAUUUUAUAAGCGCACGAAAUAAUUACCUAAACUGAAUCCAAGUUCGAAUGAACUUUUUGAUUUGCCGGAGCUUCCGUGGAGCAUAAACGUGCUCCAUGGAAAGCAGCGGGAAGUGAGGUGACGCCGGAGGUUGAAGCCAAGGCGCACUUUUGCACUGCAGAUUCGCCCUUGGAGAAGUUCGAAUUGGCCUACUCCAACUUGCCAACAUGCUUUUAUUCAAAUGCCGUGGAAAGUGCGUGCCCCAUUCCCUGUCAUCGUCCCUUUGCGAUCGGUAAAGGCCAGAGAAUCGUCAACGUGAUCGCCGGCCCCACGGCCCCACACCGGGGCGGCUUUUCUUCUGCAUCCGGCCGUUCGUUGGGGACCACCUCCCCAUCUCCCUAUUUCUCGGCGAAACCCGGCUUUCCGAUGCUUUCCACGGCGUAGCCGCUUUUAAAAAAUAUCCAGGAGCCUCUUGGCAACGGGCCACUUCCACCACACUAAAUCCAUUAAAAUCGGUCAUAAAUCCAUACUAGUGUUAGUUGAGUUAGUUAUAUUGAAUAAAUGUAUUAAAAAUGAGUAUAAGUUAAAUCACUCUCACUUCGAUUUGGUUAUAAAUUUUUGUAAGUUAUGUUAAAUAUGGAAGUAUUUUAAUAAUAUAGAUCGAAUAAGGUAUUGGUCAUUAAAUGUGUAUUAUGUGGAACAAAACGGGAGGACUAGAUCUAUUUGGAUUGGAUGACUUGUGAUCGAGUUCGUUCGUUUGACGGGUCUAAAUCAUACUUACUCUCUGAAGCUAUUAUUUAGGUAACGAUCAAACUCAAUUCAAAUGCAAGAAUUCGAUUGAAAUUGAUUCCCGAUUUCGAGGCUGGAGCCAGCCUGAUGAAUCAAGUUCUUGGGUUGCGGUGAUUUUUUUGAAUGAUUUCUUCUUUUCCUUUUUGUUAUUUAUUAUUAUUAUUAUUUUUGUAAAAGAAAGUUUGUGACGUAACCUUAUCUAGAAAAGGAAAGUUAUUGUUGCCCCCAAAAAGAUUGAAGCAUGGGCUCUAACAUGCCGAGCACCCACUUGUCAAAGAGCAUAUUCUUCGUAUAAAAGAAAACACAUUUGAUUAUGCAGCAAUCCCUUUAAUUUAUUGUAGCAAAUAAAAUAAAGAACUCGUUGAACGUUCUUGGUUUCAUACUUCUAUAAUCAAGGAAAUGCAGAUGCACUAGAAAUCAACUCGCUCGAGCACCAAUGGCCGCCGUUGGUUGCGUAACCGAAAUGGUAGAAUCUUUAGUAGUCUAAAAACAUGACCGCCAGUCCGAGUUUCGGUAAAUACAAUAUCUCUCUUUCAUAAAAAUUACAUGACAUCUAAACUAGUUCUCGCGUGGCAAAUGCAAAUGACGUGACGUUCUCGAGCUCACCUCAAAAGACUGAUGAUUGCCAUGCCAUGAAAAUUUUUUCCACCAUAAAUGACCUCUUAACUUAUCUGUCACAAGUUUAACAUUUAUUUUUUGUUAUUCGAUUCCCUAUCACGCAAAAAUUAUCCGGAGAAUCUUUAAUACGUAGAAAUUACAUAAUAUUUCGAGUUUUAAAUAAAUCUUACAACUAAAAUCUAGAUGCAAUUUUUUUUUUGUCGAUCUUAUUUUAUUUUUACUCUAGCUCCUACUCUCAAAUUUUUGUUACGAUUUAUUGUUGGGUAUCGAUCUACACUUAAAACCAAAUUAUUUCCAUUUCAACUCCCUAAGAAGAGGGAAUUUAAACUCUCCAUCUCUCUCUUUUCAUAUGAGAAGGGUGACUACAAGUAAAUCUCGGUGAUUAUCUAGAUGCAUAUUUAUCUAGCAGUUUUACGUCAGCUCCUUGACCAUCAGCUUUGAUUGCCAAAUAAAUUAUAUUCUUACAUUCGUUGGAAAGUUAUUAUAAAUAUCACGAGAGUCAUCUUUUCUUCUUUCUACUUUGGCCAACAAAUCAGGAAAAAUUAGCCCGAGACAAAGCAUGAAACGUAAUUAAAAAAACAUCAUUAUCUUUUACAAAACAAACUAAAGGCGCUGUCCUACAGACUAUUCACAGCGGGGGGAGAAAAGUCGCCUCCAGCGAAACUUCCAAAAUAUCCCCCGUUCGCGCCGUUCGCUCACCGCAGCCUCCAGUGCAAAACGCCCAAAUUUUCAUUUCUCGCCGCAGCCGUCCGAUCCUCAUCGCACGGCCCGACGGAGCCCCUGCGGCGAUUCAACGGGCCGUCAAACCCUCACCGACCAUCGACGGCGCGACGAGAUCCUCGAUUCGAUGCGGACGUUGCGCUCCCGCCACCCCUACGUGGCGACGCUCCAUUGCUGGUAAGCACGGGGGGGCGAAUAAAUCAGGGCGCAGGGGAACAUGGCCCUCCCCCGCAAUAAUCUCACCAUUUGCAGCUGGGUCGUCGGCUCACAUACUCUUCUAGAAGAGUGGGGCACGCAGCUCUAGGUCACCACGCGCAUCUCUCUCUUCUGUCGUUCUCUGCAAAUCGCCUACGCAGAAGAAGCCGUGAACGCUAGCUCCUCCUCCUCCUCCUCCUCCAUAACCACUUUAGCUUCGUCUUCGCAUCGGGAUUCGACGUGGUCUUCUCUCUCCUCUGCAACGACCCUUAUCUCCAUCCCCAGAAUUAUUGGCCCGAUCAUUUAUGUGAUUUUGCUGCCGGGGGUGGGGUCGCCGCCAUGUAUAUAACGAGCGCCUCGGCUUCGGCCUCCUCGUUCCUCCGAGCUUCUAGGGCGCGCCUCUCCGGUUCGCUGUCGUCCGCCGCCUCCCGCGCCUUGGUCGCUCAGGGCCCGUGCCCCUCGCCCUCGGCCGGCCAGUGCCGAUCGCUCAGCUUCUCCUCCGCUUUCCGAUCCCUCCGGAGCUCGGUGCCGCGGUGGAGCCACGGCGUCGAUUGGAGGUCGCCCGCGAGCCUCCGCCCUCAGAUCAGGGCCGUCGCCCCCGUGAUCGAGCGCCUCCAGCGGAAGUUCGCCACCAUGGGUAACUUUUACUCUCUGUUGAUCUCCGAUGAUCUUGGAGUUAGCUUGUGAGUCGCGUUGGUCGGGCGGAGUUUGUUCGGGGCUCGAUCUGUGCCGCCGUCCUCGCGUUGGGUAUGGCGGCUGCUGAAGCUGUCAUUGAUUCGCGAGUCACGCGAGAGUCCGAAAGUACCGUUCACCUCCCGAGCUGUUCCUGAGUAGAUGACGAAAAUGAAAUCGAACCAUCUGUCCGUGUCGGUUUUUUGGGUUUGUUCUUUGGGUAAUCAUGCUGUGAAAAGUUAUCUGUCCCUUUCGCUUUAUUUGUUGGAUAUGUCUGCGAAGCAGUUCUCAUGUCUCAGUCAUAGCGAACAUUGAGCUUGGUGAUUAGCCCGAUAAAGAAUGGUAUCAAAGGGAAAACGUGACUGUGGAUCUCCAAGUUGACUCUCGGCUGUCUUAACUAAAAGAGUAAACGUUGGAGUCCUCAUGCUCGCGUAGUCUAAUCUGAUCGCCCCAAAAUAAGAAUGAUGCUAAAGGAAAAGCUGCUUAGAAGUGUUCAAUGCCUUGCAUUACUUUGAAAAAUGCUAGCGGGUUCUCACGGUCGAGUUCCUUCUGUAUACGUUCAUUGGUUGGAUAUUUAGGGAAGUCCAAGUUUAAGAAAUGUUCUUGUAGACUCCAUCCAGAAUAGCUUUCACAUGAGUCAGGGUUGAUCACUUUUUCUUCUCAUCGUGGAAUUACACAUGCUACCUUGUUCUAAAGUUUUAUCUAUUGUGGGGAUGUAACUCUGCUGUUCGUCUGCUUGUUUGCAGCUUCAGAGAAUCCUUUCAAGGAGAUCUUAACUACUUUACCGAAGGCAGGAGGUGGCCAUUUUGGAAAAUUUUACAGCCUUCCUGCUCUAAAUGAUCCGAGGAUAGGUAUUAUUCUUGAGCGUGCUCUUACCAGCAUAGGAAUUGCAUUUCUUCUUAUGCUCCUUUUGUAUCAAAUUCUGCGUAAUUAUUAGCUGAUUUACAUUGCUAUCCUGUUGUAGACUUUUCCUUGUUAAUUCUCCUUUCCAGCUUUUCCAUUCGUUCUUUCUUUAUCCUUCUGUUUUUCCUUUUUAACUUUUGGUUGUCACAUAGUUUUCAUUGACUUGGCUGGACCAGAAAAUCCAAUAUUACAUGUGAUUGGAAAUUACUGGAGACUCAUGAUUUUAAAUCAUUUUGAGUACCCAUUUAUUAUGAGUGGCAAGACUGAUGACGUGCCUUGCAUUUUGUUCUGAUGGUGCAACAGACAAGUUGCCAUACUCUAUCAGGAUCCUUCUUGAAUCUGCUAUCCGUAAUUGCGACAACUUCCAAGUUAAAAAAGGGGAUGUUGAGAAAAUUUUAGAUUGGGAAAAUACUUCUCCAAAGCAAGUUGAAAUUCCUUUCAAGCCAGCUCGUGUUCUCUUGCAGGUAGUCCUUGAUUCAAUCGAUCUACUUGUUGCACGAUAAUUUAAUUGUUCUUUACAAGAAUUUUCUUUUUCCAGGAUUUUACUGGCGUGCCUGCAGUCGUGGAUCUGGCAUGCAUGCGUGAUGCCAUGAACAGACUUGGCAGCGAUUCAAAUAAGAUUAACCCCUUGGUGCGUGUGAUCUCUCUCAUUUUCCUAUUAAGUUAUGUUUCCAGCAUCAACGGCACCGAGAAUUUAGCUGAAGGACAGUGUUGUUCUUUGUGCAGGUUCCUGUGGACCUCGUGAUUGAUCAUUCAGUCCAAGUUGAUGUUGCAAGGUCAGAAAACGCUGUUCAGGCAAACAUGGAGCUUGAAUUCCAGAGAAACAACGAGAGAUUUGCUUUCCUGAAAUGGGGGUCGACUGCUUUUCACAACAUGCUUGUUGUUCCUCCUGGCUCUGGUAUUGUGCAUCAGGUAUGUGAUUCGUACAGGAGGUCCUUCACGUGUUAUUUUGACAUUUCAAUCAUCCAGAAUUCACGGUGUUCUGUCCUUUACAGUCUUUCUUUAACUGGCAGUAUGUGAUUUGAAUGGGAGGUACUUCACAUGGACACUGACAGUUUCCGUUUUCUUAGAUCUGUUCACUCUGCAUUUCUGGUCAUUGUGCAUAUUAGCUUACCACGUGACUCUGAUAGGGCCUCUGACUAACUUAUGCCCUCCUAACUUUUGGAAACAGUUCCUUUAAAAUUUUGCUCUUAACAUUGUGGCCUCUAUUUUCAAUGUCUUAAUUCAUGUAGCAUGUUUAAAAUGAGAAAACGAAUUUAGGAUUGAAUGCGUAUGGUUUUAUGAUGCAAUGUACUUUUAUAAGUUUCUAUGUCAAUUGUUUAGAUCUUCAACUUUCCAUAAUUUAAGUUGUUACUUUGUUGCCUGCCACAACGUCUUAAGAAGUUCUAAUCGAUCUUUAAUGAGUUUAGUUUUCAAAGCCAUAAUAAAUGCUCCUUUUUAUUAUUAUUUUUAAUUUUUUUUUAAAUUACAUCUAUGGGUACUUCCUUGAUGUGAGAGAUCAGUAUAUCGUGCAUAAUCUGGAAAUGAUGCUGGCGGCUCUCAAAAGAUCGUAGGUUGAUGUCGUACUGCACAAUUGACCUUAGCAAUUGGAUUGUAUAUUUCUUUUGACAUCUGUUUGGAUUGAGGUGGACCCAUACUGAUUUGGUUGCUUGUAAGGAUGUCAUUGAAGUGUCUUGGAUUUAUCUCUUUUUUAACCCCAAUAUGACGGUAACUUGAAAUUUCAGGUCAACCUUGAAUAUCUUGGAAGGGUUGUUUUCAACACAGAUGGCAUGCUUUAUCCCGAUAGUGUUGUUGGAACUGAUUCCCAUACAACCAUGAUUGAUGGGUUAGGAGUUGCUGGUUGGGGAGUUGGAGGUAUCGAGGCUGAGGCAGCAAUGCUUGGCCAGGUAUGAUAUUGAUGGACCUAAGCAAUCCCAUUCUCUGCAAAUGCAUGAUUUCUGACCUUGGGAAUGUUUCAUUUAAAGUGAAAUCUAAACGACAGUGUGAUAUUGAGUCGUAGUGAUGGUUCACUCCUCUUGUGGCCUCCUAAUUGUGGUGAUGACCAUCAUGUGUGUGAAUGUGCCACUUAUUACUUUCCAGUGACUAUCAAGAGUUGAUCAUUGAUUUACACACCAUUUAGUUACCAUUUUCUCACGAGUUUCCCUCAAGUACUUAAAAGGAUGUUUUUCCUAGACUGUUGUGCAGACUUUGUGAAAUUUUUCCGGCAUUUUCUGUGUUUCCUGUUGUUCUUAGCUUUUGCAAAAUUCUAAAUUUCUAUCUAUGUCGAAUUCAAUGCAGUGUAUUGCUCUAGCCAUUAUAAUGUGUUUAUGGUUAUAGUUUCCCUAGUUCUUUUAUGUGUUGAGGACAUAAUCGUUUCUAAUACGUUUUGCGUAAUAUUUGUUACCUUUGCAGCCUAUGAGCAUGGUGUUGCCUGGCGUUGUUGGGUUCAAAUUAUCUGGGAAGUUGUGUGAUGGUGUCACAGCCACUGACUUGGUCCUAACUGUGACACAAAUGUUGAGGAAGCAUGGAGUUGUUGGCAAAUUUGUUGAAUUUUAUGGUAACUUGAUAGUUGCCAUAGCUUCAUCCUAGCUUGGUUUGUCUCCCCUUUAGUUGUAUACAUGGUCUUAGAUUGAAUGUGCUUUGCAGGGGAUGGUAUGGGAGAGCUAUCAUUAGCUGACAGGGCUACCAUUGCAAACAUGUCUCCUGAGUAUGGGGCAACCAUGGGAUUCUUCCCCGUUGACCAUGUAACUCUGCAGUAUCUGAAGUUGACCGGAAGAAGUGAUGAGACCGUGAGUCAUUGACUUCACUGACUGAAGCUUGUGUCCUGAAAGUAUCACCAGUGCUUAAUUAUUUCUUAUGGUCCCUGCAGGUGGCGAUGAUAGAGGCUUACCUACGUGCAAAUAAGUUGUUUAUUGAUUAUGAUGAGGUAAAUCUACGAACUUGCUUUUUACCAAAAAAAAGAAAAAAAUCUACGAACUUGCAUUCUCAGUGAGUGGAAGCUGUUAGAAGUAACUGCUUACUUCCUAUUAUCAAUUGCAGCCUCAACAAGAACGAGUUUACUCAUCUUACCUGGAGCUGAAUCUUGAGGAUGUUGAACCUUGUAUCUCAGGACCUAAGAGGUAUAAGUUUCCUGCCAAGGGUCUCCAUAUCUUGGUUCCACAAAUUCAUGCCAUUUGCAUGGUUUAAUGAUUUUAAUCGGUAAUCCACAUUUAGCUUCAGUGUGCAACAUCCUUAAUUUUCGUCACCUUUUCUUCCCAGACCUCAUGAUCGGGUUCCUUUGAAGGAAAUGAAGGCUGAUUGGCAUUCUUGUCUUGAUAACAAAGUCGGCUUCAAGGUUAGUUUUCUUUUGAACAGCUACCUUUGAUUUCAUAAUCACGCGAGGUCAUACUAGUUCUUUCUUCUAAUUUUGCCUUGACUGGAUCAUUGACAUGGAAAGCUGCCACAAUGGUACAAUACACAGGAAAAUAAAUUCUCUUGCUAUCAGACUAAGUGAGAGAUUUGCUUUGCAGUUCAUGUUGCAUUUUUUCUUUUUCUGAUGAAGUAGGAUCUACUAUCUUCAAUUGAGCGCAGUCAUUUUAAUCUUAUUCUGCAAUGUCCUGUGACAUCUUGAUUAAAAGCCCUUGUCAUUUCGUCCACAAUAAAUUUUGUAGAUAUAGGCAAUAGGCUCUUCUUCCUAAUUCACUUUUUUCUGGGAGGCAUUAUUUUCUCUAAUUACAGCCUGCCUAAGUUGUUAUCCUGCAGAAUCAAACUGAUGCAAAAUCUUUUUGGAAUUUCUUUAAAGCUGGGUGAAAAUACUUAGGAUAUGAUAUUAUGUUUAUUUAUUUGAAGCGUGGGUGGGAGUAGAUAGCCUAUAAUAUAAUGUUGGUUUGUUUUUGUUGUAAUACAGGGUUUUGCUGUACCCAAAGAAUCACAAGAUAAGGUGGCAAAAUUUUCAUUCCAUGGGCAGCCGGCUGAACUCAAGCAUGGGAGUGUUGUGAUUGCUGCCAUUACUAGCUGCACCAACACAUCGAAUCCCAGUGUCAUGCUCGGAGCUGCUCUAGUAGCGAAAAAGGCUUGUGAACUUGGAUUACAGGUUCGCUGUGAUUAUAAUCACUGUCCAUCUCUAUACCCUGUACUCUUUCCAGGAUCAAGCUUCUUUUUACUGUUACAUUGAUAAUUCUUGUUGGUGACCUGAAUUGUGACACCAGGUCAAGCCAUGGAUCAAAACAAGUCUUGCACCUGGCUCGGGUGUUGUCACUAAGUAUCUACUUCAGAGGUACAAUUUUGGGAUAAGUUAGCAUAGUGUAGUAGAAUAUCUUUAUGUUGGCAAUGAGGAGGCAACCUGAUAACUGUAUUUUUGAUGUUGAUGCAGUGGGCUGCAGAAGUACUUAAACCAGCAGGGAUUUAACAUUGUGGGAUACGGAUGCACUACUUGUAUUGGAAAUUCUGGGGACUUGGAUGAAUCAGUUGGCUCUGCCAUCUCAGAAAAUGGUACUGUUAAAUAUUGUCUAGCAUGGAGACAUACUGCUGUGUGUGCUUCCUUUGUUUAAGCAUUUGCAUAAGCAAUUGCUUCUGGACAUCAUUGAUCAGAUUAUCUAAAACGGCUUAUUUACCUGUCACGCAGAUAUUAUUGCUGCUGCCGUACUCUCGGGUAAUCGAAACUUUGAAGGGCGUGUUCACCCACUGACUAGGGCUAAUUAUCUAGCUUCACCUCCUUUAGUAGUUGCCUAUGCUCUCGCUGGCACGGUAUGUAAUGAUAAUUGAUGGCAAUGUGGAAUUUAUUAAUUUCAAGUAUAUAAUGAAUAAUAACUUGUUAGGGUUUUUGAGUUUAUGACAUUCUCUGUUUUAAUUCGAGAAGGUAAAUAUACCCAAUCUAGUAUUUUGCAAAAAGUUUACAAAUAAAAUAGGUAAAACUGUUUUCAGGAUCGAAGUUAUAAAUCAAAGUUUUUUUUUUUUUUUUUUUUUGUAAAAAUUUAUUAUCUCAAAUAAAAACAAGGGAAAAUCCUCUUUUAUGUGAUUUUUCAGUGUGGAGAUCUCUUGCUGGUUUCGGAAAUGUUAACACUUGUGCAAAUUCUUUUUUUCAUUAUCAUAAUUUUUAGUGUGGAUACUACCAGGCACCUUGAUUUUCUUCUAAGGUGAUUAUAGGCCAUUAUUAGUCCGAAUUCUGAUCCUAGUUAUGAUUCUUUGACUGAUCAUUGACGUGAUCCUCUUAGGGAUAUUUGUACACUGCCAACAUUUGAUUUUAUAUCUUGAUGCCAGGUUGAUAUUGACUUCGACAAAGAGCCAAUUGGAAUGGGGAAGGAUGGUAAGAGUGUUUACUUCAAAGAUAUCUGGCCAUCGACAGAGGAAAUUGCACAGGUAGACAAUGUGUUAUAAUUUUGAUUUAGCAAGUAAUGUUGGGGUUUGGUUGAGUCUAACUAUGGUGUCCCUUGUUAUCAGGUUGUCCAAUCAAGUGUUUUGCCGGAAAUGUUCAAAAGCACUUAUGAAGCUAUCACAAAGGGCAAUCCCAUGUGGAACCAGCUCUCUGUUCCUGCUACGACCAUGUACAAAUGGGACGCCAACUCUACCUACAUUCAUGAGCCUCCAUACUUUAAGGACAUGACCAUGGAUCCUCCUGGAGCCCAUGGAGUGAAAGAUGCAUAUUGCUUGCUGAACUUUGGUGACAGUAUUACGACUGACCAUAUUUCCCCAGCAGGAAGCAUCCACAAGGACAGUCCCGCAGCUAAAUAUCUACUUGAGCGUGGGGUGGAUCGCAAAGACUUCAACUCAUAUGGAAGUCGACGUGGGAACGACGAAGUGAUGGCAAGGGGAACUUUUGCCAAUAUUCGUAUUGUUAAUAAGCUUUUAAAUGGCGAAGUGGGUCCCAAGACAGUUCAUAUCCCUACAGGAGAGAAGCUUUAUGUGUUUGACGCAGCAAUGGUAAGUUUCUGGGAGUUCUCUGUGCUUUCUAAUCUCUUAUUUCCUUAAUUUGCUUGUGCUUAUUUAAGACUAUUUUAAAAUAUGAUCGACUAUUUGCUUGUAGGUGUUGCUAUUUAAAUGAAGGGAAAAUACCAAACGCACAUUUCAUUUUUGAUCAUUUACAUACCUUAAGCAAAACCCUACAAUAGAAAGACCAAAUUGCUUCUGGCAAACUCAUUGUAGGAUCUGGGUGGUUUAGUUUUCAGUUGGUUUGAGUAUUUAAGGUGGCUGUCAGAAUUUAGGAAUUGGGGAUGAGCAUUUUUGGAAAGAAAUCGGUGUGUCUAAAAAAGGGGCAGAAAUAAUUGAUUGAUGGGAAGAUGCGAAAUGGUCUCCAAAGGUAAAACUCAGUGAAAUAUGUGUUGGGUAUUUUGAAAAAUAGAGAUAUGGAAAUGGUCAUUGGGUGAAAAGAAGAAAUGUUUUUGAUAUUUUCCUUAAAAUGAAAUGUCAAUGCUUGUGUGUGUCAUCCCCAAAAGGAUAAAUAUUUUCGCGUCAUAUCACAGUCAUCAGAUAUUUUGCGACAUCUGUAAUGAAAAGAAGAUGCUUUGCUGCUGUGAUUUUGAUAAUUGCUGGUAAAAUAAGUUCUUUAAGUGGAAAGUGUGAAAAAAGUGAACAUAUAUAUCUCGGAAUUGUUUGAAAUACUUUUGGGCGAUUCUGUUCUCAGAAUGAUGGGAAUCUCUUAACCUGUCUUAUCUGGUGUAAUUUUAGAAAUACAAAUCUGCUGGACACGAUACCAUUGUUCUGGCUGGAGCAGAGUAUGGUAGCGGGAGCUCCCGAGAUUGGGCAGCCAAAGGGCCCAUGCUACUGGUGAGGUCACUUGCAGUGUAACAAGCCUAUUUCAUUUUCCACUGGCACUGUCUUAUCCUCGAGACUUAUUUUAAUAUGCAACAGGGAGUCAAAGCAGUGAUUGCAAAAAGUUUCGAGAGAAUUCACCGGAGUAAUUUGGUGGGUAUGGGUAUCAUUCCACUCUGCUUCAAGGCUGGUGAGGACACGGACACAUUAGGAUUGACUGGUCACGAGCGUUACAGUAUUGACCUCCCGAGCAAUAUUAGUGAGAUUAGGCCUGGCCAAGACGUGACUGUCACAACCGACACAGGCAAAUCUUUCACCUGCACUGCCCGCUUCGAUACUGAGGUAUUUCCUGCAUCAUCUCCUUAAUAUGUUCUGGUCAUUCCUGAGAGGUAGUAUUUUGGCCACAAAUUAGAAAAAAAAUAUGCAGAGGUAGUGUUUUAACUAUAUUCUGUACGGAGCUAUAUAGCCUCUCUAGGUACGUACCAAGUGAAUUCGAAAUAGAGAAUUUCGGAAACUACUACUGUGUGGUUAAAGCUUCAAAAUUUGAUCAUGUUUCAGGUGGAGCUGGCGUAUUUCAACCAUGGAGGAAUUCUUCCGUACGUCAUUAGGAAUCUUAUUAACCAAUAAGUCAGAAAUGUCGGCAGGCGGCUUUCUCCAGCAUGGGAGCUGUUUCACUUUGUAAAAUUUGAGAAGAAAAUAAUGUCUCGAUUACAAAGAAAAAUCCCUGUCAUGGGACAAUUUUUUGAGAACUUCCGCUUAUGCAGGCUUUAUUUGAUAUGCGUUUGGAGUAAGAAUUGCGUUUCCCUUUUCUACUUGUGUUAAUGGUCUGCCCAUGUUCUUAAAUGGUGGAGCCCUUGUUGGUUUUCCAUUAUUGAAAGCCACAUCAAUUUGAAUGUAAGUUAUAGAUUUGCAAUUAUAGCUGCGGUCUCUGUAUUUGUAGUGCAAAUCAGCAAUAACAGGUACUUUUAGCAAUAAAAUAGGCUUUUCGGCAAGUGACGUGACUCAUGAGAGCAAGCAGAAUCGAAAAGCUUAGCUGAUUAGUUCAGUUUUGCCGUCUAGUUCUUGCGAAUGGAAAAAGUUUGCCUGCAUAUAUUCUUCCAUGUAAAAGCGCGGGAAAAUUCAACUCAAUUUUGAGAAUCUGGAUUGGCGAGAACAGGUAAAUUUUAUAGUGCCAUCCAACACGAGAGAACUUAGUGGGGAUAAGAACGGUAGGAAUGUCAAAAUUUUUUGUACUUGAAUGUAAAGGCUUUCUUUUCUCUCACUUAAGUGUCACAUUAGAGUAAAAUCGAUCAUUUGAGUGUCAGUUCUGCAAAAUCAUUGUAUGUGAAAUUUUUUAGAUUUUCUUUUUUGGAAGGCUAGCAAGAGUUAUUGGUGACCCUCAUUGGCCAUGCAUCCCUCACCUAGUCCACCUUACCCUCUGUCAUGAAGGCCCUAGGUGAGGCUAUUGGGGCCUUGCUGACUGUUGGUGAGAUUGUGAGGACCCUUGUUGGCUCUAGGCGGUUGCGGGCGAGGGCCCUCAUAGCCUCGUCCAUUGCUAGCAAGGACCUAAGGCCGAGGAGGUGAGGGCCUUUGCCAACAGCCUCACCGAAGACCUUCGUAGUUGAGGUUGAGGUGGCCUUCAUCCAAAUUUGGCAAGGAUUUUGCAGCCGGUGAGGGUUGUCGGUCACCCUCGCCACGACCCUCAAUGGCAUUAAAGAAAAAGGAAAAAAAAUUACUAAAAUCAUAUAAAAAAAUUAUCCACGUUAGUGCCAGCAAAACCACAUGAGAUGAUUGACAUUUACGUUAGAUUUUUCUGGCAAGGUAAAUCAUAAUUGAUACUUAAGUGGUCGAUCUUUCAAAUAUAUGGCAUUCAACUAAGCUAAAAAAAAAAGAAAAGUUUUGGCACUUAAGUCGGUGCCGUACAAAAGUUUUGGUGCUUCUAGUAUUUCUUAUCCCAAAAUUAGUAUGAAGCACAACCAAGUAUAACUCCAGGAUAAUUGAUUUUAGAAGUGUAAGGAACCACCAAUUGAAAUAAAACAAAUAAUACUAAAUUAACACAAUUGUCUAAAUUGGUACAAAUUUCAAUAAAUUCAAGGAUGUGUUUUUUUGGGGGAAAGUGUUUUUCAGGAAAUGAUUUUUCGAACUUUUAGAGCCUAUUUGAUAAUCAUUAUGUUUUCUUGAAUAAUUUUUGCUUAGAAAUAGAUUUUUUUGAUAUUGUUCUCGAGACAAGUUUCUGAGUAUAGUAAUUGUAUAAAAUUUAUAUUCCUGAAAUAGGGAUGCAUUUGGUAAGAUUUCAAUUUUUUUUUUCUGUAACUUAUAAUUUCUUUAAAAUUUUAAAUAAUUUUAUUACAUUUUUUCCCUUCUUCCUCUAGCCGAUUGCUAGCCUCGGGGUAGUUUCAUUGGCCCUCGGCAAGGUUGCCAGCUCUUGUUUGGUUGGUAAUCGGCUAUAGUCAAGGCCAUUGAUUGGCUAGAGGAAGAAGACUAAGAAGAAACAAGGAAAAAAAGAAAAGAAAAAAAAAAGGAAAGAAAAUUACUUGAUUCUCGAUGUGUUCCAAAAAUAAAGAAGUAUUUUUUUUUCAAGAAUAAAUCUAUCUCCGGGAAUAGAAAAAUUAGUUGACAUUAUCAAAUGGAUUUCUGUUUUUUUUUGUUCUUUUUGUUUUGAGGAACAAAAUAAUAAAAAUAUUCAUUGUUUACCAAAUAGGGCAUUACUCGUUUGGUUUGCAAAGAAUAAGUAUUCAAGUGAAAACACUUUUUAGUAAACGAAAACAUUCAUACAUAAAUUUAUGAAAGAGAAUCCUUAAAUCUAACGAAAUGAAACAUCGGAAUUGCCCAUCUCGAAUAUUUUAAUAUUGUUUAAUUUAUUUUACUUUAUAACUUAUUUGAAUAUUUACUAUUUAUUUUUUAAUUUUUUUUUCAAUUUUCUUCUUCUUUAGCUAGUUGUUGGUGAUUGCCAAUCGGCACAAGUGAGCUUGAGCCUCACUAGCUAGCGCCUGUUGCUGGUAAUUGGUUAUCGCUGUGGCCCAUCAACUAAUGGAGAGAAAGAAAAAAGAAAAAAGAAAGAGAAAAAAAAGAAAAGACUAAAGAAAAGAAAAGAAAAGAAAAAAUAUUUAAACGUUUGACUUUGCUUUUGCUAUGAGAUAAAGUCACGGGAUUAAAAUCACUUUUCGAAAGAGAUGCAAACAUCAAAAAAUGUUUUUGCUCAUAUAUCACCAAAUAAAAGAAGGGCACAAAAAUGAUUACCUAAUAGAUUUAAUCUAUUGUAAAAUAACAUUUUAUUUUGGAUUACAAAAAAUCAAUUAAUAAAUAAUUAUAAAUUGUUGUAAGGUUUACUUUUGAAAAUUUAUAGCUCAUAAUAAGCUGUUAUUCUCGUAGUAGUCAAAAGACUCUUAUGCUAGUAAAGCCUUAAAGGAAAAUUAUCCAUUUUCUUGAAAAAUGAUUUUUCAAAAAGUAUUUUCUUUUAUCAUGUAAUUUUCCCUAAACAAACGCAUUUUUGGGUACUUUUCAUCAAUUGGAUUAUGAGGAAAUAACAUGAAUGAUCGUUCUAAGUUGAGUAAUCCUUUGGUAUGAAUCAGCUCUAUUGCAUCAAACCAAUGUAAUCUUAUCUCAUGCCCAAGAGAAUUUAUUCACCUUACAAGUUUCGACAUGCUAUCUGAAAUCAGGGUGGAUUUGAUCGACAUUCGACAGGCAGUCGCUUUGGGGGGAAAGACCGUUCCUGCCUGGUCGUAGCAGCAACGUUGUUACAAAACGACACCAUGUGCAUGGCCAAGCCACAGGGCAUCCUCGAAUUCGUAUAACAGACCAGUGACAUCUUGGAGGUUCUUUCAACUUUUGACAGCCGUACCAUGUACGCUAGCCAAUACAGCUAUAGAGGGGGCAGAAAAUGCGCAAUGCCCUUCUAGUCUCUACUUCUAGCGAUUGAACUACCGUAGACUACAAUUGCUUUUAUGUUUACAUGGACUAAUUCAAUACAGAGCCUAACAAGUCAAAUUCAUAUUGCUUUACAGCCGAUGCUGCAGAAGUCAUGAACAGCAUGGAAAACAAGAGGAGCGCAUCAGCACAGACCAGGGUUAAAUCAAUCGACUCAUCAUUGAUUAGCCUCAGCGGUUGUACAAAGCGCCAACUCACAAACUAAUCCAAGUAUUUCCAUGGUUCUGUUUCUGUCAAGUCCUAGACUAAGAACUAAGGAGACGACAUAGCCUAGACCCGGCUUAGAUCACAGAGACACAUCAGCAAGACGACUAUGGCUUGCGAGAUAAACACUGACGAGCUAAAACUUUAACGACCCUCCAGAAUGCUCUCCAAAUGCAGCCUCCGGUUGUUGCCAUCGAACCCUCUGUCACCUAUUCUCACUUCCGAUAUGCUUCUGUUUCUCAGCUUCGACGCACUCAGCAGUUGCUCCACAGAUGAAAACUUGCGAUCUUGUGUGUGCUUGAGUAUUUGCUUCAGCUCCUCCUUUGUGACCAAUACCCUCACUCUCAGGACCCCACUUUUGCUGGAUUCACCGAUAUGGGGUCGGUUGUCUCUGACGACUUCAUCGACGUUAUCCUUCAAUUUGAAGCUCACGCUCUUCUUCAUCUUCUCGUUCUUGUUCUUGCCUCCAUGCACACGUAUUGCUGGCUCCAACUUGGAUUGCGAAAUCUCAUCCUCAUGAUCUCGAGCAAUGACUUUGUUACUCACCAAGCAAUUUCCCAUUUUGCUUUCUUCUCCCUUUUUCUUUCUCAAGAGCUAAAUGUGUGAAAGAAUCAAGAAUGCUAUUCGGACGCAGGGAAUAUAGGAGAGGCUGAAGGGCAAGAGCACAUGAGCAGUCCCCUUUUUGCGCCGGUUCUUUGGAUGAAAGGCAAGUGGACAGAUUCCUUUGCUUGUUCCAACCACCUACCCACGUACUCCGAAUUUGACGUCCCAUUUGUUAUUGUCUGUCUGAUUGUUUUUGGCUUUUUUUUUUAUCCUUCCGUGUACUUUAAGUCAGCAUGGCCGUCUCCUACCUUUAUAUAUCUAUAUAAUAUCUGAGACCCGUUUGGACGUCCGACUAAUUCUUAUCGGGCGUGGCUGUUCCCUCGUUCUACUUAACUAUAGAUAAAUUGAUCUGUAUUUCUAAUAAUAAUCUCCCAAAAAAUGCGUAAAUCUGAUGAUUCAAAUCUACAUAUCUAAUGAGAAAGACGAUCACGCUUAACACUUGAGCAACCAUCAGGUUCCGCAGCUUUUAUAUCAUUUUACUUGUUCUUGGUCAACUGUAUAGAGUAGAGUAUGCGCAAGUAGUUGCUGCAAGAUUCAUAAUAUUUUAUUUACUUUACCAGGAUGGGGCGGCAGAUACUCUUUCUAAGUCGGCCCAAAUUUCAGUUUAACGUUUUGCAUAAUGACAAACGAGGAUCUCGCGUAUUAUGAGUGUAUCCAGUUCGAUGUAAUUGGUGCAGACCUCUACUAUUAUUUUUACGUAAAAUACACGUAAAUACGAGAUUGUCAAUAAAAUUUUCAUCUUCCGAACAUUUACUGCACUUACACAAAUGGAGUAAAACUCAUUAUACACGUAGGGAAUAGAGAUCUACAGAUAGGCGAGCAAAGCAUCAAGCUUCUUCUAUCUUUAAGAAGAGAUCCUGGCUCAACAUCUCCGCCACGAUGGUCAAGUUCAUCUCGUUCGGCGGUUAAGAAAAUCCACGAAGGCUUUAGGGAUGUAAAAUGUCUAUUAUUAUAUGUACUGAAAAAACAAUUGUAUCAUGUCAUGUUCACUAUAUAAAUAUAGAUUUCUUUUGAUUUAUCAUUAAAUAGCACAAAUAAAUAAUGAUUUCCAAUUAUUUAACGUGAUACUUUAUGAGAAACUGCAAAACAUAGGUAUAUAUUUAUAUGCAAAUUUCAAGUAAUUAAUGUAAACCAAUGAUUAUAACAUUUUUAUACUUUCUUAUAAUAGGGUCGAAUAUUUUCCACAUAAUUUUAAGAAAAAAUGACGAGAGAUACCCUUUCAUGUCGCGUAUCGUCAAACUUUGUUGUUGUACAUUUCUAAUAGAGGUAGUAAUAAAGGUGUAAGCUAACUCAACUUAGAAGUCUCAGGCAAUUCCUGCAAUUUUAUUUGGAGAGACAUUUCGGAUUCGAAUAAUAAUUAAGAAUCUUAGUUCCAUAGAAAAGGUGAUGAAGUAUAUUUAUGAAGAUUAGAGAUUUUCUUGUUAGAGAAUAUUUUUAUAAAUAUUAUUAUAUAUUAGGGAUAUUAUUUAAUAUUUCGUGAUUAUCUAAGAUAACUAAUUUCGUUUCCUAUGCAUAUUGUUCGGGUAUAAAUACCCUCCUCUAAUAAUUUGUAAAGACAAGUGAUGAGUAAAAAUGUAGUCUUUAUUGAUUAUCUCUCCCUCUCUUGAAGAUCCUAGAAUAUUUGCAUGGUAUUAGAGCCAUCAAGAGGGAAGGAAUUAAAUCAAACCUUACCUUUUUCUUCCUUUAUGCUGUCUUUAGUUGUCUCAUCUUCACUAACUUCUUGAUUUUGUCGACACUCAACAACGCUACUAUGGACAUUAUUCGUUGUGGUACUCUCUUCUAAUUGCGAGCAAUAUCGACGAGUGAAGUCUUCAUCAAAUAUUCAAGUAGCUGUGAGCAUCAGAGUCAAGUACACUUUAUUGGGCAGCCAAACAUGAGCGCCAUGAGUUGAUGUCAUCAAAUAUCUAGGUUGCUAUGAGUGCCGGAGUCAAGCACACAUUGUCAAAGUAGCCAAAGAUCAUUGUGGGGUGAUGCGGUUUGGUUUGCCACAAUUCAUGAUUCUAUCAACGUUGUAUGAGAAAGAUAUAACAACCUAGGCCUUAUUGUGUAAUAUUGUCCGCUUUGAACACUGAGUCUUCACGGCUUUAAAAUACGUCACACAGAUUAGAGGGACUUAAGCCUUAUAAACUAGCCCCAAGACUUCCCCCUAAGCGAUGUGGGACAGGAGAUGUGCCCUUGCGCUUGGGCCGUCACACUCUCCCCCCUUGGGAGAACAACGUCCUUGUUGUGGAGCCACAUGCGGUUGGGAGUCGGCUCUAAUACCAUUUGUAACGACCCGGGCCCUAUUGUGUAAUAUUGUCCGCUUUGGACACUGAGUCCUCACGGCUUUAAAAUGCGACACACAGAUUAGAGGGACCUAAGCCUUAUAAACUAGCCCUAGGAUUCCCUCCUAAGUGAUGUGAGAUAGGAGACGCACCCUCAUGCUUGGGCCGUCACAAAAGAUAUGUCAAUUUUCUAGGGAAAAUUACCAAAAAAGUUAUAAACCUAUUGCAAUUGUGUCAAUUCAGUCCUGAACCAAUUUUUUUUUUGACUAAUAGAGUCCUAAACCUUUUACAAUUAUUCCCAAUCAAUUCAUCUGGCCAAAAUUGGCCGGCUGGUGCCGGCAAGCUUUUUUUAAUAAUAUUUUAUUUUUGAAAUAUUUUAUUAAUUUUUUAUCCAUUUUCCCUUUUUUUUUUUUUCCCUUCUCCCUCUCCCUCCUCCCUCCUUCUUCCUUUGGCUCCGGAGACUAGGCUAGCUCGCCUUGGUGUCGCUGGGGGAGCCCUCACCAGAUCCAGCGAGUCGAGCCCUGUCGGAUCUGGCGAGGGGAGCCUUGCUGGUUGGUGAGCUUACGCCUAGCAACGGCGGGGCGAAACCCUGCCGGAUCUGGCAAGGCGAUCUGGUGGCGCAAGCCCUCGCUGGAUCUGGUGAGGGCUUGCCUUGCGGUCACCGUGCAAGGCGAGCCCUCGCCAAAUUUGGCGAGCGCCCCUUUGUUGGAUCUAGUGAGGGCUCGCCUUGCGGUUGUGAGGCGAAACUUUGCUGGAUCUGGUGAGGCAAUUCAGCGGGGCGAGGCGAGCCCUCACCAAAUCUAGUGAGGAGGGCCUCACCACCUCGUUUGGCGGCUGCAAGGCGAGCCCUUGCCAGAUUCGGUGGGGGCUCGCCUUGCCAUCGCUGGGUGUGAGCUUGCUGACUGGCGAGGCGAGCUUGCUAAAUGAAGGAAGAGGGAGGAGGGAGGAGGGAGGAAGAGGGAGAAGGAAAAAAGAAGAAGAGGAAAAAUGAAAAAAAAAAAGAUAAAAAAUUAAUAAAAUAUUUCAAAAAAGAAAAUAUUAUUAAAAAAAGCUUGCUGACGUUGGUUGGCUGCCAUGUCGGUAUCGGCCACCCAAUUUUGGCCGGAUGGACUGAUCGGAAAUAAUUAUAAAAGGUUUAGGACUCAAUUAAUAAAAAAAAUAAGUUUAGGGCUGAAUUGACACAAUUGCAAUAGGUUUAAGACUUUUUUGGUAAUUUUCCCCAAUUUUCUAAGCAUGUGUUGCUUUAACGCUUGUCAAAUCCGGUUUUUUUAGUGUAAGGUCUGACUUACAUGGUGCUUGAUCACAGACUUUUGAAGAAAUUUGCACCAUACUACAAGUUGGAUGCUCUAGUUUAAGGCGGAGUGAUGAAGUAUAUUAUGGAGAUAAGAGAUUUUCUUGUUAGAGAUAUCAUCAUAUAUUAGGAUAUUAGUUAAUAUUUCGUGAUUCUCUAAGAUAGCUAAUUUCUAAUCCUAUGCAUAUCAUUCGAGUAUAAAUACCCUCCUCUAAUAACUUGUAAAGACAAACGAUGAAUAAAGAUAUGGACUUUACCGAUCUUUCCUCCUUCUCUCUUGAAGAUCUAAGAAUCCUUGGCAUUUACACCCAAACAAUAUGUAUAGGAAAAGAAAUUAGCUAUCUUAGAGAAUUACAAAAUAUUAAAUAAUAUCCUAUUCUCUAAUAAGGAAAUAUCUAGUUAUCAUAAAUAUACUUCAUCACUCCCCCUCAAGUUGGAGCAUCCGGUUUGCAUAUAAUUGGUGCAACUUUCUUCGAAAGUCUGUGAUCAAGCAUCGUGUAAGCCGGACCUUACAUUAAACAAAUUGGAUUUGACAAGCGCUGAAGUAACACAUGCUUAGAAAGUUGACAUAUCUUUGUCAUACAACCUUUAUAGAAUUGUGUGAAAACCCAUCUUGAAUUGCAACAAGCUAAACCGCAUCACUCCACAGUGCUUAUUUUUGGCUACUUGAUGAAGUGUGCUUAACUCCAACGCUCACAACUAAUUGGAUACUUGAUGACAUCACCCCAUGGUGCUCAUGUUUGGCUGCCCAAUGGAGGUAUGCUUGACUCUGGUGCUCAUAGCUAACUGGAUAUUUGACUGCAACUUCGCUCGUUGAUGUUGCUCGCAAUUAGAAGAGAGUACCACAAUGAAUAACAUCAAUAGUAGUAUUGUUGAGUGUCAACAAAAUUGGGAAGUUACUGAAAAUGAGACCACUAAAGAUAGAUAAAGGAAAAAAAAAAAAACAGCUAAUAUUUGUUUAAAUUCCAGCUCUCUUGGUAGCUUUGACAUCAUGUAAAUAUUCUAGGAUUUUCAAGAGAGAGGGAGAGACAAUUAGUAAAGACUACAUCUUUACUUAAUUGGCUUAACUUUACAAGUUAUUAGAGAAGGGCAUUUAUACUCAAAUAAUAUGCAUAAGAAAGGAAAUUAGCAAUCUUAGACCAUCACGAAAUGUUAAAUAAUAUCCCUAAUAUCUAAUAAUAUCUCUAACGAUAUUCUCUAACAAGAAAAGCUCUAAUUUGCAUAAAUAUACUUCAUCGAAAGGUUUGAAUAAUGAGAUGCAUGUGGUUUUACUUUCAGUAAUUCCAUCCAGUCAAUUGAUAGAUGAAUUUUCCCAUCUUAUAAGAUCGCAUGUGAGACAUUCACAUUAGGCCGACCUUGGCCCUCCCAUUGCUCUUCAUGAGCAGGGUCCGACUUAUGAUGUUCGACUCAAGAAGCACCAUGUCUUCGGCUACCUCGGUUGGAUGGACCUGGGGAAAAAAAAAAGAAGAAUUUCUAAAUGACCCGAGUUGAGGCCGAGGCUGUAAGGCUCGCGGUUUCGGAAGUGGAGGCCGGUUUCGAAUGUGGAGGCGUGGAAGCAUGGGCCAUGGUUGGCGGGUCACGAGAGAGGACGGAUCUUGAGAGGGAGCUAGAAAAGUGGGGCAUUUGAGAUGGCCGAUGUAAGGGUUGAAGAAGAGGAAGUGUAGAGUAAAGAGGCCAUUUGGAAGUGUAAUCACCAUUGUCAGAGAGAGAUGAUUUGCUUUGCCUAAAGGGGCAGGCUAAGGAAACAAAGAAAAAGAGACGAAGUGAAGAGGGGUAGAGAGAGUGUGUGUCAGUAAGGAAGCCUGCUUUAAAGAGAGAGGAGAGAAAUUUUAUAAAGAGAAAAUGACAUAAAUGAUUUCAGAAUUCUGGUUUAAAUUGCAAUGUGGUCCUUAAACUUUUAAUUUGUCCAAUGUGGUCCUUGAACUUUAGUUCAUUAUACAAUGUCAUUCAUGAACUUUAGAUAUAUCAAAUUUAGUCCAUAAACUAUAUAAAAAUAUUCAAUAUUGUCCAUGAAUUUGAAUGAAUGGAAAAACAAUAUUAAACACUUCAUAUAGCUUGAGAACUAAAUUGAACACGUAUAUAAAAUUUAAGGACUACAUUGAACAAAUUAAAAGUGCAAGAACCACAUUGGACAUUGGGAUAAAUUUUAAAAACUGCAUUGAACAAAUUUAAAUUUUAUGGAUUAUAUUACACAUUGGGUCAAAAUUAAUGAAUCAUUUACUUCAUUAUCUUUUUGAAAACUUUGACAAGUGGAACCUCUAAACAUGUGUCGAUUAGUGAGUGGAGUGGUCUAUGACUAACGUGGAAACCAUGACUAUUCAAUAUUUUCUCACUUUCAUGAAGUAAUUUAUGGAGUGAUACGACAUCUUUUCGGUUGUCCUCAAUUUGAGAGGCGUAUGGUACACUUUGUCAACAGCAACUAUAGAUAAAGCUAAAAGAAGCUCCUGGUUGGGGGCGGGACCUUUUGGGUUGGAAGCCAAACUUUGUGUUCUUUUAUGAGAUGUUUGAAAGUUUGGAAAGAAUAUGAUUUUAUCAUUAGUAGAUGUAAUUUCACUAAAUUGACAAUAACAAUAGUUGUAGAUCUAUCCCAUUUAAAUUGUGACUUAGAUAUAGGACCCCUUGUUCAAUGAAUUAAUAAUGAAGGGAGAGAUAGCAAGGAGAGAGAGUAGAGAGGAAAUUAUGAAAACUCUAAUGAGUAGAACUCAUUUCUGACAAGUGAUAAUCAAUAAGUGGAGUUGGUGCGAAAAGCCACAACUAUCUAAUAGUUUCUCACUUUUAUUAAAUAAUUUAUUGAGUGAUACAACAUCGUUUCGUUUAUCCUCAAUGCCUAUCACCUAAAUUCAAGAGGUGUAAACACAUGUAAGCCGACAUGCAAAUCUCUAACAACUCCUAUGGAUGGAUGCUAGAAGGGCAGACUUUUUUGGGUCAAAAGCCAAACAUUUUAUUUUUUUGUGAGAUGUUUGAAAGUUUGGAUAGAAUCCGACUUUAUCAUUAGUAGAUAUAAUUUAACUAAAUUGACAAUAACAAUGGUUGUAGAUCUAUCCCCUCAAAAUAGUGACUUAGGUAUAGGACCUUUCGUUCAACGAAUUAAUAAUGGAGGGAGAGAUAGUAAAGAGAGAGAAGAGAUGAAAUUUUGAAAACUCUAAUGAGUAGGACACAUUUUGGACACGUUAUAAUAAGCGGGUGGAGCUAGUGUGGAAAGCCACAACUAUCAAUAGUUUCUCACUUUUAUUAAAUAAUUUAUUGAGUGACACAACAUGUCACCUGAAUCCGAGAGGUGCAAACACUUUUCGAUUGACAUGUUGAAUCUUUAACAGCUAAUAUGUAUGGAUGCUAGAAGGGGGGACUUUUUUGAUUUGAAAGCCAAAUUUUGUGUUCUUUUGUGAGACAUUUGAAAGUUCUCAAAUAGGAUCUGACUUUGUCAUUAGUAAAUGUAAUUUCACUAGUUUAGCAAUAACUACACUACUAAAUUCGUGCUAUUAAGAUGGUGACUUUUGUAUAGGACCCCUUCCUUAAGCUUCAAUUGGAGCUCAUCCAUGGACAACGACUAUACAUUUUGAUCAUGUUUCUCAGUAAAUGUAAUUUCACCAAAUUAACAAUAACUACGCUCCUAAAUUCAUGCUAUUAAGAUGGUGACUUUUGUAUAGGAUCCCUUCCUUAAGCUUCAAUUGGAGCUCAUCCACGGAUAACGACUAUGCAUUUUGAUCAUGAUUUCUCCGUCUCUAUCUGUGGGUGCUGUACGACACCACGUCCGAUGAAGAGGGAGUCUGGUGGAGUCCUAGUUUGAAUGGGAGACAUAUCCUAUUAUUCAGAGCCACCCUAACCAAACAUGAUUUUGUACUAGCGACGUCCCAUUUGAUUUGGAGCGGCUGGAUUUUUGGGGCAUUAGUUUUCGCUUCUUCAGGGGGAUUUUGUGACAUUUGCAAUUGACAGCAAUUGACCUUCAGCUUCGAGAGCGGAGACAUGAAAGCACGAGAUCGUAUUUAUUCCUGACCUGAUGUCGCAAAAAUGUUCCCUUACCUGAUGUCGCAAAAACGUUCUAUUACGUUUUUCUUAUUGUUUCUUCUUGAAAUUUGGCUAGUCCUCACUCAUUUUCCUUCAUAUUUUUGCUUUAUUUUUUUGUUUAUAUUUAACGGUCUCCGGGAGAAUGUAUUUUAAUUUGACAUACUGAUUUUUAUGAAAAGGAAAAUAAAAAGUUAAAGGUUUUUCAUUAUAUUUGGCCUUCAAAUUAUUUCUACUUUAUCUACCAUUGCUAAUACUUUUAUUAGUUUAUCUUAAAGGAGACAACAUUUUUUAAUGACUUUUUUUUUAGAAAAAAUUAAAGUCGGAAGAUGCGUAGCUGGGGAUAAUCGGUAUAGGACCCUUUCGUUAAGCUUCAAUAAGAGCUUCUCCAUGGACAACGACUUUGCGUUUUAAUUAUGAUUUGUCAGUAUCAACAAACAACAACCAUCAAAAGUUACAUGUGAAUAGCAGUUUUUAUCUGUGGGCGUUGUACGACACUACGUACAAUGGAAAGGUGGUUUGGUGGAGUCUUUGUUUGAGUGGGAGACAUGUCGUAUUAGUCAAAGCCACUAUAACCAAACUUAAAUCGAUUUUGUACUAGCGACGUCCUAUUGAUUAGGAGCGGCUGUAUUUUAGGGCAUUGGUUUUCGCUUCUUCAGGGGGAUUUUGUGACAUUUGCAAUCGACAGCAAACAACCUUUGGCUUCGGUAACGGAGAUCUGAAAGCAGGGGAUUGCAUUUAUUCCUAAUUUGACGUUGCAAAGACAUUAUAUGACGUGUUUCGAGGUGUGAACAUCAAAAGUAUAAAAACAUGCUAUAGAGAGACACUUAAGUACCAAAAGUUUCAAAUUUAAGUACCAAAAGUAGAAAAAAAAUCUAAUACUUAAGUGCCAAUGGCAAGAAAUUUCGGCCAAAUUGUUGACAUGACAUUUUUCUAGUGAGAUAAGUGGAAAAUAAUGUUGUUUUUAGCAUUGGCGUGGCUAGAUAAGUGCAAAACAAUGUUUUUUUUUUAGCGCUAACAUGGCUAGAUAAAUCUAAAACAAUGUUAUUUUGAUGUUGAUGUUGCCUCAAAAUUGAAUUUUAAUAUAAAUAUUAAUGAAGAUAAAUUAAAAAAAAAUAAAAAAAGAAGAGGAAAAGGGAACACGUUUGGCAAGGGUUGAGGCCCUUGCCACCGCCACCCCACCAUCAUCGGAAAGGGCCGAUGAUAGUGGGGUGAGGGUCGGCUAGGGUCGUUGGCCACUGGGUAAUGGCCGGCGACCUUGUCCCACUGUUGGUGAGGGCCUAUAGGCCCUCGCCUAGAUCUGGGGUGGAAUGGUCAUUAAGUCGCCCUAGCUAAUGAUAGCCCUUGGCCUUAUUGGGCGAGGUGACCCUCACUGGAUCUUGGGGUUGUGAGCCCUUGCCAGUCACUGGCAAGGGCCACGGCCCCUCGCCUAGGUAGCAAGGCUUCUCCAGCCACAAUGAAAAAAAAUAAAAAAGAUGAGUAAAAAUAGUAAAAAUUUAGAAAAAAUAUUAAAAAAUUGUCUAUGUCAACUUCGAUUGUGCCACAUAAAACGGCGGCUAAUGUCAAUGUUAGCGAUUUUUGGCGAAAAUUGAUUGAAUUGACUCAAUUGAUACAUAUGCAAAAUAUUACAAUACUAGAAAGAAAUCAGUUCAAGGGUCUUUGGGAAAUUGUGUUACAAUACUAGAAAUAGUUUUUGAGUGAUAAUUAUCCAAAGAGUUCUAAACCUAUUUAACAACCAAUAUUGUCUUAAACUUUCAAUUUUAUCAAUUUAGUUCUAAACAUUUUGGCGAUUUUCUAAUGUAGUUCAUAUGGUUAAUUUUGGCCAGCAACAGCUAAUGUGAUCCUCUAAUUAGUGCUGGCUGUCCUACAUGGUAGCCCUAACGUGGAAUAUUUUUGCAAUCUUUUUAAAUUUUUGAUUUUUUAUUCUUUUGUUGGGUUUUUGAUGGUAAAAAAAUUAGUUUAGGGUAAAUUUAUCGCAUAUGUAUCAAUUUCGGGUUUUUCGUGGUAUUAACCUAAAGCAUUUUGAUGGUGAACAUAACAAUAUGCUGACUAACGAACAACACCUUUUACAUGAAAUAAAUCAAUUCCAGGGUCUUCGGGAAAUUGUGUUACAAUACUAGAAACAGUUUUUGAGUGAUCAUUGUCCAAAAAGUUUUAAACCUAUUUAAUGGCUAAUAUUGUCCUAAAUUUUCAGUUUUAUCAUUUUUUUUUAAAACAUUUUGACGAUUUUUCAAUGUAGUCCAUAUGGCUAAUUUUGGCUAGCAAUAGCAAAUGUGACCCUCCAGUUAGUGCAGGUUGUCCUACAUGGUAGUGCUAAUGUGGAAGUUUUUACAAAUUUUAAAUUUCUUGAAUUUUUUCUUCUUUUUCUUUGUUUUUCCAUUGUCCAUCUUCCUGAAAGGGCUAGUGGAGGCCUAUAGGGCCUUGAAGAUGGCCCGCACAAAAUAAAAAAAAUAAAAUAAAAAAGAUCAAAUAUUUUUAAAAAAAUUACAAAUGUAGGACAAUCGAUGUCAACGUCAGCGAUUUCCAACCCAUAUUGACUCGGAGGAUUAUAUUAAAAAAAGUAUUAAAAUGUUUAGGACUAAAUUAAUCAAAUUAAAAAAUUUAAUACUGAAAUAGCAUCAUAUAGCAGGUUUAGGACUUUUUAGAUAAUUUUGCCCUAUUUUUUGGUAGAUAAAAAAUGGAUAAGUGUAUUAGAAGUUCUAGAACUUAUCACGAAAGUGCGAUUAAGUUCUAGAAAUUUCAAAAAGUGCAAUCAAAUCUUAUAAUUUGUCACCAAAGUGUAAUCGAGUUCUAAAACUUUCAAAAAGUCUAAUUAAUGAAAGAAUUUGAUUGGACCAAUUUGAUAAGUUCUAGGAUUCAAUUGUAUUUUUUGAAAGUUUUAAGAUUGGAUUGUACUUUCUUGACAAGUUUUGGGACUUAAUUGCACUUUUUGAAAUUUUUAGGACUCAAUUACACUUUUAUGACAAAUUUUAGGACUUUUAGGGCACUUAUUCGGAUAAAGGAAGUCAAAAGUUAUAGGAUUUUCAUGAUAUUUGGCCAUCAAACUAUUUCUCUUUUGUCUACUAAUGCUGAUUUCCUUUUAUUAGGAGACAAUAGGUUUUAUCGACUCAUUUUAGAAAAAAAAUUUAGUCGAAAGAUGCAUAGAGAUUUCUAAUCACGAUAAUAUUUGAAUGCAUGCAUGGGAUCCUUCGAGAAAUUUUGAACAGAUCUUAAGCACGAGAUUCUUAUUUAUGCAAAUCGAUAAUCGCAUUUCCAAGGCUAUAGACUUUUUUCGAGGUGAGGACACCUGGAGUGCCAUAACUUGGCACGCCGGGACACUUAAGUGCCAUAACUUUAAAAUGGUACACUUAAGUGCCAUCAUCGGAGUAAAAUGGGACACUUAAGUGCCACUCCGGCGAAAAUCCGGCCAAAUGGCUGACGUGGCAAUUUUCCGGCGAGUUUAGUCCAAAACGGCGUCGUUUUGCACGCUGACGUGGCAGAGAAAACGCAAAAACGACGCCGUUUUGUGCCUACGUGUAAAUAAUAAUAUAAAAAUUAAUUAAAUUAUAAAGUAUUCAAAAAAUUUAAAAAAUUAAGAAAAAUUUAAAAAUUUUAAAAAAUUAAGAAAAUGAAAAAUAAAAAAAAAAAAAGGGUGGGGGAGGAAGAAGAGGCGACUGAUUGCAUCACAUUUUGCUAGGAAAAGGAACAGAGUUCUUCUAUCUUCCAUACUCUUUUUAUGAUUGAACCAUGUGAUCCUGAGUCAAUUUCUGAGCCAGAUCCCAACAAGCUUGUUCGACACUUCAAUAGUGACGGACAUCCUGCCAUCACUACAAGAUAACUAUGUCAUGAUUGCUGAGAGCCGUUUCUGCGAUGGUCCUGUUGUAGCAAUUCGCCUGGACGAGGUAUAUUCUUUUGCAGACUCCGCUUGGAGAAGGAAUCGAUGAUAGAUGUACANNNNNNNNNNNNNNNNNNNNNNNNNNNNNNNNNNNNNNNNNNNNNNNNNNNNNNNNNNNNNNNNNNNNNNNNNNNNNNNNNNNNNNNNNNNNNNNNNNNNNNNNNNNNNNNNNNNNNNNNNNNNNNNNNNNNNNNNNNNNNNNNNNNNNNNNNNNNNNNNNNNNNNNNNNNNNNNNNNNNNNNNNNNNNNNNNNNNNNNNNNNNNNNNNNNNNNNNNNNNNNNNNNNNNNNNNNNNNNNNNNNNNNNNNNNNNNNNNNNNNNNNNNNNNNNNNNNNNNNNNNNNNNNNNNNNNNNNNNNNNNNNNNNNNNNNNNNNNNNNNNNNNNNNNNNNNNNNNNNNNNNNNNNNNNNNNNNNNNNNNNNNNNNNNNNNNNNNNNNNNNNNNNNNNNNNNNNNNNNNNNNNNNNNNNNNNNNNNNNNNNNNNNNNNNNNNNNNNNNNNNNNNNNNNNNNNNNNNNNNNNNNNNNNNNNNNNNNNNNNNNNNNNNNNNNNNNNNNNNNNNNNNNNNNNNNNNNNNNNNNNNNNNNNNNNNNNNNNNNNNNNNNNNNNNNNNNNNNNNNNNNNNNNNNNNNNNNNNNNNNNNNNNNNNNNNNNNNNNNNNNNNNNNNNNNNNNNNNNNNNNNNNNNNNNNNNNNNNNNNNNNNNNNNNNNNNNNNNNNNNNNNNNNNNNNNNNNNNNNNNNNNNNNNNNNNNNNNNNNNNNNNNNNNNNNNNNNNNNNNNNNNNNNNNNNNNNNNNNNNNNNNNNNNNNNNNNNNNNNNNNNNNNNNNNNNNNNNNNNNNNNNNNNNNNNNNNNNNNNNNNNNNNNNNNNNNNNNNNNNNNNNNNNNNNNNNNNNNNNNNNNNNNNNNNNNNNNNNNNNNNNNNNNNNNNNNNNNNNNNNNNNNNNNNNNNNNNNNNNNNNNNNNNNNNNNNNNNNNNNNNNNNNNNNNNNNNNNNNNNNNNNNNNNNNNNNNNNNNNNNNNNNNNNNNNNNNNNNNNNNNNNNNNNNNNNNNNNNNNNNNNNNNNNNNNNNNNNNNNNNNNNNNNNNNNNNNNNNNNNNNNNNNNNNNNNNNNNNNNNNNNNNNNNNNNNNNNNNNNNNNNNNNNNNNNNNNNNNNNNNNNNNNNNNNNNNNNNNNNNNNNNNNNNNNNNNNNNNNNNNNNNNNNNNNNNNNNNNNNNNNNNNNNNNNNNNNNNNNNNNNNNNNNNNNNNNNNNNNNNNNNNNNNNNNNNNNNNNNNNNNNNNNNNNNNNNNNNNNNNNNNNNNNNNNNNNNNNNNNNNNNNNNNNNNNNNNNNNNNNNNNNNNNNNNNNNNNNNNNNNNNNNNNNNNNNNNNNNNNNNNNNNNNNNNNNNNNNNNNNNNNNNNNNNNNNNNNNNNNNNNNNNNNNNNNNNNNNNNNNNNNNNNNNNNNNNNNNNNNNNNNNNNNNNNNNNNNNNNNNNNNNNNNNNNNNNNNNNNNNNNNNNNNNNNNNNNNNNNNNNNNNNNNNNNNNNNNNNNNNNNNNNNNNNNNNNNNNNNNNNNNNNNNNNNNNNNNNNNNNNNNNNNNNNNNNNNNNNNNNNNNNNNNNNNNNNNNNNNNNNNGGGGUCGCCGGUCCCCGGCUGACCGACGGCGAGGGCUGCGAGCCCUCGCCGAAGCGCGGCGAGGGCCGUGACCCUUGCCCUAGAUCUGGGCGAGGGCUCGCGGGCCCUCGCUGACCCUCCCCCCUCCGUCGCCGGCCCUUCCCGGCGACGGCGGGGAGGCGGCGACGGCGGGGAGGCGGCGGCGGCGAGGGCUCAGCCCUCAGCUGCCCGUUCGACCUCCCCCCACUUUUUUUUUUUUUUUAAAUUCUUAAAUUCUUAAAUUUUUUAAAAUUUUCUUAUUUUUUUUUAAAUUUUUUAAAUUUUUUAAAAUUAAAAUUUUUAAAAUUUUCUUUUUUUAAAAAUUUUUUUGUUAAUUUUUAUGCUGAUUUGGAGCUCCGGCGAGCCACGUAGGCAAAAAAUAAUAAUAAAAUAUUGCCACGUAGGAUUUCCGGCAAGGGUCGCCGGAGGUGGCACUUAAGUGUCCCACUCGAAAAAAAAAGUGGCACUUAAGUGUACCGUUUGGAAGUUAUGGCACUUAAGUGUCCCGGCGUGCCAAGUUAUGGCACUUGUGCUGUUCUUCUGCCACUUUUUUCCAUGACCGGUUGUUGCGACCAAAUUUUCGGGUGAACCACCUAGGGUUUGGCUAAUGGAUUGUUAAGCCUAGACUUAACUCGGGCUCUCCCAAUCCAUACCAAUUCGCGACUUAGGUUUAAAUUUUUAACAUGCAGAUAGAUUUUAUCUAGGAGUCGCCACUAAUCUAUUUUUGGUGGGUCGAUUAGAAACCCAAGUAAAGUAACGGGAGAUUUACUUUACUCCUACGAACCAGAGACUAUGGGUAUGGGGACUUAGUUACACUAGAUUUCUCUAAUGCCCUUUCGGUAUCAUUUUUUUAUUUUCAAAAAUGUUUUUGCAGGCAACUUGAAUUAAUUUAAAUUUAUCUCCCUAACAUGUGAGGUUAUCAUGCGGGUGCACAAACCACCAAUUUAACACCCAAGUAAAGCAAUAAAUAAAUUGCAGGACUUACCUCAUAGCAACGAAAGCAUCUGCGUUGUUAGUUCAGAAUUCACAUCAACAGUCCUAGACAUGAUUUUUAGUUAACACGCAAUUUUUUUUUUGUUUUUUUUUUUAUACUUAUUUAGUGAAAAUCAUGCAAUAUGCAAUGCAUGCUAUUAAUCUAACAUGAAAUGAUAUGACAUGGCAGUAUAACUUAAAUUAUAUGACAUGAGUAAAAAAUGCAAUAAUUACAUAUGCAAUCUAAAUUAACCAAAAUGACCUAAUCUUAAUGACGGACAAUUUCUAAUUAAAUGAUCCUAACAAAAAUCACUAAAUGACGUGCAUUUCAUGAACCUAAUUCUAUAUGACGUGCGCAUGAUAUUUCUAUUCUAAAUAAGCAUGCAAUUUAUUCUAAUAUGCAAUGACGUGUAAAGAAUGCCCUAAUUCUAAUUUUUUUCUUUUUUCAUUAUUAUGAAAUUCGAAAUUAAAAAUUGCCAAAUAACUAAACGUGCAAUUCAAAUUUAAAACUAACAUCCUAAAUGAAUGCAUUUUUUUUUUAUUUUUUUAUUUUUUUAAACAAAUUCGAAGUAAAAUCCCUAUUCUAAAUAUGCAAGAUAACAAGAGAUAUUCUAAAACCAACCUAAUUCUAAUUCAAAUAUUUUUUGGAUUUUUCCUUUUACAAAAUUAAAAUUGACUCAACUAACAGGACGGCAGAUCAAAUAAGAUAGGAUCGAUAUCCACAAAUUGGCGAACCAUAUCUUGCGCAUGAGAUCGGGUUGGCUAAUUUUAAAUAAAUCACGAAUCGAAUCUCAAGCGUGAGAUCGGAUUGGCAAUUUUUCAAACGAUUGUGAUUGCGAGUCGGAUUUCGCGCGCGAAAAUCGGAUUGUCAAUCCCAAAUUUCAGAGGCAAUUUCAUGUCGGAAUCUCAAUCAAACAUUAAAGAAUAAUUCCACUAAAAGAAAAAUAAAACAAUAAUAAAAUAAAAUAAACUACCUAGAUUAGAUGAUUCUCGGCGGCAAAGGACUCACGAACGGCGGCGAUUACACGGCUCACGGUGUCGGCGAGCUCGCGGAGAUGGAGCUUGCGGAUAGAGAUUUCGCGGACGUUGGCAGAGGACGCGAGCUGAAGUCAAUGGUCAAGGAUGACUUUCGUUUGGCCUCAACCAAAAAUAGCGUAUCCCACCAGGUGGUGUUCCGCAUGCCUCUUCUCUUCACUACUCAACUAUAUGAAUUAUGUUAUCCCCACGUGAAAACUCAACCUGCAUGAAAAAACAUUUAAAAGAAAUGGUUGAAGAAUCACGUUGCAACCCACGAUAAAGGCAAGUUGGGUGUUAAUAGCAGCUGGCUUCGUCGUUGACGCGGAUUGAUGAUCGUGGGUCAGUGUUGGCGCUUGGGGCAGCAACGGCGUUGCUGGACUACUCGCGGCAUUGAAAGGCUAAGACACGUGGCCAUUAGAAUUGAGCGUCGUCGGGGUUGCUCGUGGCGUUGGGAUGAUAAGCUUCGUGCCCGAAAACUGCAAGAGCUAAUCCGUGCGUUCGCUGGAACUUCAACGCUGGGGCAGGCCGAGGCGGCAAACGGUAGGGACGAGACGUCUACUGCCACCGGGAGGAUGUGGGUUUGGCAUUGAGCUAAGGUGACUAGCGGCUUCAUGUCUGGAUGGGGACGCCAUGGGAUAACAAUUCGGUCAUGGCUUAGGGAUUUACGGCGAGGGCAGUGCUCGGCCCAUGAUAUUGAGGCAUGGCAGCGACAGUGGGAGCCUCGGAGUGGUUUGUUAAUGAUUGAUAACCUGCAAAACAGAGAAACGACUCCACAACAAGGUGAAAGAUCAGCAACGGUAACGGCAGAUCGUCGUGCAGUGUAGGCUGGGAGACGGCAGAUUCUUGGUGUUGAAGCUUGGUGAUGACGGUGUUCGCUGGAUGUUCACCAGAGUUGCUGGGAACUUGCUGCGAGAAGAGUUGAAGGCUUUAUUUGAUUUGGGCUUAAGGCCCGUCCGCCCAAGUUGGGCCCAGAAAUCCCGGCCCACGGGAAUAGGGCCCGUGGAAAGAAGGGGGUAUAAAAGGGAGGAGAGAGAGAGAAAAACACACCGUUUGUUUUGCAAUUCAACGUACGUCUUUUCUCUUCUCACGCUCUCUCUCUCCCAAAAGGAAAGAACAGUAAGCAUACGGCGCGCUUUUCUUCCCUUCAAGGCCUCCUCGGAUUGAACAGAGUCUGAUUUCUCUUCCUCCAUUGGCGUCGGUGCUUAAUCUGUGGCUAACAAGGUACGCUCGAAUCCGUGGUGUGCUUUACGAUCGGUGAUACGUGUUUUCCCGGGCUUUGUCUUCCGCAUUGAUUUAGGGGUUUGAUUUAGUGUCGAAUCCGGUUUUUCGGGGAUCAGUCAUUCCCAACAUUGGUAUCAGAGCCCUAGUUCACGUUUUCCCGACUUGUUUGACGAUUUUUGAUUGAUUUUUCGCGAAAGUGUUUCGGCCGUAUGGAUCGGGGCGAGAAAUCCCGACACCCGAGCGUUCUUCGGCCAUUUUACUGAGUUUUCGUAAGUUGAAACUGUUUUCUGAAUACAUGGGAAGAAAGACGACGUCGAGACGAGUCUGGCAAUGCGUCGUGCGCCGCCGGGAGACGCCGCACGCGCCCACACGCGCGGCCAGAAGCGGCGGCGUGUGGGCGCGACGCGCCCGGAAGUGCUGGCUCGCCCAGUGCGUGCGGCGCACACGCCGGUCGGCGAACUGGCGCGUGCGCACCGCCGGUCGGCGAGCCGGCACGCGCCGGUCCGCGGACCGACGCGUGCUGACGUCACCCAAUGGUCAAUAACCGCUAGGGUGACGUCAGCACGGCGACGAUUCGCCGAGCGGUCACCGGCCGGCAACCCGACCGGCGACCCGAGCCGCGCGAGACCCGGCACGCGCGCGGCGCGUGCCGGAUGACGUCUGCGUGACGUCAGCCCGCGCACGCGCGCGGCACGUGCCGUCGAUUCGCCCGAGCAGGGCCCGCCGGCCCGACCGUUGACCGUUGACGACCGUGGACCAUUGACCGUUGACCGAAAAAAAAAAAAGAAAAAAAAAAGAAUAUGUUUCUUUUUCAAUUAAGUCUAUGUGGAUUAUAAUGUGAUCUCUUAUUUGUUCUGCAUUUGUUGUAGGAACAAUGCCUCCCUUGAGGUUGCGCACACCUAUUCGCGCAAUUACCGAUGAACAAAAGGAUAGGCUGUCUAAGUUGAUAGCUGAGCUGACUGAUCAUCGAUGGGAGAGAGGUGACUUAAUUGAUCAUGUCCUUGAAGUCAACGGGAAAAUUCAACAGGUCAUAUGGAAUGGUCGUCCUAUGUCACAGUCAGAGAUGGUGCGAUUUUUCAUAAACACUCUUCCACCUGAUUGGCAAGAUGUGUUGAAUCGCAUAUGGGAUGUCAACGGAGCUGCUUCCUAUAAGAAAAUUGUGAUGGAUUUUGUAAAUGAAUAUUGUUGUAUUGUUUCAAGGGAAAAGAUCAAGAAAUUGAACAAAAGAGGAUUUUUCUCAGUUCGUGUGCUGACUUGGUGUUAGUUGUAUUGGCUGAUAUAUGUUAAGUGUGAUUUGUGGACAUAUUAUGUAAUGAUUACCACCUAAUUGUGUUAAUUGAAAGCAUUAUUGUUUUUAUUGGAUGUUCUAUUAUAUAUUGCUUUUUGUUAUUGCUGGUUACUAUGGGUAAUUAGCUAUUGGUAGUUUUAGAAGUUUUUGUAGCUUCAUAGAAUUGAUUUUGCAUAAGACAAUUAUAUUGAUGAUAGUUUUAAGUUAGGAUUUUGGAGGAUGAUUGGAAACAUAGUGAUCUUUUAAUUCUGAAACCUUACUUGAAAUUAUUCAUUAAUAUGAUGGGUCUAUGUAAAUAGGGAUGCAUAAAUGAUAGGCAUUAAUAAUUCGUGCAUAUUUGUCUGAUUUGUUCAGAUCAAUGGCUUCGGCCACAAAGAGCAUAGUUGCCGAGCUGAACAAAGGUGAAAAGCUCAAUGGAGACAACUAUGAAAUUUGGCAAAUGAAAAUCCAGUAUGUGCUGGAAGAGCAAGAAGCACUUGAGGCUCUUGUCAUGACCAUGGUAGAACCUGAAGAGGGAACCACUGCACAGCACAAAAGAGACAAAGAAGCUUUUUAUGCGUGGAAAAGAAUGAACUCUCUAGCUCGAUCACGUUACUGAGCAGCAUGGAAAAUGACGUCAUGCGAGAGUUUCGGCGUUUUGACAAUGCUAAGGAAAUGUGGGAGGCAUUGGCAGCUAGAUUUGGUCAUACUUCGAUGACUAGACUGACUCAGCUCAGUUAUCAUGUUUGACAUCUUUCUAAGAUGUUGCUUCAUGGUCUGACUCUUAUAAGAAAGAUGUCAAACAUGAUAACUGAGCUGAGAGAUGCUAGCCAUGUCCUCACAGAUGAGCAGCAAGUGCAAGCAGUGAUUCGUUCCUUGCCUCAGAGUUGGGAGCAUAUGAAGGUGUACUUGACUCAUAAUGAAAAUAUCAAAACCUUUGAGGAUGCAAUGCGUCAUCUUGAGCUGGAAGAGAACCGCUUAUUGGCGGCUAAGCCGGAUGCUGAACUUUAUCAUGCUAGUUCUAGCUUAAAUGGAGCUUCGAGCUCCAAGCGCAAGCGCCCUAACUGGUUUGAUAAGGGAAAAGGCAAGGAAGAAGCAGGUCCUUCAGGGAAGAAACCCAAGUUUAACCAACAUGAAAGAGGGAAGCGUCCCCGCAUGAAAAAGCUUGCAAGGGUGAAAUGCUACAACUGUGACAAGAAGGGUCACUAUGCUCGCGACUAUCGUGAGCCAAAAAAGGUAUGCACCCCUUGUACUUUUCAGAACUUCACUUUUGUGUCGAGUUCUGUAUUCUUAACUGAGUCUAAUCCUUUGUGGACUGUGGAUUUAGGAGCGACGGACCAUGUAGCGAAGGAUAGAGGAUCCUUCGUGGAAUUCCGACGAGUACCAACUGGAACUAAGUGGAUCUAUGUGGGAAACAACUCCAGAGCUGAAGUGAAAGGAAUUGGCACAUGCCAACUGAAUAUGCGUGGUGGACGCACUUUGUUCCUUCAUGAUGUGCUGUAUGCUCCGGAGAUUCGUCGGAAUUUAGUGUCUGUAUUAGUGUUGGUUAAAUUAGGUUUUAAUAUGAACUUCUGUAAUAGAGGUGUGAAUUUGUUUUUGGAUAUAAAUUACUAUGGUUGUGGUUAUUUUCUGGAUGGUUUUAUUGUAUUAGAUAUUGAUUAUGUUAAUACUAAUGUUUGUUAUUCCCUUCUCACGUCUCCUAAUAAAUAUGAUAAUGAUGUGAAUGUGUGGCAUGCUAGACUUGGUCACAUUAGCCAACAGCGUAUGAAUAGACUAGCCAAAGAGGGCUUGUUGGGCAAUAUUGAAAAAGUCGAUUUGUCCAUAUGUAAGCAUUGCCUAGAAAGGAAAACGACAAGAAAACCAUUUGGAAAAGGAAAAAGAGCUGAAUUUCCUCUGCAUUUAAUCCAUUCUGAUGUCUGUGGUCCAAUGAAUGUGAAAGGAAGGCAUGGGGCUAUUUAUUUCAUCACUUUUAUUGAUGAUUAUACUCGAUUCGGAUAUGUCUAUUUGAUUUCUUACAAAUCUGAAGCAAUAAGUUGUUUUAAAAGGUUUAUGAACCUGGUAGAGAAUCAAUUAGACAAGAAAAUAAAAGCAUUGAGAUCCGAUUGAGGUCGAGAAUAUUUAUCUGAUGAGUUCAGAAAAUUAUGUGAUGAAAAAGGAAUAGAAAAACAGUUGUCUAUUCCAUAUACUCCUCAACAAAAUGGUGUUGCGGAGAGAAGAAACAAAACCCUACUGGAAAUGGUUAGGUCCAUGAUGGCGCAUGCUAACUUACCUAUUACUUUUUGGAGUGAUGCGUUGUUAACUGCUGCCUAUAUACUGAACCGUGUGCCUUCCAAAUCAGUUACUUCCACUCCAUAUGAGUUAUGGACAGGUAAAAAACCGGACUUAAGUUUUCUUAAGCCAUGGGGUUGUGCUGCCUAUACACAUGAGUCCUCUCACAAGUUUGGAAAACUGGGUCCCAGAGGAAAGAAGAGUAUUUUUAUAAGGUACUCUGAACACUCGAAAGGAUAUGUGUUCAUAGGUGAGCAGGAAAGUGGGAGUAUAACUGAGUUUGAAUCACGAGAUGUCACAUUCCUAGAGGAUGAAUUUCCUAAGAAGGGCGAAAUAGGGGAAGAUUGUUCCCUAUUUGAAACCUUGGAUCAAGAUAAUGACCUUAGUGGACUUCAUCCAAGUGGGAGCAUAAUGGGGAAUGAUGUGCAAAGUGUACAAUCUCCCAUAUGGCGAACAAGUCGCCAAAGUAUUCCUCGUCGACGUUUUGACAUUGAAUGGGAGACUUUUAUGGUUGCUCCACAAGAUGAGGAUGAGCCAAGAAAUAUUAAUGAGGCUCUGAAUUGCCCUAGUAAGGAAAAAUGGAUUAAUGCAAUGGAAGAGGAAAUGGAGUCAAUGAAAUCAAACCAAGUCUGGGAACUGGUUGAUCUGCCAAAAGGACGCAGAGCUAUUGGGAACAAAUGGGUUCUCAAAAUAAAGCGAAAGGUUGAUGGCUUGAUUGAAAGGCAUAAGGCUCGCCUUGUGGCGAAGGGGUAUAAUCAACAGGAAGGAAUUGAUUAUGAAGAUACGUUUUCUCCUGUAGUGAGAUUUACCUCAAUUCGCAUUAUUCUGGCAAUAGUGGCUAGUCUGGAUCUUGAAUUACAUCAAAUGGAUGUAAAGACUGCUUUCCUCAAUGGAGAAUUAGAGGAAGAAAUAUAUAUGGAACAACCUGUUGGUUUCAUAGUGAAAGGCCAAGAAGAAAAAGUAUGUCGACUUUUGAGGUCGAUAUAUGGUCUUAAGCAGUCAUCAAGACAAUGGUAUAUACGUUUUCAUAAUGCCAUAAUGGCAUAUGAUUUUACGAUGAUUGAUGAGGAUCAUUGUGUAUAUAUCAAAAGAUCCAAGGAUCAAUUUGUGAUCAUAUCAUUAUAUGUUGAUGAUAUACUAAUUGCUGGAAGCAAUAUGGAGUUUGUUAAGACUGUCAAGAGUUGGUUGUCUUCCAACUUUGAGAUGAAGGAUAUGGGUGAGGCUGCAUACAUUCUUGGAGUUAAGAUUUCAAGAGAUCGUUCGAAGAGAUCGUUAUCUCUUUCGCAAGAAACUUAUAUAAACAAAGUUCUAGAACGGUUUCGUAUGCAAGAUUGUAAACCCAUAGACACUCCUAUUGCAAAAGGUGAAGGAUUGAGCCAUAGACUGUGUCCAAGGACUCCACAAGAGAAGGAACAAAUGAAACAUGUUCCUUAUGCAAGUGCUGUUGGGAGCUUGAUGUACGCUAUGAUGUGUACAAGACCCGACAUAUGUUUUGCAGUUGGAAUGGUGAGUAGAUACCAAUCCAAUCCAGAUCCAGCACAUUGGAAAGCCGUUAAGAGAAUACUGAGGUAUCUGAAGGGAACUGCUGAUUACAAGUUGAAUUACCAAGGAAAGGAUCUGCGACUUGAAGGCUAUUCAGAUGCUGAUUGGGGAGGAGAUUUAGAUGAAAGAAAAUCUACCUCAGGAUUUGCUUUCUUACUGAGCAAUGGCGCCAUAUCAUGGAGUAGUAAGAAGCAAACGUGCAUAGCCUUAUCCACGAUGGAAGCUGAGUUCGUGGCGUUAUCAGCAGCAGUACAAGAAGGAGUUUGGCUUAAGAGAUUUUUGGAUCAUUUAGGUGUUAUUGAGAAAGCUGCAAAUCCAUUAUUGGUUAACUGUGAUAGCCAAGCAGCUAUAGCGUACACCAAAGAUCCAAAAUAUCAUGGCAAGACCAAACAUAUAGAUACCAAGUAUAACUUUGUGAAAAGUAUGGUUGCACGAAAGGAUGUGAACUUACAGUAUAUAUCUACGCAUAGAAUGGUAGCAGAUCCUAUGACAAAGCCAAUACCUAGAGAUGUGUUUUGUGGUCAUGUAAAAUCUCUAGGAUUGCGUAGAGUCUGAUGUACUGAAUUGUAAUUUCCCUGAGUUGUUCACAUUUAUGAAAUUUUGUUUUUCAUUGAUUAAUGCCUAUGAAUCUUUGUAUGAUCUUUAUGCAUCUUAAUGCUCAGUGCAUUAUUUUAAGUUGAGAAGUAUGUCGGACAGAUAAAAGAUUAGCCCACUCACAUGGGUAAUUGCCUCUGUUUACUGUGUGAUAAAUAGAGAUGAGACUGAUUUUAAGCUUAUUAUCUAGGUGAUAAUCGAGAGCUCAAGCUUAAAAUAUGUAUGUCGCCUUAACUAAGUGUUAAGAUGAGGACAUAAUACUUACGAUGUCCGAAAGUAAAAUACCCAACAUAUUUUACUUUAUCUGUCUAUGAUGCCAUAUGUGAGUUCUGAUGAACUUUGUGAUUGAGUAGAUAUGUGAACUCAAGUUAGACAUUAGGUAUGUCUGAACUAUCAUCUGUACGGUAUUGAAAAGUGCAGACAUACGCUCCAUGGGAAAGGAGUUAAUACCGUAAUACGUAUUUCAUACUACGUAUGCAUGAGACGACCAAUAAGAGUGGCAAAAAGUUUGAUCUCAACUUUUAUGACGUGUGAGACUCUUAAGGAAAAGAGUUCCUCAAUUUUUAGUCCCCUCAGGACUCUUACUUAUUCUCAAGAUUUCUAUUUAGUGUUUGCUAUCUUAGGGUGUUGCCAAUGGUCAUGAGAUGAUUCGAUCUAAUGGGGCAUUUCUAGAAAAGCAAGCUGGACUGAAAUUGAGAGUUUGAAGGAAAGAGGAAGAUCGAUUUUGGAGAAUCACAUUGUAGUUUUUGUAUUCACUGGUCGACCAAUUAUGAUUGUUUUUGUGAUAAUUAUAAUUGUGAAUACAGUAUACAUAUCAUGUUUAAAAGAGAUCAAGAGAGAUAUAACUUGUGAUCGAUCGAUCUAGGGUACUGCAUACUAAAUCUACUCAGAGUGUGACGCCCAUUAUGAGCUGCUAUAUAUUCCUAACAGAUGUAUAGCAACGAGCUCUCAAAGUAUGCUGGUCGCACGGAUUAUUCACCGGUAUGAAUGUUGAAGAGAGGUAAAGAGAAUCCUGUUUGGCCCACCAUGUGCGAGUGGGAGAUAAAGGCUUUAUUUGAUUUGGGCUUAAGGCCCGUCCGCCUAAGUUGGGCCCAGAAAGCCCGGCCCACGGGAAUAGGGCUCGUGGAAAGAAGGGGGUAUAAAAGGGAGGAGAGAGAGAGAAAAACACACCGUUUGUUUUGCAAUUCAACGUAUGUCUUUUCUCUUCUCACGCUCUCUCUCUCUCCCAAAAGGAAAGAACAGUAAGCAUACGGCGCGCUUUUCUUCCGUUCAAGGCCUCCUCGGAUCGAACAGAGUCUGAUUUCUCUUCCUCCAUUGGCGUCGGUGCUUAAUCUGUGGCUAACAAGGUACGCUCGAAUCCGUGGUGUGCUUUACGAUCGGUGAUACGUGUUUUCCCGGGCUUUGUCUUCCGCAUUGAUUUAGGGGUUCGAUUUAGUGUCGAAUCCGAUUUUUCGGGGAUCAGUCAUUCCCAACAAGAGUUGCUGGGAACUUGCUACAAGAAGCGUUGCAGCAAACUGGAAUCCUCCGGGCAACUCACCAGCGGACCGUGACACGCCAAAGCGACUGCCGGUGUUCUCUGGAGCCACUAAUCUGUUAAGGCAGGGGCUGAGGUGGACAGGAUUACUGAAUCACUGGUGCAGCGCCAUGGAUCUGCAAGAACUUCCGCAGGGGUAGUCAAGAUGCGCGCUUGAGGCGAGGACGGCUUUGAUUCUCGUUCAGGACGUCUAGAGUUCAUUAGAUUAAGUUGCCCUUGAUGGGGCAGGCGCCGAUGUAGCGCGGCACGGACUCGGCCAGGCAGGGGCGUCAAAACUGGGCUAGACCAGCCAAGAAGAAACUGCGCGGUGGUUCUCGGACGCUGCGAGCAAUGCAAUAGCGACAGUCGUCGGGGGCUGCGGUGGCGACCGAGGAGCUUGUGUACGCGGGAGGCCAAGCAGCAGUAGCGAAGGAGACGACCUGUUCCUCUUCCGCUUCCGUUUUCUUCUUUUGGUUUUUCUCUCUCCUGCUGCUACACGUAUCCCUCUCUGCCUCUUCUCUGUUUUCCCUCUGACCUACUGACUUUUCCCUUCCCUCGGCAGCUUUUCUUUUGUGUCGCUCUCUCCAAGGAACGAAGGACAACACCCUAAAACCUUUUUUCCUCUCUUUUUAUUCUCUCUUAUUCGAACCCUGGAGGAGUCCCCCAACGAAAGAGCUUUUUUCUCUCAAUGGCCGUGUAUUCAAUAUGUGUGGCCCCCUGAAACCUACGCAAACAACUUAUUUAUAGGGCGAGAAUUAGGGUUUUAAUUUUUCCAAAUUCAUAUUCACAAAGAUUUGUUUUUUCAAAACGCAAUAUUUGCUCCACAUUUGCCCCAUCCAAAAAAUUCAUCAUAUCUUGGAAAAAUUUCAAAUUCCUAUUUUUCACGAGAUUUAAAAAAACGGGCCUGGGCCAAUUUGCUCGCUUCGUGGGCUUAAUCCAACCUGUCAAUUUAAAGCUCAGAACCACUAAUUGAAACCCAUCCGUCACUGGUCCAAUAAAUGCAAAAAAAAUGCAAAUGCACCUAAAUUUAUAUGCUAUGUAAUUAAUUAAUUAACUAAUUUUUUUAGGGGUUAAAAUUAAUCCCUAAUUUUUUAAUGCGAUAAAUGAAUAAACGGGUCGCCAAAAUUUAGGUGUCAACACCGGUGCUUAACAACACCACCAUCUAUAUAAAGCGGGGUUAGCAUACUGAGAGAUUCGCUACAACUUUCGCAAUGGUUCUUCCUGCUUUGUUCACAAGCUUCGUCCCCUCCCCAAUCAGCCAUAACCAACCCUCUCUCUUGUCCUUUAGACACCCUCGCUGCUCCUCCUCCUCCUUCUCCUCAGGCGCUAAAUCGGUGACAUGCGCCAUGACGAUCGAGAAUCCAGAGAUCGCGAGACGUUCGGCAAAUUGGAAACCUAAUGUGUGGGACUACGAGUUUCUCCAGUCACUCAUAGUUGAUUACACGGUACUGAUCCUUUUUGGUUCGGCACAAUACCCAGCCUGGCUAUGUUCUAUGGAAAAUGUUCACAUCUCGGUCCUGAACUUUGUAUUCCUUUUUUUCCAAUCUUGUCCUUGAACUUGUGGGAAUUCCCUAUCCGAUUUCUUGGUCUAUGGUUCUGGCAAAUUGAAGCUCAUGCGCGUGUCAAUGCUAGAGGAAAGUAUGAUGCAGAAAACUUGGUACAAGUUUUAAGUUCAAGGAUCAUGUUGAGAAGGGGAAAAAAAACAACAUAAAGUUGAGGAUCGUAUUAUUGCUUUUCCCUACUUUCUUUUUACUUUGAUGAGAUAGAGUCCACAACACCCAAAAUGGCAUAGAAACGAAAACGACACUGUAUUCUGAAUUAGAUAUAAGGAUGUAUACUACUUGAGUACUUUUGUAUACGACCAACCACUGCCACUCUAUCAAAUACGACCGACAUAACAAUAUUCCAUAGAGAUACUAAUAAACUUGAUCAAAAUGGCAUAUUCUCAACAAUGCUUACUCUGCUUAUGUAUUACUUUUGAUUAAGAUCUCAUUUUUCUGAAUGUUUUACGUGCCUAGGAGGAUAAAUAUGCCGAGCAAGUCCAAAGGUUGAAGGAAGAAAUCAGGGGUCUAUUCAACAGGGAGAUGAACCAGGUGGCCAAGCUUGAGUUCAUUGACGCGGUUCAAAGACUCGGACUAGGAUACCAUUUUGAGACGGAGACAAAAAAUGCUCUCAGUUCCAUCUAUGACAAUUCCGGAUAUGCUCAGCUUUUGAACGAUCUCCAUGCAGUUUCCCUUGGAUUCCGAAUACUCAGACAACAUAGAUACAAAAUAUCACAAGGUAUUUGCCAUAUGGUUACCCUUUUAUAAAUCAUGUAGAUGCAUCAAAAGUUACCUUACCGUUCCUUUUUUUGGACAUAUAGAUGUGUUUCAACAAUUUAUGAACAAGACGGGCACGUUCAAUGAAUCACUCAAUAAGGAUGUGAGGGGGCUUCUUAGUCUUUAUGAAGCUUCUUUCCAUGGAUUGGAAAGUGAAACCAUACUUGAUGAAGUGAGGAACUUUGCUUCAAAGCAUCUAAAGGAUCUAAACCUUGACAAAGUUCCCGUUAUGUUAGCGAGCUACGUGAGACAUGCAUUAGAUAUGCCGAUCCACUGGAGGCCAAAUAGGUUGGAGGCUCGGUGGUUCAUGGACAUGUACGAGAAACAGCAAGACAUGAUCCCUUCCUUGCUGCGAUUGGCUAAAUUAGACUUCAAUCUAGUGCAAUCAGUCUACAAGAAGGAAGUUAGCAAUAUGGCAAGGUAUGCACAAGCACUUUAUAUAUAUAUGUUCAUGCAAACACCAAACCUGUAGGAGCGCAUUUAGAUCUACUUAGUUGUUGCAUGGUAAAUUGCUCAGGUGGUGGGUUGAACUUGCCGCAAACAAGAUGACCUUCUUCAGAGACAGAUUGGUGGAACACUAUUUUUGGACCUGCGCCAUGGUUUUUGAACCUCAAUAUACAGCUUACAGGGAAAUGACAACGAAGCUCACUUGUAUGGUGACACUUAUUGAUGGCGUUUAUGAUGUAUAUGGGACACAGGAAGAACUUGAGCUCUUAAUAGAUUUUCUUGUUUGGUUAGUGUAAUAUGAUUACUAUCAUCAUUUUCCCUCGUAACUAUUGUUGCCCAGAGAAACGAUAAGGAAUUAAAUAGUCUCUGAAUGACACAAGAGAUACAACAAAUUUUGAUAGUUCUAUGAUAUAAAUUCUCCAAUGCAUUUUGAACAUAUCACUUUUUAAGUUAGAUUUUUUUUUUCGUCUAUAUAAUUGAUUGGUCGGGCAAUUAAAAGUAGUAGUAAGUACUAACUUUCAUUGUUAUUACUAAAAGUGUAUCAGGUGCUGGUAAAAUUUACAAAAUGUUGAAAUGUUGAUAUCUCAUCCAGGUGGGACAUCAUAGAAAUUAAUAAGCUUCCUCCAACAAUAAGGGAUAGUUAAAUGGCCUUGUACAACACGAUCAAUGAAAUUGGGUAUUGGACGAUGAGAGAGUUAGGAAUCAACACCAUUCCUUACAUGCAAAAAGUGGUAAUCUCGCUGAAUCUUUCACCUAAUAAUUUCUAGCCUGUGCAAGGCAACUCACGUUUCUACUUCUGACUUUCGUAAUGGAACUUCCAUUUAAACAUUUGAGAAUUCGAAAAAUGUACGAGAGAAGAAUGUCCCUCUGCUUUGUCAUUGACACACUUUUUUCGAAUUUCAAUCCUCUAGUGUGUGGAUGAAUGCAAGGCGUACAUUAAGGAGGUCCAUUGGUACAACAAGGGCAUCAAACCGACACUGAAGGAGUACAUGGACAAUGCGGUGGAUUCAAUCGAAGGGCUGAUUAUGCUGUUGGGCAGCUACUUCCUAACCACGGACAAAUUGACAGAAGAGGGGCUUGGUUAUGUGUCGAAAAUCCCGAGUGUCAUGCAUUGCUCUGCCAAGAUCCUUCGACUCAACAAUGAUCUCAGUACCUCAUCGGUAAAUUACUUUGACAUUUACCUUUCUCCUUUUGUAUAAUCGCUUAUGAAGAGAAAGCACAUCAUUGAUGGAUUCAAAAAUACAUGCUAUUCUUUUUAAUAUAUUCGAUGAGAAUCUUGACACUUAUGUUUGUGAAACAUCAAUCUCAUUCAUGGUCAAUAUGAAUUGGCACGAGGGGACAACUUCAAGGCGCUAGAAUGCUACAUGAAUGAAACUGGUGCCUCGGAAGAGGCCACGCGUGAACAUGUCAGGCAAAUGGUGCACGAGACCUGGAAGAGGAUGAAGAUGUAUUUGAGGACUACCCAUAUUCUGGGUUCGGGCCUUUUCUCGGCGCUUGUCUGAAAUUGGCACGAGCUUCUCAGUGCUUUUACCAGUAUGGAGACGGACACGGCCUUCCCGACAAUGAAAAAAAGGACCACCUUGUGAGGGCACUAUUCGACCCUGUGCCCCUUGAUUAGGGAUGCAUAUUACUGACGGAGGUGUCACUGUUGGAGAGAGCCUAUCGACUUACGUGUUAUUAUUAGCUUUUGGGGUGGGUGGCUUUGGAAGCUCUGAGACUUUGAAACUGUUAAUUGAAGCCUAUACGAUAGAUAGGCGUUGUACGAGCUCCAUAAAAUUCGCCAAGGAACCUCAUGCUAUUCGGGGCUUUGAGUUGUGGUUGAUAUACAUAAUUGAUAAUAAAAUUUGUGGUGAUUGUUGAUACUUAAUUCGUAGUCGACGCAUCGAAAAGGUAAAAAUGUGACAUUCAGAUUUUUCAACCCUAUCUUCUAUCGAAUAAAUCGGGCAUUUCAUUGACGCGCCUAUAAGGCUAUUCUCAGAACUGAUCAUUCUUGAGAUAACUAGACUAUCUAGGGAAGCCAUUAAGAAAUAAUGAGCAAUUGCAUGGUUAUAUAUUAUAAUGAGCAAUUGCAUAUUAUCACUUCUCAGUCUCAAACAUGCACAUAAGAUCAUUCAAGUGGUGGCCAGUCACUCAAAAGCAUUAUGCACAAUAAUAUAUAACUCACAUAAAUGAAAUCAAUUGCAAAACAUAAAAAUCAUGAAAUUCACAUCAUCAUGAUUAGGCUACAUCGUAGCCCUAACAAAAGAAAAUUAGAACAUAGCAGAUGCAGAAAUAAAAAUAAAAAUCAAACCCAACAUCUUGAAUUAAAGAACCAAAAUUCUAUCACCACUUUGGUCUUCUCUUCAAAAUACUUGAAAAACUCUCAAAACAAUGAAAAACGAUCUAACAAAAGCCUAACUUCUCUCUCUCUCCCUCAAUAUUCUCAUAUUCAUAGGAUAUAUCCAAGAUCCUUAUCUCCAAGCAAUUGUGCAUAAAAUCAGGGAGUAAAUCAAAGGAUUUUAAUUUAAUAUCUAUCUCCCACCGCUCUUUGAUUUGAAUUCCUGAUUUUUGCCAUUACUUUCCUUAUCUUCUCCAUAUCUCAAUAUUCUGCAUAAAUAAGGAAAAUUCAAAUGAUAAGAAGAAAAUCCAAAUAUUUUCUCAUAGAUAUUGCAUUAAUUGUUGUCUAAAAUAGGUAAAAUAACUCUAUUUUUAUAGAGUUAUCAAACCCCCAAACUUAACAUUUUGCUAGUCCUCGAGCAAAAUCAAGACAUAACACAUACUCAAACUAACAACCUCCUCCAUGACGUCUUUCCAUAAUUGCUCAAAUUCACAAUUCAAAGAAAAACACAAAUUUCAUCCAAACAUUGAAAUUGAUUUAUAAGUUAAGACCAAUUCUAACUAUGUGAUCCAAGUGUGUGUGUGAGAGUCCUUAUCUUUUUUGAAUUAUAAGCAAUCCGGAUAAAUUCACAUUGACAUGCAACCUCUAAAAAAUUCUCAAUAAUUAUGACCAAAUCUCAUAGGUUUACUUUUCAUUCAUCUAUCCACUAAUGUAAGCUAAUUAUAAAACCAAAAAUCAAAAGGACUUUUCUCGGUUUGUAAUGUAAGGCUGGGCUAAAUGUGAGAUAACAGUAAUUUUAAGCAAAUCACCUAUCAACACGUUGAUUUCUAGGAUCUAAUUAGAACCAAUGUCACUGUCCAAUUUCACUCUUUCAAGACAAUUUUUUUGCCACUAUAUAUCAUCAUUCUUUUUUUUUUCUAUUUUUUUUUGAAUUGUUUUAUAGUGGAAUUUCUCCUAAAGUCCCUCCUAAUAUAACAUGAAAAUUUCUAACCUAUUGAGUAUCCAAAAUGCUCACUCAAUUGAAAGUUGGAUAGGGAACUAUAAAAGCAAAUUUUUUUUUUUUAAUACACCCCAAACAACCAUACCAAUCACUUUUUUUUUUGCUUUUUCAUACUCCAUCCUUCCUCCUAAAUUUUUAUCAAACUCAAAUAAUUUUUUAUCCUGAAAAUCAACGUGCUCAUAGGGCAUGGGACAAUGAUAUAAUUUGAUAACGGCUAGGCUAAACACUUAUGGGUGUUAAUGAAAAAUUGGAUAAUAAUUAAGGCUCAAUGGGGUGACUAGGGAUAAAUAAACAUGGUUAGCUUGAAAUGCUCAAUCGAUCCAAAAAUUGUCUAAAUCAUUUUCUCAGUUAGAUGUAGCUUAGGAUUUUACCUCAAGAGAAAAUCAAACAAAUUCUAAGAUUUGGGUGAAAUUUAAGAAAAUCACAUACUUCACAUGAAUGUUUUCUAGAUUUAUGCACAAUUCAAAAAUUAAGGACUUGUAGUGCUCAGUAAGUGAAUAAACAUAAUCAGAAUUAAGAUUAACUCACACAUCAAUUGCAAGUUUAAAUAAAAUUUAAAUUUUCUUAAGAAUCGCAAAAAUUCACAACCAAUAAUCUAAUCAUGAUAAUAAAAUAGAUUUAGCCAAAAUUUUUGUCUCCCCCCCCAAAAACUUGAAUGAAGAAGUGUCAUCAAUGUGAAAAAUAGAAAUAGGAAGAAGAAAACUCCCAUGGUUGUAGGAUAAGUUCAUAGAUGACCUUGAUGAUUAAACUCUUGAAAGGAGAUCCCUAAAAAAUUAACCUGAAUAAAAUAGAGAAAAGUUAAUCUUUUUUUUUUUUACAAAACAUGAACUUAAUAAUAAAUAAUAAUUAAAAAAACAUAAUUAAAAUGCUUGGAUUGCCUCCCAAGAAGCACUUGCUUUAUAGUUUUCAGCCAAACUAUAUCAGAUGUCGCUAUUCUAGAGGAUGAAGUUCAAUGGUGGUCUUCUGCUUAUUAUAACCACCUUCAAAGUAGGGCUUCAAACGUUGACCGUUCAGUUUGAAUGUGCCCUCAGUGUCAUGUGCAACUUCAACUGUUCCAUAUGAGGACACCUGUGUAAUUGUGAAAGGACUAGACCAUCGAGACUGCAACUUUCUUGCCAUCAUGAUAAUGAUGUAGAAUGUUUUCCUUCUCUUUAUUUGGAACACAUCUCCUUAACUUGGUUUGCACAUAUUUUAAAUAAGAAAGGUUCUUCCCAAAAAUAAUUUUUAAUAUCAUAAAAGAAUUUUUAACUCUGUUGAUAUGAUAAUUAAGGAGGAAUAAUAUUAUUUAAUAAUUUACAAAGUCGGUGUACCAGGGAAUUUUUGUGGACUUAAUGGAAAUUUUUUUCUCAUUAGGGAACUCUUCCAAAAUUGGUCUUACCUCUUCUUUUAAAUUUGGAAUUCUUGAUAAGUGGUUUGCAAUUAGAUUUUUAGUCCCAUUCUUAUCUUUGAUUUCCAAAUCAAAUUCUUGUAGCAAUAGAAUCCACCUGAUCAACUGGGCUUUUGAUUCUUUCUUUUCAAGCAAAUACUUAAGAGCAAAGUGGUCAAAAUAAACUAUAACUUUUGAGCCAAUUAAAUAAGAGCGAAAUUUAUCAAAAGCAAAAACUACCGCCAAAAAUUCCCUUUCCGUUGUUGAAUAAUUCAAUUGUGCACUUGACAAGGUUCGACUAGUAUAAUAUAUGGUUUGAAAAACUUUGUUCUUCCUUUGUCUCAAAACAGCUCCUACUGCAGAAUUGCUAGCAUCAUACAUUAGUUCAAAAGGUAAAUCCCAAUUUGGUGUUGCCAUAAUUGGUGUUGACAUUAACUUCUCCUUUGAAGUGUUAAAAGCUUGCAUGCAUUCAAUAGAGAAAUUAAAAGGAGCAUAUUUUUCCAAAAGAUUAGAAAGGGGUUUAGCAAUUUUUGAAAAAUCUUUUAUAAAUCAUUUGUAAAAUCUUGCAUGCCCCAAAAAUCCUCUAACAAGUUUCAUAGAUGUUGGCGGAGGAAAUUUUGCAAUGACCUCCACUUUGGCUCGAUCAAUUUCUAUUACGUUUUGAGAAAUUUUAUGCCCGAGCACUAUUCCUUCCUACAUCAUAAAGUGACACUUCUCCUAAUUCAAAAUAAAGUUAGUCUCCUCACAUCUUUGUAAGACCAAAGCCAAAUUAUUUAAACAAGAAUAAAAUGAUAAGCCAAAAAUGGAAAAAUCAUUCAUGAAAAUCUCAAUAAAUUUUUCAACCAUAUCAGAAAAAAUAGCCAUAAUGCAUCUUUGAAAAGUAGUCGAUGCAUUACAAAUACCAAAGGGCAUUCUUUUAAAAGCAAAAGUACCAUAGGGACAAAUGAAAGUAGUUUUCUCUUGAUCUUCUAGUGCAAUAGGAAUCUAAUUAUACCUCGAAUAUCCAUCAAUAAAGCGAUAAAACUCAUGCCCUGCAAGUCUUUCUAAUAUCUGAUUAAUAAAUGGUAAAGGAAAGUGAUAUUUUCUAGUGGCAUCAUUCAAUUUUUUGUAAUCCAUACACACACGCCACCCAGUAAUUGUUCUAGUUGGAAUCAAUUCAUUGUUGUCGUUAUUCUGAAUAGUCAUAUCACAAUUCUAUGGCACAACUUGUACAGGACUUACCUAGGAGCUAUUGGAGAUGUGAUAGAUGAUACCUGCAUCAAGUAGCUUAAUUGUCUCAAUUUUCACUAUUUCUUGCAUCUUUAGGUUCAAACACCUCUGAGGUUGGAUAGUGGGUUUAUAUUAUUCAUCCAUCAAAAUUUUGUGCAUGCAAAUUGAAUGACUAAUUCCCUUGAUAUCUGCUAUUUUCCAUCUAAUUGCACCUUUGUGCUCUCUUAAUACUCUAAGCAAUUUCUCCUCCAUCAAAUCCGUCAAAGAAGAAUAUAUAAUUACCAGUAAAGAAGAAACUCCAUCUAAAUAAGCAUAUUUUAAAUGAGAAGGUAAGGUUUGAGUUCAAGAAUUGGAGGUUCUUCAAUUGAUGGUUUAGGCUUUAUUAUGUGUUGUCCCAACUCCUCAAAUUUAGUUGCCUUUUGCCUUAAAAAUGGUGGAAUUGCCUCCAUGAAAUUUGUGUACUCCUUUAUCUUCUCAUUCUGAAUAUUUUUGUCUCUUGGUCGAAUCAGACAUGCUUCAAGUAGAUCUUUAAAAAUAUUUUCCUGAAAAACCUUAUUCACCAACUUGUCAACUGUCUCAACUCUAAAACAAGAAUUAUCAUCAGAUUGAUAUUUCAUUGUUUUAAAAAAUAUUAAAUGAAACAAGAUCAUCUUGAACUCUAAGAAUCAACUUCCCUUGUUGUACAUCAAUAAGAGCUCUUCUUGUUGUUAGAAAAGGUCGACCUAAUAUAAGUGGUACCUCAAAAUCUUCCUCCAUGUCAAGAACUAUGAAAUCUGCAAGAAAGAUAAAUUUGUCAACUUUUACCAAAACAUAUUUCACAAUACCUCUUGGAUAUUUAAUUGAUCGAUCAGCCAAUUGAAGUGACAUUGUGGUUGCUUUUACUUUGCCCAAUCCUAAUUUCUUGAAAAUUGAAUAAUGCAUCAGAUUAAUAUUUGCACCUAAAUCACAUAAUGCUUUUUCAAAGUAAGAAUCCAUAAUAGUGCAAGGAAUAGUAAAACUCAUCGGAUCUUUUAAUUUGGAGGUAAGUUGUUUUGUAGGAUGGCUAAACACUCCUUAUUUAAUUUCACAAUUUCAUAAUCCUCUAGUUUCCUUUUGUUUGCCAAAAUCUCCUUAAUUUUUUUUGCAUAACUAGGCAUUUGCGCUAAGGCAUCUGCAAAAGGAAUGUUAGGGCUUGCAUGUUUUUAUUCCUCGUUUCUGUUUCUAAACACUUUUUUUGUUUUUUUGUUCCCGGAACACAAAAAGAACAGAAAUGAGAAACAAAAAAAAGUUGUUUCUUGUUCCAGAAACGAUUUUGAAGAAACGCUUCUUCUUCUCUCUCUUCUCUUUUCUUCUUCUUUUCUUCUUCUUUUUUUCUUCUUUUUUCUUUGGCCGGUCACCGGCCUUGGCCAUGGCCGGCGAGGCCGUCGAGGGUCGGCGACCUCGCUGGAGCGUUGCCGGCCCCCGGCGAGGCGGAGCCUCGCCCAACCACGGCGAGGCUCGGCCUCGCCGGCCUCCGGCGACCGGCCGAAAGAAGAAAAAAUAAAAAAGAAAGGAAAAAAAAUGAAAAAUAAAAUAAAAAUAUUAAAAAAUUAAAAGAAACAAAAAAAUAAUAAAAUUUACCAAACGUGUUCCUGUUCAUUUUUUAUUCCGGGAACAAGUUUACCAAACGCGUUUUUUUAUUCAAAACUUGUUUCCCGGAACAUAAACACUUUUUUCUAUUUCUGUUCCCUAGAACAAUUUUUGAACAGAAACGUUACCAAACACACCCUUAAUGUGCAAUCUUUUAAAUACAUCAAGAAAUUUAGAAAAUUACUUAUCUAUUUUGUGCUGCUGGAGUCGAUGAGGGAAUGGAAUUGGCAGCACAUAUGGCUUGGGAUUAUCUGGAAAAAGUUUACUCUUGCUUGUCUCCUUUGAUUGUUUAUUGAUCAUUUCUUCCUUGUCUCUGAAAAUCUCUUGUUUGACAUCUUCUUCUCCCACUUGUUUACCACUUCUCAGGGUUAUAACCUUUAUGUUUUCAAAUGGAUUUUUCUCUGUGUUGCUUGGUAAAGAACCCUGUUGUCUCCCUAACAUCACGCUUGCUAACUGACCCACUUGCAUCUCUUGAUUUCUGAUUGAAGCCUCUUGAUUUUGAAAUCUCACAUCCGUACUUUUGAUGAAGUCAUGAGUCGUAUUAGCAAGUUUGGUGACUAUAUCUUCCAAAUUUGACUUUAUUUCUUCUGAUUGUUUGAAUCCCGGUGGUCUCGUCACAUUCUGAUUAUUCCAUGAAAAAUUUGGAUGAUUGUGCCAUCCUAGAUUGUACGUGUUGGAGUAGGGAUUAUUUUGUGAACUAUUAAAAUUCUCAACAAAGUUAGAAUUUUCAUUAGAUUGUUUAAAAGUAUUAUCUACCUGACACUCUGUGCUAACAUAUCCUUCACCACAAAAAUCACAUGUCAACUUUUGAAUUUUCAUGGCUGAAACACUCAUAUUAUCUAGCUUUUUGUUGAGUGCUUCAAAUUGUGCAACAAUUGUAGUAAAAGCAUCAACUUCGUGAACUCCGCUAACUUUUCGCAUUGGUAGUCUUUUAGUAGGUCAUUGAUAACUAUUGGAUACCAUCUCCUCUAAUAGAUCGUAGGCUUCUUCUGGUGUUUUAUUAUUUAGAGUUCCCCCUACAGCUGCAUCAAUCAUAGAACGAAGAUUUGUACUAGAGCCAUUAUAAAAAGUUUGUAUCUGCAUCGAUAUGGGUAGUCCGUGAUGUGGGCAUCUCCUAAGAAAUUCUUUGAAUCUUUCACAUGCUUCAUAUAAUGAUUCAUUAUCUAUCUGCAUAAACUUAGUAAUAUCGUUACACAUCUUCGCAAACUUUGCAAGUGGAAAGAACUUACCAAGAAAUUUCUAAGCUAUAUCAUUUCAUGUGGUGAUUGAUCCUGCAGGAAGAGAAGAAAGCCAACUCUUAGCUUUGUCUCUAAGAGAGAAUGGAAAUAAUCUCAAUCUAAUGGCAUCAUCUGUAACUCCAUUAUAUUUAAUGGUGUCACAUAUUUCAAGAAAAGUAUCCAUGUGAGCGUCUGGAUCAUCGCUUGGUAGCCCAUUGAAUUGCAUUGAUUGUUGAAGCAUUUGAAUGAGUGACGGCUUGAUCUCAAAAUUGUUUGCUUGAAUUGCAGGUCUUCUGAUACUUAAUGUGGUGCCUUGAACUAUUGGUGCAUCAUAAUCUCUUAAGAGUUUACGUGGAUUUUCAUUAUCAUUGUCUGCCAUCUUCUUAGCAUGAUUUCUCUGUUCUCUCAGUCACCUUUUGAAUGUAUGCUCGAUUUCUAGAUCAAGCUUAGGAAGUUUCCCUUGUUGGCUACGUGUCAUAAACCGAUGUACACCCUAAAAAAUAAAACAAAACGAAAGCUAGAUUAAACUUAGAAUUAUUUGGUAUCAAUAUUAAUUAGUAUUAAACAAACGAUCUCUGGCAACGGCGCAAAAAACUCGUUCGUAAAAUUCUAAACGCAAGUGAACAUGUCGAAUAAGUAAUAUAAUGAUAAGAAAAAGUAUCGUCCCAUGGAGAUCGAUGAUUAAUAAACUAAUUAAAUACUAAAGUAGAUUAAUUCUAAAAUUUAUCUAACAGAUCACAAUAUAAUUGAGAAUAAAUUUAAAAAAAAAUUUGGAGACUAAAUGCAGUAAAUCAAUCAGAUAAAUAUGUUAGAGCAUUCGAUUCCAUCAUAACCAUUAGAUAAGAAUUUAAGAUGAUUGUGGGUACAAGAACAAUAUCAAACAUGUGAUAACAGAAUUUCCUAAUCUAUUUACUAUCAUAUCUCUAGGUAUAACAAACAUACUCAGUUUAUUAAUCCACUAUUUCUAUGUAAAUUAAAAAUAAACAUGAGUGCAUUAAAUUUUUUGAAUAUUCAUGGCUUACAAUAAGUCUUUUGGAUCACCUUAUUAUCAAAAGCUAUACAAAUAACGCGGUAUAUCUCUAUUCACGUUUGAUUCAUGGUUAUAUAUUAUAAUGAGCAAUUGCAUAUUAUUACUUCUCAGUUUCAAACAUGCUCAUCAGAUCAUUCAAGUGGUGGCAUUAUGUAUAAUAAUAUAUAACUAACAUGAAUGAAAUCAAUCGCAAAACAUAAAAAUUAUGAAAUUCACAUUAUCAUGGUUAGACUACAUCGUAGCUCUAACAAAAGAAAAUUAGAACAUAGUAGAUGAAGAAAUAAAAAUAUAAAUCAAACUCAGCAUCUUGAAUCAAAAAAUAAGAAUUCUGUCACCACUUUGGUCUUCUCUUCAGAAUACUUGAAAAACUCUUAGAACAAUGAAAAACGAUCUAACAAAAGCCUAACUUCUCUCUCUCUCCCUCAAUGUUCUCAUUUUCAUAGGAUAUAUCCAAGAUCCUUAUCUCCAAGCAAUUGCACAUAAAGUCAGGGUGUAAAUCAGAGGAUUUUAAUUUGAUAUCUAUCUCCCAUUGCUUUUUGAUUUGAAUUCCUGAUUUUUGCCAUUAUUUUCCUUAUCUUCUCCAUAUCUCAUUAUUUUGCAUAAAUAAGGAAAAUUCAAAUGAUCAGAAAGAAAUCCAAAUAUUUUCUCAUAGAUAUUGCAUUAAUUGUUGCCUAAAAUAGGUAAAAUAACUCUAUUUUUAUAGAGUCAUCAGUGGUCCUCAAACUUUUAACUUAUCUAAUGUGGUCCCUGAACUUUUGAUAGAUAUUCAAUUUAGUCCAUUAACUAUAUGAAAAUGUUCAAUAUUGUCAUUAAACUUGAAUUAAUGGAAAAAUAACAUUAAACACUUCAUACAGUUUAAGAACUAAAUUGAACAUGUACAAAAAAAAUUUAAGCACUACAUUGAACAAAUUAAAAGUGCAAGAACCACAUUAUAUAUUGGGAUAAAGUUUAGGAACUGCAUUGAACAAAUUAAAAAUUCAUGGAUUACAUUACUCAAUAAGUUAAAAUUAAGAAAUCAUUUAUGUUAUUAUUUUUUUUGAAAACUUUGAAACCCUCUGAUCAUGUGUUGAUUAGUGAGUGGAGUGGCCUAUGAUUGACGUGGAAGCCAUGACUAUUCAAUAUUUUCUCACUUUGUGACAUCUUUUCGGCUAUCCUCCAUUUGAGGCAUAUGGUACACUUUUUCGGCAGCAACUAUAGAUAGAAGCUAAAACAAGCUCAAGGAACCCAAGGGAGGCCUUCUGGGUUGGAAGCCAAACUUUGUGUCCAUUUGUGAGAUGUUUGAAACUUAAGACAGAAUCUGACUUUAUCAGUAGUAGAUGUAAUUUCACUAAAUUGACAAUAACAAUAGUUGUAGAUCUAUCCCAUUAAAACUGUCCCUUAGGUAUAGGACCCCUCGUUCAACGAAUUAAUAAUGGAGGGAGAGAUGGUAAGGAGAGGAGAGAAGAUUUUGAAAACUCUAAUGAAUAGGACUCAUUUCGGACUAGUGAUAAUCAACGGGCAAAAUUGGUGCGGUAAGCCACAACUAUCCAAUAGUUUCUCACUUUUAUUAAAUAAUUUAUUGAGCGACACAUCUUUUCAUUUAUCCUUAAUGCAUGUCACCUAAAUCUGAGUGGUGUAAGCACAUGUUGAUCGACAUGCUGAAUCUCUCAAAACUACUAUGGGGAAGAGAUAGUAAUGAGAGAGAAGAGAGGAAAUUUUGAAAACUCUGUUGACACAUAAAUUUUGGCGACCAAUCAUUUAUUUUUUCACAUAAAAAUUAGGGAUUAAUUUUAACCCCUAAAAAAAAAAUGCAUCAGAACAAAAAAUGGAAAAUAAGGGGAUGAUCAAUUAUGCAUGGAAGGUGAGAAUUCUGACUAGCUAUUAUUGCUUCAAUUAGAUAUUCAAUGUUGGUAAAUGUGGAACCGAAUUUCUAGCCACAGAUAAAAAAUCAAGAGAAUAAAAGUUAAAAUGGAAACCAAAUUCAAAAUUGGCGAGGAUAAUAGCUAGAUUGAUAAAUUGAAAGGAGGAAGCGUGGCUUCGAACUUUCUAAAGAUAAGUGGAAGUUUUCUUUAUAAAAGAAUGGCGUAGAAGAAAUUCAAAAAGGGGGGAAUUGACCGGUUUGCAGGAGGAAAAGAAUGAGAGACAGAAGGGAGUGGACGUGAGAGAGACGUGAGAGAGAGGAGAGAGAAAAAAAAAAGAAGGAAAAAGGGGGCUACGCGUCGUCUUCUUCCUCUCGCUGCUGCCCCCCUUUUUGUCCGCGCCAGCUGUUCCGGCACCAUUCACCGCGCUAGCACCGCCUCCGCCAGCCAUCUCCGCGCCUCCGCCGCCGUCACUCCGACACCGCUGCCCUGCCGGUGUCCCGCCAGUCGCCGGAGAUCCCCCUCACCCACGAGCCCGCAUCGGAACCACGAGCGCCUGCCACCACGCCUUCGUUCGAGCGCUAACACCACCUCUGCUGAACGCUGUGCCUCUGUGAUCCGUCGAUCGCCGCCGCAGCACCGCCGUCGAAGCCGUAACACCAGCAAACCUGCGAAGCCGAUCCGCGACAACGCUGCUUCCCCUGCCCCGUCCGGAUCUGCCAAUCGCCGCCGGUUUGAGAUUUGCCGCACCAGCCCAGUCGUCCGCGACCCCUUUUGCCGGCGCCGCUUUGAUCUCACACUUCACGCUGGUGACCUGCGACGACUCUGCGACCUCCUGCUCGCUUGUCAUCGUGCCAGAGUACCGCUCGGUUCGCCGCACCCCUGCGCCGGAGCUCGACGCCGUCGCCGCCCAACAGCCUGCGACGCCCCGAUGCCAAGCGAGCCUCGCACUGCUGCUGACGUCGUUGCCCAGCGACCCGCGAUCCAGCUCCACCUCCGCUGUUGCUCCGAGCUCGAGCCCGCCGCCGUCUACCUGCCGCUGCUCCACGCCGGAACUCCGACGACUAGUCAACGACCUCUGCGUCGCCGCGUCGCCGUGUCCACCCCCAUUGCUUUGCCGUCUCCUUAGGUAGUUUAGUUUUUUUUUCUUCUUUUAUUUAUUUAUUUUAUUUCAUUUUAUCUCAUUUUUUUGUUAUUUAUUUUUUACUUUAUUUAAGUUGUAAUAUUUGAUGUCAAUAAAUAUUGUAGGCAUUAUCUGAAGGGAUUUUGUUUGGAAUUAUUGUAAUUAUUAAUUUAAUCUGAGAGAAAUCGGAUUAUUUUUUUAAUUAUAUUAAUUUUUGAGCUUUUUGGUAGAAUUUUAAUUGUUAAAUCAUUAUAAUUAUUAAUUUGAUAUGUAAGACUUCGGAUCACAUUUUUAAUUAUUUUGAUCUCUUUGUCGGAUAAUUAGGGUUAUAAUAAUCGUUAAUUUGACCUGUGAGACAACAUGUUAUUUUUUUCGAUUAUUUUAAUCCUUUAUUUUGUUGAUAGUUUAGAUUUAAUAUUUAUUUAAUAAUUACUUAUCUUUUUUUUUUAAAUCAAAAUAAAAAAAUCAAAAUUCUGCAUGAGCAUAUAGGUUUAGUAAAUCGGACAUGUAUGUUUAGUAAAUUAGAAUUUUUUUAGGAUUACAUUUUUAGGAUUGCAUUUUUAGAAAUAGGUUAGGGUUGAACCUAAAUAAAUUUUUUAGGGUUUUAGAUAAUGUUCGCACAUUUUAAUUAUCUCAUUUUUCCAAAAAAAAUAUAGUUUUCUAAGAUAGGAUAGAGUUUAAGUCAAAUUAAUCCCUAAAAUAAAUUAGAAAAUUAUCCCUUUUUAGAUAGAUUAAUUAGGGUUUUCAUAAAUUCUGAAUUUCAAUAAAAAAAUGCAAAAAUACUAGGUGCAUGUUAACUAGUUUGCAUAAUAGGAUCAUAUAAUCAGAAUUUGUUCAUUAGUAAAAUUAGGUCAUGAGGUGCAUGUUAAUUAGUUUGCAUAAUAUACCCAUUUAAUUAGAAUUUGCAUAUUAAUAAGAUUAAGUCAUUUAGUUAAGAAAUGCAUUUGUAUAAAAGAAUUCUAAUUUUCAAGAAAACCCAAAAAAAUUGUUUGCUUUGUGUGAUGCAAUUUAUUUGUUGAAUGUUUAAUAAUGAUUGAGCAUUUUUGCGAUCAUCCCAUUGCAUGAUAGUAAUUUAAGUUAAAAUAAAUCCAAGUUGCCUGCAAUUUUUUUUUAUAAAUAAAAAUAAAAGAAAUGGUACCGAAAGGGCAUUAGAGAAAUUUAGUGUACCCAAGUCCCUGUACCUAUAGUCUCUGGUUCGUAGGAGUAAAAUAAUCAUUCAUUAUUUUACUUAGGUGUCUAAUCGACCUACCAUAAACCGAUUAGUGGCGACUCCUAGUUAAUAACCUAUUGCAUGUUAAAUAUUUGAACUUUAAGUCGCAAAUUGGUAUGGGCUUGGGAGAGCUCGAGCUAAAUUUAAAGACUUAGUAGUCCAUUAACCUAAUUUUAGGUGGUGCACCUGAAAAUUAGGUCACGAAAACUCUAAUGAGUAGGAUUCAUUUCAGUGUUAAUCAAUCUCGAAAAGCCACAACUAUCCAAUACUUUCUCACUUUUAUUAAAUAAUUUAUUGAGUGACACGACAUCUUUUUGUUUAUCAUCAAUGCAUGUCACCUAAAUCUGAGAGGUGUAAGCAUAUGUUGGCUGACAUGUCAAACAUCUAACGUCUACUAUGGAUGGAUGCUGGAAGGGGGGACUUUUUUGGAUUGGAAGCCAAAUUUUGUGUUCUUUUGUGAGAUAUUUGAAAGUUCUCAUAUAGAAUCUGACUUUAUUAUUAGCAUGUGUCUAGAUUGACAAUAACUAUGUUCCUAGAUCCAUGUUAUUAAGAUUUUGACUUUGAUAUAGGACACCUUUGUUAAGCCUCAAUCGAAGCUCAUCUAUGGACAACGUCUUUGUGUAUUGAUUAUGAUUUCUCAGUCUCAAUAAACAACAACCAUCAAAAGUUACAUGUGAAAAGCAAAUUUUUUUAUCUGUAGGCAUUGUAGGACAAUACAUACGGUGGAAAGGAAGUUUGGUGGAGUCCUAGUUUGAAUGGGAGACAUAUCCUACUAUUCAUAGCCACCUUAGGAAAGGGAGUUUGGUGGAGUCCUAGUUUGAAUGGGAGACAUAUCCUACUUUUCAUAGCCACCCUAGCCAAACUCACAUUGAUUUUGUAGUAGAGACGCCCUAUUGAUUUGGAGCGGCUAGAUUUGGGGGCAUUAGUUUUCGCUUCUUUAGAAGGAUUUUGUGACAUUUGCGAUCGAUAGCAAACUACCUUCAGCUGUGAGAGUAGAGAUAUGAAAGCACGAGGUUGCAUUUAUUCCUGACUUGAUGUCGUGAAAACGUUCUAUUACAUUUUUUUUAUGGUUUCUUUUUGAAAUUUGGCGAGUCCUCACUCAUGUUCUUUGAUAUUCUUUAUUUAUUUGUGGGAUGUUUGAAACUUUAGACAUAAUCUAACUUUAUCAGUAGUAGAUGUAAUUUCACUAAAUUGACAAUAACAAUAGUUGUAGAUCUGUCCCAUUAAAAUUGUGACUUAGGUAUAGGACCCCUCGUUCAACGAAUUAAUAAUGGAGGGAGAGAUAGUAAGGAGAGAAGAGAGAAGAUUUUGAAAACUCUAAUGAAUAGGACUCAUUUUGGACACGUAAUCAACGGGCGGAAUUGGUGCGGAAAGCCACAACUAUCCAAUAGUUUCUCACUUUUAUUAAAUAAUUUAUUGAGCGACACAUCUUUUCAUUUAUCCUUAAUGCAUGUCACCUAAAUUUGAGCGGUGUAAGCACAUGUCGACCGACAUGAUGAAUCUCUCAAAACUACUAUGGAGAAGAGAUAGUAAGGAGAGAGAAGAGAGGAAAUUUUGAAAACUCUAAUGAGUAGUGUGACAUCCCGAUUUUCAACCCUGCUUUCGACUAAAUGAAAUAGGCUUUUAAUCGAUGCACCUAUAGUCUUUUUCUCUGAGCUAGUCACUCACAAGAUAACUAAUCUAUUUGGUGAAGCCGUUAAGGAAUAUAAACGCGACUGAUUUGAGAACUCGAUCAGAAAUCGACUGCUCGACCGUGCUAAUCUGCAAGAGUCAAUAUAGCACAAUUAAAAUUGAUUAGAAACUGGAGAUAGGUCGUUUCGACAGAGGCAUGUAAGUAAAGUGUGGGUGAUUCCACCUGAUUGCAAAAUUCAUGUUGAACGGCACUAAACCGAUUUUUCUGUUGUUUCUGUACUCCGUGCUUGUAUUUGAAAUUUUGAGAUUUUUACGACAAUCGAGAGUCGCCUAUGAGUCGAAGAUGCAUAUUGUGGAUCAAAAAUAAUCGACCGCGAGUCAAUUGCGCUAAAAAAAUUCUUAAAAGCUACUCCAUAGGUUAGGUUAUGCUAAAAUCACAUCCGGUUGAAAUUAACCACAAAAUUGAACCUGAUUUCAGGAAUCAAAAGUUCUAGCAUGUCACAAUUAUUUUAGGAACAUCGACUCAUCCUUCAAAGAAUUUUUGAUAAGCGCAGAUUUUUGGCGAAAAUUCAAAAUUGAGCGAUUUUGGACCGGGAAAUUCGGAUGACCGUUCUUGGGUGGAUUUUGACCUUCAAGUUUGAUCAAUUGGUGAGGAACAUUAUGAAAAUUGGUGUGGGUUUCCUCCUCAGCAUCUUGGCCAUUUAAUUGAGUUCAAUUGGAGUGAAAUUGGUGUGAAAUUGAUGAGGGAAGUCACCAAAUUCGUAGGCCAUGGGAGGUUGCAACAUUUGGGUAUCAUCCUUGGCUUGUGGAGGAAGAUUGAGUGGGAAAAUGGCUGUUGUCCUUAGCUGAUGGCUGGUGGGGCCUUGCACUUGAGUUCUAGGAUAUUUUGGCUUGACUUUGUGGUCCCUUUGUCCCCCUCCAUCCAGCAGUAGCCUCAUCUUCUUCUUCAUUUGGAUCAGCUAAAGACUCCAUUUCCAGAGCCAAGCAACUAGCAAAGCUCCUUAUCGAACUAGCUAGUAGCCCGCAAGCCAUCGUCGAGAUUGCAAGCCGCCCGCACGCCAUCUUGCUCGUCUGCUCGUGCUCCGUCUCCUAUUCGCAUCCCCCGCAUCCUGAGCUGUUGUCUGCUGGUGCUAGCGUCCGCCGAAUCCAACUUGUCGACUAGCUUCUUCGUUGGCUGCCUUAGCUUAUCCCCAACGUUGCCUGGUUUCGCCAUACUCACUUCUGUGCUAGUCCAGCCGUUCCAGCCAUCUUAGUCAUUCAGUCCAGCCAAAGUAGAAACGAAACUCACAGCCUGGGCUGUGAGCUUCAUGGGCCAUUUCUGGGCCCUUCUAAGCCUCGUUGGGUGUCACCGUAGACCCGAGUCUUACACGCUUUGCGUCACCGUCGCCGUGAACUCAUCGGCUUGCUAAUUCGAUGAGUUUACUUGCUAAAAUCUACUUAAGGAGUUAAUUAUACUUAGAGGAGGAUUAGUUUAGACUAAGAUUAGGUUAGGAGGAUUAGUUAGUGUAAUUAGUGAUUUAGUUAGUUAAUUAGGCUAAUUAUGUGGUUAGAUUAGUUUAGUUAGGGGUUAAUUAGACUGUGUUAUAGUUAGCUUAGUACAUUCUUUAUUCAAGUCCAAUUAGGUGGUUAGAUUAGUGUAUAUAGCUUAAUUAGUGAUUUAUUUAAUUAUUUUGUAAUUUAUUUAAUUAUUUAUUAUUUUCCAAAAGUUAUACCGAGAUAGCCAGUCGUUAGAAUUUUGUGCUGAUUGUUGUGGUGUAACUAGUUUGUGCAAUUGAUUGUUAAAUUGUGCAAUUGAAUGAUGAUUAGUGAAUUUUGAUUUAUUAUUUCAGAAUUAUGGAUGUUUGGUAGUUAAUUAGAAAAUACUAGGUGUCGGGUUUUGACACCAAAAAUGUUUUUAAGUACUAUAUCAAAUCAUGGGAUUUUUAAAUGAGAGAAUAUAACUUUUUAUGGCUUAAUCUGACCGUGUACUCAUACACGAUUAUUUUUCCGGGUGUUCUUAAUAUGAAGAAAAUAGGCCAAGUACAUUAUUUAAAUUGAGACAUUUGAGUGUAAAGCACAAUGUUCUUGGUCGGGAUUGGGUGUGCGUGUGAUCUUAUGAGACCCUGUCACGAGCAUUUACGUCGGGCGAUGCUCCUAUAUGGAAUGCCCUUGUUAACGGAUGCCGGUUGUAGUAGAGGUUGGGUCGAUGCUACUUUGGGAAUACCGUCUAAAGGUAAACGUUGCUGUGCUCGAUGGGGCGUGACGAUGCUCGGUUACGCUGGAAGACCUCCGAACGUCGAGUAGGCCAUGCUUGUGGGGCUGUAAUUAAUUGGAAUGCUUAUUUGAGUGAGAUAUAACCGCGCCUGAUUAUGAGACAAAACUGUGUGACACGGAAUGAGAUGUAUCAUAACGAUUUGGCCUUAUAAUUGGGACCCCUGUGAUUGAUUGAUUUGAAAGUGAGGCGUUCUAGUUAUUAAUUGCAUUUACUGCAUUUAUAAAUGUUAUAUGAGUUGUACUAACGUGCAAGGAGGUGCUGAGGCGAGGUAAGUCUGCUAUGGUGUGUGAUUAGACUACCUUUAGGUGUAUUACCUUCCUAAUCGGGGUUUAGGGUGUGAACUCGCUUAGACAUUGUCUCAUCUUGUCUUGGUUUAACUUUUUACAGGUCCUUAGAUAGAAGUUUGUCUUGUUCAUUUUGGGUAGCCGCGAGGGUAUAACAAGCAGAGUACCAUCUUCCUUGUCCCCGGGAAUCCCUGGACCUGUGAACUCGUUGUGACCAUGAUCUUGGUCGAUGAGGGCCUACCUCAGUUGGUACCUCAUCAAUUCAAGGCAUGGUUUUGUCAUGGGCCUAAUGGGGAACGGGAAGGUCCCGUGGAUGUUUUUGACGGACCCACCGUCGAGAGUGAGGGUGAGGUGGUACUCGACCCUGUUGUGGACGCCGAUAUUAUCGCAAAUAUCAAGGUGAACCAGUUACCUGAGGAUGAGCAAGAGCUCGAAGUUGAGGAGGUAGUUGACCCAUUAGACAUCGACAUCCCCGACGGUGUCGUGAUAGACCUGGAUCCCAAGUAGAUAGGGUCCGGGGUAGGGUUAGCUAAGUAGUCCUUUUUGGGGCCUUGACUUUUGUAUAUAACUUUGCAGGCUGACCUGGAUGUUUAUAAAAGUGUGGUUUGUUUAAAUUGAUUGUCCCGCUUUUCUAUCCCAUGUGGAUUAUUGUCUGGGGAUUGUUUAUUUUGCUUCUGCAUGUGCAUGAAUCGUUUUGGGUUGGCGACGCAUCUUGGGAACAUCGCAAUUUGAUUGACCAUCGAGGGAUGUGCGCGUGCUCGAGGUUUGGGACGUGACAAGUAGGACUCAUUUUAGUGUUAAUCAAUGAGUGGAGCUGGCACGGAAAGCCACAACUAUCCAAUACUUUCUCACUUUUAUUAAAUAAUUUAUUGAGUGACACGACAUCUUUUCGUUUAUCAUCAAUGCAUGUCACCUAAAUUUUAGAGGUGUAAGCAUAUUCGGCUGACAUGUCAAACAUCUAACGUCUACUAUGGAUGGAUGCUAGAAAGGGGGACUUUUUUGGAUUGGAAGCCAAAUAUUGUGUUCUUUUGUGAGAUAUUUGAAAGUUCUCAUAUAGAAUCUAACUUUAUCAUUAGCAUGUGUCUAGAUUGAUUACUAUCUUCCCAUAUCCAUGUUAUUAAGAUUUUGACUUUGAUAUAGGACACCUUUGUUAAGCCUUAAUCGAAGCUCAUCUAUGGACAGCGUCUUUGUGUAUUGAUUAUGAUUUCUCAGUCUCAAUAAACAACAACCAUCAAAAGUUACAUGUGAAAAGCAAAUUUUUUUUUUUAUCUGUAGGUGUUGUAGGACAAUAUGUAUGAUAGAAAGGGAGUUUGGUGGAGUCCUAGUUUGAAUGUGAGACAUAUCCUACUAUUCAUAGCCACCCUAGCCAAACUCACAUCGAUUUUGUACUAGCGACGCCCUAUUGAUUAGGAGUGGUUGGAUUUGGGGGGGCAUUAGUUUUCGCUUCUUUAGAAGGAUUUUGUGACAUUUGCAAUCGAUAACAAACUACCUUAGGCUAUGAGAGUAGAGAUAUGAAAGCAUGAGGUUGCAUUUAUUCUUGACUUGAUGUUGCGAAAACGUUCUAUUACGUUUUUUUUUAUGGUUUCUUUUUGAAAUUUGGCGAGUCCUCACUCAUUUUCUUUAAUAUUCUUUCUUUAUUUUUUUUUGUUUAUAUGCAAUGGUAUUUGGGAGAACGUUUUAUAAUUUGAGAACCAAUUUUUAUAAUAAGGAAAAUAAAAAGUUAGAGGCUUUUCAUGAUAUUUGGCCUUCAAAUUAUUUCUAUUUUGUCUACUAUUGCUAAUACUUCUAUUAGUUUAUCUUAAAGGAGACAACAUUUUUUAAUGACUAUUUUUUAUAGAAAAAAUUAAAGUCGGAAGUUGGGGAUAAUCAGUAUAUUUCCUCAAAUGUCGAUAUUUCUAGGAUAAUAUAUAUGUCUCCUUUAACUGUACAUAUCCUCGAUUGAAAAUUUUUCAUUACAAGAGAAACAAUAAUUCUCUCUUACACAUAUUUCUUCUCUUACUACAGAGCUUUUUGUGGGGGAAAAAAAAGAUACGUAAGUGCCAUAUGACUUUUUUGAGCAGUUUGGUCCUAUAUCGCCACGUUGGUCGAAUAUUGAUUGCUACAGUGCUUCCCGUGAAAAAUUCCGGCGAUUUGUUUUAUGUGGUUUUUAAAAUAAAUUUUUAAGUCUGGUGUGGCAUUUUAAAAAGAAAUUGAAGUCUGGACAAAGCACAAGAGGACGUGGCACUUGUGGUACUUGAUUUUGCGCUGAGUUUUCUGCAACUUGCAAUUUUUUUUUUUGGCAAGGUUGCAAUUUUUUAUUUUCAUCAGAAAAAAUAUCAAAAAAGUCUUGAACCUAUUAUAUUAAUACCAAUUUAAUUCUAAACAUUACAAUUAAAUAAAUUUAAUCCCAAAUACAUUUGUGCCAAUUGAGUCUAUUCAAACAAUAUUCACUAGAAACCGCUCACACAAACACCGGUUGUCUUAUGUAGCAUGAUUGAGGUCAAGAUGGAUAAAUUUUUAAUAUUUUUUUCUGAAUUUUUACUAUUUUUUUUUUCAUUAUGGCCAAAGAAGCCUUGUAGCCUAGCUGAGGGACUGUGACACUUGCUAGUGGCCAGCAAGGGCUCACAAGCCCUCGCCUGGUGCUUGGCAAGGUUCGCUAGUGACCUAUUUUGACCACAAUGGAAAAAGAAAAGAAAAGAAAAGAACCAUAAUAAAAAAGUUUACAAAAAAUUAAAAAAAUGUUAUUUGUCCAUGUCAAUGCUAAUUGUGCCACAUAGGACGGGAUGUCAAAGUUAGUGAUUUUCGGCAAAAAUUUACCGGAUGAACUCAAUUGUCACAAAUGCAAAAUGUUUAUGACUAAAUUGGUUCAAUUGAAAGAUUUAAAACUUAAUUAAAAUCAAUGUAAUAAGUUUAAGAAUUUUUUUUUAAAUACUUUUCCUUUUCACCGUCUUGUCAGUCACGAAGGGGCCAUUCCCGCUUCAAUACUCCUCAAAUUGGAAGAUCAAUUCCUUUGAUAGUUACCAGUAGAUCCCUAAACGGGAACACACGUGUGGCUUCGGCUUCACAUUGCAGAGCAACGCCUAGCCUCCACCACUUUGUCCUGACCAAGUUGACAUGAUCGGGAACCACUUGUUAAUUACAACAGCUAAUUUUGCCUAGUUCAUCGUUUGUGGAGUUAGGGUUUCAAGAGCACAAUAACUUAAUCUAAAAUUGUUAAUUUAAGGCAAACAAAUGUGAUGCGAGACUUCUUUUCCAAUGAUUUUAUUUUGUUGGCAAGCUGCAUCGAACAUUUUAUAUUAAAAUAAGGCUAUGUCAGAUUUUCCAUAUACACAAAUCGCCAAUGGCACUAAGGCGAUUAAUUUUUCAGCAAAAUUGCAUUGAAGUGAUUGGGAAAAAGGUUGUGGCACUGAAACGAGUACUAGGUUAUGACACUUGAAGCAUUAUUUUCUUAAGCUUUUGUUGUUUGAGGAAGAGUUCAUUGAGCCUUUUACACAACAUUCGUAGCAACAAUACAUGAGUCACGUCGAUGUCGUUUUCCACUAAACUCGCCGCUCGAGUGCUGUUCUGACGAUUUAUGUUGCUUGUUUCGAAAAACAAGCACAACCAUUAGAUGAGCUGAAUUCGGAAAUUUCGUUGCCAUUCGCUGCCCCAAGUGCACCUUAUGCGCCUCUGCCCCCAUUGGGUUCACACGCCUUGUGCCUUUGUGCGCCGAAAGCUCCUUCGCAUGUAUUGUUGACGUCAUCACACAUCAGUACUGGCGAGGCAUCCAGUCAAUGCACACGUCAUGUAGAAAACGUUUGGCAUGUAGAAACAAAAAUAACUCAUCUAAACUUCCAUUAACACCCAAUCUGAUUGAACUUUAAAUUUUUAGGUUCAUUUUCACCUUACCUUUUAAAUGUUUAAACAACCCAUGUACAACCUGAUUGUAAAAAUAUGAGUCAAAGAAAGGUUUUGUGUCAUGUUUCGACACCAAUAUUUUUAAAGCACGGGGUUUUUAUCUCUCCAAAUUAAACAUGGUGUGUCGAGGAUAACCAUUUUAGGAGGGAAAAAAAAUAAGCAGGUGAAUUACAAUGCUUGGAGAAUGGCUCGUGUAAAUAGAAAAAAUUGCACCGAAAGCAACUAAAAACAUUUCCAUGACGGCCUCCACAACAACCCCCAUAUAAAGGAUGGUUAGCAUACUAAGAGACAUGCAAUAAAUUUCGGAAUGGCUCUUCCAGUUUUGUGCCCAAGCUUCCUCCCCUCCGCGAUCUGCCAUAAUCAACCCUCUCUCUUAUCGUUUAGACACCUUCGCUCCUCCUCCUCCUCCUCCUCCGGCGCCCAAUUCGUGACAUGCGCUUUGAAGAUUGAAGAUCAAGAGAUUGCAAGACGUUCGGCGAAUUGGGAACCCAGUGUUUGGGACUAUGGUGUUGUGCAGUCACUCAGUGUUGAUUACAUGGUAAUGAUUUUCAUUUUUCGCCACAAAACCCAGCCUAGCUUAAGUACUCUGGAAAAUAUUCACAUUUGGUCCUGAAUUUGCGUUCUUUUUCCAAUUUGGUCCUCAAACUUGCAAAAAUUCCCUAUCAAACUUUUUGGUCUAUGGUUCUGACAAUUUAAAGUUGAUGUUCAUGUCAAUGCUAGCUAAAAGUAAGAUGUGGAAAAACUCGCCAUUAUUGUGGAUAUUCAAUUCGCGAAACUACAAAAACAAUAACUCGAAGAUAAAUUUCAGCAAAUUUCACUAACACUUUCUUCCAUGAUGGCACUCAUUAUUUGAAUAUUAGCCUUCUGUUGGCAUCAAUUAGUGCCUCGGCUUCACUUUGCUGUGUUCAAGUCUUAAGUUACCAUAUUGACAAAAAAAAUAAAAAAAUCAGUGAGCUAACCGCACUUUUUCCCUAUUUUCUAUUUACUUUGAUGGGAUGGGUCCACAAAUUCCAAAACGACAUAGAAACGAAAGAAAAACUGUACUUUGAAUUAGAUAUAUGUAACAUCAAUUUACAUAUUCAUCCAAUGCCAUAGUAUCGAAUGUAUGACCAACCACAACAAUAUUAUAUAGAAGAUAUUGACAAACCUGGUCAAAAUGGCAUAUUUAGACAAGAGCUCAACAGUGCCUAUUAAAAUGUGUCUGCAAAUAUAUUGAGAAUCGAUCUGUUUUAAUACGAGAGGCGAUAUUCUAGUUUGCUUGUGCAUUAACUUUGAGUUCUUCAUGUGCCUAGGAGGAUAAAUAUAUGGAGCAAGUUCAAAGGUUGAAGGAAGAAGUUAGGGGUCUAUUUGACAGGGAGAUAAAUCAGGUGGCCAAGCUCGAGUUCAUUGACGUGGUUCAAAGACUAGGACUAGGAUACCAUUUCGAGACGGAGAUCAAGAAUGCUCUAAGUUCCAUCUAUAACAACACCGAAGAUGCUCAAAUUUCAGAUAAUCUCUAUGCUGCUUCUCUUCGAUUCCGACUCCUCAGACAACAUGGAUACAACAUACCGCAGGGUACUUGCCAACUAGUUUACCUUUUGUGGAAUAUGUUGACGCAUCAAAUUUUACCCUACCAUUUCAUCUGUUGGACAUGUAGAUGUGUUUCAAAGGUUUAUGAGCAAGAUGGGCACAUUCAACGAAUCGCUCCAUGAAGAUGUGAAGGGGCUUCUUGGUCUUUAUGAAGCUUCUUUUCACGGAUUGGAAGGCGAAACCAUACUCGAUGAAGGUUGGAAAUUCGCUUCAAAGCAUCUGAAGGAUCUAAACCUCAACGAAGUUCCCACUGAUAUAGCGAGCAACGUGAGUCAUGCAUUAGAUAUGCCGAUCCACUGGAGGCCAAACAGGUUGGAGGCUCGGUGGUUCAUGGACAUGUACGGGAAACAGCAAGACACGAUCCCUUCUUUGUUACGAUUGGCUAAAAUAGACUUUAAUUUAGUGCAAUCAAUCCAUAGGAAGGAAGUUAGCAAUCUGGCAAGGUAUGCACAAGCACUCUAUAGUUCAUGCAAUUUGGCAAAGUAGGAGUGCAUUUUGAUUGACUUACUCAUCAUAUGACAAAAUUUUCAGGUGGUGGGUUGAACUUGGGGCGAACAAGAUGACCUUCUUUAGGGACAGACUAGUGGAAAACUAUUUUUGGAGCUGUAUAUUUGUUUUUGAACCUCAAUAUACAGCUUUCAGAGAAUUGAAUACAAGGAUUGGUUGUCUAGUGACACUUAUCGAUGACGUUUAUGAUAUAUAUGGGACGCCAGAAGAGCUUGAGCUCUUAACAGAUUUCAUUCUCAGGUUAUCACUACCAUCAUAAUUUACUCUUGUAACCUAUUAUGGCCAAGAAAAAAGACGGAAUUAAUUAGUCUAUGAACAUCUUGCCCAGAACAAAUCCUGAAAAUUGUAUUAAUGAAAUAAAUUCUUUGAUGUGUUUUGCUCAUAUCAUGUUUUAUGUCAGCUUGUUUUUCUUCUAUGUAAUUGUUUGGUUUCAGCUAGUAAAGUUAUGGUAUGCACUAAUUGUCAUUGUUGUUACUAAAAAGCAUAUUGAAUGACGGUAAAAUUGAUAAGAUUAUUGAAAUGGUGAUAACUUUUCUAGGUGGGAUAUUACAAAUAUAGAUAAGCUUCCUCCAACAAUAAGAGAGAGCUUUAUGGUCUUGUACAACACGACCAACGAAGUUGGGUAUUGGACAAUGAGAGAACGAGGAAUCAACCCCAUCCCUUGCGAAAAGUGGUAAUCUUGACUUGCUAAAUCUUUCGCGUUAUAAUUUCUAGCCCGCAUCAAUUAACUCAUUUUUCUACUUCUAACUUUCCUUAUGACUUCUCUUUGAACAUUGAGAAUCCAUGAAGGUGUGAGAAAAGAAGGUCCCUCGACUUUGUCAUUGACACCUUUUUCGAAUUUUAAUCCUAUAGUGGGCCGAUGAAUGCAAGGCGUACAUGAAGGAGGUCUAUUGGUACAACAAGGGCAUUAAACCGACACUGAAGGAGUACAUGGACGUUGCGGUGGAUUCAAUCGGAGGGCUGAUUUUGAUGUUGGAUAGCUACUUCCUAACCACGGACGAAGUGACGGAAGAGGGACUUGAUUAUGUGUCAAAAAUCCCGGGUGUCAUGCAUUCUUCUGCCAGGAUCCUUCGCUUCAAUGAUGAUCUCAGUACAUCAUCGGUAACUUACUUUGAUAGUUGUGCUUUCUUAUAAAUUAUCUCUUAUAAAAAAUACACAUUAUUGGAAUAUCCACAGUGAUAUGCUAUUCAUUUUCUAUAUCUCUGAUACAAAUGUGAAAUGAAUGUGGAGAAUUAUGUUUGUAACCCAUCAUCAUUGUCCAUGCUUAGCAUGAAUUGGCACGAGGAGACAACUCCAAGGCAUUGGAAUGCUACAUGAAUGAAACCGGUGCUUCAGAAGAGGCCGCACGAGAACAUAUCAAGCAUCUAGUGCUCGAGACUUGGAAGAAGAUGAAUAAAGAAGUGUUUGAGGACUACCCAUUCUCCGGGUUCAAGCCUUUUCUCGGUGCCUGUUUGAACUUGGCACGGGCUUCUCAUUGCUUUUACGAUUAUGGAGACGGACACGGCCUUCCCGGUCACCAAACCAAGGACCAUCUUGUGUCGACUAUAUUUAAAUCCGUGCCCCUCGAUUAGGGAUGCAUUGUUGACCAAGGUCUUGCUAUUGGAGAGAGCCUUUAAUCUUAUGUGUUAUUGUUAGCUUUAGGGUGGCUCUAUGAUCUCCAAGAUAUUGAAACUACUGUAAUUGAAGCCUAUUGAGGGGUGUUUUUACAAGCUUCAUAAAAUUGGGCAGAGAACCACAUGCUAUUCCGUGCUUUGCGUUGUGGCUGAUUACAUAAUUGCCGAUCGUAUUUGUGGUGAUUGAUUUCUAUUUUAUGUUAAAAAAACAUAGCAUUUUAUAUUGGAGAAAAAUUGAAAAGAAAAAGAACCAACAACAGAAAAUAAUUUAUGUAAAAAAUAUAUCAUUAUUUUGCCAAGAUUCUUUGACUUACCAAUGAUUUUAGUACAUCGUCGGUAACUUACUUUUAUAUUGUUCCUCUCCUUGUAAAUAGUGGCUAUAAGAACAAAGAAGUACAUCAUUGGUAUAUUUGUAGCGGUGAGCUAUUGUUUUUAAUUUCGUCGAUGUGAGAGUGAGAAGAUUAUUUGGACAUAUUUAUAGCCCAACAAUAUUGUCCAUGCUUAGUAUGAAUUGGCACGAGGAGACAUCUUUAAGGUGCUAGAAUACUACAUGAAUGAAACCAGCACUUCAGACGAGGCUGUGCGGGAACACAUGAGGUAUACAAUGCAUGAGACCUAGAAGAGGAUGAAUAGAGUUGUGUUUGAAGACUACCCAGUUCCUGGAUCCAUGCUUUUUCUUGGUGUCUAUUUAAACUUGGCAUGAGUUUCUCAUACUUGCUAGUGACAAAGCCAAUGAUCAUUUCGCGUUGGCUAUAUACGAACCUUUGAGUACCAUAUUGAUUACUACAAUGGCUUCGGUGAGAUAUUUGGGCGAUUGGUCUUACAUGGCUUUUCAAUGAAUUUUUAAAUUCGAUGUGCCAUUUAAAAAAAAAGAAGUUUGGACAAAGCACGAGAGGACGUGGCACUUGUGAAUAAAUGAAAGUUGUCGUGACCUUUUCCUCGGGGGGAGGGAAUAUAUAUAGGGGUAUUGCCCGAAGAUCGGGUCUAUGACCCAUGUUUAGGCACGGGCUCUCCCGAGAUCCUUGGUUGCAUGUUGUUUUAUGCAAUCACUAAAAUAAUAGUUAGCAGCCAAGGAAAACAUUUAAAUAAAUUGCAUGGGACAACAUGCAAACAAGGGUAAUUAUCUUUGAGGACAAUUGAAACUCUAAGGUAAAAUCCUAAGGGCUUACUCAAUUUUUUAGCACAAAUUUUUUAGCUAAGAAGCUUCCAUUUUUUAAGAAAAUAACUCUGAAAAUCUUUUUGUAAAUUUUUUCAAAAGAAAUUUUGAAUUUUCUGACAUUUUUCAAUUUUUUUUAUUUUCGUAAUUUUCUUUUAUUCUCUGCCCUUUUGUCUUCUUCCAUAUUUUGUCUUUUCCCAAAGCCAACUUUUGCUUUCCUUUUUCCCUAUUUUUUUAAUCUUUUAUUCCUUUUGCUUUUUCUUUUAUGCUCCGUUCGUUUCAUGGAAAAUAACUUAUGGGAAAAUAUUUUCCGGAAUUUCUGGUGUUCGGAUGGCGGAAAAUAAAUGGUCAAGGAAGAUAUUUUCCGGUCAAAGGAAAAUUUGCCCAUCAAAUCUUGGAAAAUGAUUUCCUCUUUUGAAAGAGGAAAUCAUUUUCCGGAGGAAAUCUUUUCCCGUCGCGUGCUCUCAUCUUUCAUUACUCAUAUGUUUUGCCCUCUUUCUCGUUCUGCCCUCUUUCUCACAAAACCUAGGGCUUAUGAUCUUGUCAUCCUCCUCCUUCGACGCCAACGAUUAGCAGCAGCGGGGCCGACAGUGCUGGAUCUCCGCCCUCACGAAGCCCUAGGUUUCUGUUCUCGUCCUCCUCCUUCGAUGCCGACGAUUAGCAGUAGCAGGGCCGGCGAUGUUGGAUCUCUGCCCUCAUGAAGCCCUGUGAUCUCGUCCUCCUCCUUUGACGCUGAUGAUUAGCAGCAGCGGAGCCUCCCCCUCGUCCAGCGGUGCUCGAUCUCUGCGACCUGCCCUGCUUCCUCUUCACUGCUGGUCAGUUCAUACUCUUCCACGCGUAGUUGUCUUCAAGUGGCGUAUGCACGGAUUGAAGCGUCCUCAUAGAUCUCUCUCCUUUUGUUUGCAUGUUUAGAGGGUUUUUGGGGGGAGGAUUCCAUCGAUCCUUUGAUUGAAUGUGCGUUGGGGAGGAGGAGGAGGAGUAAGACAAGACCCAGCGAAGAUGCAGCAGCCUCCGCAGAUGAUCCCCGUGUUGCCCUCGUUUCCCCCGACCAACAUCACCACCGAGCAGAUUCAAAAGGUAUCUCCUCCUCUCCCUCUCCCUCUUCCCUCUUCCCCCAAUCGAAUCCUCUCCCGCCAUCUAUUCCUUCUAGCUUCGGUCACUCAGUGCGAUUUACCAACUACGAGUCGCUAGGUUGACUGCUUUCUUCCUAGGAAACUGAUGGCGGGACAUUGAGCAAUUGGUCUCGUGCUAAUCACAGAUUUUCAGUCUUCUAAAGAGAGAAGUGGAUGCAUGAGUCCUGACUUCCUAUGUCUACCCAUCUACGUGUCGUAUUUGAACAAUGAUAUAUGCAUAUCAGAAACAUGAAGUAUGCACGGAGAUUGAACUGCAUCAUAGCAAAUGGUUGGCAAAGCUUGUGCGACCAAGUGUUGUACAGGGGUUUUUCAAGUAACAUUGUUGGUUAUGAAAAAACUCAAUUUACUUAAGGUCAUGGAUUUAUAACUAUAUCUCUAGACUCCAACAUAGUACUAUCAUAACUAUGAUUGGGUAUCUAAUAUGGUAAGUCGGGGGGGGGGGGGGGCAGUGUCUAAUCUCUUGGAAAGAAACAGGGGACAGGGGCAAGUGGGUGUGGAAGGGAAAGUGGAGUGAAAUGACCGGGGGAUAACGAGGAAGAAAUGUGUCGCGGUAACAUGUUCCCCCGUACAAACCAGUAGCUAUCCUAUGCUCAUUGUGUGAUCAUGAUUCAGGGUUCGGGAAAUUUUCUUCCCACUUUUCAGGCUUUGGAUAAGGGACAAAAAUUUCAGUUUAUGGAUUGAAAAUAAUUAGUUUAGAUCAAAUUGGUUACUCAUUUCCCCCUCGAAUGCUCUUAAGUUCAAGCUCUGAAUGUAUUCUUGCAAGAGAGAGGCUCUCAGAUGCUCUUAAGUUUAUGGUAGGUUUCAUUUUCUUUUCCCUAUAUUCGUUAUUGUAUGAUUUUUCUUCCAUUUUGGGAUGAGGCCAUGGACACAGCCUCAUCAAUGUAAAAGAGUUACGAAUUUGAGAUCUCUGGCCUGCUCUGUGCCAAGAAAAAAAAUUCUCAACCAUAUCCGCCUAACCAAUUUAUGUUCUUUCUUACAUCUCGCCCUGCUCCAGUGUAACAUGCUCUCUUGAUGCUUUUUACCUCAACAGUGAGAACCUUAAAUUCUUCUGGGUCAAAGCCUAUCUCGUCGAGUCAUCGAAGUUGAGUUGUUCUUCUGCUACCAAAAGUUCUUAAUAUUAUGCUUUCUCUUUCAAUAAUAUAUACUGAAGACGAUAGAUUAGGUGAAAAAUGUGGAAUAAGACGUGAUUCAGAGAACCAGUGGGAAGGACAAUGGAGACAUGUACUACAGGACUAUUGCCCAGUUGUAAGGCUCUCAUGAAGGAGACGCUAAUGCUAUAGAAAAGUUGACCAAUCUUGGCGAUAACAUUAAAGCUUGAUGUAGCGAGUCCAAGUCUGAUGCAGAUGUAGACGAAUUAGUGUAUUGCCUUCUUUUGGUGGCAUUCCAGUGAUUCUUGAUCGAGUUCUGGGUCCUGUUGGGGAGUCUCUUCACUAUUUCAGACCAUUUAUUACCAAUCUCCGUGUGUGCUUGAAUUAGUAUCUUAUCCUCCUCCUCAGUCCAUGUCUCUUUCUGCGGAAUUCAUGGAUAUAUGCCUAUAUUUGUAGACUAACAUAUUACUGUCAUAAUUAUGAUCGGGUAUAUAUUAUGGUAAGCCGUAAUGUAUGAUUUCUAAAUAGAACUUUACAAUGAUUAGCUGAGUAAAAACUGAAGAUUUAUCGCUCUUGCCAUGUAUAUGUACAUGUCCUUCAUGUGGUGUCAGCCAUGUGUGGUUUUCUGAUUCUUCAUCAGCUUUCAUCUUUUCUGUCAUUCUUUUAUAUGAUGAUGGGUCCUAUAAUAUUAUGAAUAAUCAGUAAGAUCGUAUGUCUUCUCACUUUAACAUUUCGAGAAUUGGUGGAUAUUUCAGCAACUAUACUCGUUUGCAUGAUUAAUACAUAGGUUAAAUCAUAUUUCUUUGAAGAUGAUAUAUUUCUCACUUUAAACUUGAUAACAUUACAGAUAUCUACAAAGGGAAAUUGAUUAAGCUAGACAUCCACAUUGACAUGGACAAAGUAAGGUAAUACAUUCUUACAAUCAUCUGCUAUCCUCUAUUUUUCUGGUUCUUCUAGUAUUGCUGUUCUUGUAUUUCAUAUGAAUUUGUGUUUCAUGAUUAUUAUGUUCCAAUAUAGAUGGAUAACAAAAUUCAAGCAGUGGUAACGGGUGCAGCUGCGGCGGUUAUGACAGUUAUCACAUUAGUUAUGGAUGAUUAUGAUCAUUCGGAGAAUCGCAUACCGAGAGAGCCUCAUGUGAAUCGAGAUUAUGAGAGAGAGUUAUUUAUGAAUCGUGUGUUAUAUAGUGGUGAUACUCAUUGUGUAGAUCAAAUACAGAUGACGCCGAAUGCUUUUUUAGACCUUUGUAAGAUACUUGGUGCAAGUAACUUGUUGCGUUCUACUGUAAAUGUUUCUAUUAUGGAGCAAGUUAUGGUAUUUUGUCAUAUCAUUGGACAUAAUGUGAGGUUUAGAGUCAUUGGGGGAAGAUUUCAUAGAUCAAUAGACACCGUUCAUAGAUAUUUCAAAAUCGUCCCGCAAGCGAUUUUGAAAUUAUACAAGCAUGUGGUGAAAGAACCAUGCAAUUCCACUCCUCCUGAGAUAAGUAACAGUCGAAGGUUUUAUCCAUAUUUUAAGGUAUGGAAUUUGAAAAAACAAGUCUAUAAAUUGCUUGAGAAGUUUCAAUAGUAUUUGGUUGGUAACUAUAUUGAUUAUUUUAGGAUUGUGUUGGAGCAAUAGAUGGAACUCAUGUAUGUGCAUCAGUUCCUCUUGAAAUUCAAGGAAGAUUUCGUGGUCGGAAGGAUGGAACAACACAAAAUAUAUUAGCCGCCGUUACAUUUGACUUGAGAUUUUCUUAUGUAUUAGCUGGUUGGGAAGGCACAUCUCAUGAUUCACGUAUUUUGUCUGAUGCACUUUCAAGGCCGAAUGGAUUGAACAUUCCUAGAGGUAAGAAAAUUGAAUCUACACACAUUAUGUGAAUUGAGAUUAGUAACUUGAUAAUAAACUUAUUUAUAACUUGUAGGAAAAUAUUAUCUUGCCGAUGCUGGUUAUGGAAUCCAAAAUGGCAUCAUCUCUCCCUAUCGUGGUGUUAGAUACCAUUUGAAGGAGUUUAGUGAUUGCCCUCCUGAAAAUGAGAAGGAACUAUUCAAUUUGCGGCAUUCAUCUCUAAGAACUACUAUUGAGAGAGCAUUUGGAGUUCUAAAGAAGCGUUUUCGAGUAUUGGCUUCAGAACCUUUUUGGUCAUUUAGAACACAAGUCGAUGUUGUCUUAGCUUGUUGUAUCAUUCACAAUUUUAUUAUGAAAGCUGAUCCCAAUGACUCUAUCAUGGAAGAGAUGAAUAGAGAAAUGGAAUCUCAAAGAGAAAAUCCAAGAAUCCAACUUUCUCAAAGGGAGGAAAGGGAGGAAAAUAGGAUAUGGGCAUCAAAGAGGGAUAGGAUUGCACAUGCAAUGUGGAUUAGUUAUCAAAAUAUUAGAAGAAGCCAAUAGUUAUACUUUUAUUUCUUUUGAGUGCUUUAUUUUGAACAUGUGCUUUUCAUUUCUUUAAUGAUAAUCAUCUCUAAAUAUUUAUUAUGUGUCCAUCUUCGUCAUAUUUUUUCUAUUCUAAUGUUUAAAGCAGUUACGUAGUUAUCAUGAUGAGUAAAAGUAAGGCAAACGAUGAGAAGGUCAAGCAAUUUAGAUGGUCGAAGCCUAUGGAACGUGUUUUACUUGAAAUUCUCGUUGAUGAAGCUAGUAAAGGAAACAAGCCUUCAAGUACAUUCAAACCCUCUUCAAUUACUCGAGUUUUCAAUACAAUAAAUGAGAAGUUUAGUAUUUGUUGUGAGCCCGACCAUGUUGAGAACCAUUUGAAGACAGUCAAAAGCAAUUGGAAGACGAUUCAAACUGUGCGUGGCAAGAGUGGAUUCAGUUGGGAUGACAAGUUGAAAAUGGUCAUAGCUGGGAAAAAUGAAUUUGAUCAAUAUGUGUCAGUAAUUUUUCUCAUCACUUGCUCAAUACAUUCUUUUAGCCAAUGUUUCACAUAAGCAAUUUUAUGUGUCUUUAUAUAUUUACUCAGCAUAUAAGGGUUAAUUUCCUAACCAUCUCAGUCAAGAUUUUUAAACUUUAAUGCGUUUGCUAACAUGCUGGACUGAAAAAAAAAAGAAAAGAGAGCAGAUUAUUAACUUGUUAGUCACCCCUGUUUCACUGAAGCCAUAGGUUAUCGUGUUGGUGUAGGUUUAUUGUGUUGGUGUUGUUUCUGUUUUUGUUACAAGUGUAAUGCAUAAUUUAAUAUUAACUGUCAUACUAGCAAUUUAUAUGUCUGGAAAUUUUCUCAAUGUCUUUUGCUGCUGCGAUUUUGAUUUUGAUUGUUGGGUAUAUCUGGAAUGCGACUAGGGUUGGUAAAGUUUGCUUCUUUUCUCUUUAUCUUCUGCAAUUUAGGUGGUGAGAGACUAAGAAGGCACCAUGUCUUCUGCAAUUUAGGUGUUCACAAAUGAGGUGCUAAUUCUGACAUUGAUAGGCGUUUUCGAAACCUCGUGCUUUAGAUCUUAUUGAUCUUGCAUCUCUUGCAAAGAUGGAUUGACAAUGCAAUUUCUAUUUAGGCGUAAUUGUGAAGGGAAAAUGACUAAAAGAACAAACAAAUGAAGGCUUCAAACAUGUUUUUGUCAUAGCUUGAAGCCUAAGUGUUGUCUGCUUAAUAGCUUCUUUUUCAUAUCUAACCGUGGAACUAAUAAUUGAAUGAAUAUUGUGCAUUUACAGGUCCAUCCUUCUCAUGGAAAGUAUUUGAAUAAAAUGAUUGACAUGUAUGAUGAGAUGACUGUGGUGGUUGGGAGAGAUAUAGCCACCGGAAGCUUUGCUAAGCAGUUCGGGGACAUCGAUGCAACGGAAGUUGACUCCUCACCUGUCGACUUAGGUGAUGACUUCGAUGACUUCGAUGAGUUGAUGAAGGGCUCGAAAACAUGUUCCUCUACUGUGCAUUUAGAAAAGAGGUCUCGCAAAAGGCAAAAAGGUUCCAACAAUGAUGACAAGUAUGUUGCACUUUCAACACAACUUGGAGAGAUGGCCUCAGCAAUUAAGUCAUUGGCUCAUACGGAUGUGGAUCACUCUCAAGUCUAUUACUCUCAACUCUACAAUGAGGUGAUGAAAGUGGAUGGAUACGAUGAAUUACCCUUGGAUCAGUUUUUGACCAUCUAAUUGAAAAUGAAAAAAUUGGAAAAGCAUUCAUGGUGAAGAGUGCGACUCUUCGCAAAGUAUGGGUUGAUAAAUUUCUAAGCAAAUGAGAUCAUCAUUAGUGAUAUACUUGUCUCUGGGUGUAUGGUUGGUGAUCGUGAUUGUGAUGGUGAUCGAGAACUGAUUUUUGAUGCUCUGUUGACUGCAUCAACAAGCAUUUUUGGCUAGACAACCUACUGCAAAGUAGAUGAAGAGAUAGGUGUGUAGACAUAUUAUGGCUGCCGAAAUUCCACUGAUGUGUAAUUUUAUUCAAGGUGCUUAGUAGAAGUGUCAAGGUAACAGAGGUAACACAAGAUUUUUGAUAGCUUGAUCUGAUGUUUGCUGGUCAAAAGAGUAUGAACUGAAUGAGUUGCUUAAAGCAGGGGUGCUUUUGCCUUUAUGAAAUCCAUAGGUCAACUGGGUAGUUAUUAUUGUCUUUUGGAUUCAUACAUUUAACACCUGUAGUCAAAUAACAGUGUUUUGUAAUUGACCCUCUGCUUGCCUAAUUUAUCUAUGAUACUCUUAUGGAUUCAUAUGGAGAAUUCGCCACUAUUUACUUGCUAAUAUUCCACUGAUGAUUACCAGGAUGGGUUCCACAAAUAUUGUGGAAGAUUUUGGAAUUACCUUUUAGCAUGGAUAAGAAAUAGAUAGUGGCAAGAAGACCAAGAAACGACUAUCCAUGAGAACCAAACCCACCCCCCAACUAACCCAAGUCCCUAAAAAGAAAAAGAAAAAGAAAAGAAAAUUAUCGGUGGGCUCCGGGUGCGUACAAGCCCAGUAAAUCUCGAGUGCUGAAUCGCAUGAGUUCCCACAGCUCUGAUCAGAAGAGAAACAAGAUCCGGUUCGUGUCGACGGGGCAUUGACAUUAUGUAUGAGCAAUGGGAACUGCCGCCCCUUAACGUGAGUAUUAUUGAUAAAUGUAUUGUAAUAUAUGGUUCAAUUUCAUAUAAAAUUUUUUGGUCGAAUGAAAAAAAAAAUGUAGAGACAAACCUUUACUUGAAGGACAGAAAAUGUUUAUUGUUAACUCUUUCAUUCAAAGAAAGCUUAUUUGGGAUCCGAUGUGACCAAUGACGAUGAAGUUACAUGUCUGUUAAGCCAGAAUGAUGCCAUUUUGCUUAUCUUACAAGGGAUUAUUUACUCGAUUUGCUUUGAAUCUAUGAUUUCGACCCCUAGUUUUGAUUGGCACAAAGAACCCUACUUUGCAAGAGUGAAACACCGUUCCAACUUUCCGAUUUGCUCAAACUCUACAAAUUACCUCAAAUCUGAGGACAUAAUAUUUUAAUUUACAAACGGUUUGAAGUAAAAUCCUACUCAUCGAAUCUGCAAACUCGAUGUAAGGGCUGAAUCCUUUUAUCUAAAAUGGCAAUAGAUGCGAAACAUGAAUCCAAACCAUGUUAAACUAUUCCCAAGCAUAAUGGUUAAAAAAUAUUUUCUUUACCGAACACCGGAAAACAUUUUCCGAAACAUUUUCAAGUUUUAACUGAACACCAGAAAAUAUUGUCAUUUUCCUGGAAAAUGACUUUCAGGAAAAUAUUUUUCGGAAUUGGCCAAUUUUCCAUGAAACGAACGAACCAUUAAUCUUUUCUUUCUUUCUUCUGGUCUUCUUCUUCUUCGUGAGUCCUCCGCAUGCCCGAAUCUUCCAUUAAACUCAGAAGUUCCCAAGAAUUCAAUCCCAAACUCACGACGUCGAAACAACGAUUUUGAUGCAUAUCUUGUUUUAUCCCAAGCCGAGAACAGCGUGCGCCACUAUCCAACAAUCUCGAAUAUAUACAAAAUGUAAAACGCAAGAUGGAUGUGAGGUGCAACAUGUGGCCAUAAAUUCGGACCUCGGCGAAACGAAAGCGAAAACGGACGAAAUGAAGACGAAUGUUACUCUUCGAAAAUGAAACAGACACUCCCAAAUUCCAUCCAGCCCACGCAACGAUCAAGAUGGCUUACGGAUUGAUGUUAUCUCUCUUUUCAUUACUCUUUGUUUGUCUCUUUUAUUUUAUUUAAUAUAUCUAUUCUUUAUUUAAUUUUCUCUUCCCUGGGCGUUGCUUCCUUCCUCACCAAAACUCCUCUUUUCUACGUUCUCUUCUUUGCGGAGAACAACACCAUCGCCAGGAUCUCUCUUGAAGAAACGCCACCACUAAAACUCGCCAACUACUACCCAUGAUCAACUAGAUAAGGCUUCAUGGGAGAUGAUCUGUGUGAAUAGUGAUCAAAACGAUGAUACACAAGCUUUGGAUACAGCGAAGGCAGUGGCUGUUUUACUAGAAGCGCCUCAAGGGCAUUUUAUCAAACACCUAGGGUGCGUUGGCUCAAGACAGCCACAUACAAGAAUAAGACCCGAAACUAGAUCAAAACUUAACAAGAAUGGCAGGGAAUGCUCAACAUCAACAAAGGACAGCAUAAGCGAACUCGAAACGUGCGCCCCAACUCUGCAAUCCAUGCAAAAAAAUGUGAGAGAACGGGAUAAGAGCGGGGCACCAAAAAAAAAUCAGCGGGGGCUUCCUACCUAACUCGGGGGUGGCGAACGAUGGGCGAGAUCGAUAGAUCGGACUACGUCCAGUUGCCUUGCACGCCCCCAAGUCGGGAUCCUUAGGAAAUCUACACGAAUUGAAAACCGGAAAACUCACCUGAAAAACUUGAAAUCGAGGCAAGGGAAGCCGCAGCUUGUUGGUUCCGGCUAGGAGGUGCAACCUUACGUCGGGGGUGGCUAAGCGAUGCUCGGCUAAGGUGGAUUCCAGGUCUCCCUCUUCUUGGUCACUCCCCGUUUCUCCCCACUGGGGCUCCCUCGGGCUCUCUCCUGUCGCCCUCCUCUCCUCUCGGUUCUCUCUCAGUCGCCCUCUCUCUGAUUCACUCCCCUCUUGGUUCCCCUCUCUCCCUUCUCCUCUUUUGAUGCUCACCUGCUGCCCUCUCUGCUCUUUGCUCCUAUCCCCUCCUCUGCUCUUCCUUUCUACUCCCGUCUUUUCUCUUCUUUUUCCUGCAAGUUCGCGCGCGAGCUGGAGCCAGAGGAGGAAGACCGGUUGGGGUGGAUUGGGCCAAAGGAGAAGAAAAAGAAUGCUGGGCUGGGCCUAGUGUAGGGAAAAAGGAAAGGGAGGUGGGCCGGGCCAAGGCCGGAUCCGGCCUGACCUGACCCAUGAGCGUUUUUUUUUUUUUGUUUAAAAAAAAGUUUCAACAAAAGCCAAACGAGGAGAAGGAGCCGAAGAAGAAGACUGCGGUUCAGCUUCGCCUUCAAGCGUCUUGAACAACAAGAAGGCCUCGAAAGCUUAUCCAGAGUCAAAGUGACGCUUGCUUAGCCCUCAAAAGUUUUUCCUUUGUUUCUAUGAGAAUUGAUGGGAGACUUUCUGAUUUUGCUUGAAUUACAAAUUUCAUCAUAUGUUUUAGAAUAUAUAAAUAUUAAACCACUCUCACAAAAUGUAACAUGAUAUCAAAAAUGGAGUGAUCCCUUUCAUGAAUGCGUAUCCAACCUUAUCAGUCAAAUUUCACAUGCCAUGGUCUAAAUGUCAUGUGCCACUCAUAAUUAAACUUGCAAGUAAGAAAGAGUGUUGAAACCUCAUCAGUCAAAUUUCACAUGCCAUGGUCUAAAUGUCAUGUGCCAUUCAUAAUUAGACUUGUAGGUAAGAGAGGGUGUUGAAACAUGAGGAGUAGCCCUUCUCCACUGUUUCGCUGAAGAACAAUCAAGAGAAGUUGCACUAACUCCUCACACGCUAGCCACUGUGAAGAGAUUGUUUGAAGAGCUAUAUUGUGAGUCACAUGUUGAUGUAAUCAAGCCGAUCAUCAUCAAUGCUAUGUGUGAUGUUUUCUCAAGGUUAGGAUCAUCUAAUCAGCCACCAUUAGCCAAUCUAGUUGUAAUGAAGUAUGUUCAUAAUCCCUCUUGAUUUGUUGGGGCCAAUAAUAUUCAUCAGAGUAGCCAACCCUUCAUGAGAAUUAUGCAAAGGUCCAUUCUUCUAAUCAAAGUCACAAUAAUGAGAAUAAUCAGGGAAAUAUUAGUCAAAAUAAUCCAACUAGUGACGAUAAUUUAACAAAUCAAAUUGGUCAAUAGGCUGUUUAAUUGCCAAAUGUUGAAGAUGUAAGGCCAAUUUCCACCCACUAUGUAUGUUCCAUGUCAAUUAAUGUUGAUAAUUUGGCGAGGCUAACAUCAUUGCCUAGAAGUCAAAAUGGCCAACCAAAUCCACAAUUUGUCAAAAAAGUUCAACAAUGAUUAAGGUUAGACAAGGGUGUUAUCAUUACCUGUUUGCAAGUAACACAAUUAGCAACUCUUAUCCGACUCGACCUAAUCUAGACCCAACUUGGUUCCGAAUUUUACUAUAGUAAAAAAACCAAUCAAUUAAAAGGAAAUUUAGAGUGUGUUUCGCGGAAUAUGAAUGAUUUGGAAAGCAUUUUUCCAUAAAUGAUUGCUUAUAUUGCUCGAAAUAAUUAGUUAACUAAAAAUAUGUUUAUUAUCAAUAACAAUUUAUGUCUAAAUUUUUUAAUGACAACACUUUUCAUUGAUUCAUUUUUCUAAGCAAUACAAGUAACCAUUUUUAGGAAAAUAUUUUCAAAAUUACAUUUUUUGCGAAAAAAAUGAAGCCAAAAUAUGAAAAUGAAUUAGCAAAUAAGUAACUACUCAAAAAAGUGAUAAGUACGUUAGGAGCGCCAUAAUUUUCGUAUAAUACUUGCUUGAGUAUUAUAACUUAUUUUUCUUUCACUUGGGUCCACAAAUUAAAAAAAAAAAAUCGAUGACUUGAGUGUCAUUAGUGAUUUACCUCAUCGAAAAAGCUUAUGUGACAUUAAUUUAUUAUACAUCAUUUGACGUGACAUGUUGUAAAGUUGAAGUCUACACUUGAGAAGGCAAACGAUGUUGUUGAAAUUCCAAUAAUUUCAUAAAUGAUCGUUUCGAUGUCACAAGUUUUUAGAAAUGAACACUAAGGUUCAUCAACUUUUUUAAAAGUGACCACUUAAAUGAUCGGAAGAGAUAGAGUUUGAAAAUGGCAUCAUUUGAGGAAGAGAAAGAGUUUGAAAACAAUGUCAUCUAAUUGGGGAAGAUUUUAAAGAAACAACAAUAAAUGACACCUUUUGUUAUAUUCUUGCCAUGCUGGACAAAAAUUUCCACGAUUGACUUUAGUCUAGUUUUAAAAAUUUCAUGUCGGAAUGGAAAAUUAUAAAAAGAAUUCAUGCAAGACGAUUUGCCCUUGCCGAAAAUGAUAUUCAAGUAAUUGAUUUUAUAUCAAUGUGGCAUUCAAACUAGUGAAAAAAUUUAUAGCACUUCUAGUAUACUUAUUCCACUAAACAAUUGUCAGAUUUUCGAGCUAUUAGGACAAAUCUACUAUUAUUUUCUAUAGUAUUAGAAAUUUGGUAUGAUUUCUCCAAAGUGGCAAUACCUAGAAAGACACAUCAAAAGGGAAAAUGCAUGUGGAAAAACAAGCGUACUCUUGAGCUGUGACAUCCUAGAUUUCGAUCCUGUUUUUUAUUGAAUCAAUCAGGCAUUUCAUCGACGCACCUAUAGGGCUAUUUUUAGAGUUGAUCACUCUCAAGAUAACUAGACUAUCCAGGGAAGCCAUUAAGGAAUUUUAAUGCAAUAGACUUGAGAAUUCGACUAGGAAUCGGCUUCUUGACCGUGCUCAUCUUUAGAGGCAAUUACGGCACAGUUAAAAAUCGAUUUGAGAUUAGAGAUAAGACGGUUCGAUUGAGAUGUGUGGUUAAUCGUGGGUGACACUACUAAAUUCGAAAAUUCUCAUUGACCGGCACUAGACUGAUUUCUUUAUCGUUUUUGUACCCGGUGUCCAUAUUUGAAUUCUCGAGAUUUUCACGAAAAUCGAGAGUUGCCAAUGUGUCGACUGGGUUCAUUGUGGCUCGAAGAAAAUCGACCAUGGGUCAUUUGCAUUAAAAAUUUCUGAAAAAUUACCUAGUAGCCUAGGUCACGCAAAAAAUUCGCAUGAGUGAAAUUAACCACCAAAUUGAGUCCGAUUUUAGAAAUUAAAGAUUCUGUCAUGUCACAAUAAAUUCUACGAGCAUUGACUCGGUCUCUGAAGAUUUUUCUGCAACCUGAAACUUUUUGGGAAAAACUCAGCAUAGGAUCGUUUUUGUUCAGAAAAAGCCGGGGACUGUUUUUUAUUGUGAAAUUGGGAAGCAAGUGAGUUGUAUUGGCGAGGAAAAAUGCCAAGAUGAUCGACAAUAAGUUGAUUGAAUUCGUGAGGGCCAAUUGAGAUCAAAUCAAGUGGGAUGAGGAGUCCAAUUGAAGCCAAAAUUGAGAAAUUCGUAUGCCCCAAUUGUCUAGCCGAAAUGGACCAAUUCAAGUGUAGUAAGAAGUGUCUUGGUGGCUCAUGGAUAGCCAAGGAAGCCAUGCUUGGCUGGAAAUGGUCAAGGAGACCAUGGGAUGGAAGAAAUGGCCUUGGUGGAGCCCUUGUCUCCUUAUCCUUCUCUCUCUCCCUAUUCAGCUGGCCGACCAUCCCCUCUUCCCCUCCAUCUGCCAUUUCUGAACACCACAGCAACCAAAGGAGACUAGUAGAGGGCCAGUCAAAGCCAGCAGCCACCAGCGCCACCGCUUGUCGCCGUCCACGCGUGCCACCAUCGCUUGAGUGCCCCACGCACGUCCGCUCGCCUAGCCGCGCCUCCUCGCCGUUCCAGCAGCCUCGCCUCUCCCUGUUCGACAUCCAGCAAGCAUUGGAGUUGCUGUGAGCAGCCACCGGAGGUCCGUCGAGUCCUCGUUUGGACCGAAACCACCCUGUUGCCCUUCCCUGAGCCUUGCUGCCCAUUUCAGCCUUUUUUCUUCUGUUUUGCAGCUCAAAAUAGAGAGGAAGUUAGUGGGUUUGCAGCAAAGCAUCUAGGCCCGUUUUGGAGGUGUUUCGGGCCUCGAAACCUAGGCCCACUUUGAGAAGAAUCAACCCCUGCGACGUUCCCAUCUGUUUGAUCUGACCCGCGGGUUAAACAAGUGAGUUUAACUUACUAAACCUCGCUUAGUAUGUUAAUGAUGCUUAAGGGUUGAUUAAAUUUAAUUAAGUGUGAUUAGGUGGGUAGAUUAGAUUGGAAUAAUUAAAUUAGUGCCUUAUCAAUUCAUGUUAGGAAAAUGGUUAGUGCUAUUAGCUAGUGAAUAGUCUAUAGUAUUUAUUUAACAAGUCUCGGUAAUUUUCCGGGCUCGUCUCGGCAUCCAAUUAGGCAUUACGGGCCUAAAUUGGAUUUAUUGCAAUUGUUUAAUAAUUUUUGUAAUUAAUUAAUUAAUGAAUUAUUUUCCUAAAUUAGGUUGGGAUAGCCGACGACCGAAAUUUUAUACUGAUUAUGGUGGUGUAGUCCAUUUAUUUAAUUGAGCCUUAUAUUGUGCUGAAUUGAUUUAAUCGUGUUUUUAGGAUUUUAUUCAUAAAUUAAUCAAUUUUGAUAAUUAAUUGAGAAAUAACUGGAUGUCGGUUUGCAGCGCCAAAAUAUUUGGUGGGCUAUAUAUAAAGUGGCAAGAAUUGUGAGAGUGAAUCAAUUAUAUUUUUGGCUAAGACCAAUCGGGUACUAUUUUAUCGGGUAUGAGAAAGAUGAGAAGGAAGGUUGUAUCACAUGGCUCGGAGACUAAGAGUCAUCAUGGAGAAUGCACGUGACUUGUUGAUUUGAUAAAUCACCUUUGAAUGGCACAUGGCUCGGUGAUUUGGUAUAUCGCCUUUGAGAAUGCACGUGACUCGGUGAUUAAGUACGUCGCCUUAGAGAAUGCACGGGGCUUGGUGAUUAGACAUGUCACCUUAGAGAAUGCACAUGACUCGGUGACUAAGUGUGUUGCCUUAGAGACUACACGUGACUCAGUGACUAGGUAUAUAUUAUUUGAAGAUUGAAUAAGAUGAAUUAAAAUGACCGAGAAGUGGUCUGACUGACAUAUAAUCGACGAGGUCGAUUGAUUGAUGAUUCGAUUUUCUUUGAUUGGGUGUUGUAUUUGUCAGUGUUUAUAAUUGAACUGACUUGUAGGAAGGAACUGAUGCCAAGGUAAGUCCUCUGACUUGUGUUGUGCUUAGGCAGCCCCAAGGUAUAUUGGCUUCCUAAUCGAGUUUUAGUGGGGGUAGAAUUUGCUGAGACAUAGUCUCACCUCGUUGUGGGAUAACAUUUCAAGUCCCUAGAUGGCAGUACCUCCACCUCCUCGUCCUCCCAUGUAUUUUGGUAUUCCCGAAGAGGUCACCGAGAUAGCAUAUCAUUUCCCAAUACACCCCCACUCGGAAGGUCUAGAAUAUGUUUUGAUAAAAUCCACAAUUUGGAUUGAUGUGGGUAAUGACGGUCUGGUGCCCCAUGAGUAUAGGUCGUGGUAUCGUGACUACCAUGAUAGGCAUAGACAGGGUCCCAUACCGAAAGGUGAUGUGUCUUUAUUCGUCUUAGAGGCAACGUUUGGAGAAUCGAUUGCAGAUCCUAAGGAUGGGUCGGUAGUAGAUGCCAAAGACCCUAAGCUCGAGAGUGACCUUGACUCUCCAGUGUACUCAGCCGGGGGAGCUAAUUGGAGUAAAGAGGAAGGGUAAAUACUCGAACAAGAGGAAGAGCUAGAGAAGGACUAUAGGAGUGAGAAGAGGCAGAGGAGGAACCUGAAGAAGAAGAAGAGUCUGAGGAAGAGCUUGAAGAGGAUGAUCCGGAGUAUGACCUGGAUGAGGACUGAGACCUCACCCUGUUUGGCAAACCCUGUGUAGAAACUGAUAUAUGUUAGAUCAAACUUUUGUCAAUAUUAUUGUAAUAUAUACUAUGAGGUUUGCUAGUAUAAAAGUGUGGUUGUGGUUUUUUAGUUAUGGAAAAUAUAGCCCUACUUUUCUAUUCCAUUGUUUUCUUGUUUGGGGAUUAUUUAACUGCUUCUGCAUGCAUAUUAAAAUGAGAGGGUCGGCGAUGCGUCCUGGGACGUCGUUAUUUUAUCGACCAGGUGAGGGAUGAGCGUGUGUUCGAGGAUCGAGGCGUGACACGAGCAUUAGAUAUAUAAAGUCCCAUAUAGUAUCUUUUUAAUCCCCUUCAAGUGCUAAUAUUUCAUCAACAAAUUUUAGUGACUUUCCUCGUUUAGCUCUCACAUAUUUGAAACUGUUAUUGUUAUCACCCGACUCCUUCUUUUGGUGGUGGUCACUUAAAAUACUCACCCUAGAGAAAUGAUCAACGCAAAAUCAAUCGUUCGUUAUUUUUUGAAACUUUUUCCUUGGCCACAGCACCGAUUGAUUGUUAUAUACUAGCUUGGUGUCGUGUGCUGGCCAUAUAUGUUACAUCCUCUAAAAUUCCAUCAAGACCCAAUCCGAUGGAACUUUAAUUUCUUAAACUCAUUUUCAUCUGGCCUUUUAAAUGUUUAAACAACCCAUAUACAACUUGAUUGUAAGAAUAUGAGUCAAAGAAUGGGUUUAUGACUGGUUUCGACACCUAUUUUUGAAGCACGACGUUUUCAUUCAUCCAAAUUAAGCAUGGUGUAUUGAGGACAGCUAUUUUGAAACCAAAUAAAAAAAAGAAGAAGAUAAAUUGCAAUGCUUAGAGAAUAGCGUGCGUAAAAAUUUGCACUGAAAGCAACUAAAAACUUUUUCCAUGACGGUUUCCACAACAACCCCUAUAUAAAGGAUGGUUAGCAUAUGAAGAGACUUGCAAUAAACUUCACAAUGGCUCUUCCUGUUCUGUGCCCAAGCUUCCUUCCCUCCUCGAUCUGCCAUAAUCAUCCAUUUCUCUUAUCCUUUCGACACCUUCGCUCCUCCUCCUCCUCUGCCUCCAUCUCCUCCGACGCUCAAUUCAUGACAUGCGCUUUGAAGAUUGAAGAUCAAGAGACUGUGAGACAUUUGGCGAAUUGGCAACCUAGCAUUUCGGACUAUGGCUUUGUGCAGUCACUUAAUGUUGAUUACCCCGUAAUGAUUUUCCUUUUUCAGCACAAAACCCAGCCUAGCUUAACAGUUUGUCCUACAUUGCUUUGAAUUUUGUUUUGGUAAAAUUGAGUCCAAAAAAUGAGCUUGUUUGGUCUUAAAUCCUUCAUGAAAGUUGAAAUACAUGCUAUAUAUGUUCAAUUGAUACAUGCUUUGCAAAGUCUUAAUGUUGACAAGUGAGUCAAUUGUAAGAAUUAAGGUGAAAAUGUGCUGCAACAAUACAUAGCUUAGAUAUGCACCUUUUUUUUUGGGUCAUUUUUGCUGUGAUUCAUGCGAUCAUAUUUAGGUUUUAAACUCUCAAUGAGAAAUGUUCAUCAUUGCAUGCUCUAUAUGUAUAAUUUUUUUGUAGGAUUUUUGUAUUUCUUGAGAUGGCUAAAAUCAUGCCCGUUCUGUGAAGUUAAUGCUGAAAUGAAAUCUUGUUGUAUAUGCAUCUUGCCAUACUUGUUUGAGUCAUUUAGAGACCAAAUUUUGCAAUCAUGCUUUCUUGAUAAUUAAACUGUAUGUUAUAAGGUCCACAUACAUGUUUAGGUCAUAUCCUUUGAAUAUCAUCUUGCACGUUAAAUUUGUACCACAAAAGUGUUCAUCACACUUAGGAUUCCCAGGCAUACCAUUAUGAAUCUUGAAUCAUUUUAUAAUGUCAUUUAAGUUGUAUGACAUUUUGCAUGCCAACCUAGGAUUAGAUGGUUAUCCAAAUUUUCUGUUGUAUCUGAUCCUAAGUCCCAUGUGAUUUCUUCAUGCCGUUUGUGCAUCAUUUGAAUGACUUUGAGGUUUUCUAAUGCAUUCUUGUGUUCUAUUUUUCUUAGUUACUAACACACACACCUUUAGAGAUCUCGAUCUCAGAGUAUCUAAUUGACCUAGUUUGGACUCGAGCCCUUCUAGGAAGUUGAAAGGCACGCUUAGAAGUUUCUAGUGUCAGUGAUUUUAUACAAAUCACUCAUUGUUUAGUCAACUUUCCAUUUUUUCUUUAAAACUAGAUCAUAAUUUGGACAUGGGAUUAAAUUCGAACCCCUGUUCUAACCCCUAUUUGGAUAGCCUUCUGACAUUUUUGUUCUAUUUUUUUCUGCAAGGAUUCUGCAUUUGACCUCUUAACAAAACUUGCUUGCUAACAUGUUGGUUAUGUCGUGUGAAAAUUUGGUAUUGUUUUGAUAGGACAAAUCCUUGUAAUAUUGGCUGAGUGUCCUACUAUUUUGACAAUUUUCCGACAUGAUGUUGCCUAUUGUUUGAUUUUUAUAAAAUCAUGUAUAGCUUUUCUUUUUUUGAACAUAAAAAUCAUGUAUAGCUUGUUUAAUAAAACUUUCUUCACAAAAGUUGUUUGUUAUCCUGUCAUGCAUGUUAAGGAAUUUUGUCAUUACCAAAUUGUCAUUACAUAUUGCCCAAUUUUGUUGUUUUUGCAUGCUUGUUUUGAAAUCCCUAAAAUGAACUUGAUUGUGAUUGUUGUGAUAAACUUCCUAGGUUAGUUUGUGCAUGAACCUCGGCCAUUCCAUCUUCAUAAAAAUUUCUUUAAAUACCUCGAUAUUCAUUGUUAAAUGAUUUUUGACAAAUCUUCUUUUCAUACCAAAUUUAAAAAUGCUUUGGUACAUGUGAUGUUUCCCAAAAACAAUUUAUUAAAAAGUUCAUUUCCAAAAGCUCGAUUUGGCUUAAGGAAGAGUCAUAAUUUGGACCAUAUUCAAAAUGCAUACGACACUUGUUAGUGUAUUUAUGCGAGUCUCGAGCUAGUUUUGGCAAUUGAAUGUGUUCCAUAGCCUAGUUAUUCCUUAAUCUGGAAUAUUUUCAAUUUUUUUCUCAAAUCUUGAUUUGACAAUUGUGAACGUCAUUGUUUGAAUUGUAUUCAAAAUGCCUGCGAUACUUGUGAGUGCAUUUAUGCGAGUUCCAGGUUAGCCUUGACAAUUGAAUGUCUUUCAUAGCCGAGACAUUACUUUGUCUCAAAACCUUUUGUGAACGAUUUCAAAGAUGUCUUUGAAACAUCACAUGUACCUUCAUGCAUAAAAUUACGCUAUUCAUUAAAAACGUCUAUGUUUAUGAUUGGCCCAUACUCUUGACAAUAAGCGACCCAUUGACAGUUCACUUUCUCGCUUGACUGGUUGAGAAACAAGGUCCAAAAGACUUGUACGCAUGUUUAAUUCCUGCAAUGCAUGUGAGAUUUAAAUAUGUGGUAGGGUCAAUGCAUAAUAUCGAGGGAAAACCUUAUGAUCACAUAGAUCGCUUGGUUAUGAAACUUAUAAAUAUUAUUGGCCAUGCAAGAACACAAUUGGUCAAUAAUGACUAUAUGUCAUAAAAUGAAUUGGGUAGGUGUCUUAGAGAAACCUGUGCCUGAAUUUCAAAGGCUGAUUCUAAGGCUCAAGUUUUUUUUUUUUUUUUUUGCACUUAAUUUCUUUUCAAAGAUUGAUUUUGGCAUGAUGUUGUGUUUCUUUAUUGUUUUGAUGUGUAUGCUUGUUUCUUUCCAUUGUAUUUACCUAGUUAUAUAAUUUUUUAGUCUAGGUUUAGAUUAGGAUCCUGAAGAUAGAGAAGACAUGAAGACAGUGGAGGUCGAUGUCCAUUGUGAUCAUAAUCAUGUACUAUUCAUUUCUUUGACAUAUGUCUUGGGUUCUCAUCAAGCCCAAUGAGUUGCGGGUCCUCUUCUUCUUAUCCUUUUCAAUUGUGUUUCUCUUUUAUAUUUUCUAGGAUUGCAUGGUAGAUUUAUUGCUUUCCUUGAUAGUUUACUUACUAUCUCAUAAUUUUAAUUCCAUUAAUUGCUUUCUUUUCUCGUUUUCCAGAAAUAUAAUAGUAUGAAAAUGACCAACCAUGCAUGAUCGUUUAGUUUAUGACUAACGAUCCCGAAAAUGUAAGAGGAAAUACAUGGACAUGUUAGGUAAACAUAACAUACUGUUUAGAUAUUGAAAGGGCGCUACUAGCAUAUUGGCCUAACCAAGUCCAUAGAUCUAGAUAUUAUUUGCGUAGGAAUUGAGGGAACACUCCCGACCCUCAAUUGGGUUUUUAGCCGAUCCCUAAAAAUGAGACUAGUGGCGACUCCUAUCUUAUUUUUAGGUUAUCCUAAACAACUAGAAUGUAUAAAUGAACUCGUUGUGUGGGUAUGGGUCUCGAUAGGGCUCACCUUGGUUUAGCAAUACUCGCAUGUAGAAAAUUCCUAAUGGAUAAAGUGACGCCAUCCUUAGGAAGGAGUACCAAAGGGAGAGCUACCAUGGUAAAUGUACCCUUAAAUUUGAAAUUCACACUUGACCUCCUCUCUUGAGGUGUGUUGCCCGUGUGAUACAGAACACGCCACUCUAUUGUCAUGCGGAGUAUGAGUUUGGGAGAACUCGCAACCUUGUAAAGAGAACUCAUAAGAGGUUCAUCCGAGGGAUGAGGUUAUGACAUCCUUGUAAUUAAGAAUCGGGAGGGAACUUUCAUGGUUAAGUAUCCCUAAAUCUGACCAUUCGCCCCUUUUCCUUUCCUCGCGAGAGGGAUAGAAGGCAGUGAGAUCGAGUCACGGUAGUAGUAAGAAAAUCUUCACAAAACACUUGCUCAUCGUUCAAAACCUCUAAAAAGGAGAUCACCAAUGGAAGAAUUGCUGGAAGCCACUCAAAGUCAGAGUGUGGUCUAAGCUGGUGGAUUAACCACUACUAGUACCCUAUUGCUCAUGGGCAUAGAAAAAUAAACCCUUAAAUCACAAUUACUUGUAGAGAAGGAUACAUGUGCUGUAUCACAUAUGGCACCACUAAUUAUAGCCGUUCCAUCACCAUCAACUCUUGCCCAAACGCUCUUAGAAGAUCUAUUGAAAGGCCUAACCACUUUCAUGGAAACCUAUGGACUAGAGCUAAAGAAACUCCUCAAGUUCAAAGUCACAGGAUUGCAAACCCUACAGCUUGAACGAGCACUUACUGCUCAAGAAAGACUAGCCGUUGAACCAUCGCAUUCAACUGCUUAGCCCUUUCAGCCAUCUCAGCCGUCUUAACCCUCACCUCAUAAAUCCUUAACAAGAGAGGAAGGUACCUUAGAAACCGCUGCUCCCAAAGACAAAGGAAAGCAUAUUGUUGAAGAAGUAGAAAUCAUCACCAAACCAGUUACCUUAUAGCUUGAAGGAAGCAAAGCCACAAAAGAAACAGGAGAAGCCCUGGGAGACAAGCGUCGUGAAGAAGAUAACGAUUGGGUAUUUAAAAAUUUUGAACACACUCUUAAUUUUGAAAAAGAUCCCAGUUUCAAAUAUGAUUUCUUUCUUUCACUAGAACAUAAACACGCAAAACAUCACUUCUAUAAUCAAGGUAUCAUCCCUCAUCAUUAUGUUGAUUUUGAUUUCUUAGAAAAUCAUGGUAUUUUUUUGUUUGAGCUUUUUGAAGACCUUCAACUCAAAUAUUUCUGCUCCAUGAAAGAGGAAGUUCAUCAUGAACUCGUGGCAAUGUUUUACUCAAAUUUGUAUUUUCCAAACCGGGACUCUUUUGCCUUUACUUUUUGUGGACAAAAUCAUAUUGUGUCUCUGGAUAAAUUGGUUGAAAUUAUCCAAACAUAAAACAAUGUUUUCAAGCGCAUUCCAAUAGAGCCUAAUGAGGCCUAACAAGUUUUGUUUUAGAAACCUCCAACUUUGCUCGCAAUUCUAGAGAAAUUAUCCUGUUGAAUCUUCUCCCUCUCAAAAUGAAUUUUAUCUAAAAGAUCCUCACUUUCUUCCUUUGCCCGAAAACAUCUUCUGUAAAUGACGUCUCUUGAUAUAAGGUUAAGGUGAUCUAGGCCAUCCUGAACAAAUUUGAAGAGUUUUCCUUCUCCCAAAUGUUCUUUAUCCACAUGUACCGCAUGGAUAAGAUAAAGAUAGAAUAGCUACUCUACAGCGCUUUGACACAAAUCUUCAAGUACCUUAGGAUCGACUACUCUAAAGUUUCACCUCUUGUCAUGCUAAAUGUAGAGACUGGGAAGAAAAAAUUAAACAAGAUGAUGCUCAGGAUGACACCAGAAGGAUAGGUCAAUCUUAGAGGAGAAAUUGUCCCCAUUGGUCACAACGACCAUGAAAGAACAAUGACAAAGCUCAAAGAAAGGAUUGCUGAGUUUUCUGAACUAGAAAAAGCGUAAAUAUGCUAAGGCUCCGACACCAACAAAGGCUCCUCAUCCACAUCAUCCAUAAAGAUCACCUUCACCAGCUGUGGACACACCUGCCUCUCCUGCUAGCCUUAAACAACUACAAGCAAAUGUUAAGGAGAUGAAGAACACCCUCCUUUCUCUGACCCGAUACAUGGUGAAGAUUGAGCGCACCAUCCUUAGCCUAGACUGCUACAACCUUAUCCGCCCUGAACCAGAGACUGCCGAACUCGGAAAACCCACUUUCUCUCAGCAGCGCAAAUGCCUUUGUACCUAGAACUUUUUAAAUCUUAAUGUGGUCUUGUUUUGCUCUUGUUGUUUUGUCUAUCUCAGUUCAUUGCUGAGGUUUGACAUUUGUAUCGCACUAUCACCUACCAUCAAUGAAGCUGAUCUUUUCAUUCAUGUUGCUAUUUCACAUUUACCUUGAUUGAUGAUAAAAAGGGGGGAGUUACUGUUAGGGAAAUCCCUUAUGAUGUUUUGAAGAUGACAAAAUAAAUCAAAGGCUACUAACAUGUUUGAUGGUUGAGUAAUAGACCAUGCAGAUGUUAGAACAUGUAAAGGAUAUUGGCAAAGUCUGAAGACGACCAGAAGACUGUGUCAAAGUCUGAAGACUGUCAGACUCAAGACUCAUAUUGUAAAGUCUCAAGACCCAGGUUGUAAAGUCUCAAGACUCAUAUCGUAAAGUCUCAAGACUCAGACUUUACAUCCAGAUUCGAUGAAUCGUAACUCAAGCCCAAUCAUACAACGGCUAGUGAUCUGGUUUGGAUUCCACAUCAAGAUUGAUUUGAUUGAAGACAAGAUCUUUCUAUACGAAGAAGCUUUACUUAUGGAAACCAAGAUUUCGUUUGUAUGGGCGAUCGGAAUCAAUUUGGGAUUUUACCUUUGUCACUCAACGGCUACCAAAUCUUCUAAGAUACAGAGCUGUCCAAUGGGUAUAUUGGAAGACGAUUCUCCGGGAUGCUGUCCAACGGUAGUUUGGAAGUGGAGGAGUAUUUAAGGAGAUCAUGGACCGAUGAGCAAGUAAGAGACGGAGCGUAGAAUUUAUAAUUCCAAAGUCUAAGCGACUUUAGAUCAUAUACUUGUCUCUUGAGAGCUUAAACGUUUGUAAUCGUGAGAGAAAUACCAAGAGAGUGACUUAGUGAGAUAGUGUGAUCUACUAAGUAUUUGCACUCGGAGUUGUAAUCUCUUGUUGAUUGCAUAGUGGAAUCCAGCCAAGAAGGCUGUUAUCGUGGGAGAGUGGACGUAGGCUUGGAUUAAGCCGAACCACUAUAAAUCUCGUGUUCUUAUUCUCUUCCCUAACUCCUUUAUUUUGUUCAUACUAGCACUCUCAGUUACUUGAUGUGAAAGAUUACGCCUAACAUUUGCUCUUAAAAUAUUUGCUACUAGAGAUGUUGGAUAUUCCUUUGAAAACUUUAGAUAUGCUCACAACAUCUAAUAUUGAUAAUUUGCUUAUAAUGUUUUGCUUGAAACCGACUAAUGAUUGAAAUUAAAGUGCUCACCAAGAUAGGGGGAGCAUACAAGUGUAUCAUCAAGCUAGGGGGAGCAACCAACUAUUAUACUAUGAUCCCCAAAUUAGAUGAUGAAACACUUUGGGAAGAAGAUCUUUUGUGCAAUCAUAUAUUAUCUUACUAAAGAUCAUUUGAGUAUUUCUCCAAAGCAUUACAUCAAAACACCUUAAGGAGAUCCUAUUUUAAAUUUUGCAAAUUAUUUCAAACAAGCUUUACUAUUUGUUCACAUCGAUAGGAUAUUAUUGUCGUCAUUAAAAAUGAGGAGAUUGUUGGAGAAAACAUCUUCAAAAGAUUUUGAUGAUGCCUAAACUAUCCUUAGUAUAGUACUUACUACGUUAUUUGCAGAUAUUUAGACCAAAGGGCUACGCAACAUCCAUGAUGUGAUCCAUCGGAAGGAAGUUUGCAAAUGUCUUGUUAUUACAAAUAGCACCAGUCAACCAAAAGAUCAGGUACUUAUGAUUGUUUAUGUUGAAGCAAUAAAGAUCAGGUUGAUGGUAGUGUGACUAUUAAGUACAUUAAUUGAUAUUCGUUGGGUCGGCUAAAGAGCUGUUGAAAGAUUUGGAUUCACAUAGCAGCAUAAUCAAAAUAAAGCAUGGAGCAGAGUAGUUAAAGUGUCCAACAAGUCAGUUAGAGAUUGCAGUAAGAAGAUAGUAGCAAUUGCUAUUUUUGUUAACUUGCAAAAGUCCUAGGAAAAAAGCUAUAUGGGUAGUACCUUCCUAGACAGCAUCUCAAUGGAAAACUCUCAAACGGUCAUCUACUUCUCUAAACCAACCUCAACUGAUAGAUCGAGAAAUAGUAUAAAAGAGAAGGCUUUGAAAAAUCAAAAGAGAGUGUGCCACAUAAAAUAUCAAGUAACUUACGUACUAUUGUUCUCUGUCAAAAGCUUUAUGUCUUAUUGUUUUGUUUGUCAUACUGUUUAGCAAUUGUGAUAUAGAAUAAAUGUACAAGUGUAAGAGCAGCAACUAAGUCUAGAUAGUAUGAUCUAUCACAUGAAGGAUUAGUGCUAGCCAGCUAUAAAUUUCCAAGCAGAUUGUUAGUGGAAUCCAAUCCAUCUUGAGGCUGUUAGUCUGAAGAGUGGACGUAAGCUUGAGAAUAAAGCUGAACCACUAUAACUUUUUAUGUCCCAUUGUUAUUCAUCUUCUUUUAUACAUUGGUAUAUAGUUAAUGAGUAUUUGCUUAAACAUCAGGUUGAGGUGAUCUUUACUUAGUAAUUAGUUACUUUCCAUAAAAGAUCAUCAAAGUCUAAAAACAACUUAUUCACGCCCUCUAGGUUGUAUUAUUAGCCUCAACAUAUAUAAAUUGGUCUUAAAGAACAUAGACAACUUUUCACAAAAGGUUGUAAAAUGAACAAAGGUAUCCCUUCGGAAGAAGUUGCAAAAUGAACAAAUGUAACCCUUCGAGAAAGGUUGCAAACUAAACAAGUGUAAUUUCCAAAGGUUAUAUUGAAAAAACAUAAUAAAAAUCCGGACUCGAAAAAUGAUUUCAUACCCAUUCAUCCAAAAAACUAACAUAUAUAUAUAUAUAUAUAUAUAUAUAUAUAUAUAUAUAUAUAUAAUUGGUCUUAAAGAACAUAGACAACUCUUUGUGAAAAAUUGCAAAGUGAACAAUGGCAUCCCCUUAUAAGAAGUUGCAAAGCGAACAAAUGCAACUCUUUGACAAAGGUUGCAAAUUAAAUGAAUAAAAUUUCCAAAAGUUGUCUUGAAGAGACAUAUAGAAUUCGAAAUAAUAAAAUAAUAAAAAAAUAAUGUAUUUUUUAAUAAAUAAAAUUUCAAAUGUUCAUAAUUUCCAAAAAUACUUAAUAAACAAAAACAACAUUUGAGCUAAUAAAAGGUUAAUAAGAUAACCAUAUGAAAUAAAAUAAAAUAAAGGAAUUAGUACUUAUUAAACUAUAGGUGCGCAAGUGUGCAAAGUGCUACAUGCACCAAAAUCACACACCCGCAUGCAGUUAUUAUGGUUUUUAGCCCACACCCAAUUUUUUUUUUUCCAAACAUAAUAAAAAAGGCUCACACUUAUAAAUUGACGCAUUUCCUCCAAACUUUACUUUGUAGGACAAUGAAAAGCACACUUUGUUUAUUUUGCAAAUAAAUUUUCCAAUAAUGAUUAACUUUUGGGUUGGCUUUGUGAGUUCCAAGAUAUUGAAACUAUUGUAAGUGAAGUCUAUUGAGGGGUGUUUGUGCAAGCUUCAUAAAAUUUGACAGAGAAGCACAUGCUAUUACGUGCUUUGCAUUGUGGUUGAUUACGUAAUUGCUGAUAGUAUUUGUGGGGAUUGAUUUCUAUUUUAUGUUAUAAAUUAUAGCAUUUUAUAUUGAAGAAAAACUGAAAAUAAAAGAAAUCUACGACAGAAAAGAAAGCCGGCCAACUUUGAUCGACGCUAGCCCAGUGCAAUUGGAAACGGUGGCUGUGCAGGAGGUUUUAUUUCUACUAUUGAGUUUCAAUGAAACGACGUCCCAAACAAUCCUGCGAUGUCCAGGGCAGCGCAAGGCUAUCAUAGAUCUUUUAAAGUACGUCGAAAUCUGAAUUUUCGCCCAAAUGUCUAUUUUUGCACUAGGAAUUGAACUCGUUGAUGUCAUCAAAAUUUGGCCCAUAGUAAAAGUGAUUAUUAAAUUAAUUUUUGGCAUAUCACAUUUAGGAGACACGUUGAAUCCAACAGUGUUGUGAUUUCCCUAACAUUUCUCUACAUUAGAGUUAUGUUGACUCGCAUUAUGAAUUACAUUCACUCGCAUUUCUCUACAACUUUGCUAGAAUUGAUUCAUACCACAAAAUACCUUUCAUCAAAGGUUGAUCUUUGGUUUUUAUUGGAUUGAGUUUAGUGGUGAUUCAGACAGGAAGUAAUUAAUGGUGCAAUAGGGACAAAUAAAUCUAGAGUAAAGUAAAAUCAAGUACAGGAAAUUGAUAAAUUGAUAAGCCGAGAAAUUGAAAUCGAAAAGAUAUAUAAGUGUUACGAAUCAUUUAUAAUGAUUUAGCACGGCUCUUAUAUAAUCUAUUAUAAAGUGUAACCACUUGUAAAUGGUUGUAACAUGCAUGUUUACGUAGUUGUUCAUAAAAUUCUAAAUGUAAGUGAAUGUAUCGAACAAAUAAUGUAACAAUGAGAAAAGUAUCGUCCCACGGAGAUUGAUGAUUAGUAUACUAAUUAAAUACUAAAAAUAGAUUAAUUCUAAAAUUAAUCUAACAGAUCAAAAUAGAAUUAAGAAUAAAUAAAAAAUAAAAAUAUUAAAAGCAAACCUAUCUCUAGGUAUGAAGUUCAGAUUAUUAUGCAUAUAAGAAUGAUAUUAAAUAUGUGAUAGCGGAAUUUCCUAAUUUAUUUACUAUCCUAUCUCUAGGUAUAGCAAACCUACUCAAUUAUUAAUCUAAUAUAUCUCUAUGUGAAUUUAAAUAAAUAUAAGUGCAUUAAAAUAUAUAAAUAUUCUUGGCUUAUAAUGAAUCUUUUGGAUCAUCUUAUUACCAAAAGUUACACAAAUAAUACAGUAUAUCUCUAUCCAUAUUUAAUUCAUGGUUAUAUAUUAUAAGGAGCAAUUGCAUAUUGUCACUUUUCACUCUCAAAUAUGUGUGGCUAGUCACUCAAAAGCACCGAGCACAAUAAUAUGUAACUCACAUAAAUAAAAUCACUUGUAUGCAUAAAAAUCAUGAAAUUCAUGUAAUCAUGGUCAGGCUACAUCGUAACCCUAAUAAUAUAAAAUUAGAACAUAGUAUAAGAAGAAAUAAAAAUAUAAAUUAAACUCAAUAUCUUGAAUCAAAGAACAAUAAUUCUAUCAUCACUUUGUUUUCUCUCAAGAGUGCUAAAAAAAUUCUCAAAACAAUGAAAAACAAUAUGAAAACCAAAAAAACCUAGCUCUAUAUUAUCCUAUUUAUAGGAUAUAUUCAAGAAUCCUAACACAAUGCAAUUGCUUAUUUUUUUUUCACAUAAAAUUAGGAAAUAAAUCGUAAAAUCCUUGAUUUGGUAUCCAUUUUCCAAUGCCUUUUAAUUUGAAUUCCCAAAUCAUAGAAUUUUCCUUUCCUUCUUUUUUUCUUAUUUUUUUUCUAUAUCUCAUUAUUCUGCAUAAUCAAGGAACAUUUCAAUAAAUAGAAGCAAAUCCAAAUAUUUUCUAACGAAUAUUGCAUUAUAAAGUAUCAUAUUUAAUGCCUAAAAUAGGUCAAAUAACUCUAUUUUUAUAGAGUUAUCAAACCCCCAAACUUAACAUUUUGCUAGUCCUCGAGCAAAAGCAAGAUAUAACACAUACUCAAGCUAACAACCUCCUCCAUGACAUCUUUCCAUAAUUGCUUAAAUUCACAAUUAGAAGGAACAAAAAAAAAAAAAAAACACAAAUUUCAUCCAAAUAUUGAAAUUGAUUCAUAAGUUAAAACCAAUUCUAAUGAUGUGAUCCAAGUGUGUGUGUGAGUCCUCAUAUUUUCAAAUUAUAUGUAAUCUAGAUAUAUUCAUAUUAGUAUACAACCACUAAACAAUUCUUAUAAUUAUGACCAAAUCUCAUAGGUUUGCUUUUCAGUCAUUUCUCCACUAAUAUAAGCUAAUCAUCCAACCAAAAAUCAAAAGGACUUUUUUGUGCUUAUAAUGUAAAGCUGGGCUAAAGGUGAGAUAAUGGAAAUUUGAAGCUUAAAUCACCCAUUAACACAUUGAUUCCUUGGACUAAUUAGAGCCAAUGUCAUUGUCUCCAAUUUCACUCCUUCAAGAUAAUUUUUCUACUAUCAUAUAUUAUCAUUCCUUUUUUUUUAUUGCUCUUUUUUAAUUGCUUUAUGGUGGAGUUUCUCCCAAAUUCCUUUUUGAUUUACCAUGAAAAUUUCCAAUCCAUUGAGUAUACAAAAGGCUCACUCAAUUGAAAGUUCGACGGGGAAUCAUAGCAAUCAUUUUUUUUUUUUUUUUUGCAUGCUCUAACCUUCCUCUCAAAUUGCUAUUAGGCUCAAAUAAACUUUUAUAUAAAAAAAAAAAAAUCAACAUGUUCAUGGGGUAUGGGACAAUGAUAUAAUUUGAUAAAAGCUAGGCUAAACAUAUAUGGGUGUCAAUGAAAAUUAGAUAAUAAUUAAGGAUAAAUGAGGUGACUAGGGAUAAAUAAAUAGGGUUGGCUUGAAAGGCUUAAUCAAUCCAAAAAUUGCCUAAAUUAUUUUCUUAGUUAGAUGUAGCUUAGGAUUUCACCUCAAGAGAAAAUCAAACAAAUUUUAAUAUUUGGAUAAGAUCUAAGAAAAUCACAUACCUCACAUGAAUAUUCCCUAGAUUUACACACAAUUCAAAAAUUAAGGAUUUUGGUGCUCAGUAAAUGGAUCAACAUAAUUAAAAUUAAAAUUAACUAACACAUUAGUUGCAAGUUCAAAUGCACAACACCAAAAACCUAUUCAUAAAAUUCUAAACGUAAAUGAAUGUAUCGAACAAAUAAUAUAAUGAUGAGAAAAAGUAUUGUCCCAUAGAGAUUGAUAAUUAAUAAACUAAUUAAAUACUAAAUAUAGAUUAAUUCUAAAAUUUAUCUAACAAAUGAAAAUAGAAUUGAGAAUAAAUUAAAAAUAAAAAUCUUAAAAGCAAAAUUUGGAUACUAAAUGCAAUCCAAAUGCAGUAAAUCAAUUAGAUAAAUAUGUUAGAGCAUUUGAUUAGACCAUAACCACUAUAAAUAAAAUUUAGAUUGUUACAUGUAUGAGAAUGACAUCAAACAUAUGAUAGUGGAAUUUAUAAUUUAUUUAUUGUUCUAUCUCUAAGUAUAGCAAACUUACUUAGUUUAUUAAUGGACUAUAUCUCUAUGUGAAUUUAAAAAAAUAUUAGUGCAUAAAAAUCUAAUCUUUUGGAUCACCUUAUCACCAAAAGCUACACAUUUAAUUCAUGAUUUUAUAUUAUAAGGAACAAUUUCAUAAAGUCACUUCUUAUUCUUAGACAUACACAUCAUAUCAUUCAAAUGGUGACCAAUCACUCAAAAUUAUUAAGCACAAAAUAUAUAACUCAUAUAAAUGAAAUCACUCGCAUGCAUAAAAGUAAUGAAAUUCAUAUAAUUAUUAUCAGGCUACAUUAUAGCCCUAACAAAAAGAAAAUUAGAACAUAGUAAAAGAAGAAACAAAAAUAUAAGUUAAACCCAAUAUCUUGAAUCAAAGAACAACAAUUCUGUCACUACUUUGUUUUCUCUCAAGAAUGCUCGAAAAACUCCCAAAACGAUGGAAAAACAAUAUGAAAUCCAAAAAAACCUAGCUCUAUAUUAUCCUAUUUAUAGGUUAUAUUCAAGAAUCCUAACACAAUGCAAUUGCUUUUUUUUGUUGUUGUAUAAAAUCAGAAAAUAUAUCGCAGAAUCCUUAAUUUGGUAUUCAUCUUUUUGCCCUUUUUUUCCUUAUUUUCUGCAUAUCUCCUUAUUUUGCAUAAAUAAGGAAGAUUUGAGUAAAUAAAAGGAAAUCCAGAUUUUUUCUAACAAAUAUUUCAUUAUAAAGUACAAUAUUUGUUGUCUAAAAUAGGUAAAAUAACGAGUUAUCAGCGGUCGAAGUUCAAAACCAUUAUAUUAGGGAUGAUUUGUGAAUAUGAUUUGUUUGCACCGGAGUCUAACUCUUUGCUUCGUAGGAAUGCAUGGAAGUCGCUAGAAUCAGGGAUGUAGUCUCCCUCGAACAAGUUUUGCUCCUCAUCAAAGAAUUAAGCAAUAUUCUAUUAGUUUUAGUGUUAUUAAAUCAAUGUAACAUGUUAGAAAUCUUACGUCACAUAAAUUUACGUCUAUUUUCCAUUAUAUAAAUAAAACUUCAAUUUCAUCUAGUAACUCUCUCAUUUCGUGAUAGAUAUAGGAGCAUUUUGUUAUCUAAGUGCAUGUCAUCUUUUAAAUUUAGUUAAAAUUAAAGUUUAAUUUCUCAUUCUUAGAUUUGAAGAUACUUACCUUUAUGCAUUGCUCACUGGGACUUCUAUCCCAGGGCGUUUUAAUGAGACCUUGUGUUACGCUCGGUUGUUUUUUAUUUUUUAUUUUUUCAAUUGUCUUUAUCUUAUUUAUUUUAAAUUAUUUAUUGUUAUGGUGUUUUGUUUGAACAUUUAUGCACGGACAUUUACAAUUAAUGGGUUUUCUCUAAAAAGUCGGGAAUAUUGCAUGAAACAACGCUUUCCUAAACGAGGAAAAGUACCGGUAAUGAGUGUUGGCUGAAAUUGGUGUAACCAAAUCUUUGAACUCAAAAUCUCUUGUUCGCAUAAGUAAGUACUCCUUACCAAUCUACAAUAAGUCAAGGACAAUCCUAAUUUCAUUUAGUUAUUGCAAAAUGUGAAAUCAAGUUACAAUCAUUGGAGUUUUAGAGAGGCCAUACGGAAUGUAAGCAAUACGUUGCAAGAAGGUCAUACGUGCUAAAUUACCCCAAGUUUGGGUUGAAGUUGCAAUUCGUCCAAUUGGAUGAAAUUAUAAAUUCCAUGAUAGCUGCAUGUCACUAUCAUUAAUUAGGUAUGCCUGAACUAAACCGAAAUUUCGUACAUUUUUUAUUCGGUUUAAUUUUCGAUUCGAAUAAUGGAAAAAUAACUGUUCGUUUUUCUGAUUUGAGUUAUUUCGAUUCAAUUCGCUUAAUCGAGCCAAAACGAAUUUCUCAACAAAAAUUGAACAUCCAACUUAAAUAUAUAUUUUUCCUUAUUCCUUAUUCAAUUCGGUUCUAGUGAGCAGGGCAAAAGGAAAAGGAAAAUCAAAUUGGGUUUUCGGUUCAGGUAGUAUUCAGUUCCGAUCGUGAUUGGUUUCUGCCAGAAAAACAGAUCCGCCCCCCUCCAAAUGUCCGAACGCUCUCCUUAAUCUUCUGUCGAGGCAACCCUUAUGCCUCCCCCGCUUGAGCUAGCAAUCUUUUCAGUUACGCAUCCCUUUCCACCAUGCCAGCUCAGCGAUUCUAGAGGGUGCGUGGAUCCGCUUUGGUCACUCGUCCGUCUCUCCUUCACGUCAGGCAAGGCUCACGCAUGCCUUCUUUUGUCUGUUCUUUUCUCGUGUCACAGUCUUACAGGCGUUCACCUCACGGCUAUGCACGUGUAGGGGAAGAAGAAAUGAUGGACUGGGUUUUCUCCUUUCAUCCACUUUAUCGGGCCAAAAGGCAAUGAAAUAGGCCCUAAAAAGGUUGAGCCUAAAAAGGCAUGCUAGCGUGGGCUUAAAGAGAAUUAAAGAAAAUUGGGCUUAAAAGAGACAGCAAAAGAUGGGCCAAGGGAAUUAAAACAAACGGGCUGGACUAAUAAAGCUUAGAGGGCCGAAAAUUUGUUUAAAGGAGUGGGUUAAAAAAAAUGCUGGCCCGCUCAUUCUCACCAUUUUUUAUUUCAUUUUUGUUUGGUCCAAUUUAUUCAUUUUUUUCAAUUUUUUUUUUUUUGCUUUUUUUAUCUUAUAUAUAUAUUUUUAUAUUUUUUUGCAAAAUAAAUGGAUAUUUUGGAAAGAAAACAUUGAUAAAAAUUCGAGUGUCAACAAACACGAGACCGGUGAUUUGCAAGGGCUUCACUGGCGAACAACAGAUUAGCUAGUUCUAUUGGAGGCUCGACCAGCAAGAUCAAGAAUUCGCUGGUACUGGUUCGUGGUCUCCUUAAUUAUGAGUCCGAGACCCGGGACGUUAUGUGAAGCAUGCAUCUCUCAAAGUCACACGCAAAAUGCAGAGUCUUGAGCGGGCGAACAUUAAUUGAAGAAGUAUGCAAAUCUUGACGUUUGCUUCGUUCAUCAAUGCAUGCGCCCAUGGAGUGGGACAUCCAAUUUUGCCCUCAUUUAAUGCACACACAUGGCUAUGUGCAUCAUGCCCAUAGAAAUUGGUGGGCGCCCUUGCUGCUUUGAGGCUUGUCUUGAAGGCGACAAUGUUCUCUCCUCUUUUAUCAUCUUUCGUGGGUUAAGUUUGUCUUUUAUUAAUGAUUAGAGGAAAGGAAGAAGUCGAAGUUCUGCUAAUUUUUCUUAUGUCGGUGAGAGUUUUUUUUUAUAUGAGCUAUGUUAAUUAAUAAUGUGAUUUACUGUUUUACGAUAUUGAUCUAAUAAGGUGAGAUAUAAUAAUUUUUAAUUAGUCUAAUAUAGGGCUAACUAAUAUAGAUAUGGUAGAACUUGGCCCGUGAUAAAAAAAAACUUUAUAAAUAGUGCCAAAAUCUCUUUUAUAACCUUGAUACAUAAAUAUCCUUACAUAAGGAGGUUUGUUAAACUGAGGUAAGGAGCAAUCUCAUUGAGCUAAUAAUAUAAUGGCAAUAGUGAAAAAGUAUUUGAGCUUUGGAUCGUCGCUAUUCUACAUCUCUCUUUUGCUCGAUAAUAGGUGUUAUUUAUUCUAGCUAUAGAGAUGACUUCAAAAUCAGGUGUGCAAAUCUCUUUUACCUGAUUACAUGUGUUCUUGAUUAUGUUUAUGGAGAUUAAUUUCAAAUCAAGUAUACAAAUCUCAUUUACUCAAUUAUAUGUGCUCUUGAUUCUAGUUAUGGAGAUCUUUGAUGCUAUUUUAACAACUUACAAUGUCAUCAUUAAUUGGCUUCUGAAGAGGGUGCCAUUUGUCGUGUCUACAUCAAUUCUCCGACAAAAGGAUGAUCGCAGAGGACUGUCGCGACCAAAAUUUCAGGUGUAAACCAUUUAGAGUUUGGUUAAUGGAUUGUUAAGCCAAAACUUAAUUCGGGCUCUCCCAAGCCCAUAUCAAUUCGCGACUUAAGUUCAAAUUUUUUAACAUGCAAAUAGAUUUUAUUUAGGAGUCACCGCUAAUAUAUUUUUUGUUGGGUCGAUUAUAAACCAAGUAAAGUAACGGGAGAUUUACUUUACCCAUACGAACCAGAAAUUAUAAGUUUAGGGACUUGGUUACGCUAGAUUUCUCUAAUACUCUUUCGGUACAUUUUUCUUUUUAUUUCGAAAAAAUAUUUUGCAAGUAGUUUGAAUUAAUUUUAUUUUACCUUCCUAACAUGUGGUUCAUGCAGGUACACAAACCCCAAUUUAACACUCAAGAAAAUAAUGAAUAAAUUGUAGGACUUAUCUCAUAACCACGAAAGCAUCUGCAAUGUUAAAUUAGAAUUCACAUCAACAAUCUUAGAUAUGAUUUCUAAUUAACAUGCAAUUACUCAAUUUUUGUUUUCACUGAUUUAAUGAGAAUAUAAUCCAUAUGCGAUGCAUGUUACUAAUUUAACAUGAAAUGAUAUGACAUGGCAACAUGACCUAGCUAUAUGACGUAAAUAAAAUGCAAUCUCUCAUAAUGAAUGACAUUGAUUUAUUUUCACAAAAAAAAAAAUGACAUUGAUUUAUUCUAAGGCAAUUUUUGGUUCGAAAUUAGAAAAAUGUGAAAAUUAACCACCGCUCGCAGCGGCGCUGCUGGCUUGGGGUUCUCUCCCCCUCACGAAGGGAAGGAGUUCGAAUCCCAGAGGCGUCGUUAGGAAUUCUUACCUGGAGUACUGUGGUGGUGGGUCCUGCAAUCACUCUCCCAGGGUUUGCUCGCCGGCUAUCGGCUUACGGGAUUUCCUAGGUCACAAAAAAAAAUGCGAAAAUUAACUAGCUAGAUUAAGAUUAUAUCGGAUUAGGUCAGGCUAAACUCUAAUUUAAACUAAGAUAUUAUCUUAACUUAGCAGUCUCUAACCUAAACUGCAAUCUAUCUAAAAAAAUUAAUCUAAACUUCAAAUGAAAUAUGCAAUUUUAUCAUAAUAUGCAAUGACGUACAAAAGAUGCCAUAAUUUUACAUGACAUAUGCAUGAUGAUUUUUUAUGUUUUUUUUUUUAAUUUUGAAAUUUAAAAUUACCACAUAAUUAAACAUGCAACUUAAAUUAAACAAAAACUAACAUACUAAAUGAAUGCAUUUUUCGGAUUUUUUUUAUUUAACAAAAUAAAAAUGAUUCAACCAAUAUGAUAUAGGAUUGAUAUCCAUAAAUUGGUGAACAAUAUAUCGCGCAUGAGAUCGGGUUUGCCAAUUUUUAAAUAAAUCACGAAUCGAAUUUCGGUCGUGAGAUUAGAUUGACAAUUUUUGCAAAAGAUUGCGAGUCGGAUUUCGGGCGCAAAAAUUGGACUGUCAAUCUCUAAUUUGAGAGACUAUUUCAUGUGAGAAUCCCAACCAUACAUUUAAGAAUAAUUCUACUAAAAAACAAAGUAAAUAAAUAAAAUAACAUAAAUAAUAGAAUAAAGUAAAAAAAAAAAAAAAACACAACUGCCUAAUUGAUUUUCCUUUUUUUGUUUUGCUUUCCAAACAAGGGUGGUGCUCGUGGUGGCUGGUCACCGUCGGUCCGGCAAGGGCGUCGCGAUCGGAGCUCCGGCGAAGGUCCGGCGAGGGGCAGCAGCCGGCGUGCAGGCGGACCAGCUUGGCGGUGGUCCGGCAGAGGAGCAGGUCGUCACGGGCGUUGCUGGCGACGGACGCGCGAGCAGGAGCGGAGCAGAACAGACGGGCUUAGGCAGCAGGACGUCGAGUGAGCAGGGGCGGCCGGUCCUGGCGUCGCGAUCUGCAGCUGUGGUGCAGAGCAGAUGGGCUCGCGGUCUAGUGAGCGGAGGCGUCGGCGAGUAGCUCCGGUGCGGCAGAUAGGGUGAAGAUCGGCUGAGGCGCGGUGGGCUUCGUCAGGCUGGUGGAGUAGAUCGGCGAGGCAGCAGCAGUUUCGCGGGGCGAUGAGGUUGGAGCGCGGAUCGCGGGUCGUUGGGCGCCGAGUGCUGCAGCGGCGCCACUCGGGGAAGCUCGGAGCAGCGUGCGGGGCGUCACUCGGAGAGCGGGGGGCUGCUGCUGCGUCGAUCGAAGGCGGAGGCUGGCGUCGGGGGUUGUUGCAGCGGGAAGAUCUGGAGCAGCGGCAGCCAACUCGGGUGUAGCAGACCGGCGGUGUGGCAGCGUCGUGGCUGGAUCACAGUAGCAGAAACGGAGCCGGCCGGGGGAGAGCAGAAGCGGGCGGAGAGAGUUGAGGAAGACGAUGAACAGUAAACGUCCAAUCACCCCUCCUUUUUUGCCGCUUCUGCUUUAUCCUUUUCCCCUAAAGAAUCGAAGGCUUCUUUUUCUUUCUUCUUUUCUUUUUAUUCCUCUUGACCUCGAAAGGAAACCCUAAAGAAUACCCCUCUCUCACGUUUGUCUCUCUGAAAUUUUUCCUCCUCAAUGUGGCCGAAUGUCUCAAUUGCGUGGCCUCUCUAUUUUUUCAAACCCUAUACGAGUAACUUUUUUUAUAGACCAAAGAUUAGAUUUUUUAAUUUUCUUUUCAAAUCAACAUCGGUGAAGAUUUUUUUUUCGCACGCAAUAUCACUUUUAUUUUCCACACAUUUUCUAGAUUUUCUUUGCAAAAAUGAAUAUUCUCUAUUGAUUUUUAAAAAAUUACAAUAGGAUUUUUUUUCAAAUAUGGGUUUGGGCCCAAAUUGUUCUCUUCGUGGGCUUAGUCCAAUUUGUCAAUUUAAAACUCAGAACCAUUAAGUUGAAUACAUCCACUAUCGAUCUGAUAAAAUACAAAAAAUGUAAAUUAAAAAUAAAUGCACAUAAAUCUAUAUGUAAUAAAUAUUUUUUUAGGGAUAAAAUUGACCCUUAAUUUUCUAUGCAAUAAAUAAAUGAUCGAAUCACCAAAAUUUAGGUGUCAACAAGAACAUAGAUAAUAGAGUAGAAAAGAGAGCUCAAGUGACGAGAAGUGAGGCUCGGAAGGUUUGUGGAUAGAGUAAGUCCAUUGAGUUGAGCUGUUAAAUACAAUGGGUAUAUUAAAAUUAGGAAACAUUCAAGUGUGUGAGCGUUUGUAAUUCUAUAAUUCUUCUAUUUCUUAGUAGAAUAUUUGCUGACUUUUCUCAUGAAUGCAGGUUUUGACAUUCAAAUUAAAUCACAUAAAUGUCAUGUGUCCUUCUAUUAUUUUUCGUUUUAUAUGUUUGUCGAUUUCCAUAGCUUCAAAUAUAAUUGCAAAGUUACGAUGUCCUUUAGUCAUGUCACAAUUUCUCUGACCUCCAUUUCCCCCGUGUGAUGGUGUUGUCUUUAGGGGUGAGUAUGGUCCGGGUUGGUCUGGGCCACUCCCUAACCCUAAGAUUAACCUGUACAGUGUCGGUUCUUAAUUUUUAGGACUGAAAAUUGACCCUAUUGAGCCUGAGACCAAGGACCGGACCGACCCAAUGGAUUCGAUCCGGUUCUAGGGUCAACUUGAGACUGAUCGAUACUUUAUUUCGUCUUGUUUUUUAUACUCCAUAAAAAAGCAAACCUACAAAUUCAAAUUACACAUCCAUUGACAACGCGGCAUUGUGCAACUAAACUAUAAAUACCAAUACAAGAUCUCAAAUGAAGCACAAAGUAGAACUCACUAGCCAAGUUUUGUUUGGAAAGUAAGGGCGAGCCGAGCGUUAGGGUUUCUAGUUAGGGCUUCUUCUUUUUUCCUUCUGAUUUACUCGGCGAUAAGUGAGGCAAUCGGCGUGAGUGGCGAGCGGCAAGCGUCGAGCGUCGAGUGGGGCGAGCGUCAACUGGCAAGCGACAAGCGUUUAGUGAGGCUAGCAGCAAGCGGCGAGCGUUGAGUGAGACUAACAGCGAGUGGUGAAUGGCGAGAGCAGCGCGCAUGGUCAAAGGUGAGUAGCGCGGGCAACUAGAGGCGAGCGGGAUGUUGCUACUUUUGAUUUUGGCAAAUUGAAGAACAAAGAAGACAGAAUGGAAGAGAACAUACUUUGGGGAAGGAAGCUGUGAGGAGAUUUACGGCGUAAACUUCGCGCCUUUUUGGACGUCGCGAGUCCGUGACUGUGAGGAGUCCUUGGUCCUCACGAUGAAGAACGUACUCUGGAGUCUGGACUGUGGAGGAGGAGGCCGUGAAGACCUUUACGACGUAAACUCACGUCUUUUGGAAUUGGAUGCCGCUUGUCCGUGAUUGUGAGCCUGGAGGAGUCAACAUCUUUAACAUCAUUUUACUUAGUUUUUUUUUUUUAACAGACGUUUUACUUAGGUUUGAAUAUAUAAAAAAAUUAUAUAUAAUAUAAUAUAAAGUAAAUUUUACUUAAGUUUGAAUAUAUAUAAAAGAAUUAUAAAUAAUAUAAUAUAAUACAUGGUUGGUCCAGGGUUGGACCGACCCAAAAUUCUCAGGACCGAGAACCAACCCGCAUAGUGUUGGUCCUGGAAUUUCAGGACCAAGGACUGACCCAGUCCCCUUGGGAACCGGACCAGAACUGGUAGGGUUGGGCCAGUCCAGGGUCAGUCUAGGGUCGACCCUAGACCUCUACUCACCCCUAGUUGUCUUAUAGUGAAUGGAGGGCCGCCGAGGGGGAAUAAAUAAUUUCGAUGAAGUUGUCGAGGGAGGUGAUAGCGAAUGGGACCUGUUUUUCACAUUUUUUCUGGUAGUGGAAGAAUCUGUUCUUUUAUGUAGUCCAAGGAAAUCCCAUAAAUUGUGGCGAACGAAUCAUGACAUCGUGGAGCAAAUCAAGAAACGUUUUUUUUUUUCUUUUGAAAAUCAUCCCUUCUCUGUCAAACUUUUUUCGUUUCUUCCCUAUUUGUUUUUUGGCUCUUCCAAUGCACUAGAAUCUCGUUGUCUCCUAAAUCCAUAUUGGCCGAAAAUAUGUUUUCUUGCUUUCCAAAUUUUCUCAUGUGCAUUGCAUAUGGGAAUUUUGGCUACAAUAGGGUGGACGAUGGGCUUGGCCGAAUUUUUUUGUUUUUUAACAGGCUUAAUCCAGAUUAUUUAGCUCGAAACCAAUCUGUACAAGUCCACUAACUCAGGUCCAAUUCAAUUAUACGAGUUUAAUAAUGUAUAAAAAUGCAAUUAAUAUGUAGAUGCAUUUAUUAAUUUUCUGUUAGAGAUCAGUGCUGGUUUCUCUCUUUUUUUUUUUUUUGCAACGAAUAAUCAGACAAACUUACCAAAUUUAGGUGCUAGCAGUUAUCUGUUGAAGUUUUGUGCGCAUUCUCAAGGGGAGCCGGUACUUAACAAAUGUGUGAAGUGAAGCAAAGGGAAUUAAGGCCAAUUCUUCCACACUCAAAGUAAAAACAUUUUUCUUCACAGUAAAAAUCAUUUCAUUAGGAGAGGGAAAUGAAAGGUUUGAGUAAAAAUAUGCCACCGACUGAGGAUCAAAUGAUUUGUUCAGAUAACAAAGUUUGGUCAGUUUCAUAUCAUCAUAAUAUUUUUGACAUAAACAGCCUAUGGUUUUCCAAAUAAUCGAAAUCAAUUAUCCUGCGAAGUAUGACUCGUCUAGCCAGUCGUAAAUCAUAGAAUUCACUGUGUUUCGACGACAGAAAGAAGCGAGAUUUGAGAGAUUGUACUUUGCAAACACCGAUGGAGGAUGAAAGUUGUCGUCCUUUCAUCGUCCUUCUUACCCUCCAGACGACUUUCCGAUUCUGGUUCCACUAGUUCUUGUGGAACAUUUGAUGGUUCUUCAGCAAUAUUUUCUUUGCCCUUUUGAGAGGUAUAUGCCCUCUCUGGUUGACUCUGCGCAGGAUCUUAGUUCAGGAGCAGGGUUUGAGUAAUUUUCAAUUUCGCUCAUAAGAAACUGAGCAGAUGUCGUUGACUAGACUCAAAAUAUCCUCCGUUAUAGCAUCUUUCUCCUUGAGUGCAUUCAGCAUGUUCCUUACUACGCUGGCAUUGUCAAACCUUGGUGAGUGAAUAGUUGGAGGUGUUUCUGAAGCAGGUACAGAAACCGGUCCAGAAGAUGGUCUGGAAUUGGAGUUUUGGGUGAAGAAGUAGGGAGGUUUUUUGGGCUUAAAGGGGGAGUGUUCCUCGAAUGUCUAACGAGAGGCGUCUCUUCACUCUCGUAUUCCAGUGAUAUCGAUGCUUCCUCGUCCACUUGGAGCAGAAGAGAACACUGCCGUUCUUCUUUGUGAUCUUCUCAGCCCAAUAUAUCUCUUAGGGACAAAGUACAGCCCAAGUGUCAAAAUUUGGCACGAGGUGCCAAAAGUUUGGAAAGUGAUACUUAAGUGCCAAAAUCGGAGCAAAAUGGAUCACUUAAGUGUCAAUCUGGCCAAAAAACAGCCAAAUUGCUAACGUGGCGAUUUUCUGGAGAAGUGAGUGCAAAACGACAAUUUUGCACACUGACAUGGUUAAAAAAAAAUGCAAAAAUGACAUUUUUUUGUCUUUACGUGGUAAAUAAUUAAUAUAAAAAUUAAUUAAAUUAAAUUUAAAACUGAAUUUAUUUAAAUAUUCUAAAAAAUUUAAAAACUAAAAAAAAGGGGGGGCCUGAAGGGAGGCGGCUGAGGGCUGAGCCCUUACCAUCAUUGUCGGGAAGAGCCGGUGAUGGAGGGGGGAGGGUCGGUCGAGGUUGCCGGCCCUUGGCUAACUGGUGGCGAGGGCUCGCGGGCCCGCACCGUCGGUCGGGCGGCUAGUCCCGGCCCUGCCAAAAACCCCGUGACGAUACCACAAUUUAAAUAAAUUUAGUUUUAAAUUUAAUUUAAUUAAUUUUAUAUUAAUUAUUUACCACAUCAGAGACAAAACAAUGUCAUUUUUGCAUUUUUUAGCCACGUCAGCGUGCAAAAUGAUACUGUUUUGCACUCAUUUCGCCGGAAAAUUGUCAUGUCAGUAAUUUGGCCGGAUUGAUACUUAAGUGAUCCGUUUUACUCCAAUUUUAACACUUAAGUGUCACUUUCCAAUUUUUUAGCACUUAAGUGUCACUGUGUGCCAAGUUUUGGCACUCCAGAUGUCUGUACCUCUUAUCUCUUAGAAAUAGUGUUUGCAAUGUUGGGUGCCAUUAGAGAGGAUGAUUAUUUGCAAAUAGGGUGAGGUUGAAGAAGAUUUUUGGGAUAUAUUAGAAGGAUCGUGAAUGAGGGUUUUGUGAACAAAAAUUUGGCAAUGCUUCAAAUGUAGAAAGAAGUGAUUUUGACAGUUCUGAAAAAGGUUUGAAUUCUGAAAAAGGUAUGUUUGUCGAAUCUCUAAUAGGCUACUGUAGAUGGAAGCGAGAAGAGGGGAUAGAAUCUCACUUUGUCAUUUGUAGAUGUAAUUUCACUAAAUUGACAACAAUGGUAGUUCUAGAUCCGUCCCAUUAAGAUUGCAACUUAAGUAUAGGGCCCCUUUGUUAAGCUUCAAUUGAAACUCAUUCAUAGGCAACGGCUAUGCGUAUUUAUUAUGAUUGCUUGGUCUUAAUGUACAACAACCGUCAUAAGGUCAUGUCAAAAGCCAAUUUUCUAUUUGUAGGCGUUGUAGGACAACCGUAAAUGGAUAGCGAGUUUGGUGAGGUCUAGUUAGACUUGUCCCUAUAAAUCCAAGCCACCCUAACCAAACUUAUAUUGAUUUUGCAUUAGCGACGCCCUGUUAAUUAGGGGCAACUGAAUUUGGGGGGAAUUAUUUUUUGCCAUAUAUAGGGGGUGUGUCUCCCUCUACACAGGAUUUUGUGAUAUUUGUGAUUAAUAGGAAGAUUGAUAGCAAACGGCUAGUCGCUUUUAUUGAGGUUCCAUUAAUGAGUACUGUUAAAAAUCCGCCUAUAUGGAUGAUAAAAGAUAAAUAAUCAUCUAAUAGAAUUUGACAUUGACAUGGCUUUAAGUGAAAUAGUAAUGAUAUAUUUUGUCUAGAAAAUCUUCUAAUAGAACCUUGCCAAAAAGUAAAUGUGGCAUGCGGGUGUAAAUUAAGGGUUUUGAUGUCACAAGAAAAACUUUAGAGUAAAGAUGUCACGGUUUGGGAUUUUUUUAAGUCACAGAAAAAUUCGGUCUAAAUAUGUCAUUGUGGAUAUAUUUUGGGAUUUCUUAUGACUUUUUUCAAUUUAAAAUUAAUAGUUAUUAUAUAUAAAAAUAUAUAUAUCUCAUGGUAAAAAUUGCUAAAUAAGCAUUUAGGUUUAUACCACGAAAACUCUAAACUAAUAUAUUUGUGAUAAAAUUACCAAAUACUAAUUCUUUUAGCACAACAAAAUCUGAAAUUGGCACACCCAUGACAAAGUUACCGUAAGCUAAUUAUUUAACCAUAAAAAACCCCAAACUGGUACAUUUAUGAUAAAUUUACCUUAUGUUAGUUUCCAUUUAAUUGAAUUAAUAUCAUAAAAAAUCACAAAUCAGUACAUUUAUGACAACGAAGGUUAAAACUCAAAACUGGUAUACCUGUCAACUAUCACGCGUAAUCUAACGUAGCAAUUUGUGGAUAAAAUUUAAUGGAAAUUAACGGAGUGUAAAUUUGUCACGGGUACACAAGUUUCAAUUUUUUCGUGGUCAAAAAAUUAAUUUAGAGUAAAUUUAUCACAUAUGUAUCGGUUUUGGGUUUUUUUCGUGGCAUUAACCCAAAGCAUUUCGAUGGAAGACAUAACGAUAUGCCGACUAACGAACAAAAUUUAUAACAUGAAAUGAAUCAAUUUAAUGGUCUUCACAAAAUUGUGCUACAAUACUAGAAACAGUUUUUGAGUGAUAAUUGUUCGUUAGUUCUAAACCUAUUUAAUGGUCAAUAUUGUUAUAAACUUUUAGUUUUAUCAAUUUAGCUCUAAAUAUUUUGAUGAUUUUUCAAUGUAGUCUAUAUGGCUAAUUUUUGCUAGCAAUAGUUAAUGUGACCCUCCCGUUAGUACUGGCCAUCUUACAUUGUAGCGCUAACGUGGAAGAUUUUUACAAAUUUUUGAUUUUUCUAUUCUAUUCUUUUCUUUGUUUUUCCAUUGUCCAUCUUCUUGAAAGGGCUAGUGGAGGCCGAUGGGGCCUUGAAGAUGGCCUGCGCAAAAUUGAAAAAAUAAAAUAAAAAGAUCAUAUAUUUUUAAAAAAUUACAAACAUAGGACAAUUAACGUCCACCUUAGCGAUUUCCGACCCAUAUUGACCCUGAGGAUUAUAUUAAAAAAGUCAUCAAAGGUUUAUGACUAAAUUAGUCAAACUGAAAAAUUUAGUAUUGAAAUGGCAUUGUACAAUAGGUUCAGGACUCUUUAGAUAAUUUUGCCUUAUUUUUCAAUAGAUAAAAAGGGGAUAAGUGCAUUAGAAAUUCUAAAUCUUAUCAUGAAAGUGCGAUUAAGUCUUAAAACUUUCAAAAAGUGCAAUUAAGUCAUAAAAUUUGUCACCAAAGUGCAAUUAAAUCCUAAAACUUCUUACCAAAGUAUAAUCAUGUCCUAAAACUUUCAAAAUGUGUUAAUGGAAGGAUUUAAUUGAAAUAAUUAGAUAAGUUUUAGGACUCAAUUGCACUUUUGAAUUGAGAACGCAAUUGGACUUUCGUGACAAAUUUUAGGAUUUGAUUGCACUUUUUGAAAGUUUUAGAAAUCAAUUAUACUUUUGUGAUGAGUUUUGGAAUUUUCAAUACACUUAUCCAGAUGAAAAAGUAAAAACUUAUAGAAUUUUUAUGAUAUUUGGCCAUCAAACUAUUUCUCUUUUGUCUACUAAUGCUGAUUUCCUUUUAUUAGGAGCCAAUAGGUUUUAUCAACUCAUAUUAGAAAAAAAAAAGAUUUAGUCGAAAGAUGAAAAAAGAUUUCUAAUCACGAUGAUAGUUGAAUGCAUGCGUGGGAUCCUUCGAGAAAUUUUGAGUAGAUCCUAAGCACGAGAUUCUUAUUUAUGCAAAUCAAUAAUCGCAUUUCCAAGGCUAUAAACUUUUUUCUAUGACCGGUGCUCAACAACAACACCAUCUAUAUAAAGCGGGGUUAGAAUACUGAGAGAUUCACUACAACUUUCGCAAUGGCUCUUCCUGCUUUGUUCACAAGCUUCGUCCCCUCCUCAAUCAGCCAUAACCAACCCUCCCUCUUGUCCUUUAGACACCCUCGCUGCUCCUCCUCCUCCUUCUCCUCAAGCGCUAAAUCGGUGACAUGCGCCGUGACGAUCGAGAAUCCAGAGAUCGUGAGACGUUCGGCAAAUUGGAAACCUAAUGUGUGGGACUACGAGUUUCUCCAGUCACUCGGAGUUGAUUACACGGUAAUGAUCCUUUUUGGAUCGGCACAAUACCAAGCCUGGCUAUGUUCUAUGGAAAAUGUUCACAUCUCGGUCCUGAACUUUGUAUUCCUUUUUUUCCAAUCUUGUCCUUGAACUUGUGGGAAUUCCCUAUCCAAUUUCUUGGUCUAUGGUUCUGGCAAAUUGAAGCUCAUGCGCGUGUCAAUGCUAGCGGAAAGUAUGAUGCAGAAAACUCGGUACAAGUUUUAAGUUCAAGGAUCAUGUUGAGAAGGGGAAAAAAAACAACAUAAGUUGAGGAUCGUAUUAUUGCUUUUCCCUACUUUCUUUUUACUUUGAUGGGAUAGAGUCCACAGCACCCAAAAUGGCAUAGAAACAAAAACGAAACUGUAUUCUGAAUUAGAUAUAAGGAUGUAUACCAUUUGAGUACUGUUGUAUACGACCAACCACUGCCACUCUAUCAAAUACGACUGACAUAACAAUAUUCCAUAGAGAUACUAAUAAACUUGAUCAAAAUGGCAUAUUCUCAACAAUGCUUACUCUGCUUAUGUAUUACUUUUGAUUAAGAUCUCAUUUUUCUGAAUGUUUUACGUGCCUAGGAGGAUAAAUAUGCCGAGCAAGUCCCAAGGUUGAAGGAAGAAAUCAGGGGUCUAUUCAACAGGGAGAUGAACCAGGUGGCCAAGCUCGAGUUCAUUGACGCAGUUCAAAGACUCGGACUAGGAUACCAUUUUGAGACGGAGAUAAAAAAUGCUCUCAGUUCCAUCUAUGACAAUGCCGGAUAUGCUCAGCUUUUGAACGAUCUCCAUGCAGUUUCCCUUGGAUUCCGGUUACUUAGACAACAUGGAUACAAAAUAUCGCAAGGUAUUCGCCAUAUGGUUACCCUUUUAUAAAUCAUGUUGAUGCAUCAAAAGUUACCUUACCAUUCCUUUUUUUGGACAUAUAGAUGUGUUUCAACAAUUUAUGAACAAGAUGGACACGUUCAACGAAUCACUCAAUAAGGAUGCGAGGGGGCUUCUUGGUCUUUAUGAAGCUUCUUUUCAUGGAUUGGAAGGUGAAACCAUCCUUGAUGAAGCGAGGAACUUUGCUUCUAAGCAUCUAAAGGAUCUAAACCUCGACAAAGUUCCUGCUAUGUUAGCGAGCUACGUGAGUCAUGCAUUAGAUAUGCCGAUCCACUGGAGGCCAAAUAGGUUGGAGGCUCGGUGGUUCAUGGACAUGUACGAGAAACAGCAAGACAUGAUCCCUUCCUUGCUGCGAUUGGCUAAAUUAGACUUUAAUCUAGUGCAAUCAGUCCACAAGAAGGAAGUUAGCAAUAUGGCAAGGUAUACGCAAGCACUCUAUAUAUAAACACCAAACCUAUAGGAGCGCAUUUAGAUCGACUUAGUUGUUGAAUGGUGAAUUUCUCAGGUGGUGGGUUGAACUUGGCGCGAACAAGAUGACCUUCUUCAGAGACAGAUUGGUGGAACACUAUUUUUGGACCUGCGCCAUGGUUUUUGAACCUCAGUAUACAGCUUAUAGGGAAAUGACGACGAAGCUCACUUGUAUGGUGACACUUAUCGAUGACGUUUAUGAUGUAUAUGGGACACAGGAAGAACUUGAGCUCUUAACAGAUUUUCUUGUUAGGUUAGUGUAAUAUGAUUAUUAUCAUCAUUUUCCCUCAUAACUAUUGUUGCCCAGAGAAAUGAUAAGCAAUUAAAUAGUCUCUGAAUGACACAAGAGAUACAAUAAAUUUUCAUAGUUCUAUGAUAUAAUUUCUCCGAUGUAUUUUGAACAUAUCACUUUUUAAGUUAGAUUUUUUUUCCUCUAUAUAAUUGAUUGGUUGGGCAAUUAAAGUAGUAGUAAGUACUAACUUUCAUUGUUAUUACUAAAAGUGUAUCGGGUGCUAGUAAAAUUUACAAAAUGUUGAAAUGUUGAUAUCUUAUCCAGGUGGGACAUCACAGAAAUCGAUAAGCUUCCUCCAACAAUAAGGGAUAGUUACAUGGCCUUGUACAACACAACCAAUGAAAUUGGGUAUUGGACGAUGAGAGAGCUAGGAAUCAACACCAUUCCUUACAUGCAAAAAGUGGUAAUCUUGCUGAAUCUUUCACCUAAUAAUUUCUAGCCCGUGCAAGGCAACUCACUUUUCUACUUCUGACUUUCGUAAUGAAACUUCUAUUUAAACAUUUGAGAAUUCGAAAAAUGUAUGAGGGAAGAAUGUCCCUCGGCUUUGUCAUUGACACACUUUUUUUCGAAUUUCAAUCCUCUAGUGGGCGGAUGAAUGCAAGGCGUACAUAAAGGAGGUCCAUUGGUACAACAAAGGAAUCAAACCGACAUUGAAGGAGUACAUGGACAAUGCGGUGGAUUCAAUCGGAGGGCUGAUUAUGCUGUUGGGCAGCUACUUCCUAACCACGGACAAAUUGACGGAAGAGGGGCUUGAUUACGUGUCAAAAAUCCCGAGUGUCAUGCAUUGCUCUGCCAAGAUCCUUCGACUUAACAAUGAUCUCAGUACCUCAUCAGUAUAUUACUUUGACAUUUACCUUUCUCCUUUAAUAUAAUCGCUUAUGAAGAAAAAGCACAUCAUUGACGCAUUCAAAAAUACGUGCUAUUUUUUUUAAAUAUAUUCGAUGAGAAUCCUGAGACUUAUGUUUGUGAAACAUCAAUCUCAUUCAUGGUCAGUAUGAAUUGGCGCGAGGAGACAACUUCAAGGCACUAGAAUGCUACAUGAAUGAAACCGGUGCCUCGGAAGAGGCCACGCGUGAGCAUGUCAGGCAAAUGGUGCACGAGACCUGGAAGAGGAUGAACAAAGAUGUGUUUGAGGACUACCCAUAUUCUGGGUUCGGGCCUUUUCUCGGCGCUUGUCUGAACUUGGCAAGAGCUUCUCAGUGCUUUUACCAGUACGGAGACGGACACGGCCUUCCUGACAACGAAACAAAGGACCACCUUGUGAGGGCACUAUUCGACCCUGUGCCCCUCGAUUAGGGAUGCAUAUUACUGACAGAGGUGUCGCUGUUGGAGAGAACCUAUUGACUUAUGUGUUAUUAUUAGCUUUUGGGGUGGGCGGCUUUGGAAGCUUUAAGACUUUGAAACUGUUGUAAUUGAAGCCUAUACGAUAGAUGGGCGUUGUACGAGCUCCAUAAAAUUCGCUGGGGAACCUCAUGCUAUUUGGGACUUUGAGUUGUGGUUGAUAUACAUAAUUGAUAAUAAAAUUUGUGGUGAUUAUUGAUACUUAAUUUUUAGUUGACGUGUCGAAAAGGUAAAAAAAUUGAGAUUUGGGUUUCCGAUUGCGAUGGAGCCCGUUUCUCACUAAAAAAUAUUGUUUCUCAUUUCUUUAUUUUGUAUCGUUAUUUUUAAGCAAUUUCCAAUUCAUCUUCGAGAAAAAUUCAAAAAGUCAAAUGGUUGAUUUUUGAGUUGACUUUUUGGUCAAUUCUUUGAUCAAAAGUUAAUCCCAAGUUGAAAAUUGACUUUUCACCUAAAUUUCACUUUCAUAAAAUCAAUUUUUCAAAAACUCAAAGAUUUGACCAAAAAAUCAACAUUUAAAAAAAAAUCAACUAAAUAAUUGACUUUUGGUCAAACAUUUGAUUAAAAAAUAGAAAAAACAAAAAAUCCAUAAAAACACUUCUUUUAGUGUAAAUUUGAUUUGUAUGUUGAAAAUUUCACAAAAUUCAACUUGUUUUCCAAUUUUUUUUAUUUUUGGUUCUAAAUUGUCCAAAAAUGAAAUUAGUUUUAUUCUAGUUACAGUUAGGUGUAGUUCCUUUUACGGCAUUUGUUCUAGGGACUAUUUUAAACCCAUUUGUUCACUUGAUUUUGUGGCCCUUCUCACUUGUCAGCAUAAUUUCUGAAGAGUUGAUCGUCCGAAUUUCUUCUACGUCAUUAAAUGCAUGCACAUGGCCAUGUGCAUGCAUGCCCGUAGAAAAAUUGUGCUGCCUCAUAAGCCUAUCGUGUAGGCGCCGAAUUCCCUCUCUUCUUGGUCAUCUUUUGUGGGCUUCUCUUGUUUUAUUAUUAAUAAAGAAAGAGGGAAGGCAGAAGCUAUUCUCCUUCUGCAUGGUCAUACGCGCACACUCUCAUUAAUUGCAUGGAGGCGCAUGCUUUGAAGAUCAGCGCCGUUCUGACAAUUCCGGAGUACAAUUUUGUUUUGUUUUCUUCCCUGCCACCAAUAAAAAGGAGAGAGAGAGAGCUUCGGAGGACGAAGCAGCGGCAAAGAAAAGAGCUUGAGAGAGCAGCGAAAAGAAAGAGCUCGAGAGAGAGCGAGAGGCGUGAGCUCAGAGGCGUGAGCUCAGAGAGGUUUGUGCGUAGUCGAUUCCAUUGAGCUGAGUUGUUAAACACCGUGGGUAUCGGAUAUAAAGUAGGGCUGAGAAACACUUGACUGUAUGAGUGAUUCUAAUUUUGUAAUUCUCGGAUUAUAGUUGAUUAUUUUGCUGAUUCUCCUCGUGGAUGUAGGUUUCAAUAUUCGGAUUGAACCACGUAAAUUUCUGAUGUCCUUUUUUAUUGUUCCUUGUUUUAUUUUUGACGAUUUCUAUAGCUCCCGACAUAAUUGCAAAAUAGACGAUCCGCUUCUGCUGUGAUGCCGAUUCAAACAUCGGCAAUCCAUGCAAAAAAAUGUGAGAGAACGGGACAAGAGCUGGGCACCGAAAAAAAGGUCAGCGGGGGCUUCCUACCCGACUCAGGGGUGGCGAACGAUGGGCAAGAUCAAUAGAUCAGACUACGUCUAGUCGCCUUGCACGCCCCCGAGCCGGGAUCCUUAGGAAAUCUACAUGGAUUGAACCAAAAACUAGAAAACUCAACUGAAAAACUUGAAAUCGAGGCAAGGGAAGCCGCAUCUUGUUGGUUCUGGAUAGGAGGCGCAACCUCACGUUGGGGACAUCGGGGGUGGCUAAGCAACGCUCGGCUAAGGUGGAUUCCAGGUCUCCCUCUUCUCGGUCACUCCCCGUUUCUCCCCCCUGGGGCUCCCUCAAGCUCUCUCCCGUCGCCCUCCUCUCCUUCGGGUCUCUCUUGGUCGCCCUCUCUCUGAUUCACUCCCCUCUCGGUUCCCCUCUCUCCCUUCUUCUCCUCUUCCACUGCUCACCUACUGUCCUCUCUGCUCUCUGCUCCUAUCCCCUCCUUUGCUCUUCCUUUCUGCUCCUGUCCCUUCUCCUUUGCUGCCUUGCUCUUCCUUUCUGCUCCUGUCUUUUCUCUUCUUCUUCCUGCAGGUUUGCGCGCGAGCUGGAAAUUGAAGAGGAAGACCGGUUGGGGUGGACUGGGCCAAAGGAGAAGAAAAAUAAUGAUGGGCUAGGCCUAGCGCAUGGGAAAAAGAAAAGGAGGCGGGCCGGGCCAAGGUCGGAUCCAGCCUGACCCAACCCCUAAGUGUUUUUCUUUUGUUGUUUUUGUUUUUUGUUUUUUGUUUGUGUUUGUGUUUUUGUUUUUGUUUGUUUGUUUGUUUGUUUUUUUUGUUUAAAAAUAGGUGUCAACAAAAGCCAAACGAGGAGAGGAGCCGAAGAAGAAGACUGCAGUUUAGCUUCGGCUUCAAUCGACUUGAACAACAAGAAGGCCUCGAAAGCAUAUCGAGAGUCAAAGUGACGCUUGCUAAGCCCUCAUAAUUUUUUCCUUUGUUUCUAUGAGAAUUGAUGGGAGACUUUUUGAUUUUGCUUGAAUUACAAAUUUCAUCAUAUGUUUAAGAAUAUAUAAAUAUUAAACCACUCUCACAAAAUGUAACAUGAUAUCAAAACUGGAGCGAUCCCUUUCAUGAAUGUGUAUCCAACCUCAUCAAUCAAAUUUCACAUGCCAUGGUCUAAAUGUCACGUGCCACUCAUAAUUAGACUUGCAGGUAAGAAAAAGGUGUUGAAACAUGAGGGGGGUAGCCCUUCCCCAGUGUCUCACUGAAGAACAAUCAAGAGAAGUUGCACUAACUCCUCUAGCCAUAGUGAAGAGAUUGUUUGAAGAGCUAUAUCGUGAGUCACAUGUUGAUGUAAUCAAGCUGAUCAUCACCAAUGCUAUGUGUGAUGUUUUGUCGAGGCUAGGAUCAUCUAAUCAGCCACCAUUAGCCAAUCUAGUUGUAAUAGAGUAUGUUCAUAAUCCCUCAUGAUUUGUUGGGGCCAAUAAUAUUCAUCAGAGUAGCCAACCCUUCAUGAGAAUUAUGCAAAGGUCCAUUCUUCUAAUCAAAGUCACAAUAAUGAGAAUAAUCAAGGAAAUAUUAGUCAAAAUAAUCCAACUAGUGACGGAAAUUUAACAAAUCAAAUUGGUCAAUAGGUUAUUUAAUUGCCAAAUGUUGAAGAUGUAAGGCCAAUUUCCACCCACUAUGAAUGUUCCAUGUCAAUUAAUGUUGAUAAUCUGGCGAGACUAACGUCACUGCCUAGAAGGCAAAAUUGCCAACCAAAUCCACAAUUUGUCGAAGAAGUUCAACAACGAUUAAGGUUAAACAAGGGUGUUAUCAUUACCUGUUUGCAAGUAACACAAUUAGCAACUCUUAUCCAACUCGACCUAAUCUUGACCCAACUUGGUUCUGAAUUUUACCAUAGUAAAAAAACCAAUCAAUUAAAAGGAAAUUAAGAGUGCAUUUGUUUUGUGGAAUAUGAAUGAUUUGGAAAUCAUUUUUCCAUAAAUGAUUGCUUAUAUUGCUCAAAAUAAUUAGUUACCUAAAAAUAUGUUUAUAAUCAAUAAUUUAUGUCUAAAUUUUUUAAUGAUAACACUUUUCAUUAAUUUAUUUUUCCAAGCAAUACAAGUAACCAUUUUUUAGCAAAAUAUUUUCCAAAUUAUUCAUUUUUUGCGAAACAAAUGGAGCUGAAAUAUGAAAAUGAAUUAGCAAAUAAGUAAUUACUCAAAAAAGCGAUAAGUACGUUAGGAGUGCCAUAAUUUUCGUAUAAUACUCGCUUGAGUAUUAUAACUUAUUUUUCAUUCACUUGAGUCCACAAAAAAAAAAAAAAUCGAUCACUCAAGUGUCGUCGGUGAUUUGCCUCAUCGAAAAAGCUUAUGUGACAUUAAUUUAUUAUACAUCAUUCGACGUGACAUGUUGUAAAGUUGAAGCCUGCACUUGAGAAGGCAAACGGUGUUGUUGAAGUUCCAAUGAUUUCAUAAAGUCACAAGUUUUUAGAAAUGAACACUAAGGUUCAUCAACUUUUUUAAAAGUGACCACUUAAGUGAUAGGAAGAGAUAGAGUUUGAAAAUGGCAUCAUUUGAGGAAGAGAAAGAGUUUGAAAACAAUGUCAUCUAAUUGGGGAAGAUUUUAACAAAACAACAAUAAAUGACACCGUUUGUUAUAUUCUUGCCGUGAUGGACAAAAAUUUCCAAGUUAGACUUUAGUCUAGUUUUAAAAAUUUCACGCCGGAAUGGUAAAUUAUAAAAAAAAUUCAUGCAAGACAAUUUGCCCUUGCUGAAAAUGACAUUCAAGUAAUCGAUUUUAUAUCGAUGUGGCAUUCAAACUAGUGAAAAAGGUUACUUCUAGUUUACUUAUUCCACUAAACAAUUGUCAGAUUUCAAGCUAUUAGGACAAAUAUGCCGUUAUUUCCUAUAGUAUUAGAAAUUUGGUCUGAUUUCUCCAAAGCGGUCAUACCUAGAAAGAUACGUCAAAAGGGAAAAUGCACGUGAAAAAACAAGCACACUCUCGAGCAUUAGAUAUAUAGAGUCCCAUAUAGUAUCUUUUUAACCCCCUUCAAGUGCUAAUAUUCCAUCAACAAAUUUUAGUGACUUUCCUCGUUUAGCUCUCACAUAUUUGAAACCGUUAUUGUUAUCACCCAACUCCUUCUUCUGGUGGUGGUCACUUAAAAUACUCACCCUGGAGAAAUGAUCAACGCAAAAUGAAUCGUUCGUUAUACAUAUACUAAUUGCAGGCCUUAAAAAAGGGAAAAUAAAAUAAAAAGGAUGGUGACAAUCAAUGGAUUUAUUUUUUGAAACUUUAUACUUGGCCACAGCACCGAUUGAUUAUUAUAUACUAGUUUGGUGUUGUGUGCCGGCCAUAUAUGUUACAUCCUCUAAAAUUCCGUCAAGACCCAAUCCGAUCGAACUUUAAUUUCUUAAACUCAUUUUCAUCUGGCCUUUUAAAAUGUUUAAACAACCCAUAUACAACUUGAUUGUAAGAAUAUGAGUCAAAGAAUGGGUUUAUGACUGGUUCCGACACCUCUAGUUUUGAAGCACGACGUUUGCAUUCAUCCAAAUUAAGCAUGGUGUGUUGAGGACAGCUGUUUUGAAACCAAAUAAAAAAAGAAGAAGAUAAAUUGCAAUGCUCAGAGAAUAGCGUGAGUAAAAAUUUGCACUGAAAGCAACUAAAAACUUUUUCCGUGACAGUUUCCACAACAACCCCUAUAUAAAGGAUGGUUAGCAUACGAAGAGACUUGCAAUAAACUUCACAAUGGCUCUUCCUGUUCUGUGCCCAAGCUUCCUUCCCUCCUCGAUCCGCCAUAAUCAACCCUCUCUCUUAUCCUUUCGACACCUUCGCUCCUCCUCCUCCUCCUCCUCCUCUGCCUCCAUCUCCUCCGGCGCUCAAUUCAUGACAUGCGCUUUGAAGAUUGAAGAUCAAGAGAUUGCGAGAUGUUCGGAAAAUUGGCCACCUAGCGUUUCGGACUAUGGCCUUGUGCAGUCACUUAAUGUUGAUUACCCCGUAAUGAUUUUCUUUUUUCGGCACAAAACCCAGCCUAGUUUAAGUACUCUGGAAAAUAUUCACAUUUAGUCCUGAAUUUGCAUUCUUUUUCCUAUUUGGUCCUCACUUAGAAAAAUUCUCUAUCAAACUUUUUGGUCUAUGGUUCUGACAAUUUGAAGCUCAUGUCCAUGUCAAUGCUAGCUGAAAAUAUAAUGUGGAAAAACUCGUCACUGUUGUGGAUAGUCAAUUCGCCAAACUACAAAAACAAUAACUCAAGACAAAUUUAAGCAAAUUUCACUAACACUUCAUUCCAUAUUGGCACUGAUUAUUUGAAUAUUAGACUUCUGUUGGCAUCGAUUAAUACGUCGGCUUCACUUUGCUGUGUUCAAAUUUUAAAUUACCACGUUGACCAAAAAAAAAAAAAAAAAAAGAACAUAAGUUCGGUGAGCGAAGUGCACUUCUUCCCUAUUUCCUGUUUACUUUGAUGGGAGGGUCCACAAAUUCCAGAACGACAUAAAAACAAAAGAAAAACUGUACUUUGAAUUAGAUAUAUUGAUAUAUACUUCUCAUGUGUACUUCUGUAUAUGAUUUAUAUAUGACAUUCGAGAUACGUAACACACACAUUCAUCCACUGCCACGGUAUCAAAUUUACGAGCAACCACAACAAUAUUAUAUAGGAGAUAUCGAUAAACCUGGUCAAAAGGCAUAUUUUCAACAUAUAGCAAGAGCUCAACAGUGCCUAUUCAAAUGUUUUGGCAACUAUAUUGAGAAUCGAUCUGUUUCAAUACGAGAGGCGAUAUUCAAGUCUGCUUGUGCAUUAACUUUGAUUAAGAUCUCAUGUUUCUGAGUUUUCUUGUGCCUAGGAGAGUAAAUAUACGGAGCAAGUUCAAAGGUUGAAGAAAGAAGUCAAGGGUCUAUUCGACGGGGAAAUGAAUCAGGUGGCCAAGCUCGAGUUCAUUGACAUGGUUCAAAGACUUGGACUAGGAUAUCAUUUUGAGACCGAGAUCAACAACGCUUUAUGUUCCAUCUAUAACAACACUGAAGAUCCUUAGCUUUCGAAUGAUCUCUAUGCCGCUUCCCUUUGAUUCUGGCUACUUAGACGACAUGGAUACAAUGUGCCACAAGAUACUCACCAACUAGUUUACCUUUUGUGAAUCAUGUUGACGCAUCAAAUUUUACCCUACCAUUCCUUCUCUUGGACAUAUAUAGAUGUGUUUGAAAGGUUUGUGAGCAAGACUGGCACAAGGAAUGGCUCAAUGAAGAUGUGAAGGGGCUUCUUGGUCUUUAUGAAGCUUCUUUUCAUGGAUUGGAAGGCGAAACCAUACUUGAUGAAGGUUGGAACUUCGCUUCUAAGCAUCUAAAGGAUCCAAACCUCAAUGAAGUUCCCACUAAUUUAGCGAGCAAAGUGCAUCAUGCAUUAGAUAUGCCGAUCCACUAGAGCCCAAACAGGUCAAAGGCCUGGUGGCUCAUGGUCAUGUACGAGAAAAAGCAAGACAUGAUCCCCUCUUUAUUAACAUUGGCUAAAAUAGACUUCAAUUUAGUGCAGUCAAUCCACAAGAAGGAAGUCAGCAUUCUGACAAGGUAUGCACAAGCACUCUAUAGUUCAUAGAUGCAAUCUGGCAAAGUAGGAGCACAUGUUGAUUGACUCACUCAUCAAAUGGCAAAUUUUUCAGGUGGUGGGUUGAACUUGGGGCGGCCAAGAUGACCUUUAGGAACAGGCUAGUGGAAAAUUAUUUUUGGAGAUGUUAUUUGUUUUUGAACCUCAAUAUACAGCUUUCAAAGAAUUGAGUUCAAAGAUCAGUUGUAUUGUGACACUUAUUGAUGACGUUUAUGCUAUAUAUGGGACACCAUAAGAGCUUGAGAUCUUAACAAAUUUCAUUAUCAGGUUUGUGUAAUGUCACCAACAUCAUUGUUUUCCCUCGUAACUGUUAUUGCCAAGAAAAGAUACAGGGAAUUAGUUAGUCUAUGAACAGGAUGCCUAUAACAAAUCCUAAAAAUUAUUUAUUAUGAAAUUAAUUCUUUGAUGUGUUUUUCCCAUAUCAUGUUUUGUAUCGGCUUGUUUGUCUUCUAUGUAAUUGAUUGGUUUCGGCCAAUAAAGUUAUGGUAUGCACCAAUUUUAUUUGUUACUUCUAAAAAGUGUACUGAGUAACAGCAAAAUUUAUAAGGUUGUUGAAAUGGCAAUAACUUGUCAAUAACUUGUUGAGGCGGGACAUUACAAACAUUGAUGAGCUUCCUCCAAUCAUAAUGCUCGAGAGUGUGCUUGUUUAGACAAUGAGAGAAUGAGGAAUCAAUCCCAUCCCUUACCUAUGGAAAUUGGUAAUAUCGACUUGCUAAAUCUUUCACCUAAUAAUUUCUAGCACGUGCGAAGCAACUCAUUUUUCUACUUCUAACUUUCCUUAUGACUUGUCUUUGAACAUAGAGAAUUCGUGAAAGUAUGAGAAAAGAACCUCCCUCGACUAGGUCAAUAACACACUUUCGAAUUUUAGUUCUAUAGUGGGCCAAUGAAUGCAAGGCGUACAUGACGGAGGUCUAUUGGUACGACAAGGGUAUUAAACCGACAUUGAAGGAGUAAAUGGACGUUGCGGUGGAUUCAAUCGGAGAGCUGAUUUUGCUAUUGGGUAGCUACUUCCUAACAAUAGGCAAAGUGAUGGAAGAGGGGAUAAAAGAACACUUGAAGUACCAAAACUUGACAUAGAUGGACACUUAAGUGCCAAAAGUGACGAAAGUGACACUUAAGUGCCACUUUUUUUUUUUUUUUUUGAAAAUAAGACAUCUGAGUGCCAAGUCGGGCGAAGGUGGCCGGGAAUCUUACGUGGUAAUUUUUUUUUUUUAAAUAUAACUCGUCUAUAUGGCACAUCGAAGAGUUGAGUCAACAACAAAUAGCCAAAAUGAUGUCGUUUUGUUUCUUUUUUUUUUAAUAAUAAUUUUAAUAUCAAUAUUAAUUAAAUUAAAUUAUGAGGGCUCAGCCCUCGCCACUUGCAAUCUCCAUAUUCCUUUCCUUUUUCUAAAUAAUUUCAUUUUAAAAUUUCAUUUAAUUAAUUUUUAUAUUAAUUAUUGUUGACAUCUAAAUUUCAGCCAAAAAAAUCAUUUCUAAAAAAAUGGGAACUUGUUUUUCCACAAAAUAUUUCAUGUCCAAUUCUUGCAUAUAGAUUAUUUAGGUGUUUAGUAUAGUUUUUUUUUUUAAUGGAAGUUGUUUUUCCUAAAAAAAAUUAAACAUUAAAAAUUAAAGAUAUAUAUAACAAAAGAAGAUAAAAAAAAAGGUUGGAGCUGAUGAUCUGAGUGUGACUAGCCAAGCCCAAGAGGUCAGAUUGUAAUUAAAAUGGCAAGUUGGGGCUAAAAUGCAAUUUUCAAAAGUUGAGGGACCAAUUCUCAAAUUUUGCAAAAUUUGCGCCCGAGCCCUUAUAUCAUCAUCUUUGCCCCCAUUUGAGUUGAAAUUGAACUUGGUUUAGGUCUAAGUAAUUGAAUUGGGCAAAAAUGAUCAAAUUGGAUUGAAUUGAGCAUUCUCGGGCAAGAAAAUGACCAACUUUGAGGGACUUUCCUGAAAAAUUAGGACUAGACAAUUGCGAAAAAUGAUCAAGAUCUUAAACUACUAUACAUGAGCUUGCUAAUUGAUCAAGAACCACAACCAAAUUGAUGAAUUUAGGCACCCAAAAAAGCUGCCAAAUCUCAGUCCACAAGUUAUUCUCAUUUUGGAGCUGCUGAGGAAGCAACUUGGUAGACCCACCAUAUCCUCCUCAGCUGCCCAACUGGCCUAAUCUUUGCAUGUAAUGGAAGACCAUAAUUAGUAGUGCAAGUGGAAAAAAAAAUUGGCUAGGGAUAAGCUGCUGAAAAAGCAUGGGAAAGUCGUAGCAAAAUCCGCACACUCAACAGCUACAAAUUUGAAAAUUUUGGCUUAGUCAGAAAGUGGGUAAACUGCUCAGUUGGCAGGCUUAGUUGGAGGGCAAAAAGCCGAUCAAGAGAUUGCUUAAUGAAGUGGAUAAGAACUAUAAAGCAUGCUCUUUUAAGGAAUAAGAGGUAGAAGACAAGAGGCACUGGAGGGAGCUCACAAUUGUGCUCAAAAGACACCCUUAGAAGUAACUCUAGAAAGCAAAAACCCAGAAAUUCCAAAUCAACAUAAAGAGAAAAGUGAAACUUUCACAAACUUGCAGCCAAAAUUAGCCAAAACCUUCAACUAGAGAGUGAAGUUCACUCAAAGAUCUUUCCAACCAUAAGUCACAUGUCCAAAAUGGAGAUCGGAAAGACCUCCUAAAGCCCCCCGAAAAGAUGCCCUCCCGGCAGGCCAAGGGAGUCCUAAGAUUUUUCUAAGUGUUGAGCUCGGUUGGUCACGAGUGAGGAAAUGCGAGUGUUUUUGAGAAAUGUGAGAGAUAAAUGAGGAAAUCCAUGACUUACAAACCAAACUAGAGUUUAUAUAGUUUGGGUUAGUUUUAAUUUGGCCAACAAAAGAGGUUCUGAAGCCUAAUUUUGAAGGUCAACGAAAACCUUCGUUGUUAGUUUUUUUCUUCCACAAAUCUCACUUUUAGUUUAAAGGAGCCAUUUUCCACGUGUCCCCCCGGAGGAUAAUUUCUCGUUUCCUCGACCAAGAGUCACUUGCAAAAGAAACUAGGAAGUAAGGUAAACAUCCUAGAUGUAUUUUUGUUUGAGUUUGAACAUGUUUUGAUCAUGAAAAUCAGGAGGAAACCUAGUCUGGAGAACUGAUUUAAGAGGUUGAAUUUUUUAAGUGUUUAAAAUCUCUUCAAUACCCCUACAUGCUUGAUUUGUUACCCUCCUUUGCAUGCGUUUUUUUUUUUUUUUUGGUAGUUGUGACUUUGAUGAAUGUUAUAUAGGAGUGCAAAUGAUGUAUAGGACAACUCGGCGUAGUCUUUAAAUCUCCUUGUGAACCAUGCAACCGUCUAUAACAUGAGCCAAAAACCAAGCCAAUCCACAUUGAGACAUGGUUGGCUAGCAUAGAUCAUGCAUGUACGCUUCUUGGAGAGUUCGUUUUGAUGUGUCUGAUUGAUCGUUCUUCGUGAUAUUUGUUGCAUUUGAAAGUCCAUGUUACCUAUUUUCAUCCGGAUGGAGUAAUAUUUCAUAUAUAUGUUGCAUGUGAUGGUUGUCAGGGCUUCAAUCUAGGCAUAUGACAUGUCUGUUUGACUUGGGUUCAACACUAGAUUUGCAAAACGGCUCCAACCCGCAUAUUUGAGGCCGUUUUCAGUUUGGUUCUUACGUGUUCUAGGCUGUGAUUUCUAGCUAAAACUAUUCUUUGUAUGUAAUAGUACAUCCUUGAUACUUUGCGUUCACAUGAGAUUGCUUAUGGGUCGAGAUUGAAUGCCACGAACAUGGCCCAAGGAAGCUGUUUUGAGAUGAUUUGAUGCAAGCCAAGUAUUUGAUAAAAUUUUGGAACCAAGCUUCGAUUUUGAAAGGGUCGAUUUAAGCUCGAUUAUUGUGAUAUUCAUGUGUUGUGUUGUUCAAUGUUAGCAUAUAUCAGUUUAGGGAAUUAUUAUUAUUAUUUAAAAAAAAAAUCCAAAAAUCCAAAAAUUUCAAUAUAUAUAUAUAUUGUUAGAGAAAACAUUUCCAAGAGAUUUUGAUAAUGCCCAAAGUAUCCUUAAUAUAUUACUUACAAUGUUAUUUGCAUAUGUUUGGACCAAAAUACUACACAAUAUCAUGGUGUGAUCCAUCAAAAGAAGUUCGCAAAUGUCCUAUUAUUACAAAAUAGCACUAGUCAACCAAAAGAUCAUGUACCGAUGAUAUAUAUAUAUAGAAGCAGUAAAGAUCAGGUUGAUGGUUAGGUGACAACCAAGUAUAUCAAUUAAUGUUCGUUGGGUCAGCUAAAAAACCGUUGAAAGAUCUGGAUUCGCAUAGCAGCAAAAUUGGAACAAAGCAUGUAGCAGAGUAGCUAGAGUGGUUGACAGGUUAGUUAAAGACCGCAGUGAGAAGAAAGCAAUAGUUGCUAUUUUUUGUUAGUUUGAAGAAGUCCUAGGAAAAAAGCUGUAUGAGUAAUAUAUUCCUAGACAACAACUUAAUGAAAAACUCUUUAAUGGUCAUCUACUUCUCUAAACCAACCUCAAUGGAUAGAUUGAGGAAAGUUAUAAAAGAGAAGGUUUUGAAGAACCAAAAGAGAGUCUACCACAUAAAAAAUCAAGUAGCUCAUGUACUAUUAUUCUUUGUUGAAAGCUCUCUGUCUUAUUAUUUUGUUUGUCAUGUUGUUUAGCAAUUGUGUUACGAAUUAAGUGAACGAGUAUAAGAGUAGCAACUAAAUUCAGAUAGUAUAAUCUAUCACAUGAAGGAUUAGUUCUAGCUGGUUAUAACUUUCCAAGCAGAUUGUUAAUGGAAUUUAGCUCAUCUUAAGACUAUUAGUUUGAAGUGUGGCAUCCCAAAAUUCAAAGCCAAGCCAUAACGUGUGUUAAAGUUUCUAAUUAGGUGAUAAAAAAUUUCCAUGGCUUAUGCUUUAGCCAUUAGUCUUUUAAUUAGAUGAUUCGUGCAUAUGAUUGUGAAAAUUUAAAUUUGAUAGAUUAAUAAUUUAUGCUUGGCCAUGUGCUUUGUAAAUUAAAUUUCAAUAACCAAGAUGCCCCAAGACUUUGGCCAAGAUGGAAAUUAAAAUUUUAAAAUAUUUAUAGAAGAAAUUCAAAAAAAAAAAAGAAGGGAAAAAGAGGGUCAAAAUUCGAUUGGGCCUUAAGCCCAAGAGUGGAACUUUAAUGGGCCAAGUUGGCCGGCCCAUUGAAGCCCACAAGUGGGCCGUCGACCAGCCCAAGAGGAGGCCCAAGAAGUGGCCGGAUGGCCCAAGCCCAAGAAGCCCAAACCCAAAUUAAAAAAAAAAAUUCAAUAUGACAAAUGGCAAAGGGGAAGGCCAUGCAUUGGCUGGUUUGUAGGCAAGUAAUGAUUGUUAAUCAUGAGGAUUUGAGGGUAUAAGAAGGGAAGAGAGAGAGAAGGUGGCCGGAUUUCUUUUGGCCGAGAGAGAGGGUGGGAGAGAGAGAGAGAGAAUUCGAGAAAGAGAGGGAGAGGCUGAGAGAGGAAGGAGGCGGAGCCGAGGGGUUGUCGCCGUCCGUCCGCCGUGUGCCGCCGUGUUCGCCGCCCUACGCCGUCGACCGUCCAUUCUAGAGGCAAGUGGGAGUCCUCUAGCUUCUCUUGCAUGCUUGUAUGUCGUUUGCAUGUUGAGUUUUUGGAUGUUAGAUGAUAAAAACCGAAGCAUGGAUGAGUUGUGUGUGAAUGGUGUGACUGUUCUUGCUCGGAUCGUGUGAGUCAGUAACUUGUUUGAGCUUGCAUUGUGUUUAGAGUCCGAUUUUAGAUUCUAUUUCUUCAUGAGAGUUGUAGCUAACAUCUUGAGCUACAACAUACUGAAAUUUCGUGGAAAAUUAUGGAGAUUUGAGGGGUUAAAGUGUUAUCCUACGGAGACCUCAGAUCUGGAGAGUUUUUACUGACCUCUUGCUGGAUUCGUGAUUGCAUGUUGGUUUUUAUUGAGAAUCUCACUUUUAUUUCUUCAUAAAAGUUGUAGGAGACAUAUUAAAAUACAACAUACUCAAAUUUGAAGUGAAAUGAACAAGUAUAGCCUAGUAAAUAAACUAGAUCUUGAAGAUGAUGAUUCUGGUGAUGAAUUCCGAGAUACCCGAGACUUCAUGGACAUAGAUGAUGACUAUAAUCUGGUUAUUUGACCUAGAUAUCUUCAUGAAACUUGUAUAGGACACCUUGAUAUAUAAAAUAUCUAAAUUUCAGAGGAAACGAAAGAGAAAAGGUAGGUUAAAUCUCAAUAUUUCGGAGAUGUGUACACUGGACGAUGCGGUAAUGGAUCCAGAAACUUCGUGCGGUUGUAUAAAAUAAUAUAAAAAUAAUCUGGCUUGGAGUUCUUCAUGAAAGUUGUACGAAAAUGUCUUGUCUAUCACUUUGUAAAAUUUAGUAAUUUUUGGAGGCCGUAUGGAUAUUUUAAUCGAAUUUCUUCGGAAACUGUGCAUUCUGGUUUUAUCCGAAUAUUAUGUGCUGUUUUGUGGAAAUUGUGAAAUUGUGUGAAAUUAAAUUUGGCCAUGAAUUUUGUAUGAAAUUGUCAUCCUAUUGGUUUUUUAAUGAUUGCUUGAAUUUUUAUAAUUUUGGGAAUUUAUAGAUAUUGAAUUUAAUAUUUAUUAUAAAAUAAAUAAAUAAAUAAAUAAUAACAAAAUAAAAUGGAUUAUUUUAUUGGCCAUAAAUUCCAUUGAAUUUAUUAAUAAAUAAUUAUACAUUGCUACAUGUAUAAUGAGACAUUGGUGUAUGUAUGACCUUGAAUUGUGACGCAUGUGUGAAUUCUAUGCCAAGUAUGACUUGUUUGAUGUCACGCCAUAUGCCAUGUUAAAAUGAGAUCAAAAUAAUGGUAAAUGUGGAUAAUGAUAAGUGAGGAAGUGAUUGUGGUGGAGGAUGAGGCCAGAAUGUAUAGAGAUGCAUUGCCGGAUUCCCUGGGAGAUUUAGGAUGCCCGGAAUGUGGGGGGCCGGAAGCCCUGUCGGAGGUCUUUGCCCGAAGGGAAUGCCUCGCGAUGCCAGGAUUGGGGUGCGGGAUGCUCGGCCAGGGAGUGUAAAUGCCGGAAGCCCUGUCGGAGGUUUAUGCCCGAAGGGAAUGCCUCGCGAUGCUAGUUGAGAUGCGAGAUGCCCGGAAUGUGGGGGGUCGGAUGCCCGGUGGCCUGGGAGGCUGAAUGCCGGAAGCCUCGGAGGUCUUUGCCCGAGGGGAUGAUAAAAUUGAUGAAUUGAGAAAUGGGUGAUGUGGUGAUCAAAUUGAAAGCUAAAAGUGGAAAUUAAAUCAUGGCAUGAUAUGCAUGAUAUGAUAUGCAUGAUGAUAUGCAUGAUGAUGAUGAUGAUGAUAUGUGAUGUGAAAUAAUGAUGAUCACCCAUGAUAUGAUAUGCAUGAUGAUAUGCAUGAUAUGAUAUGCAUGAUGAUGAUGAUGAUGAUGAUAUGUGAUGUGAAAUAAUGAUGAUCACCCAUGAUAUGAUAUGCAUGAUGAUAUGCAUGAUGAUGAUAUAUGAUAUGGCAUGAUGAUAUGAUGAUUGAUGAUGAUGAUGAUGAUAUGAUAUGCAUGAUGAUAUGCAUGGUGAUGAUAAUGAUAAUGAUAUAUGAUAUGGCAUGUGUAAUGCGACGAUGUCGUGAUGAUGAUGACAUGUAUGAUGUAAUGAUGUCAUGACGAUGAUGACAUGUAUGAUACGAUGAUGAUACACAUGUAUGUGUUAUAAAUCGAUAUGAUGAUGCAUGAUAGUAUGCGCAUGGCUUCAAGGUAAGUAGCGCCUGCAAUGCAUGUAUGAUUGCAUGAUGCAUGAGUUGUUAUUGGAUUCCCNNNNNNNNNNNNNNNNNNNNNNNNNNNNNNNNNNNNNNNNNNNNNNNNNNNNNNNNNNNNNNNNNNNNNNNNNNNNNNNNNNNNNNNNNNNNNNNNNNNNAUGGCAGUUUCCCCCACUAAGCUGAGAUUGACUUCUCAAACUGAUCGAUCGAAAUAAUAGUUCGUGACAUGGCACGGUGGCACCAACUGACGAAAUCAAAAGGGUUCGUCUUAUCCACCUUGAACAGUUGACCCCUUCUCUUCGAUUUCAAUAAUUCAUGUGUUAAAAGAAUUUGCGAGUCGCGUCCUCUAAAGUCUACCCUCUUGUGCGUCGUGGAGCUCCAUAUUUUUAUAACGUUUGUUCCCUCCCGCAUCUCCCAUUUCCCUUUCUUCUGAAAAAGGGAAAGACUCUCUCUCUCCCAAUUCCGGUGUACAUAUACGGGACGGCGCACUCAACACAUCUACGAACUAGCCGCGUCACUUUUUUUAUAUAUAUAUAUAUAUAUAUAUUAUAUAUAUAUAUAUAUAUAUAUGUAAAUAAAGUGUCGUGGCUUGUUUAUAAAAUUAUGGUGAUUAGUGGUGUGUAUUUGUAUCAUGGUUGGUAGGGGGAGAGAUGGUGAUGUUUUAAAUUGCUUCCGCUAAUGAGUCGCGCUGGGACCGUUUUGUUUAAAAAAAAAAAUGUGUUUAUGAAUUAGGACGCUUCUUCGAAAGACAGAAAGGUAAUAAGGUGUAACAUUGGCGCUGGUGACGACCUGCGAAGGGUUCGGGGUGUCACAUGAAGAGUGGACGUAAACUUGAGGAUAAACUUGAACCACUAUAACUUUCUGUGUCACACUGCUUUUCAUCUUCUUAUAUGAAUUGGCAUACGGUUAGUGAGUGUUUACUUAAACAUUGUGUUGAGGUGAUCUUUACUUGGCAAUUAGCUAGUUUCCAUAAAAGAUCAUUAAAGUUUGAAAACAACCUAUUCACCCCUUAUAGGUUAUAUUGUUAGCUUCAACAAUUAGUAUCAAAGUUUUGUUGCUCAUUAUCUAAGGCGUAUUUCUUUUGAAUAUAGAGAUCUUUUAUUAUGGCUAACCUUGGCAGCUUCUUUACUAAUGAUGCUUAAGCUACCAACAAGCCGCCAUAUUUUGAUGACGGCAACUAUGGCUAUUGGAAGCAAAGAAUGAAAUUAUAAAUUGAAGCCAUAGAUCUAGAUAUGUGGGAUGCAGUUGCAAACGGUCUAGAAGUACCAAUUUUUGUUCGACAAAAAGGCUGGGAAGCAGCAAUUGUCAAUGCUACAAAAAAAUCUCGAAAAAGAGCCAUUCUUAAUGCUAAACUGAAACACCUCUUGUAUUGUGUAUUAUCACAUUUUGAAUUUAACAGAAUCUCUUCUUGUGAUAUAACGAAGGAAAUCUAGGAUCGCAUUACGCUGACAUUUGAAGGAAUAGAAAGAGUCAAAUAAACAAAGCUAAACAUCUUGCUUGGAAACUAUGAGCUGUUUAGGAUAAAGUUCGAUGAAACAGUGACUCGUUCACACUAUUCACAAAAAUAAUGAACGUACUUGCUCUUUAAGGAAAAAGCUACAUAGAUGCGGAGAAAGUAAACAAAAAACUAUGAGCUCUUUCCAAGGAAUAGAGUACUGUCAAGACUUCACCACGAGAAACCAUGAGGAUUCAACCAAUCACAAUGGACGAGCUUAUAGGAACAUUCAUGUCCUAUGAAGUCGAGCUUUAAAAUGAAGGGAACAACUCCAAAGGUAAGAAAAUCAUUGCAUUUAAAGCUAACCUUGAUGAUACAGGUUGAGAAAUAUCAUUUGAUGAUGAAAAAAUGGAUGAAGACAUGGAAUUACUAACAAAGAAGGUUAAAAAAGGAAGAAUCCAAAGGUAAGGACAUCGUGUGCUAUGAAUGCAAGAAAUCCGGACACAUAAAACUAGAAUGUCCAUCCAUCAAGAAGAAGAAAGGGAAAUUUGAGAAAAAGAAAAAGGUGCUAAAAGCUAAAACAUGGAGUGACACUGAAUGUGAAUCAAGUGAUGAAGAAUAAGCAAAUCUUUCUCUCAUGGCUUCGAAUUAGAAGAAGAUGAGAUAAAAGAUUACGAGUUGUCUUAUGAUGAAUUGAAAGAUUUUUUAAAGGAAAUGUUUGAAAAACACCAAAAAGCUUUAAAACGAAUUUCUCCCUUAAAAAAGGAGGUUCAUAGCCUUACCACUUAAAACCUCACCAACCAAACUCUCAUUGACAACUUGAAGAAAGAGCUUGAUUCUCAAAUAAAUCAAGUAAAGCUCUUGCAAGCUGAGAAUGAGAAUGUCAAGGAUAAAAUUUCAAAAAUCAACAUUAAAUCUUCUUUUGGUUCAAAAACAUUAAAGCACAUUUUCUCUAUCCAAGUUCCUCACUACAACAAUAAUGAUCUUGGAUGUGAAGGAAAUGAGGAUGAGACGAAUCAUUUUCCAAAAGCAAAGGACAGAUUAAAGCACAAAACUCUUGCACACUUUUACAAGUCUCACUUUGUCAAACACUUUACUAAAGCUACUGGUAAGAAAUUUCCUAAGUAUUCAAACUAUGGAGGAUAUGGCCAUUUCAAAAUGGAUUGUCUAAAACAGCUAAAGAAAUUCAGGAAAACUAGCCGGUCUUUUGAUCCCGAAUUAAAGCCUAACCACAAAGGACCUAAGUUUAUGUGGAUGCCAAAGAAAAGAUGAGAUUUACUUUGAUUUCAGGUUAUCUUGAAGAACAACAAGUGGUAUUUAUAUAGCGAGUGUUCUUGACACAUGACUGGAGACAACAACAAGUUUGUAAUGCCUACAACCAUAGAUAGAGGCAUAGUUACAUUUGGAAGAAAAGAUAAAAGGAAGAAUUAUCGAGAAAGGAAACAUCAGGUUGGAAAAUUUAUUUGUUGAAUAUGUUUCACUUGCAAAAGGUCUAGAGCACAAUCUCCUUAGUAUAAGUCAACUCUAUGAAAAGGGUACAAAAUAAAAUUUGAGAAAUGUAAGUGAAUAGACACAGCAAGGAUAAAUCACAAAUAUUCACUAGAAAUAGGUAUGGCAACAUCUACUUACUUGACAUCAACUUUGAUGAAUCUUACUAUUUAAUAUCUAUUAAGGAAGAAUGUGAUCUAUGUACAAGAAAUUAGGUCAUAUUAAUGCAAACUAUAUCUUCCAAAGAUAUAGUUUGUCCUCUACCAAAAAUCAAUUACAGCAAGUAUGACACAUGUAAUGCAUGCACAUUGGAAAAAAAAAAGGUGAGAAACUCUUUCAAAUCUACCAAAGCUAUUACUACUGGUAGAUCUUUGUAACUAUUGCAUAUGGACUUGUUUGGACCAACAUGAACAACAAGUCUAAGAGGAAGAAAAUACUGUCUAGUCAUAGUGGAUGACUACUUGAGAUUCACUUGGGAAAUGUUUUUUAUCACAAAAGAAUGAGGCAUUUCAUUCUUUUAAGAAAUUUGCUUGACAAGUUCAAAAUGAGAAAGGAUACGACAUCACCACCAUUAGAACUGACCAUGGAGGAGAAUUCGACAACCAAAGCUUGCUGAAUAUUGUGAUGAAAACGGAGUGGAACACAACUUCUCCACUACUUACACUCCUCAAUAGAAUGGGGUAGCAGAAAAAAGAAAUCGAUCAUUGCAAGAAAUGGCAAGGACAAUAUUGAUCGAAAGUAAUGCACUUACUUAUUUCUGGGCUAAAGGUGUUGCUAUCGUAUGUUACACUCUUAAUAGAAUAUUACUCAAACCUAUGAUAGAAAAGACUCCAUACGAGAUAUAUGAUGGAAGAAAAUCUACUCUACGCUACUUCCAUGUAUUUGGAUGCAAAUAUUUCAUUUUGAAGAAUACAAAUGACAACAUCGGGAAGUUUGAUGCAUGAGCUGGUGAAGGUAUCUUUCUUGGUUACUCAACUACAAGUAAAGCCUAUCCAAUCUUUAUUAAAAAUUCAAAGAUAGUGGAAAAAUUCAUAAAUGUGAAAUUCAUGGAUGAUCAAAAAGGGACACAGAGUGAUGACUACGAGGAUGUCAUACAUAUAUUUGCACCAAUUGCUCAAAAACAGUAGCAACCCCUACUUCUAACCGAUCUUUCAAAUCAAAGUCAAUCUUCAAGAGAUUGGAGAUUCAAGAUUGAGCAUCCUAAGGAAUAAAUAAUGGGAAAAGUGGAUGGAGGAAUCAAAACAUGAUCAUCUCUCACAGGUAUGAUAAAUUCCUUAACUCUUAUAUUUGAAUUUGAGGUCAAGAAAGUUGAAGAUGCUCUAAAAAAAAAUGAAAGCUGGAUUGAAGCUAUGCAAGAGGAAUUAUAUCAAUUCAAAGUCAACGAUGUUUGGGAACUAGUUGCUAGACCUAAAUAUUAGACUAUCAUAGGAACCAAAUGGAUAUUAAGGAACAAACUUGACACAACAUGUAAUGUUGUACGUAACAAGGCAAAACUAGUUAUCAAACAGUACCUACAGGCGGAAGGUAUUGAUUUUGAUUAAACUUAUGCCCUUAUUGUUGAGUGCGGGACACCUGGAGUGCCAUAACUUGGCACGCCCGGACACUUAAGUGCCAUAACUUUAAAAUGGUACACUUAAGUGCCAUCAUCGGAGUAAAAUAGGACACUUAAGUGCCACUCCGGUGAAAAUCCGGCCAAAUGGCUGACGUGGCGACUUUCCGGCGAGCUCGGUCCCAAACGGCGUCGUUUUGCACGCUGACGUGGCGGAGAAAAUGCAAAAACGACGCCGUUUCGCGUCUACGUGUAAAUAAUAGUAUAUAAAUUAAUUAAAUUAGAUUUAAACAAAAAAUUUUAAAAAAAUAAGAAAAUUUUAAAAAUUAAGAAAAUUUUUUAAAAAUUAAGAAAAAAUUUAAAAAUUAAGAAAAUUUAAAAAAUUUAAAAAAUUAAGAAAAAUUUUAAAAAUGUUAAAAUUUUUAAAAUUUUAAAAAAUAAGAAAAAUUAAAAAAAUUAAAAAAAUUAAGAAAAUUUUAAAAAUUUUAAAAAAUUUUAAAAAAUUUUAAAAAAUUUAAAAAUUUUAAAAAUUUUAAAAAAUUUUAAAAAAUUUAAAAAAUUUUAAAAAAUUCAAAAAUUUUAAAAAAUUUAAAAAUUUUAAACAAUUGAGAAAAUUUUAAAAAAGGGGGGGCGGGGGGGGAAAUGGGGGGGGCCCCCUGCCCCCCCCCCCCGGCCCCCCCCCCCCCCCGGGUUAAAUUUUUUAAAAUUACGAAUUCCCCCCCCCCCCCCCCCCUUUUUUUAAUUUUUAAAUUUUUUUAAAUUUUCUUAUUAUUAUUUUUUAAAUUUUUUAAAUUUUUUAAAAUUAAAAUUUUUUAAAAUUUAUUAUUUUCUUAAAUUUUUUUAAUUUUUUUAAAAAAAAUUUAAAUUUUUUUUAAAUUUUUUAAAUUUUUAAAAUUAAAAUUUUUAAAAUUUUCUUUUUUUUAAAAUUUUUUUAAUUUUUUAAAAUUAAAAUUUUUAAAAUUUUCUUUUUUUAAAAUUUUUUUUAAAAUUUUUUAAAAUUAAAAUUUUUAGAAUUUUCUUAUUUUUUAAAAUUUUUUAAUUUUUUAAAAUUAAAAUUUUUAAAAUUUUCUUUUUUAAAAAAAAUUUUAAAAAUUUUUUAAAAUUAAAAUUUUUAAAAUUUUCUUAUUUUUUAAAAUUUUUUAAUUUUUUAAAAUUAAAAUUUUUAAAAUUUUCUUUUUUUAAAAAAAGUUUUAAAAUUUUUUAAAAUUAAAACUUUUAAUUUUUUUAAUUUUUUUUUAAUUUUUAUGCUGAUUUGGAGGUCCGGCGAGCCAUGUAGGCAAAAAAUAAUAAUAAAAUAUUGCCACGUAGGAUUUCCGGCAAGGGUCGCCGGAGGUGGCACUUAAGUGUCCCACUCGAAAAAAAAAGUGGCACUUAAGUGUACCGUUUUGAAGUUAUGGCACUUAAGUGUCCCGGCGUGCCAAGUUAUGGCACUUGUGGUGUACUUCUGCCCCUUAUGUUAGACUAGAAGCUAUACGUUUAUUAUUAGCUUGUGCCUAUUUUCAUGAUUUCAUACUAUAUCAAAUGGAUGUCAAAAGUGCAUUUUUGAAUGGUUAUAUCAAAGAAAUAGUAUACGUUGAGCAACCACUAGGCUUUAAAGAAACAAGUAGACCUGGUGAUGUUUAUCAACUCAAGAAGGUGCUUUAUAGACUAAAGCAAACACCAAGAGCUUGGUAUGAAAAAUUAAGUAAUUUCUUGACAGAUUAUGAAUUUAAAAAAAGUAAGGUAGAUACUAUCCUCUUUAUCAAUUGGAAAGGUAAAAAUUUGCUUAUCAUUCAAAUAUACGUUGAUGAAAUAAUCGGUGGAGCUACUAAUGACAUGCUGUGCAAGGAAUUUGCAAAAAUGAUGAAGAGUGAAUUUGAUAUGAGCCAAUUGUUGAAAUAAAUUUCUUUCUCGAACUCCAAAUCAAGCAAUCUCUUGAAGGCAUCUUUAUACAUUAAGAGAAGAACACAAGAUAAAUAGUAAAGAAAUUUGGUUUGGAAGGAUACAAGAAAAUCGAGACUCCCAUGUCAUGCUCUAUCGAAUAAGAUAGAGAUGAGAAAGAUAUAAGAAAUACAUCAAGUACUUGUCAAUUGCUAGGGAACGUGCUAAUUUCUUGGUUCCCGAAUAAACAAAAUUCAGUUGCCUUCUCAACCAUUGAGGCUGAAUAUAUUGCUCUUGGAAGCUGUUGUGCUCAACUCAUUUGGAGGAAGCAACAAUUAAGUGAUUCUAGAAAAGAUGAAGAAUGUAUUCCCAUCAUGUGUGAUAACACUUGUGCUAUAAAUCUAACCAGAAAUCCAAUCCUACAUUCAAGAGCCAAACAUAUCAAGGUGAGACAUCACUUUGUUAGAGAUUACGUUAACAAUGGAGAUAUCUAUAUACAAUUUAUAGAAUCAAAACUAUAGCUAGUAGAUAUUUUCACCAAACCGUUGGACAAGCCAGCCUUUGAAUAUAUACUUGGUGAACUAGGAAUGUUCAUUGUUCUAGAAUGACAACAUUUAGGUAAUAUGUCAAUUAUAUUGAAUAACAUUAGAUGUGGAAGAAACAAUUGGUACGCAUCUACUGUAUUAAUUCAAAAAGUUAAUGUUACAAGUACUACGCUUGUUACCGUUUUGUCCAUCUAGAGGUGAUACGAUUGUUGUAAAAAACUCCAUAUGCAUGAAUUUAUUGCCUAUCUAAUUGGUAGAUUUCAAAUACGAAACAUCUAUGGAUAAGAAAAAUCACCGUUGAUGAAACAAUGGCUAUUUUUCUCUCUCUCUCUCUUCAUGUAAUACACCACUUCUAUUUAUAGAAGAUUAGUAUUUAUUUUUUUACUCACUACUCAUACCUACCCUCUCAUAUUUAUUUUAUAUUAUCUACUCAAACCUCUCAUCCCUUCUACACACAAACACCUUUUCAUUCAAAUCCAUGGUACCCAAAGCUCACACCUUUUUAAAGGUAAUUGCUGACACCUGAUUUUUAGUCGACGUGUCAUUAAAAAGUACAAAUCGAGAUUUUGGAUUUUGGAUCGUGACGGAACCCUAUUUCUUGGCCGAAAAGUGUCGUUUAUUUUUUGUCUUUUUCAUUGUCAUUUUUAAGCAACAUCUAGUUUAUUUUCAAGAAAAACUCGACAAGUCAAAUGGUUGACUUUUGGAUUGACUUUUUGAUCAAUCUUUUGACCAAAAGUCAACCCCUUGACCAAAUGUCAACUCGGGGGUCAAAAAUUGACUUUUUACCCAAAAAGAUUUCAUUUAACUUUAAUUUCACUUUCGUCUAAUCAAUUUCUCAAAAAAUUGACAAAAAAAUCAACAUUUUAGUAAAAGUCAACUAACUAGUUGACUUUUGAUCAAACAUUUGAUCAAAAAAAUGAAAAAAAAUGAAAAAAAAUAAAAAAUACAUGAAAACAUUUCUUUGAAUGCCAAUUUGACUUUUGUGUCGAAAAUUUCAUAAAAUUCAAUUAAGGACCUUGAUUUCUAAAUUUUUUAGUUUUAGGUUAUAAAUUAACUAAAAAUAAAAUUACUUUUAUUUUAGGUAUAGUUAGGUGUAAUUCCUUCUUCAACAUUUGAUUUAGGGACUAUUUUAAAUUUUCUUGCAUAUUCAAUUUCGCGAUUUAACAAGUUAAAAUGCGAAUUACCGUUUUGAGCCCUAAUUAUGGGACCAAAAUCGAUCUUUUAUAACUUGUGAAUGGACGAUUGUUUCUCAUUCGUUUCCUUAAGAUAAAUCAAAAUUCAAAAUCGAUUUUGAGAAAUUCACACCAAAGCCUAUCAAUUUGAGGGAUUUUAUCCUCCAAAGCAUAAGAAAGUCAAGUAAUUAAUUUCAAUUGUCAAAAUUCGAAUUGACACAUUCAUGGUUAUGGUCUAAUUUCAUAAAUCUAAGUCUAAUUUGAAUAUUAGACCUAGAUCCAUUUUUGACAUAAGCCCGAGCGCUUUAAUUUAAGGCCAAUUCGGACAUGAUAAGUGAUCUUACAUAUGGGUAGGUCAUUAGAUAGGGCAAUUGUGACAUUAAUUGAGUUCAAUUUUAGUUAAUUUGUAAUUUUGCCUAUUGAAUUACAAAUUUGAUCAUUUGAGCUCUUGAGACCCAAUUCAAAGCACCCAUGAUUUUCACCUGUCACCUUUGACGAUAAACAUUAAAUUAGGUUAAUAAAAUACCUCUAGAUUAUGUUCAUAAGGUUUGAUUAGCUUAAUUGUAUCUCACUUGGCCUAUUUCUUUUUUAAAUAUGGUAAAAUUCCUUUUCAAUUUGAUCCUUUAGGAACCAAAUUGUUUAAAUUUUGGACCCACAAGGAUCCUAAGUAGACGAAAUAGCUAGAACCAGACCAAACCAGUCAAGAACCGAUCAAAACCCAGCUGAACCGCAAGGAAAUGGCCGAUUCAAUCCCUUGCCGGCUGGUUCUUGACCUCCAACGACCUGUUCUAGAAUCCUCUCAAUGUCAAUUUUACUUCUACACCUUUAAUUUCUUGAAAUUUUACAAGUUGUAUCUCGAAUUUUAUCAAAUUACAAAUUAACCCUUGAUAAGACAUUCGACAUAAUUCUCGAUUUUGGCUCGGGUUUUUGCAAAUUAAACAUACUAGAUAGAUUACCCAACACCUCGAGAUCAUGAUACAUCCUUUAAAAUUGAAUUUUAACCAUUGGAUCAAUAUUUUGAUCGUUGGAAUGACUGACGGUCGGAAUUGCUCGAUUUUAAGAGGGUAUAAAUACCCAUUUUCCCUCCAAUUUUUUUGGGAGAGGGCUUCAUGCUGCACGAACUUUUCUCUCUUCAGAUCUCUCUCUCUAAUUUCCCGCUUAAAAUCGCUCAGUCUCUUCCUACUCGCCGAUUUUGCCUGAUUCCUCUUCGGUGAAGCUUUUAGCCUUUGCCAGCAUUAUCCUUACUCUGAUGACCAUUUCCGACCUUACUCCAUUACUGUUGCUAGCUCAAGCCAUUUCUAGAGUGAUCAGAAGCCUCCAAACGGGCUUGAUUUUUCCUAGGCAUUAAAGACCGGUUCGAUUCAUGAACCGGUUCUAUUUCAGACUUGAACUGGCGAUUGCCGGACAGUCUCGUGCCACCAAUCACUCUUGAUCGGUGACGUAAGUGGUCUUCAACCUCGUUGUGGUUGAGGACUACCAGAUUUGUUCCAGUGACUUGCUUCCUCUACUAGCGUGAAGAUUGAUCCGAUUCUUGGACCGGUUCUGUGUGUUCUGCAAAAACAAAGGUCAUCGGAGCUUUUAGGAGGGUCUAGCUAUCUCUGUUAUGUGUUAGGAAUGUCUUCUGACCUCGUUGUGGCUGGCUAACUGCUGGAUCAACAUCAGUGGCCUAUUUUCUCGCUAGUGCUUGAAGGCUGGUUCAAUCGAAUCAGUUUAUGUUCGUGUUGCAUCUUGUCCGAUUUGGAGCCUUGAUCUAGUCCAUAGCGAUCCAAUCCACAUCCUUGGAGUUUCAAUUGUAAUUUGAAGGCUUGCAUCUUGUCCGAUUUGGAUCAAAAUCGACAAAAAUCAAUAAAAGGUGAUUUCUUAGUCUUAAACCCCUUGCAGUGAGGCUGGAUUAGCCGGUCGGGGUUAGGGUUCAAUCUAAAGGAUAUAUGCUAUGCUCAUGUGAUCUUUGAUAAGUUGUUGAAGUUUGAAUGCUGAUAAGUAUUCUUGGAUAAACUUGAAUGAUUAUAGUUGAUUUAGCUUGAAUAUGAAAUUUCAUAGCUAUAGGAUUGAUUUGACGAUUUGGCCAAAAUGAGGUCUGAAACAACCUCAUUUCAAUUCAAGUCCUCUUAAAACUUUGAAAAUACUCAUUGCUAACUUUGAAUCGAUAUAUUGCACACCUAAAUCAAGCAUCAUUUGACUCUCAAAAAACAUCUCUAAAGAUGAACAGAUCUGUAGUAGUUCAGGUGGAUUUUAAGUUUUGUUCUUGUUCGGAAAUGAGAUUUUUACUAUUUAUGUGUAGUCUUCUAUGAUGAUUUCUGGAUAGUCUUGCUUGCAUUGAUUUUGUUCCAAAUAGUCUUGUGCAUGUUCUAUAAUUUUUUCGUGAUUUUUGGAUUUAUUUAACUAGGUCAGAUCUACUCAGAUUUGAGCCUAGGUCAGUCUAUUCCAUGUUGAUCUCAUAUUUUGUCAUUUUUGUACUAAUCUAUGUGUUGAUUUCUGGAAGAACUUUUCCUUCAUGAAAUUUUCUCAUAUUAAUGUGAAGCAUGCUUUGUAUUUUUUUUUUUUGAAUUUUUAGACAUGAUUAACUAGGUCAAAAUCACUUAGAUCCGAACAUACAAUAGUCUGUCCUACAUUGCUCUGAAUUCUGUUUUGAUAAAAUUGAGUCCAAAAAUGAGUUUGUUUGGUCUUAAUUCCUCCAUGAAAGUUGAAAUACAUGUUGUAUAUGUUCAAUCGAUACAUGCUUUGCAAAGCCUUAAUGUUGGCAAGUGAGUCAAUUGCAUGAUUUAAAGUGAAAAUGUGCUACAACAAUACAGAGCUUAUAUAUGCAUUUUUGUUUUGUCAUUUUUGUUGUGAUUCAUGUGAUCACAUUUAGGUUUCGAACUUUAACGAAAAAUGUUCACUAUUGCAUGCUCUAUAUGUAGGAUUUUUUCUACGUCUUGAGAUGGUUGAAAUCAUUCCUGUUUUGUGAAGUUAAUGCUGAAACGAAAUCUUGUUGUAUGUGCAUCUUGUCAUGCUUGUUUGAGUCAUUUAGAGACCAAGUUUUGCAAUCAUGCCUUCUUGACAAUUAAACUGCAUGUUAUAAGAUUCGCAUACAUGUUUAGGUCAUAUCAUAUUGCACAUUAAAUUUGUUUUACAAAAGUGUUCUUCGCACUUAAGAUUCCAAAGCAUACCAUUAGGAAUCUUGAAUCAUUUUAUAAUGUCAUUUAAAUUGUAUGACAUUUUGCAUGCCGACCUAGGAUUAGAUGGUUAUCCAAAUUUUCCAUUGCAUCCGAUCCUAAGUCCCAUGUGAUUUCUUCAUGCCGUUUGUGCAUUAUUCAAAUAACUUUGAGGUUUUCUAAUGCAUGCUUGUGUUAUGUUUUUCUUAGUUACUAACACGCACACCUUUAGAGAUCUCGAUCUUAGAGUGCCUAAUUGACCUAAGUUGGACUCAAGCCAUUCUAAAAAAUUGUAAGGCAUGCUUAGAGGUUUUCAAUGCCAUUGAUUUGACACAAAUCACUCAUCAUUUGGAAAACUUUCCAUUAUUUUUAAAACUAGAUCAGAAUCUGGAUAGGGGAUCAAAUUCAUACCACUAUUCUAAUGUCAAACUCCAAACCUCAAGCGUACGCACAUCCCUUGGUGGUUGAUAAAAUUGCGACGUCCCAGGACACAUCGCUGACCCUUUCAUUUUAUUGCACAUGCGAAGUGUAUAAAUAAAUCCCCAGACAACACAAAUAUGGGAUAGAAAAGUAGGAUACCAUUUUUACUAAAACAGUUUUCAUAAACAAACUAGUUUAUACACAUAUGCCAACUCUAAGGUCUAUGCACAGGAGGUCUAUCUCCAAAAAGAACUACUGAGCCAUCCAUGCUCCUGACCCUUCUGCCUCAAGUUCCGGGUUCUUCACACUAGGGACUUGAAAAGAUAAGCCCACAAUGGGGUGAGACAAUGUCUCAGCAAGUUCAUCCUCUAAAUCCCGAUUAGAAAGGAAAUACGCCUAGGGGCGUCCUAACCACAUAACCACGCAACCACACAACCGUAGAGACUUACCUUGUCUCAGAUCCUCCUUGUAGGUCAGCACAUUUUUUUUUUUUUUUUGGUAAAAAAGGUUAGCACAAUUCAUAUCACAGACAUAAGCAGUAAUCAGCUCAAUCAAUUGGAAUGCCACAUCUCAUAUCUCACAAAGCCACAGGGGUCUCGAUUAUAAGGCUAAAUCGUUGUGAUACGUCUUAUACCAUACCACACAAUUUUGUUCCAUAAUCAGGCGCGUUAAUUUCACUUAAUCAUGCGUUCCUAAUUUUAAUCUCGGCCCAAUGGGCAUGGCCUACUUGAUGUUCAGCGGUCUUCUGGCGUAAUUAGGUAUCGUCUCACCCUAUUGAGCACGGUAACGUCUCACCUCAUUGCGCAUGGUAAUCCCAAAGGAGCAUUGAUCUAAAAUCUACUGUGACUGGCAUCUGUUGACAAGGGCAUUCCACAUAGGAGCAUCGUCCAGCUUAAUAGCCCAAGACAGUUUCUCAUAACCAACACACGACCAUCCAAUUCCGGCCAAGGAUAUUUUGCUUUGCACUCAAAUGCCUUAACUAAAAUAACAAACUUGGCAUAUUUUCUUCGUAUUAAAAACGCCUGGUGAAGAUAAUUGUGUGUGGGUACACGGUCAAAUCGAACUUUUAAAAAUUAAUAUCCUUCAUUUUAAAAUCCCACUGUUUGAUAUAGUACUUAAAAACAUUUUCGGUAUCAAAACCCGACACAUGGUAAUUUCUAAUUAAUUACCCAAAUUUCCAAAUCUUGAAUUAAAUACUCAAAAUUACAAUCACUACUCAAUUUGCACAAAUUAAUAAUCAAUUGCAUAAACUAAGCAUACCAUUGCAAUCAGCACGAAAUUCCAAUCAUCAACUAUCUCAGUAUAAUUUUCAGAAGAUAAUAAAUAAUUAAAUAAAUUACAAAAAUAAUUAAAUAAUGCAAAUUAAAUACAAUAAAUAUUAACUCAAGCUGGAAAUGCUAAUCUAACCACCUAAACGGGCCUAGAAAAUUUUCGCACCUAUCUAGAUAAAUAGUACAAUCUAUCUACCCUUAAUUAAUCUAUAACCACCUAACAUUCAUAAAUAAAUAAUUAAAUCACUAAUCUAAACUAACUAACCACCAAAUCCACACUUAACCUAAUUUAAUUAUCUACAAAGCGUUAUUAACUUCAUAAGCAGAGUUCAGUAAGUAAACUCAUCGGUUUAGUGAGGCGGUGAGUCCACGGUGAUGGCGACACGAAGGUGAGCGACAAACAAGCUUGCGACAACACCAAGCGGGGUCUAGACGGGCCUUAAAAUGGGCCUAGAAGUCCAACAACCCCUACUGGCCUUCAGCCUCUGUCCUUGGGCCGAAGGGCUUGAAUGUGCGGCCUAGUUGGGCUGAAACGGCCACGGAUGGAUGGCGGUGGCUGGAACAGCUCCUAGUGAGCUUGACGGAUGUGGAGGGUGGCUCGACGGUGACGGACAGUAGCCAGGCGAUCUCAACAGUGGCUAGGCAACUCAGGAUGGCGGUUGGGCACAAACACGAGGAGGGACGAGCACGCGGGCACGAGGGACGCGUGGACAGCUCGCGGGCGGUGUGCGACUAGUCCGGCGACUUCAAGCGGUGGUCAACAGUGAAGGAGGAAGGCUGGCUGGUUUCUUUGAUUUUUCUUGUGCUCCAAACAUGCUAAAAUGGAGAAAGUGAGGCCAAGGGAAAAAGAAGAAGCUGCUGAAGAUGAGGAAGGGUCACAACAUAUCCAAAAUGCUUGAGUGCUAUGCCCCACUAGCCAUGGCUAUCAUCCUUAGCCAAUUUGCAGCCUUUCAAGCUUCCUUAGCAAGCCAUCCAAGGGUCCAAAUGUUGCACACCCCAAGCACCUACAACUUUUGGACAAUUUCCAUCCAAUUGGACUGAAUUCCUUCUCUAAUUGAGCUCAAUUUGGCCUCCAUAAAUUCCAUUAAGGUGCCCACGUCCAUCUUAUGAUUUUUCUUUGUCAAUUGAACCAACUUGAUAGCAAAAAAUGCAACAAAAAACUGCCCUCUAAUUUUCUCGAUUCAAAAUAGCCUUACUUUGCAUUUUUUUGCCGAAAUCUCGGGUUUGCAGAAAAAUCUUCAGAGAACGAGUCGACGUUCCUAAAAUAAAUUGUGACAUGACAAAACUUUCAAUUUCUAAAAUCGAGUUUAAAUUUGUGGUUAAUUUCAACCGGGCACGAUUUUAACGUGACCUAACCUACCGAAUAGCUUUUAGGAAUUUUUGGUGCAAUCGACCUGUAGUUGAUUAUUUUCGAGCUACAUUGUGCAUCUUCAACUCAUUGGCAACUCUAGAUUGUCGUGAAAAUUUCGAGAUUUCAAAUACGGGCACAUAAUACAGAAAUGACAGAAAAAUUGGUUUAGUGCCAUUCGACGAGAAUUUUGUAAUGAGGUGGAAUCACCCACACUUUAAUCACGUACCUCAGUCAAAUCGACCUAUCUCCAAUCUCUGAUCGAUUUUGACAGUGUCGUAUUGACAAUUGCAAAUUAGCACGGUCGAGCAGUCGAUUUCUAAUCGAAUUCUCAAAUCAGUUGCGUUUAGGUUCUUUAACGGCUUCACUUGAUAGGCUAGUUAUCUUGUAAGUGGCCAACUCAGAGACAACGGUCAUAGGCGCGUCAAUGAAAAGCCCGUUUCAUUUCAUCGAAAACAUGGUUGAAAAUUAGGAUGUCACAUCUAACCCCUAUUUGGAUAGACCUUUGACAUUUUUGUUCUAUUUUUUCUGCAUGGAUUCUGUAUUUGACCUCUCAAUAAAACGUGCUUGCUAACAUGUUGGCUAUAUUGUGCAAAAAUUUGGUGAUUUUUAGACUUGUUUUGAUAGGACAAAUCCUUGUGAUAUUGGCUGAGUGUCUUGUUGUUUUGACUAUUUUCUGCCAUGGUGUUGCUUGUUGUUUAAUUUUUGUAAAAUCAUGUGUAGCUCGUUUGGUAAAACUUUCUUCACAAAAGUUGUUUGUUAUCUUGUUGUGCAUGUUAGAGAAUUUUUUCAUCACAAAAUUAUCAUUAGAUAUUUCCCAAUCUUGUUGUUUUUAUAUGCUUGUUUUGAAUUCCUUGAUAUGAACUUGAUUGUGAUUGUUUUGAUAAACUUCCUAGGUUAGUUUGUGCAUUAACCAAAGCCAUUCCAUCUUCAUAAAAUUUAUUUUAAAUACCUCAAUAUUCAUUGUUAAAUGAUUUUCGAUGAAUUUUCUUUUCAAAUCAAAUUUAAAAAUGCUUUGGUCCAUGUGAUGUUUUCCAAAAACAAUUUAUUAAAAAGUACUUUUCCAAAAGCUCGAUUUGCUUAAGGAAGAGUCAUGUUUUGAAUCAUAUUCAAAAUGCCUACAACACUUGUGAGUCCAUUUAUGCGAGCCUUGAGCUAGUCUUGGCAAUUGAAUGUGUUCCAUAGCCUAGUUAUUCCUUAAUCCAAAAUAUUUUCAAAAUUUUUCUCAAAUCCUGAUUUGAUAAUUGUGAACGUCACAGUUUGGAUUGUAUUUAAAAUGCUUGCGAUGCUUGUGAGUGUAAUUAUGCGAGCCCCAAGCUAGCCUUGGCAAGUGAAUGUCUUUCAUAACCGAGACAUUAUUUUGUCUCAAAACUUUUUGUGAACGAUUUCAAAAGAUGUUUUUGAAACAUCAUAUAAUCACGUCAUUCAUAAGAAAAGUCUGUGUUUGUAAUUGACGCAUACUCCUGACAAUAAGUAACCCGUUGACAGUUUACUUUCUUGCUUGAUUGGCUAAGAAAUAAGGUCCAAAUGACCUGCAUGCAUGUUUAAUUCCUGCAAUACAUGUGACUUUUAGAUGUAUUGUAGGGUUGAUGCAUGAUAUUGAGGGAAAACCUUGGGAUCACAUAGAUCGCUUGGUUAGGAAACUUAUAAAUGAUAUUGGCUAUGCGAGAACACAAUUAAUCAAUAAUGACUGUAAGUCAUAAAAUAAAUUGGGUAUGUAUCUUAGAGGGACCUACGCAUGAAUUUCAAAGGCUGAUCCCGAGGCCCAAAUCUUCCUUUUGCAUUGAAUUUCUUUCGAAAGAUUGAUUUUGUCAUGAUGUCGUGUUUUUUUAUUGUUUUGAUGUGUAUGCUUGUUUUUUUUUUUUUCCAUUAUAUGCACCUAGUUAUAUAAUUUUGUAGUCUAGGUUUAGAUUAGGAUCCCAAAGAUAGAGAAUACAUGAAAAUGGUGGAUGUCGAUGUCCAUUUCGACCAUAAUCAUAUAUUAUUCAUUUCCUUGGCAUAUGUCUUGGGUUCUCAUCGUCUGUAUAAAGCUUGACGAGGUGCGAGUCCUCUCUUCUUAUCAUUUUCAAUUGCGUUUCUCUUUUGUAUUUUCUAGGAUUGCAUGUUAGAUUUAUUGCUUUCCUUAAUUGUUUACUUACUAUCUCGUAAUUUUAAUUCCAUUGAUUGCUUUCUUUUCUUAUUUUCUAGAAAUAGAAUAGUAUGAAAAUGACUAACCGCACAUGAUCAUUUUAUGACUAACGAUCCCAAAAAUGUAAGAAGAAAUGCAUGAACAUGUUAGGUAAACACAACCUACUGUUUAGGUACCAAAAGUGCGCUGAUAGAAAUAUUGGCGUAACUCAAGUUCCUGAACCUAGAUAUCUGUUUGCGUAGGAAUUGAGGGAAUACUCCCGACUCUUGAUUGGGUUUCUAGCUGACCCCUAAAAAUGAGACUAAUGGUGACUUCGACUCCCGUCUUAUUUUUAGGUUGUGCUAAACAACUAGACCAUAUAAAUGAACCUAUGAUGUGGACAAGGCUCAACAUGGUUUAGCAAUAUCCAUAUGUGGAAACUGUUAGGGAAAUCCCUUAUGAUGUUUUGAAGAUGACAAAAUAAAUCAAAGGCUACUAACAUAUUUAAUUGUUGAGUAACAAACUAUGCAAAUGAUUGAACAUGUAAAGGAUAUUAUCAAAGUCUAUACUUAGAAGAACCAGAAAACAAACUUUAUAUUGAAACUGAACUUAUUCAGACUAUGUUCGGACCUUAAAGCUAAACAUGUUCAGAAACAGAUUAUGUUCAGACUGAUGUUCAAAUUGUAAAGUCUAUUACACUCAGACUCAGAUUGUAAAAUCUAUUACACUCAAACUUUACUUCAAACAGAACAAAGCAGGUCCAGAACGAGACAGAACAUAACACAAGCCCUAAAUGUAUAACGGUUAGUGGUUUGUUUUGGAUUUCACAUCAAGAUUGAUUUGAUUGACUCAAUCUAAUUGAUUGACAAUUGGUUCUUGAAGACAAUAACUUUCUAUACAAAGAAGCUUUAUUUAUAGAAACUAAGAUUCUGUUUGAUGGACGAUUAGAAUCAAUUUGGGAUUCUACUUCUAUCACUCAACGGCUACCAAAUUUUCUAGAUACAGAUCUGUCGAAUGGGUAGAUUGAAAGACGAUCCUCAAGAUACUGUCCAACAGCUAGUUUGGAAGUGAAGGAGUAUUUAAGGAGAUGAAGGACCGAUGAGCAAGUAAGAGAUGAAGCGUAUAAUUUAUAAUUCCAAAGUUUGAGCGAACUUCGAUCAUACACUUGUCUCUUGUGAGCUUAAACGUUUGUGAUUGUGAGAGAAAUACCGAAAGAGUAACUUAGUGAGAUAGUGUGAUCUACUGCUAAGUGUUUGCACUCAAAGUUGUAAUCUCUUGUUGAUUACAUAGUGGAAUCUAGUUAUAAGGAUGUUAGCGUGGGAGAGUGGACAUAGGCUUGAUCUAAGCCGAACCACUAAAAAUUUCGUGUGCAACAUUCUAUUUCCUUAACUCCUUUACUUUAUUUACUGCGAUAUACUUAUGUGUUUUGAAAUAGUCGUUAAAGUUUGAUUCCUUCUGCAAAGUCUGUAGUCGACCAGACUCGGGUUAAAAGUAAAGUUUUUUACUGCAUUUUGCAAAAUCUAUUUUAACACAUAUUCACCCCCUCUAGGUGUUCGUACUAGCACUUUCAAUUGGUAUCAAAGCUAAGUGUUCGAUUUAUAAAAGUGUUUUUAUUUUUGAGUUAAAGAUUUUCUAUGGCUAGUAUUUUGGCACCAAGACUUAUGGAAGGGCAAAGUAAUACCAGGCCACCAUAUUUUGAUGGAAAGGAAUACAACAUGUGGAAAAACAAAAUGAAAGCAUUCCUAAGAUCUAGAAAUCCCUUACAAUGGGAUGUUGUGGAAAAAUGAAUCAAUCCCACUAUUGCGUCUAUAUUGAAUAAGAAUGGCAAAGACAAAGAAACCAAACCCCCUGCUCCUAUGUCUCAAACGGAGAUAUCCAAAAGAGAAGUUCUUGAUGCAAAAGCCAUUUAUUCUUUAUAUUACGCUUUGUCUCUUACUGAAUAUAACAGAAUCUCUUCAUGUGAAACAGCAAAGAAGUUUGUGAUAAACUCCAUGUCACUUAUGAAGGGACUGAUUGUAUUAAAGAGACAAAAGUAAACUUCUUACUCGGCAAAUAUGAAUCCUUCAAGAUGAAGCAAGGAUAAUCGAUUGGAGAUAUGUUCAGCUGUUUUACAGAAAUUGUAAAUGGUUUAGCAUAUCAAGGUCAGCCAAUUUCUACCCCAAUGAAGGUCAGCAAACUUUUGCGAGGUCUCUCAAAAGAUUGGAACCAUGUCAAGACCUCAAUUUGGGAGACUCAAAGGAUUAUGUCACUCUCCGUUGAUGAAUUGAUUAACACUCUUCAAUCCUACGAAGUAGAACAAAUCAACGACAAAGAUCCCGAAGGUAAAAAGUCUAUUACUUUAAAAUCUAAUGCUAAUUCUAAUGAUAUGGACUUAGAAAAUGACAUGGACGACAAAGAACUUGCUUUUAUGAUCAAGAAAUUCAAAAAACUGAGUAGAAAAGGAAAGAAAUUCAAUGGAAUAAGACAAUACAAGCAUAAUGGGUAGAAAAGAACCAUGAAAGAAGAUGAUGAAUAAGGAAAUAUAUGCUUCAUGGCACAUUUAGACUCAGACUCAAAAUUUGGAAUCAGAAUCGGAGUCUAACUAAGAUAUAGACUCAGAAUCAAAGUCUGACUUAGACACAAACUUAGAAUCCGAUGAGGAAAACGAUGUAAGUCAUUCAAAAAUUCCUAUCAAAGUUUCAAGGUAUCUAAAUGAGCUUUGCUUAAAUCUCAAAUCCUCUCUCAAAAGGAUCUCCGAACUAAAAAGUGAGAAUUCAUGGCUUAGGCAACAAGAUCUUUCUCAAAAAGAAAAUUUUGAAAUUUUGCAAAAAUAUUUUCUACAAAUAAAAGAAAGUCGAGAUUUACUUAUCAAAGAAAAUGAUUCUUUGAAGAAAGAAUUUUCAAAUAUUUGAACAAGAUUUUCAAAUGGUUCAAAAACAUUAGAGCAUAUCCUUUCCAUACAAGUACAUUACUAUAAUAAGUCGGGACUUGGUUUCAUUAAGGAAAGUGAUUCUCUAAUAGAUUUUCUUAAAGUCAAGGAGAGAUUUAGACAAAGACCUCCUAAACUUGCGUACAAAAAGCAUUUUCAAAGGAUAUUUACAAAACCUGUUGGUCAAAAUGCCCUCAGGUGUUCAAAUUGUAGAGAUUCAGAACACUUUGAAAAAGAAUGUCUUAAAGUCUGGUGACCUAUUAAGAAAGAUUAGGUAAAAACAACAUACUCUACUAACUCUCAUGGACCCAAGAAAAUAUGAGUACCAAAGAAAGUAUGAGCUAUUUUUGCAGGAAAUAAAGGAAAAUGAGAAAUUGGUAAGGAAUGUAUUUUUUUUUUGGGCACAUAAUUCUCAUUAUGCUUGAUAUUCGAUAUAUUUUUGGUUGCUUGAGAUUUUAUAAUGAUCAUAUUUUAUUUUGUUGAAAAAAGAAUUGUAUGAUUUGUUUUUGUGAUUUGUGAGUUGCGAUUUUAUUUAAUAUGUGUGAUUGAUUUGAUAUCUUUCUUAGAGAUAAUGCAAAUUAUUUUGUCUAAUUUUAUGCUCUCUAAUUUUGUCAUAUUUUGCAAAGUGAAAAUCUGUUUUAUGUGAUAUUAAUUUAUUGUGCAAAGAUAUUCUUUCCUUAAUACUUUGUUACGAUGAAUUAAGAAUGAAUAUCUGUUUAUUUUCUAUUUUACUCUAAUGAAAUGGAAUGAUCCAAAUUGAUGGACACCAAAAAGGAAAUGAGUUGAUUGCAGGAAAUUCAAUAAGGUAAGAAUGAUUAUGAAUCUACGUAGAUUUUGGUGCAAUAAGAAAAUAAUCUUAGGUGAAGAUUGGUAAUGAUUUUUUUUUUUAUCAAUGGUAUAUUGCAAUCAUAUACCUUGGGUAAGAGAAUAUUUUUGCAAAUCUUUACAUACAUUUAUCAUGAUUUUAGAUGAUUGCCUAUGAAUUAAAUAUGAUUUAUAUUGCAAAUAUCUUUUGUUAUAAACAUAAGGUAUUGCAUUUAUUUUUUAAAUUAAAUUGGUUGAUUUGGCACGUGAUAAAAAUAUCUACUUUCAUUUUGCGAAAUGCAUCAAUAAUAUAUUUUUUGAGAUUUAUGCUUAAGGAAAUCCCUUAGAUCUUGAAAGAUAUUAUUGCGUAUUUAUGGAUACUCUUGAUAUAUUCUUAAAAGAUAUCUUAUAUCUAGCAAGUUUGAUCCACGAAUCGAAGGAAGAUAUUAUGUGAUAUUUUUACAAAGAUUGUUAUCUGUUAUAGAAUUUGCAGGUGGCAAAAGAAUCUUCUAUAUGGAUUUUGAAAAGCUUGAUUCGAAAAUCAUGGAGAUACUAUACUAUCUUUUGGAGGCUCAAAAAUUCCCUUGUGCAAAGUUUUUGCAAAUUGUUAAGGAAAUUCAUUAAUGUGUCGUACGAAAGGUUGAGUAGUUCUAAAUUUUAAUAAUUAAUAAUUUUAUAUAUGCUAUUCAAUUUAUUUAUUUGAAGAAAGGACAUUAUAUAUUAUGUGGAUAUUAUUACAAAUUAUUUGUGCAAAAAGUUUGUUAAGUUUAUUCUUACAUUUUACCAAAAAAAAAAAAAAAGUUUGUUAAGUUUAUGUGGGUUGAAUUCGAGAAGAACUUGAUUGAAGAAAAUAAAUUUUUGCCUCUAAUUUCAAAAUGCAAAUGAUCGUUGUGGAUAUUGUUGUUACGAAGAAAAUAAUGGAAAAAAUUCUGCUCAACGUGCACAAGCCACAAUUAGUGCUAUUUGCAAAUAUUGUCAUGAUGAUAGGGGGAGAAAGCGAAUCCAAGAGAAAAGAAAGAAUCGUGAUCAUCUCAAAAAGGCAACAAAUUGAGGGGGAGCAUUGAUCAAUUAUGGAAAAAUCUUUUUGAAUCGAUCGUAAUCUUGAUUAUUAUGGAAGAAAGGAAAAAGGUAAAUGUGUUAGAACUUACCAAGUUCUACAAAAUCCAGUGAGUGCAUCUUUUAUUACCUUUUAUUAUUAAUAAAUCUAUUAUUUACAUUAUCUUUUUUAUGAAAAAAGGAUAAGUGAAUAUUAUAAUGCAUCCAUGAUUUUUAAUUGAAUAUUUGCUGAUAUAUAUGAUUGAAGUGAGCCAUAUUUCAUAUCUUUAAUAUUCGAGUUAUUUUGUAAAAGCUGAUUUUUUGGAAAUUGUAUUUCAUGCAAGAUAUAUUUAUCGUUUUAUAUUCUCUACAUGAUAUCAUUAUCGCUUUUUGAUUAUGACAAAAAGGGGGAGAGAAUAUAAAUAUGCAUAUGUGUUGAUAUUUAUUGAGCUGUGAUUAUCUUUACAUAUAUAAUUAUAUGCUCAAUCUAUUUGUUAUCUUGAAUUACAUUAGUCUUUAAGAUUGCAUUGAUUUAUUAUCAAUAUUUUAGAAAGUGUGAUUACACAUCUGCAUAUUUAGAGAUUGUUUUGUCAUCAUAAAAAAUGGGGAGAUUGUUAGGGAAAUCCCUUAUGAUAUUUUGAAGAUGACAAAAUAAAUCAAAGGUUACUAAUGUGUUUAAUUGUUGAGUAACAGAUUAUGCAGAUGAUAGAAUAUGUAAAUGAUGUUAUCAAAGUCUAUACUUGGAAGAACCAGAAGACAAACUUUUAUGCUGAAAUUGAACUUAUUCAGACUGUGUUUAGACUUUAAAGUUAAAUAUGUUCAGAAAUAGAUUAUGUUCAGACUGGCGUUCAGAUUGUAAAGUCUAUUGCACUCAGACUCUACUUUAGACGGAACGAAGCAGAUCCAGAACAAGACAUAACGUAACACAAGCCCUAAAUGUAUAAUGGUUAUUGAUCUUGUUUGGAUUUCACAUUAAGAUUGAUUUGAUUGACUCAAUCUAAUUAAUUGACAAUUGGAUCUUGAAGACAAGAAUUUUCUAUACGAAGAAGUUCUACUUAUGGAAAUCAAGAUUCUAUUUGUAUGAGUGAUCAGAAUCAAUUUGGGAUUCUACUUCUAUCACUCAACGGCUACCAAAUUUUCUAGAUAUAAAUCUGUCCAAUGGGUAGAUUGGAAGACGAUUCUCAAGAUACUAUCCAACGGCUAGUUUGAAAGUGGAGGAGUAUCUAAGGAGAUGAAUGACUGAUGAGCAAAUAAGAGACGGAGUGUAGAAUUUAUAAUUCCAAAAUUUGAGCGAAUUUCGAUCAUAGACUUGUCUCUUGUGAGCUUAAACGUUUGUGAUCGUGAGAGAAAUACCAAAAGAGUGACUUAAUGAGAUAGUGUGAUCUACUACUAAGUGUUUGCACUCAAAGUUGUAAUCUCUUAUUGAUUACAUAGUGGAAUCCAGCUAGAAGGCUAUUAGCGUGGGAGAAUGGACGUAAAUUUAAUCUAAGCCGAACCACUAUAAAUUUUGCGUGCAACAUUCUCUUUCCUUAACUCAUUUACUUUAUUUGUUGCGAUAUACUUUUGUGUUUUGAAAUAGUUGUUAAAGUCUGAUUCCUUCUGCAAAGUCUGUAGUCGACCGGACUCAGGAUAAAAGUAAAGCUUUUUAUUGCAUUUUGCAAAAUUUGUUUUCACACAUGUUUACUGCCCUCUAGGUGGUCGUACUAGCACUUUCAGAAACAGAUUGGCCCCCUUCCAAAUGUCCGAAUGCGAAAUCAAGUUACAAUCAUUGGAAUUUUAGAGAGCUCAUACGGAAUGUAAGCAAUAUGUUGCAAGAAGGUCAUAUGCGCUAAAUUACCCCAAGUUUGGGUUCAAGUUGCAACUCUUCCAAUUGGAUGAAAUUAUAAAUUCCAUGAUAACUGCAUGUCACUAUCAUUGACUAGGCAUGUCUAAACUAAACUGAAAUUUUGUACAUUCUCGGUUCGGUUUAAUUUUCGAUUCGAAUAAUGGAAAAAUAAUUGUUCAUUGUUUUUAUUUGAGUUAUUUCGAUUCAAUUCGGUUAACUGACCCAAAAUGAAUUUAUCAAUAAAAAUUGAACAUCCAACUUAAAUAUAUCUUUUUUCUUAUUGCUUAUUCAAUUUGGUUCUAGUCAGCAGGGCAAAAGGAAAAGGAAAAUCAAAUCGGGUUUUCAGUUUAGGUAGUAUUCAGUUCCGAUCAUGAUUGGUUUUCUGCCAGAAAAACAGAUCAGCCCCCCUCCAAAUGUCCGAAAGCUCUCCUUAAUCUUCUGUUGAGGCACCCCUGAUGCCUCCCUCGCUUGAGCUAGCAAUCUUUUUAGUUAUGCAUCCCUUUCCACCACGCCAGCUCGGCGAUUCUAGAGGGUGCGUGGAUCCGCUUUAGUCACUCGUCUGUCUCUCCUUCACGUCAGGCUAGUGUCAUGGUCCGUGAAUCCUCCCGUACUCAUAACACUUGUGAGUGGCACUUGGGGUUAUCUGGUGAAGAGUGUGAGGUACAAUGGUAGAAUACAACUGGUCCAUGGGAGUGGCGUCAGGACGGUUGGUGUUAGGAGUUCUAGAAUGGAAUGAUUAUAUCACUUGGGAGCUUUGAAGACGGGUUGGGAGCUGAUGCCGCUCUCCUGAUGAGGUCAUGGCAGGCCGAAACCAGUUGUUGUGCCUAAAGAGAACUGUUGUCCCAUUCGAUGGACUAGAUGCCUGAGCGAAGCUGGGCGUGGUGGGAUCUCGUACGAAGAAGCAUUCACCGUAUUGUUUGUCGAACAGCUAAAGAAGGAAGGCUGGCCUAGCGAAUUCCGCUUGCUAGGCGCUCGCAGGUUGUUUCGAGGCCAAGGAAACUUUUGGCCCAUAACAAAUGGUAUCAGAGCAGGAAUACCUCUCGUAAGUGAGUGAGUCGGAGAAUUGGACUCCUCGCUCCAGCAUGAGUCGAACUGAUAAGUACUAGUGAGACUGGUCUUAGUGGGCGGAAAGUGAAUGGCCGGGGCAAAAGAUGCUCAAACGAAGCUGCGCUCUCUGCUGCUAAGAUGACAAGGGUGCUAGGACGAGUUCGUUUCUUGCUGAGCAAAUAGCAAGUCCGAGAAGAAUUGAAUUCUCGUUGAAUGGGGAUAACGUUCCUAGAUUGAUCGGUGAAUUCGAAGAAGAGGUCUACUGCCACAUUUUCAACAAGAAAAGAACCUCCGUUGGUUUGCUGGGGUCAAGAUGUUGGUUAGGCUGAACUUGUGCUGCCAAAAGAUGCGGUUGGCGAAAAAUACCACACUUGCCAUAAAGCACAGGUAACCGAGAAGGGCCGAGCGGCUGAGCUCAAAAGAGGCUACUGAUGGAGCAAAACCUAUUUUGUUGGGCGAGCGUGAUCGUUCGAUGUGAAUUCCCAAAAGUGGCACAUCAAUGGUUAAGGGACGCAAGGAAGCGACAGAACAGAUCACAACGAGGGCAUUGCGAAUUGAGUGGGGGAGAAUGUCACAGUCUGUAAAUCCUCCUGUACUCGUGAAACUUAUGAGUGGCGCUUGGGGUUAUCUGGUGAAGAGUGUGAAGCAGAAGGGUAGAACACAAUUGGUCCGUGGGAGUGGCGUCAGGACGGUUGGUGCUAGGAGUUCUAGGAUAGAAGGAUUAUAUCACUUGGGAGUUCUGAAGACGGGGUGUCACACCCUGAUCCUCAUGCACGCGCACAUCCCUUACCUUUGGUCGAUUUUAAAUUGCGAUAUCCCAGGACUAUGUAUCGCCGACCCUUUCAUUCAUUUAUGCACAUGUGGAAGCAGUUAUAAAUCCCAAAACAAUAAAAUAAUGGGAUAGAAAAGCGGGCCAUAUAUUUUUCAUACUAAAAAUUCACAACCACAUCUUUUUACACGCAUCUCAUAGUAUUCUACAAUACUAUAUACGUAAGUUUGAUUUAACAUCUAUUUACAUGCAGAUAAGGUCUGAUAAGACAGGACGGGAUCUCAGUCCUCAUCCGGGUCGUACUCGGGGUUAUCCUCGGGGUUCUCCUCCUUAGUACUCCUCUUCAGGCUCCUCAUCAGGGAUCUCCUCGUCAAAUUCCUCCUCCUUAGGCUCCUCAUCUGGGUCCUGAAAUGGUUAUUCAAUAACCACUGAGACAACGUCUCAGCAAGUUCUACUCCCUAAGACCCGAUUAGUAAACUAAUACACUUUAAGGCUGCCUAUGCACAACAUGAGUCAGAGGACUUACCUUGGCCUCAGAUUUUACCUGCAUAUCAGCACAGAUUAAAUAGGCACCCAAGCAAUCACAUCAUAGAUCGAAGCAUCGAUCUAAUCAACUUAGUCGAUUACACGCCAACAAGACCACUCAAUGUCAUUUCCAUUCAAUCGAUCAAUCAACAGCAUCAAAUCAAGAUAAUAAUCAAUCGACCUAGUCGAUUACAUACCAACAAGACCACUCACAAUCAUUUCAAUUAUUCCAACUCAAUUCCCAAUUAUAAAUCACGGUCCUUAGGACACAACUUAUCUAUAGGUGGUAAUCACGGCCCCACCAAGAAACUUUUUUAGAUUUAGUGGCUUUACGGUCCCACCCGACCCUUCCAAGAUUCAAUGGCUUUACGGUCCCACCCGACCUUCUUAAGAUUCAAUGGCUUUAUGGUUCCACCCGACCUUUCCAAGAUUUAAUGGCUUUAUGGUCCCACCCGACCCUCUCAAGAUCUAGUGGAUUUAUGGUCCCACCCGACCUUUCCAAGAUCUAGUGGCUUUAUGGUCUAACCUGACCCUUUUUACGAUGCCAUACUUUGUCACCGAGCCACGUGCAUUCUCCAAGAAGACAUGCCGAGUCUCUAAGCCACGUGCAUUCCCUAAGGUUACCUUUUCGCCAAGAUGACAUAUCCAAUCACUGAGCCACGUGUCUUUCCCAGGUGACAUUCCAAUUCACUGGGCCACGUGCAUUUUCCAGGUGAUUUACCAACUCACUUUCAAUACUGACAACCGAUACCCAACCAAUUCUCAAUCACAAGGUCAAAAUUGCAUUAUUUAAUAACAUAACUUAAAAAUGCACCAUUAAAUCAAUUCGACACGAAUUAAAGCGCAAAUAAAUAAACGGACUGCUCCACGACAAUCAGCAUGAAAUUUCGGUCACCAGCCAUCCCGGUUGAAUUUCCGGAAAAUAAAUAAUUAAAUAAUUAAUUUCGAAAAUUAAAUAAAUAAACACAAUAAUUCCAAUUUAGCACAAUAUGAAGCUCAAUUAAAUAAACGGACUACGCCACGAUGAUCAACAUAAAAUCCCGAUCACUGGCCAUCCCAGUUGAAUUUCUGGAAAAUAAAUAACUAAAUAAUUAAUUUCAAAAAUUAAUAUUUAAUUCCUAAAAAUUCCAAUUAGGCCCGAAUCGCCUAAUUAACACCCGAUAAGGGUCGGGAAAAAUCUCAAGAAGCAUCCAAUACAUACUAUAGGCUAUUCUCCAUCUAAGUAUACUAAUCAAACAACUGAUAUGCAAUGCAAUUAACUAAUAAUCGCUAAUUAAUUCUAAUAUAACCACCUAAUUAAACUUAAUUAACACUAAUCAACAUUUAAGUAUAAUUAGCAAACUAAGAAGGCAUUAGUGAGUAAAACUCACUCAAAACGACGGCAUCGAUGCAAGGAUCGACUUUUCUCAAAGCGGGCCGAGCAUUUGGGCUCGGGAAGGCGGCCAAAACGGGUCACGAAGGUGCUACCAUACCUAUUUUGAACCUCUCUGCUUGCUGCUGGAUGGGGUAGAUCCGGGGCCGGUUGAGGCGAGUAAGGGCGGUGGAGGGCAAGGCGGAGCUUUAGCAAGGUCGACGGUGGCUGGAGGUGGUUGGGUGGCGGCCUGAGGCGGCUGAAUAGGACUGAACAGAGGCGGAACAGGGGCUAGGGUCGCAUGGUGGGGAUGUCUGGACGAUGGAGAGAACAAGCGGUCGCGCGGCUGCACAUGUGCUCGCGUGGGGACGGGCGACCGGCGACCGGCGGAGCAUGGGCGGCGACGGCGGGCUUCUCCAAACCUAGGCGAGCUGCUCCAAACCCAGGAGCAUGGGCACAAAACAGAGAGGAGGGAGAGAGUGCGUCGACGAAAAGAGAAGGGGCAGAGUUGCGAGCAGAUAGUAGGGCGGCAGUGACGGCAGCUCUGAUGACGGCUGCAACGGCGAUGGCAGCUCCUGCUUCGCUAGUUCCUCGGCUUGCUGGGUUUCACUGGUCUUCAGUUGCUGCUCUAGAAGAAAUCGAAAGAAAGGGGAAGAAGAUGGAGGUGCUCGACGAAGGAGAGAGGGGAAACCGGUUUUCUCUUCCUCUCUCUCUCUCUCUCUCUCUCUCUCUCUCUCUUUGGCCCCACCAAUCCAGCUAUCUUCCACUCACUUUUCCUUGCCAAAAAUGCCGCUUCUAGAAGCUUUAAGGUAGGCCAAAAUGUAGGGUAGAUGUGGCAUACGAAUUUUGCUAGGUUUUUCCCUCCAAUUGGACCUUAAUCCCACUUGAAUCAAAUCAAAUCGACCCCCAUUAAAUUAUUUAAUACCUCAUCAAUCAAAUUGGUACUUUUCUUUACCAAUGUAGCCUACUUGCAUCCUAAUUUCGAAUUCAAGAACGGUCCUCUGCAAUUUCCGAUAAAAAUGGCCCUAACUCAACUUUUUCCCAAAAAGUCUCGAUUGUGAGAAAAAUCUUCUGAGACUGAGCCGAUGCUUUUAAAAUGACCUGUGACAUGACAAACUCUUCAAUUUCUAAAAUCGGACUUAAAUUGGCGGUUAAUUUCACUCUAACGCGCUGUUAUUGUGACCUAGGCUACUAGAUCGUUUUCAUAACUUUUUAGGACAAAUGACCCGUGGUUGAUUUUCUUCGAGCCACAAUGAACCCACUCAACACAUUGAAGACUCUUGAUUGUCGUGAAAAUCUCUAGGAUUCAAAUAUGGACAUAGGGUACCAAAACAACAGUAAAAUCAAAUUAGUGCCGGUCGAUGAGAAUUUUCCAAUUUAGUGUAGUCACCCACGAUCGAUCAUUUAUCUCAAUCGAACCGACAUAUCUCUAAUUUCAAAUCGAUUUUAUACUGUGUCGCAAUGAUCUCUAAAGAUGAGCACGGUCGAGAAGUCGAUUCCUGGUCAAAUUCUCAAGUUUAUUUGCCUUAAAGUCCUUAAUAGCUCACCCAGCUAAUCUAGUUAUCUCGUGAGUGGCCAACUCAGAGAAAAACACUGUAAUCGCGUCGAUAAAAUGCCAAAUUUAUCUAAUCGAAAUCAGACCCCGAAAUCUGGAUGUCACACGGAGUAGGCCUCCUGUGCACAAACUGGUCGAGAUCUGAUGCCACUCUCCUGACGAGGCCAUGGCAGGCCGAAACCAGUUGUUGUGCCUAAAGAGAACUGCUGUCCCACUCGAUGGACUAGACGCUCGAGCGAAGUUGGGCGUAGUGGGAUCUCGUACGAAGAAGCAUUCACCGUAUUGUUCGUGGAACAGCUAAAGAAGGAAGGCUAGCCUGGCGAAUUCUGCUCGCCAGGCGCUCGUGGGUCGUUCUGAGGCCAAGGAAACUCUCGGCCCGUGACACUAGGCUCACGCAUGCCUUCUUCGUCAAUUCUUUUCUCGCACCACAGUCUUACAAGCGUUCACCUCAUGGCUAUGCACGUGUAGGGGAAGAAGAAAUGAUGGACUGGGUUUUCUCCUUCCAUCCACUUUAUCGGGCCAAAUGGCAAUGAAAUAGGGCCUAAAAAGGUUGAGCCUAAAAAGGCAUGCUAGCGUGGGCUUAAAGAGAAUUAAAGAAAAUUGGGCUUAAAAGAGACAGCAAAAGAUGGGGCAAGGGAAUUAAAACAAACGGGCUGGACUAAUAAAGGCUUAGAGGGCCGAAAAUUUGUUUAAAGGAGUGGGUUAAAAAUGCUGGCCCGCUCAUUCUCACCAUUUUUUAUUUCAUUUUUGUUUGGUCCAAUUUAUUCAUUUUUUUUCAAUUUUUUUUUCUUUUUAUCUUUUAUAAUUUUUUAUUAUAUUUUUUUGCAAAAUAAAUGGAUAUUUUGGAAAGAAAACAUCAACAAAAAUUCGAGUGUCAACAAACACGAGACCAGUGAUGAGGGUUGCAAGGGCUUCACCGGCGAACGACAACAGAUUAGGUAGUUCUAUUGGAGGCUCGGCCAGCAAGAUCAAGAACUCGCUGGUACUGGUUCGUGGUCUCCUUAAGUAUGAGCCCGAGACCCGGGAUGUUAUGUGAAGCAUGCAUCGCUCAAAGUCACGCAAAAUGCAGGAGUCUUGAGCGGUGAACAUUAAUUGAAGAAGUAUGCAAAUCUUGACGUUUGCUUCGUUCAUCAAUGCAUGCGCCCAUGGAGUGGGACAUCCAAUUUUGCCCUCAUUUAAUGCACGCACAUGGCUAUGUGCAUGCAUGCCCGUAGAAAUUGGUGGGCGCCCUUGCUGCUUUGAGGCUCGUCUUGAAGGCGACAAUGUUCUCUCCUCUUUUAUCAUCUUUCGUGGGUUAAGUUUGUCUUUUAUUAAUGAUUAGAGGAAAGGAAGAAGUCGAAGUUAUGCUGAUUUUUCUUAUGUCGGUGAGAGUUUUUUUUUUUUUUUUUUUAUAUGAGCUACAUUAAUUAAUAAUGUGAUUUACAUUUUUACGAGAUUGAUCUAAUAAGGUGAGAUAUAAUAAUUUUUAAUUAGUCUAAUAUGGGACUAACUAAUAUAGGUUGAGUAGAACUUGGCCUAUGAUAAAAAAAAAACUUUAUAAAUAGUGCUAAAAUCUCUUUUAUAACCUUGAUACAUAAAUAUCCUUACAUAAGGAGGUUUGUUAAACUGAGGUAGGGAGCAAUCUCAUUGAGCUAAUAAUACGAUGGCAAUAGUGAAAAAGUAUUUGAGCUUUGAAUCAUCGCUAUUCUACAUCUCUCUUUUGCUCGAUAAUAGGUGUUAUUUAUUCUAGCUAUAGAGAUGACUUCAAAAUCAUGUGGGCAAAUCUCUUUUACUCGAUUACAUGUGUUCUUGAUUCUGGUUAUGGAGAUUAAUUUCAAAUCAAGUACGCAAAUCUCAUUUACUCAAUUAUACGUGCUCUUGAUUCUAGUUAUGGAGAUCUUUGGUGCUGUUUUAACAACUUACAAUGUCAUCAUUAAUUGGCUUCUGAAGAAGGGUCCAUUUGUCUUGUGUCUACAUCAAUUCUCCGACAAAAGGAUGACUGCAAAGGACAUAGAUAAUAGAGUAGAAAAGAGAGCUCAAGUGACGAGAAGUGAGGCUUGGAAGGUUUGUGCAUAGAGUAAGUCCAUUGAGUUGAGCUGUUAAAUACAAUGGGUAUAUUAAAACUAGGAAAUAUUCAAGUGUGUGAGCGUUUGUAAUUCUAUAAUUCUUCUAUUUCUUAGCAGAAUAUUUGUCGAUUUUUCUCAUGGAUGCAGGUUUUAACAUUCAAAUUGAAUCAUGUAAAUGUCAUGUAUCCUUCUAUUAUUUUUCGUUUUAUACGUUUGUCGAUUUCCAUAGCUUCUAAUAUAAUUGCAAAGUUACGACGUACUUCAGUCACGUCACAAUUUCUCUGACCUCCAUUUCCCCCGUGUGAUGGUGUUGUCUUAUAGUUAUAGUGAAUGGAGGGCCGCCGAGGGCGAAUAAAGAAUUUCGAUGAAGUUGUCGAGGGAGGUGAUAGCGAAUGGGACCUGUUUUUCACAUUUUUGCGGGCAGUGGAAGAAGCUGUCCUUUUAUGCAGUCCAAGGAAAUCCCAUAAAUUGUGGCGAACGAAUCAUGACAUCGUGGAGCAAAUCAAGAAACGUUUUUUUUUUCUUUUGAAAAUCAUCCCUUCUCUGUCAAACUUUUUUCGUUUCUUCCCUAUUUGUUUUUUGGCUCUUCCAAUGCACUAGAAUCUCGUUGUCUGCUAAAUCCAUAUUGGCCGAAAAUAUGUUUUAUUGCUUUCCAAAUUUUCUCAUGUGCAUUGCAUAUGGGAAUUUUGGCCACAAUAUGGUGGACGAUGGGCUUGGCCGAAUUUUUUUGUUUUUUGACAGGCUUAAUCCAGAUUAUUUAGCUCGAAACCAAUCUGUGCAAGUCCACUAACUCAGGUCCAAUUCAAUUAUAUGAGUUUAAUAAUGCAUAAAAAUGCAAUUAAUAUGUAGAUGCAUUUAUUAAUUUUCGGUUAGAGAUCAGUGCCGGUUUCUCAAUUUUUUUUUUUUUUUUUACAACAAAUAAUCAGACAAAGUUACCAAAUUUAGGUGCCAGCAGUUAUCUGUUAAAGUUUUGUGCGCAUUCUCAAGGGAAGCCGGUAUUUAACAAAUGUGUGAAGCGAAGCAAAGGGAAUUAAGGCCAAUUCUUCCACACUCAAAGUAAAAACAUUUUUCUUCACAGUAAAAAUCAUUUCAUUAGGAGAGGGAAAUGAGAGGUUUGAGUAAAAAUAUGCCACCGACUGAGGAUCAAAUGAUUCGUUCAGAUAACAAAGUUUGGUCAGUUUAAUAUCAUCAUAAUAUUUUUGAGAUAAACAGCAUAUGGUUUUCAAAAUAAUGGAAAUUAACUAUCCUGCGAAGUAUGACUCGUCUAGCCAGUCGUAAAUCAUAGAAUUCACUGUGUUUCGACGACAGAAAGAAGUGAGAUUUGAGAGAUUGUACUUUGCAAACACCGAUGGAGGAUGAAAGUUGUCGUCCUUUCAUCGUCUUUCUUACCCUCCAGACGACUUUCCGAUUCUGGUUCCACUAGUUCUUGUGGACCAUUUGAUGGUUCUUCAGCAAUCUUUUCUUUGCCUUUUUGAGAAGUAUAUGCCCUCUCUGGUUGACUCUGCACAGAAGCUUCUAGUUAAGGAGUAGGGUUUGAGUAAUUUUCAAUUUCGCUCAUAAGAAACUGAGCAGAUGUCGUUGACUAGACUCAAAAUAUCCUCCGCAUCUUUCUCCUUGAGUGCAUUCAGCAUGUUUCUUACUACGCUGGCGUGGUCAAACCUUGGUGAGUGAAUAGUUGGAGGUGUUUCUGAAGCAGGUACAGAAACCGGUCCAGAAGAUGGUCCUGGAAUUGGAGUUUUGGGUAAAGAAGUAAGGAGGUUUUUUUGGCUUAAAGGGGAGUGUUCCUCGAAUGUCUAACGAGAGGCGUCUCUUCACUCUCGUGUUCCAGUGAUAUCGAUGCUCCUCGUCCCCUUGGAGCAGAAGAGAACACUGCCGUUCUUCUCUGUGAUCUUCUCAGCCCAAUAUAUCUCUUAGAAACAGUGUUUGCAACGUUGGGUGCCAUUAGAGAGGAUGAUUAUUCGCAAACAGAGUGAGGUUGAAGAAGAUUUCUGGGAUAUAUUAGAAGGAUCGUGAACGAGGGUUUUGUGAACGAAAAUUUGGCAACGCUUCAAGUGUAGAAAGAAGUGAUUUUGACAGUUCCGAAAAAGGUUUGAAUUCAGAAAAAAGUAUGUUUGUCGAAUCUCUAACAGGCUACUAUAGAUGGAAGCGAGAAGAGGGGAUAGAAUCUCACUUUGUCAUUUGUAGAUGUAAUUUCACUAAAUGACAACAACGGUAGUUCUAGAUCCGUCCCAUUAAGAUUGCAACUUAAGUAUAGGGCCCCUUUGUUAAGCUUCAAUUGAAACUCAUUCAUAGGCAACGGCUAUGCGUAUUUAUUAUGAUUGCUCGGUCUUAAUGUACAACAACCGUCAUAAGGUCAUGUCAAAAGCCAAUUUUCUAUUUGUAGGCGUUGGAGGACAACUAUAAAUGGAUAGCGAGUUUGGUGCGGUCUAGUUAGACCUGUGCCUACAAAUCCAAGCCACCCUAACCAAACUUAUAUUGAUUUUGCAUUAGCGACGCCCUGUCAAUUAGGGUGACUGAAUUCGGGGGGAAUUAUUUCUGCCAUAUCUAGGGGGUGUGUCUCCCUCUACACAGGAUUUUGUGAUCUUUGCGAUCGAUAGCAAGAUUGAUAAAAAUCUGCCUUUAUGGAUGAUAAAAGACAAAUAAUCAUCUAAUAGAAUUUGACAUUGACAUGGCUUUAAGUGAAAUAGUAAUGAUAUCAUUUUGUCUAGAAAAUCAUCUAAUACAACCUUGCCAAAAAGUAAAUGUGGCAUGCGGGUGUAAAUUAAGGGUUUUGAUGUCACAAGAAACGGUUUAGAGUAAAUAUGUUAUGGUUUGGAAUUUUUUUAUGUCACAAGAAAAAUUCGGUCUAGAUAUGUCAUUGUGGAUAUAUUUUGGGAUUUCUUGUGACUUUCUUCAAUUUAAAAUUAAUAGUUAUUAUAUAUAUAAAGGGGUUAGGAUUGGAGUACUAUAUGAGAGAACAAAGAAGUAUAAGAGAUUAACAAAUUUAUAAGAACAAGGAAUGUAUGAAGGAUGUAUAAAAACUUAAAUAAAAUCGCGAGAAUUAAAAAUAAUGUAAAGACCAAAGGCAAUAUAUAAAAUAUAAAGUAACAAUAUGCAUAAACAAAAACUAACCAUGAAGGUGGUCUGAACUUGUAUUAAAUAAACUGAAAAUUACAUGUAUUGAAAAAUACAGAAACUAAAGCAUCAAGUCAUCCACUAGGGCGGUAAUCCGUACUCCAGGGAGUAUUGAUGUUUGUAUUACAAGAAAUGGUUAACCAGCUAUCAUAUAAGUUGGUAACCCUACAUAAAACUAUGUAUUUGAAAAAUUAACUUACUUUGAAACCAGGGGUACAAGGUAAGAAAGCUUGAGGCUUGAAAGGAUGAGGGUUUGCAAGAGGGUGAGGAGGAAGAAGAGAGAAGAGAGGUCUGAAAAUUUCGAGCCCCCUUCUUCUAUGCCAAGAGGGUGUAUUUAUAGGAGGUGCUAUAGUGAAAGUACUACAGUGCUAAACAGUGUGAAAUGAACAGUACUGAGUGAACAGUUUAAAGUGAAUAGUGAACAUUGUGUGAACAGUGUAUGCUUAUCAUGCUACAGUGUAUAGCCUUUGCGCCGUUGUAACAGUGUUAGCAUGUGAUGUCUUGAGUUUAAUCUCUAUCUAGGUUGAUCCCGUAGCAGUCGUCUUCAUUGGUGUUUUCACUGUGAUGUGAUUGUGAGGAUCUGUCUGUAUUGUCUUGAAAUUUGGAAGAUCCACAUUGUGAUCCUUCAGCUUCGAAGAGCAUUGUUCUGAGGAUGUUGUAGUAUUCCUCAUUGCUUUGGAUUGCAGCCAGUGCUGCAAUUGCAAUGGAUUUUUCUUGUAAAAAAGAUGUAUUUAGUGGGACUGUGGUUAUUUAAUUUUUCUGGCUAUUUAGCCAUGUCCUAACCGCAACUUCGGAUCAUUGUUCAUGAAAUUUGAAUCCGUCCCACCAUUUUGUUUUGUAUUUUUGGACAAGUACUGGUACACUCGGUUUAGUGGAUGUAUUGUAUUCGAAUUCCCAUGCGGUUACCCAGGAGAUUCUGAAUAUUAUAAAGAAAUGCAUAAGGCAUUGGAACCUUAUAUCAUGCGGUGUUGGUACGAAGUAUUCACUGAAAACCUUGUAUCCUUGUUUGACUGUGGGGUGUAGUAUUAUGUCCAAAGGACCAAAGAGAUCCCACCAAGAGUUAAACCAGUUGGGUAGGCUUUGUCUUGGGAAGUUGUCUUUAAAAAAUAAUAACCAGGUGUAUUGGAAAUUUGUAUUUUGUUUGAAGAAGACAUUCCACCAAGCUUGUUGGUAGUCCCAGUAUGUAUAUGAGGAGGAGUAUGGUAGGCUUUGGGUAAGUUUGGUUUGGAAUUUUUUGGGUGUAUGGGGUGAAGCUCCCCAGGGUGAGGGGUGAAGCUCCCCAGGGUGAGGGGUGUAUGACUUUACUGAUGGAUAUAGUGGAGUAUAGGAUAUUUUCUGUAUUGUUUUUGUCAGCAAAGUGAGUGAACCUUGCCGAUUCUGUUUCUACUAGAAUUUGCUCAUAAUAAGCAAGGGUUUUGUUUGUAUUGUGUGGUUUGAAGAGCCAAUUUUUUGGAAAUAUGUUUUUUGCAAAUUUGAUUGGAUCUUCAUCGAAGAAUCCAUCUUCCAAAGUCAAAAUUUUUUGAAAAGAUAUUUUGGGGAAAAAUUUUGAUUUAUGAGAAUGAGGGGUUGCCUAUGGCCUAAUGACCAUCUUAUUCGAAAUUAUUUUGUAUUCCGCUUGUUUUUGUGUAGCAAGCGGGGAAUGAUUGUUUCUUACCUCGAUGACACUAGAUGGCUCUUUCUUUACUGUUUUUUGUAAAACCUGUGCAAGUAACAAUAUUGUUUCUUUUGGUAGUAUGUCAGCUAGCUUAUUAAAGGCUAGCAUGAGUUCAGAUGAUAUGGGUUCUAUUUUCAAAAGUGUUUGGUGUUGUUGUAAGAAUGACUGAUUGUUUUCUGCCAUUUGGAGCCAUGUCUUGAUGGGUGUUAAGCAUGUUGGCUUUGGUGGUGUAUUGGAGGGUUCAGCAAUGGCUUUACCUUUAUCUUUGUCCUUUUUGGAUCUUGGCAUAUUGGUAUCCCCUGUAAAAAUUCUCUUGUGAGAAAAUCAGGUAAUGAAUUUGAAGAACCAUUUAUAAAUUCAAUGUCAAAAUCAAAUAUUGAAAAUGUGGCUUGUCAUCCGGCCAAAAUUUGUUUUGAUGCAAUGUUUAAUACAUCCUUUUGUAAAAUGUCUUUGGCUGAUUUGCAAUCAAUUCUUAAGAGAAAUUUUUGAUUUAGUAAAUCUCCUUGGAAUUUUGAUAUAGAUAAAACUAUAGCAAGUAUUUCCUUCUUGAUUGUUGAAUAAUUUUGCUGAGUGGAAUUCCAAUAUUUUGAUAUAAAAUGAACAACUUGUUCUUUGUUGUUUUUAACCUGUUUAAGAAUACCACCAUAUCCUAAUUCUGAAGCAUCAGUCUCAACUAUUUUGAAAGUAGAAGGAUCAGCAAGAUGUAAGCAUGGUAUAUCUUUCACAUGAAUUAUUAUUUGUUUGAUAAUGUUAGUAUGGACAGAGGUCCAUGGUGGAGGAUCCUUUUGUAACCGUUGGUGCAAGGGUUUACAAAAGAUAUUUAUAUUAGGGAAGAAAUCUAAAAUAUAAUUGAGACUACCCAAGAAUCUUUGUAGUUGAGUUUUGUCUUUAAUCUCAUCAUGGAAUUUAUCAGUAAAAGAUAUUGAUCCUUCUAUGGGAGUGAUGGUGCCUAAAUGAAUGUAAUGACCUAAGAAUCUAAUCUUGGUUUUGAAGAGUGCACUUUUAGUAGGAGAGACUACAUGACCGUUUUGUAUGAUUAUUUUUAUGAAAGUAGAUAAAUGUUUGAAAUGUUGUUCUAUAUUGGAAGAGAAUAUUAGAACAUCAUCUAUAUAAACUCUGAUGUAUUUUGAAUAAGGAUUAAAUUUCGUUCAUAAUUCUUUGGAAUUCUAAAUGGGCAUUUUUGAGGCCAAAUGGCAUAAUAUUCCAUUCGUAUUGGCCAAAAGGGACUGUAAAGGCUGUUUUGUAUUUAUUUUUUUUACUGGCCUGUAUUUGCCAAAAUCCUAACUUCAUGUCAAAUUUUGAAAAUAUUUUUGAUCUACAAAGUCUGUUUAGCAAAUCUUUUUUAUUGGGUAUAGGAUAUUUUAUCCAUCUAAGGGCUGUAUUAAGAGGUUUAUAAUUAAUAACUAACUUGGGAACUCCUCUUUCUAGUUCAGCAUUUUUAUUGACAUAAAAAAACAGAGCAACUCCAUGGUGAUUGGCUUUUUCUUAUGAUUUUUUUUAUUUAAGAGGUCUUGUAUUUUUGUUUGGCAAAAUUUUAGAACUUCUUGGUUCAUUUGAGUAGGACAAGCUUUUGUGGGUAUUUUGUUUUCAGAAAAAUCAUGUUCGUAGGGUAAAUCAACAAUAUGCUUCUUUCUUUCCAAAAAACCAUUGGGUAAGGUAGAGCAUAUGGUUUUUUUUUUUUUUUUUGUAAGGAAGCUAUUUUUUCUAUAACAUUUGGCUUUAUAAGGUUUUCUUUUAUUCUUUUGAAUUCUAAAUCUUCUUUUAAGAAUUUAAGCUGGUUUUCUUUGUCUUUUAUAAGGCAAUUUAUUUUAGAAAUAGAAUGUUCUUGUAAAAUAUUUAGACUUCUCUUUUGUGGUUUUGUUAUGAAGUUGAAAGUGAUUUUUCUGUUUAAAGCAUAAGUUUCAAUGCCUUCAUUAGUAACCGUAAAAGAUUGGAUUAAUUGCAUGAAAAGUGUUCCAAGGAUUACCUAUUGCCUCAUAUUUUUUACUAAAAGAAAAUAUAUUUUGUAGGACAUUUGAUCUUUUAUUAUUAAGGCUUAUGGUAAUUUGUAUUGUAUAUUUAGUUUGUCUCCUAAGGCUGAUUUUAAGGAUUCUGAUGUUUUAUCAAAGUAUCUUGUAGGAACCAAGCCUUCUUUGAUACAAUUGAGAUCAGUUCAUGUAUUAAAGAGUGCCGUUGUUUGGAUAAUAAACUCAUUGUUGAUUUUUAUCAUAAUAUUUAUUAUCCAUUUUCUAGAUGUCAUUUAUGUUAAUAACAUAAGAAAGGCUAGGUCCGAAGUGUCAGAAGUAUUGGUGAUUUCAUUUUGGUCUUCUGAUUUUGUCUUUCCUUUUAUGACAAGGGAUUUUAUAGAAGAAAUUUCUUGUUUCAUUUCUAACUGUGUUGUUUUCGAGACUUGUAUUUCUAAUUUUUGUUGUUUUAUUUCAUUUUGAAGGUCAUUAAUAUUUAUGUGUCUAGACUGGGGUUUUUUUGUUUCUAUUUAAAAUGUCUUUUAGAUUGUAAGAAGUAUUAGGAUUAGAAACAAUGUUCAUCGAGGAAUGAAGUCUAUCUAAGUAUUCUUUUUUGGCUUCAGGGUCAGUUAUUUUGUCGGCUGUGCUAAGGAGAAAUUCUUCUUCUUUUGUUAACAUAUUUAUUUCAGGAAUAGGUUUGUCAGGAGAGGCAUCUUCAUAAUCAGAAUCGGAAGAGGUUUCUAUUUCAUUAAUCUGAAGACCUUCUUCCUCAAGAAGUUCAUCAAAUGAAGUAUCACCAUUUUCUAUGAGGAUGUUGUUUAGCUGGUAAAGAGGAUUGUCAUUUAAAGAAAGUUCAUUCAAUUUCUUGUUAAUCCUAUAAUAUUUUGAAAUAUGACAUUUUCUACCACAAGAAUAGCAUUUGAUGUCUCUAAAAAUUUUCUUAUCCUUCUGAGGAUUAUUCUGGUUAAUAUGGUGUCUACGUUUAUUCCUAUGAGGUUGAGGUUUGUUGCGAUGUCUCUUUGUUUCCUUUUCAGAAGGACAAGUCCCUUUACAUUUUGGCUUUGUUUUUUCAUUAUAAGAGGGGUCGUACUAGGCACAGAAAUCUCCUAGGCUUCUAUUGGUGAGAGAUUAUUCUUCCUUGAGUUGUCUUUGUAAUUUGAUAGUAUUACAUAUUUGUGUUCCUUGUCUAUAAACGUAGGAGACUAUUUCUCCGUAUAAAAGAAGAUCAUAAGGAAUUUGGCCACUGUAUUCUUCUCUAAUUUUAUUUCUAACUUGGUCACCUAUAAUUUGGGGUAAACCUGCUAAGAAUUUUUCUUUCCAAAAAGAUUGAUUGCAGUCAGGUCUUAUAAGAACCCUUUGAAGGAAGAGUUCUUUGUAUUCUUUAAAUCUCCCUAAGGAUUUACAGCGCAUAUUGGAUAAGAGAUCUUGGUUCCUAUCUCUAAUAUGUGAAGGGUCUCCUAUGAAGUGUUGUGGAAUGGAAUAGAUAAGAGUAUUGACCACAUCUUGGAUGAGAUGUCCUUGAUCAUCAUCCAUGCGUUGGCCAAAGUCAUCGAUUUUAUAGGCAGUUAAAAUUUGUAUUCUUUGUUCAUCGGUCAAAUAAUUAUCCCACCAACCUUUUAGUUGUCCAGUAAAUCCGGCUACUAAAAGAUUAGCAACAACAUGGUCAAAAAUAUAUUGCUAUGUUUUGUAGGCAUUAGCAAGCAUUACCAUGUUGUUUAGUAUGUUCAUAAUAUUGGCUUCAACUACACCAUCAAUAUUCCAUUCAUAAAUGGCAUCAGGAGAGUAUUUAUUAUGUAUUUUUUGUGAUGAUUCUUCUUAGGCAAUGUUUGGUGGGGGUGGCUCUACUAUAAUAAAGUUUUUGAGGUUAUCUCCAAUUGAGUCUGUUUACCUCAGCGGUCGAUUCACUAUCAAAGUCAUCAGAGGGUUUAGUCAAGCUACUAAUAGUGGGUUGUUCUAGAGUAUCAUUAAUAAUAAGUCCUUGGAAUUUAGGAGUGUCUAAUAUAGGUGUAGGUUCUAGCUUUGGUUUCCCUAAAAGCUUUUUCUUUUGUUCUAUGGCCUUAACAAACUCUGAACUAAGGUUUUUUUGGAAAUUCAAAGGCUUUGAAAAUGGGUUUUUUUUUUUUAGUGUAUCAACUUGUGGUAUGAUGAGUUGAGUAGGAUUCUGGAUGGUGGAUUCUAUCCUAUUUAACUGUUUUCCUAUGGUAACUAAAUGUUGAUUAGUAUAAUUGUUUUGUUCAAUAACUUUGUGAGUAUAAAGAGAGUCUCCUUUGUCUGGAAGCCUAAAAGGUGUAGCGGUAACCUCACUAUCUCCAUGUUGUAUUUUUAUUCUCCUAAGGGGAGGAUGAAUGGAUUCUAUGGUUUCCCCAUUAUCAAGUUUCCACUUAUAAUGAUGAUCUAAAACAAUUAUUUCUUUUGGUUCGAGGAAUUGUUCUUCUAACCAAUCAAAGAAAAAUAUAUGGACUUCAUAUCCAUACUAAAUAUAUCCACGAAAACUCCAAACUAAAUAUAUUUGUGAUAAAUUUACUAAAUACUAAUUCUUUUAGCACAAAAAAAUCUCAAACUAGCACACCCAUGACAAAGUUACCCUAAGCUAAUUAUUUGAUCAUAAAAAAUCCCAAACUAGUACAUUUAUGACAAAUUUACCCAAUUUUAGUUUUCAUUUAAUUGAAUUAAUAUCAUAAAAAAUCACAAAUCAGUACAUUUAUGAUAACGAAGGUUAAAACUCCAAACUGGUAUAUCUGUCAACUGUUACGUGUCAUCUAACAUAGCAAUUUGUGGAUAAAAUUUAACAGAAAUUAAUAAAGAGUAAAUUUGUCAUGAGUACACAAGUUUUAGUUUUUUGUGGUCAAAAAAUUAGUUUAGAGUAAAUUUAUCACAUAUGUAUCGGUUUUGGGUUUUUCAUGACAUUAACCCAAAUCAUUUUGAUGGCAGACAUAACGAUAUGCCAACUAACAAACAAAAUUUAUAACAUGAAUUGAAUCAAUUUAAUGGUCUUCACAAAAUUGUGGUACAAUACUAGAAACAGUUUUUGAGUGAUAAUUGUUUUUUUUUUUUUUGGUAAAGUUUUUGAGUGAUAAUUGUUUGUAAGUUCUAAACCUAUUUAAUGGCCAAUAUUGUUAUAAACUUUUAGUUUUAUCAAUUUAGCUCUAAAUAUUUUGACAAUUUUUCAAUGUAGUCUAUAUGUCUAAUUUUUGCCGGCAAUGGUUAAUGUGACCCUCUAGUUAGUACUAGCCAUCUUACAUUGUAGCGCUAACAUGGAAGAUUUUUACAAAUUUUUUAAAUUUUUGAUUUUUCUAUUCUUUUCUUUUCUUUAUUUUUCCAUUGUCCAUCUUCCUGAUAGGGCUAAUGCCGAUGGGACCUUGAAGAUGGCCGAUGCAAAAUUGAAAAAAUAAAAUAAAAAGAUCAGACAUUUAAAAAAAAAAUCACAAACAUAGGACAAUUAACGUCCACCAUAGCGAUUUCCGACCCAUAUUGACCCGGAGGAUUAUAUUAAAGAAGUCAUCAAAGGUUUAUGACUACUUUAGUCAAACUAAAAAAUUUAAUAUUGAAAUAGCAUUGUACAAUAGGUUCGAGAGUCUUUAGAUAAUUUUGCCUUAUUUUUCAAAAGAUAAAAAGGGGAUAAGUGCAUUAGAAGUUCUAAAACUUAUCAUGAAAGUACGAUUAAGUUUUAAAACUUUCAAAAAGUGCAAUUAAGUCAUAAAACUUGUCAUCAAAAUGCAAUUAAGUCUUAAAACUUAUUACGAAAGUACAAUCGUGUCCUAAAACUUUCAAAAUGAGUUAAUGGAAUGACUUGAAUGAAAUAAUUAUACAGUUUUAUGACUCAAUUGCACUUUUGAAUUGAGGACUCAAUUGGACUUUUGUGACAAAUUUCAGGACUUGAUUGCAUUUUUUUAAAGUUUUAGAAAUCAAUUAUACUUUUGUGCCAAGUUUUAGAACUUUCAAUACACUUAUCCAGAUGAAAAAGUAAAAACUUAUAGAAUUUUUAUGAUAUUUGGCCAUCAAACUAUUUCUCUUUUGUCUACUAAUGCUGAUUUCCUUUUAUUAGGAGACAAUAGGUUUUUUCAACUCAUUUUAGAAAAAAAAAAAGGAUUUAGUCAAAAGAUGCAAAAAAUUUUAGGAAUUGAUUUUACUUUUUGACAAGUUUCGGGACUUAAUUGCACUUCUUAAAAUUUUUAGGACUCAAUUAUACUUUUAUGACAAGUUUUAGGACUUUCAGUGCACUUAUUUGGAUAAAGAAAGUCAAAAGUUAUAGGAUUUUCAUGAUAUUUGGCCAUCAAACUAUUUCUCUUUUGUCUACUAAUGCUGAUUUCCUUUUAUUAGCAGACAACAGGAUUUAUCGACUCAUUUUAGAAAAAAAGAUUUAGUCGAAAGAUGCAUAGAGAUUUCUAAUCUCGAUGAUAUUUGAAUGCAUGGGUGGGAUCCUUCGAGAAAUUCUGAACAAAUCCUAAGCACGAGAUUCUUUUUUAUGCAAAUCAAUAAUCGCAUUUCCAAGGCUAUAGACUUUUUUCCAUGACUGGUGCUUAACAACACCACCAUCUAUAUAAAGCGGGGUUAGCAUACUAAGAGACUCGCUACAACUUUCGCAAUGGCUCUUCCUGCUCUGUUCACAAGUUUCGUCCCUUCCUCAAUCAGCCAUAACCAACCCUCUCUCUUGUCCUUCAGACACCCUCGCUGCUCCUCCUCCUCCUUCUCCUCAGGCGCUAAAUCGGUGACAUGCGCCGUGACGAUCGAGAAUCCAAAGAUCGUGAGACGGUUGGCAAAUUGGAAACCUAAUGUGUGGGACUACGAGUUUCUUCAGUCACUCGGAGUUGAUUACAUGGUAAUGAUCCUUUUUGGUUUGGCACAAUACCCAGCCUGGCUAUGUUCUAUGGAAAAUGUUCACAUCUCGGUCCUGAACUUUGUAUUCCUUUUUUUCAUUGUCCCUUGAACUUGUGGGAAUUCCCUAUCCAAUUUCUUGGUCUAUGGUUCUGGCAAAUUGAAGCUCAUGCGCGUGUCAAUGCUAGCGGAAAGUAUGAUGCAGAAAACUCGGUACAAGUUUUAAGUUCAAGGAUCAUGUUGAGAAGGGGAAUAAAAAAACAACACAAGUUGAGGAUCGUAUUAUGCUUUUCCCUACUUUCUUUUUACUUUGAUGAGAUAGAGUCCACAACACCCAAAAUGGCAUAGAAACAAAAACGAAACUGUAUUCUGAAUUAGAUAUAAGGAUGUAUACUACUGAGUACUUUUGUAUACGACCAACCACUGCCACUCUAUCAAAUACGACCAACAUAACAAUAUUCCAUAGAGAUACCAAUAAACUUGAUCAAAAUGGCAUAUUCUCAACAAUGCUUACUCUGCUUAUGUAUUACUUUUGAUUAAGAUCUCAUUUUUCUGAAUGUUUUACGUGCCUAGGAGGAUAAAUAUGCCGAGCAAGUCCAAAGGUUGAAGGAAGAAAUCAGGGGUCUAUUCAACAGGGAGAUGAACCGGGUGGCCAAGCUCGAGUUCAUUGAUGCGGUUCAAAGACUCGGACUAGGAUACCGUUUUGAGACGGAGAUAAAAAAUGCUCUCAGUUCCAUCUAUGACAACACCGGAUAUGCUCAGCUUUUGAACGAUCUCCAUGCAGUUUCCCUUGGAUUCCGGUUACUCAAGACAACAUGGAUACAAAAUACCGCAAGGUAUUCGCCAUAUGGUUACCCUUUUGUAAAUCAUGUUGAUGCAUCAAAAGUUACCUUACCGUUCCUUUUUUUGGACAUAUAGAUGUGUUUCAACAAUUUAUGAACAAGACCGGCACGUUCAAUGAAUCACUCAAUAAGGAUGUGAGGGGGCUUCUUGGUCUUUAUGAAGCUUCUUUUCAUGGAUUGGAAGGUGAAACCAUACUUGAUGAAGCGAGGAACUUUGCUUCUAAGCAUCUAAAGGAUCUAAACAUCGACAAAGUUCCCGCUAUGUUAGCGAGCUACGUGAGUCAUACAUUAGAUAUGCCGAUCCACUGGAGGCCAAAUAGGUUGGAGGCUCGGUGGUUCAUGGACAUGUACGAGACACAACAAGACAUGAUCCCUUCCUUGCUGCGAUUGGCUAAAUUAGACUUCAAUCUAGUGCAAUCAGUCCACAAGAAAGAAGUUAGCAAUAUGGCAAGGUAUACGCAAGCACUCUAGAUAUAAUUACAUGCAAACACCAAACCUGUAGGAGCACAUUUAGAUCGACUUAGUUGUUGCAUGGUAAAUUUCUCAAGUGGUGGGUUGAACUUGGCACGAACAAGAUGACCUUCUUCAGAGACAGAUUGGUGGAACACUAUUUUUGGUGUUGCGCCAUGGUCGAUGAACCUCAAUAUACAGCUUACAGGGAAAUGACGACGAAGCUCACUUGUAUGG
rnacentral:lncRNA from 1 species